UUCUUCACAAACAUGCCUUGUCUUAGUGUUCUCAAUUUGUCUUUUACAAAGAUUGAGAGUUUACCAAAUUCCAUCUCUGAACUAAAGAACCUCACAACAUUGUUGCUUCGUGGUUGUUCUGAAUUAAGAGAUCUACCAUGUCUUUCGAUGCUUCAAGAAUUGAAGAAGUUGGAUAUAAGUCGUACAAGAAUUGGGAAAGUACCUGAAGGCAUGGAUAUGCUGAUAAAGCUAAGACAUCUUGAUCUUAGUGUGUGGAAUGUGAAAGAGAUACCCGCUGGACUUUUACCAAAACUCGUUCACCUUCAGCACUUGAGUUUUGAUGUGUACAAUGAAAAAACAAGUCUAAAAGCAAAGGAGAUGGAACCAUUGAAGAAGUUGGAGUGCUUUACGGGACGUUUCGAAGACAUCAGUGAAUUCAAUAAGUUCAUCUCCUCAAUGCAACAAAGUAAGAAAAAUCUCAUCAAGUACUAUUUACAGGUGGGCUCAUAUUUUGUGGGUGCUACAAGAGAUAAAAAAGUAACAAUUGGAGGAGUCCAAAAUUGGGAAGAUGAGUUAAUUAUGCACCCAAUUAAAAUUCAAGAGUUGAAUAUUUUACAUUGCGACUAUUCGAUAAACUUAGUCGAUGAUAAUUCUUCCUUCAAAAAUGCGAUUGACUUGAGGGUUUGUAGGAUUUAUAAUUGUAAAGGGAUAGAGUGUGUUGUUUCCCUGUCCUCUUUUGCCUCUUCUUCCGCUCAUCCAUUUCAGAGCCUCGAGGUGUUGCAUCUUCGAUCUCUGCCAAAGUUGAGUGCCCUUAUUAUGAAAGAUGCAGGAAUUGGUUCAGCAACAACGUCAACGUUGGCUCCGUCUACCACCUUUUCCCAUCUUAAGGAAAUUGAUGUACGGGGAUGCUCAAGUAUGAAGACGUUGCUUCCACAUUGGUUGCUUCCAAACCUCCAAAACCUGGAAAAAAUAUAUGUGCGUGCUUGUAGUCAGCUAGUAGAAAUAUUGGGAGCAGAAACAUCAGAAGUUGAAGAAAAAGGGAGUGAUGCAUUAAUCAAAUUCCAUCUUCCCAAAUUGAUAGUGUUGGAAUUGAGCGAAUUACCAAAUUUGAAGAGCAUAUGCAGCAAAAGUGGAGUGAUGGUUUGUGAUUCUCUCCAAUUUAUGAAAGUUGAUGGAGAUUGUGAUAAACUGAGGAGAAUUCCUCCUUUUGUUCCCCUUGUUGGCAAUGGGCAGCCAUAUGCAUAUGCUCCACCUUCUCUUACCAUCUUCUCAAGCACAGAAUGGUGGGAAUCGUUGGAGUGGGAUGACCAUCCAAACUAUAAAAAUGUUCUUCGCUUCAACCCUACAUUGAGGAUAAGAGGUAUGAACCAUUUAUGGUUUUGUUUAUUUUUUUUAUUUUGAUAAAUCUAAUUUCUCCAUUUUAAUAAAAUUUCAGAUAAAUCUGGUAAUGUUGUUGAAGAGAAAGAUGAAAGGGUUGGUGGGAAAGAAGUAGGGGGGGGAGGAUAGUGCAAAAGAGAGGAGAAAAGGAAUGAUGGAAGGAAUGAUAGAGGCAAAGGUAAAUAAGAAAUCAAACUGCCUCCACUUUUUAUACAUUUUCCCUCUCUUACCAUUCCUUCUAUUCUCUUACCACUUUUUAUAUAUAUAUGUAUAUAUAUGUACUUCCCAAAAUAACCUUCUAAAUAUUUAUGAUUAAAAUAUUUAUAUUAAUCAAAAUGAUUUAAGGUGAGACAAAUCUUAUUUCCAAUAAAAGUUCGGAAAGUAAUGUAAAAAUACAUAAUAUUUUUUAAUUUCCAUGUAAAAUUUCUGGAAACAUUAAGAUUUAAAAAAUAAUAAUUGCUUGUUUUUUUAAAACAUAAUAUUUAUUAAAAAAUAUAAUUGGAUUCAUUCAUAUGUAAACGCAAGCAUAAAGAUUAAAACAAUAAUGUAAUUUCAUAAAAGUAUGAUAUUAGAAAUUAAAAGUGGAAAUUAAAUAAGAUGAAUUCCUUUUCUUGAGUAAUAUAAAAAUUGUAGGGAUAGUUAAUAAUAUUAACAUAUUUCUAAUAUUAAAUAAUAUUUUAAAUUAUGAGGACUAAAUGAGAAAAUUAAAAAGGUGAAAUCCCUUUUAAAAUAAAUUAAAAACAUUAAGGGUAUUAUGUUGCAAAUAACCCCUCCACGUUCCCAUAUAUAAAAGACAUUUUCCUUUUUCUUUUAAUUUGUGAUAAGUUGGAAAAUAAAAAAACAAAAAAAAAAAAAACUUAGUUUCCUUUUUUAUUCUUGUUUCAUUUUGUUGUCCGACUUUUUUUUUGAAGCUGAAGAUUUAAAGUUUUUUAGUAUUAAAUACCAAAAUAUCAUAGGUUCUCAAUAAUUAUGUAGUUUGUAAUGCCAGAAAGUUUACAUUUUUUAAAUAUCAUAGGGACACUAGCGUGUGUCCAGACUGUGUGUGACUAUGUUAGUGCAGGGUUCACACAGGCCAAGGACACGAACGUGUGUCCAGGUCGUGUAACUCACUAUUUACAAAAUAAGGAUCUCACGAACGGAUGACACAGCCGUGUGUUAGGCCAUGUGAGACACACGGGCAAGCAAACAGGAAUGUGUCAGGCUGUGUGGGGCUACACGGGUGUGUGGGCCAGUUUACGAAAUUUUUUCAUUUCCUGAACUUCGUUUGAAAUGAAUACAAGCCUUCUGUGAGGCUGUAUGAACUGAAUUAAAUUGUAUAAAUUGAUAUUCUAUGAUCUGAAAUUGAGUACUAAUAAUGUGCGUGUGUAUUGUAUAUGACCAAUGUUAAUAGUAUCGAUCUCCUGUAUUCAAGCAUGAAUUGUAUCUAAAUAUUCACAUUUGUAUUAACUGUCAUGUGAAGUCUGCAUAUGCAUUGGGUGGAAAUUGAGCAAGAAGGAUGUAUUCUGUUCUAACAUAAUGAUUAAAUCACUACCAUAUGUACUCUGAUCUAAUAGCUAGACUGCAAUUUCUGAAACGUGUUAGAUCGACCCUAUAUGGUGUGUAGGAUUGGAUGGGUUAUAAGUAUCCUAUUUCAUGUGUUAGGUUGGUUGGAGAUGGUGUGUAACGGCUGGGAUUAAGAAAAUUGCAUAUGUUCUGUUCUGUUCUGUAUCUGAUUAUAGUUUGAUUUGAUAUCUGUCUGUAUUGUUCUGAUCCGUAAAUUAAUGAGCUAUUUCCUAAGUCUAAAUCGGUAUUUGCACUUGGACAUCUACUGGUUUAAUCCACACUCUAUUGAAUAUGUAUAUAGUUGGUUUCUUUAUGAGAUAUUAAAUCAUUUUUUUGUUGAAUGAAUUAUAGGUAAAUCACAAGCUUAGAGAAGUCGGUGGAUGGGGAGCUCAGUUUCAUUGUUUUAAACUGUUUAGUAGUACUAGUAUUGUUAGUUGUUAUUCAUAUUUUCAAUUUACUUGGACGAUAAACCUCAAAUUUCUUACCUUGUUAGUUCUUUAAAUCUUAUAUGACUCUGAAGGAUUUUAAAGUUAAGUUAUGAAGUUGCUUUAUUAUUAUAGUUCGUUGUAACCCUCCAGGCUUGGUCUUGUCGUCUAGACCGGGUAUGGAGUGUUACAUUCCUUUAUAAUAUUUAGCAAUGCCAACAAUGUUAAAAUUGUAUUGGUAAAAAAAGUAAAUUUAAUUUUAUAAAUAGAUUUUCACAUAAACAUUAAACAUUUUUACUCUACAAAAAAAAUUAAUAUAAAAUAUUUAAAUAAAUACCCAUGAUGAAUACAUGCAUUGUACAAGUUAUAUAUCAACAUUUAACAUUUUAUCCAAAAAGUUAAUGAUACUAACUGUAUAGACUAUAUAUCUAAUAAUAUUACAAAAAUAUAGAGACUAAAUUAUGUUAGAAAUUAAAGUAUAAAGAUUAAAUCAUAAAUUUAGAUAUAAUAGAGGGAUCAAAACUUAAAAUCAUGAAAAAUUCCUUAACAAAAUCUUUCCAUUUAACAACCAAACAUCAUAAACCACCAUUAAACUUCAAAAAUCUACCAUCUUCAUCAAUGACUUCUUCCAAAUCAUUAACAAUUUAACAAAAAAAAAUCCUUGGAUUAGAUAGAUAGAGUUAAAAUGAUCCCAAAAACAUUAAAUUCAUGAAAAACAGAUUAAAAUAUUCUUACAUGCAUUAACCUUAAUGACUGAAAAUGCAAGCUACAAAUAGACUAUUCUUUUCUCUAUUUUCGGCAAGAACACCUAAAAAAGAUGAUAAUUUUCAUUAAUUUUUCUUUUAUGUUUUCUAUUCUUUAUUUUCAUAAGUACUUACUUAUCCUUGUAAUAUAACUAAACAAUGAACUAAACUUAGUCUAUAUUUGUCCACUAAAGUUCUAUAUGGUUUAAUUACCACAUAGAUCCAUCCACUCAAAUAAUACUAACCAUUUAAUACAGUUAACUAUGGGAACUAACUUUUUAAGUUUUUACAAUUUAAUCCUUUUUAAUUAAUUAACUAUCUAAACAAUAACCUUCUUAACUAAAAUUUAAUAGACACUAAUGACCUUGUAAAUACUAAAUUAACCUGAAAAAUGAGAAAACAAUUUAAUCCUUUUUAAAUUAAUUAACUAUUGGCCGGACCCUCGGGCUUUCAGAGAAAACAAAAAGUGGUUUUUUUUUUUUUGAGAAGUGAGAGAAAAUGAAAUUUUUUAAAAAAUUUUGGUUUAUAUAAGGCCUUACAAACGACGAUGAUAUAUAAGCUUGUGAAAGUUAAAGUGAACAGAUGAUGAUAUUUAUAAGUAAAUAUACACUUUGAUGAUGCUUGUUUAUGUGUAUGGUGCCAAAGAUUUGUUGCUUGAAUAGAAAUGAAGGCAUGUCUUUUACCUGUUAAGUUAAUUUUGGUUAUAUGAUGGGCCCUAUAAUGUGGAUAGUUGGGUGGAUAGUAAAAACAAACUGAAAUUAUUCAAAGUUUAAGUGGGAAACCAAAACAGAGUUUAACUGAGAGAAGAAAAAAAAACAAACUUGAUGAACACGUCACCACGUCGUGACGUAGCAUUCUUGUCAUCGUGACAGGGAGAUGUUACGUUGUUGAGAUGAAGGCUUUCUUCUUAUCAUGACAUUGGUUGUUUGUCGCGGCGUUGAGCUUUAUCUUGUUGGGACAUCACUUACUAUUUUGUUUGAAAUGUGAGGCAAACGCCAUAAAGUGUAUAGUGAUAUAGAGCCAUGGUUGUUUGAACCAAGAAUCAGUCAAGGUACUAGUUCGAAGUGAGGCAUCAGACCACUUCACCCGCGAAUCGGUGCAAACCUAUUGAACAAGAUUAAAGAAAACUAGUUUUUUUUUUUAUGAGUUUUUAAUGAUUUAUUUAAUUGAACAAUACAGACUAAUAGUUUACCGGUUCAACUACUUCUAAAAACCUUAGAAUAUAUUUUAAUCUUUAAAUUUUUACUCAAACACUAAUAAUAAAUUUUAAUCUUUAAAUUUAUUUUAUAAUUUAACAUAAAUAGAAAAUAACUCAACCGUACUAGCAUUAAAGAAAAAGGAAAUCCAUAGUGGUACGAGUCACGCAAAGGAAGGAACUGCCAACAUCCUUGAAGCUCUAUAAUUAUCAAAAUUGAAAAACAAAAUGCCAACAUCCUUUAAGCUUUUGCACUAGAAUCGAAAUUAAAAAAGAAAAAGGAACUGCCAACUUUCGUUAAGAACAAGUAGUUGAAACUCUUCGUUGACACCUGAAUAACCAAGGUUCAUCCCUUAUCGUACUCUCCUAUCAUAACGCGACAACAAACUUUGCAUUGUUUCUACUCAAAAGGGUGACAUCAAAAUAUAUUUUGUUGAAUUUGAAAAGGAAAAUUUAAGAACAGUGAAGUACAUCCAACUAUGAAAGACUAACGUUGAGAUUGACCUGGUGCUAAUUUGCACUCAGCAGAGCUCUUGCAUGUCCUUUAGAUAUCUGUAGCUGCUCUGUUAUGCCAAAAUGAGCCAUAAGAAGCCAAACAUGGGUUAGAAGCUCUCCACCCCUUCUCAGUUGAUUAGCAUGCUGAGUUCCCCCACAAUGACUUGCAGCAUAAGUUAGCAUCUCUAACCAAAUUUCUUUAAUCAUCUCCCAUUUUACCUUUUUGUCUGAUAUGCCUUCAAGUGUUGAUGCCAGCUUGCAAGCGUCAAACAACACAGAUUUGCUUUUAUCCCCUUUUACUUUGCUCGGGUCUACAUCGGUCUUCACAUGAAGCAACAUACUGCAAGCAUCCUUCACACUCAUUAAUUGGUAUGCACUUGAAGAGAGCAGCCGUCCUUUAAAGAACCUCCAAGCUUGAAGCAACUUUCUGCAAUACUUGGUUAUUUUAUUCACUCGCUUAGCACUAGAAGAUUCCCGUCUUUCCUUGAAAAACCUCCUGGCCUCGGCUUCAGUGUCUCGAAACCUUAUAAGCCCUAUUCCUGAUGGCAACAUAAGAGGAUAAAAGACAAGGAGGUAUAUCAGGUACUUUGAGAUUAACAGGCUUGCUUCCCGACAUUGUCCAUUUUCAGUAUCACUUUGAAGACCUGAGUUGUAACAAAUCUCUGUAGCAAUGUGCCAGAUAAGAAUACUCUGGUCGAACUCAACAUCAAUACUCCACUCAAGCUUAGCUGGCAAUUUAUCCUCAUGUUUUUGAAGUAUGCUCUCUCCCCUUUGGCGGCAGAAGUCUCUAAGAUUAGUACCUUUUUUUCCCUUUUGCGCUUCAAAUUUCGCUUUGACAUGGCUAAAGAGGGUGUCUCUCAAGGAUCCCUCGAAUUUUACACUACUUCUAGGCGGCCACAUUUGCUGCACCUUUUCAAGUAUUUUAAACCCAGGUCUUUCUUCCAGGAAAUGGCUGAGUAGGCUGUACUGUGAUAUGCGACCAGACCACCUCUUUUGAUCAUACAGGGAAGUCAAACAUCUAGUGGCUCUAAUAAUGAAAGUUCUGUUAUUCUUAACCAACCAAUGGCUCGUCUGGUCUGAGCAAAGUAAUAAAAAUGCUGCAUACAUCUCCAGAAGAAUAGCUACAACAAGCAAAAGAAAAGUGAUGCAUACAUCAGCCUCUUCAUACUUGUUCAGGUUAUCAGUAGAGAACAUCCCCAACACAAGACAGGUGAGAAGGACAGUAGUAAAGCGGCAAACCAAACCGGAACGAGUAUAAUUUACCAUAGCUUUGGUGUAUAGUAAAUCAUACAUGAAUCCUAGUUCAAUGGCCACCACAUCGAAAGCAUCCUCCGGACUCAUGUCCUUGAAUAAAUUUUGGCUUUUCUCCUUGUCUUUAAAGCUUAGGAUGAGAUCUGCAAACAGACGCUUGAAUAUCUGAAACAUCACAGUGGCUUUAAUGAUUUUGUCUUGGUCAGUGCUCCUUUUUUCAGGGGCUGUAAUAUCCAUUUCUUGCUCAUCUUCCUUCACCUCUUCAAUAGUCACCAAGAACCCCUCAAAUUUCCUCAGACUGUAUUCAUCCAUCAACUUGGGGUAAUUAGGACCAGGAUCUGGAGAAGUUAGCAUCGAGUCUCGUAAUUCGCCAGGGCUUGCUCUCCAUAGAGUCCAUGUCCUCUCAGCAUACUUAAUUGAUCCAGCCACAAUCAUUGGAAUGGUUAGCUUGGAGAGAAGGGAACCUGUCCAUGCCAUGAAUAAGAUGUAUAUUGUCACAAUUGUCUGCACAAUUAGUCCAAAAAGGUGCCUUAACCAUAGCUGAUUGUCUUCCAGGGAGUAAGCUGUAAUGGCAUCUGGGCCACCCAAGUGCAGUAGGAGAAAGGGUGCCCACGUUGCUUUAAGCUCAGUGCUCAAGUCAAGAGCUCCUCCCUUAUCAUAUAUUUCACCCAGGUCAUUUGUUAGUAUGCCGAGGGCGAUAGAUGCUAGAGAAUCAGCCAGCAAAUAGGAACACCAAACAGCAGCUCUAAUCCUUCUUUUUGAAGUGCAUUUUCUGCGCUUGCCAAAUAAAAUGAGCAAAAUUUGGACCAGAAGGCUGGUUAAAACCAUUGCUCGGAGCUCCCAUUCCUUCCACAACUUCAUUAAUGAGGGAGAAAAGACCUCCACCAUCUUUCGGCUUUUCUUCACCAAAAUUAAGCUACCAACUACUGCAUAUGCACGAACAAACAAGAAUUAUUCAUAAACUUAACGCAGCUAACUAGUGAUGAUUUUCAAAAAUAAAUAUUCCAUUUUUUUCCAGAAACAUAUUUUGUUCAUUUCUUCCCAUUAUGAAUAUAUAUGCAGAAUCUAAGAAAGAAAAAUUGGUUCCUUACUUGUGGGAAUCAUUGUGAUUGUUAAUGCUUCCUGAUGAGUCUACUCGCAUCACCUAACUGGGUUUUGCUCUGCGAAACGGUUUAGCUAACAUUGAUGGGAAAAGCAGCUUCUUUACUCUAAGCGUCAAUGCGUUAUGCUUAAAUCAAAUAUUCUUAGAGUAUCCUUACAAAUUAGUUUAGAUGUGCCAACGGUAUUUUUACUUUUUUCACAUUUAAAAUUUAAAAUUUAAUCUUUAUAAUUUUCAGACUUUUUACUUAAAAAAUUCUAGUUUCUCUAUUUAAUUUUACCAUUAUCGACUUUAUAAAAAAAGUAAAAUGAAUUUUUAGUCCUUAAUAUUUACAAUUUUUUAUCAAUUUGAUUCUUACCUUUAAAAGUAAAUAAGAAAUUUUUGAAUUUACUUUUUCCAUAUUUUAUUUAAAAAUUUUAAAAUAUAUUUUAAAAAUCUAAAAUUAUGAAAGAAAUAAAAACUAUUUAAAAUUCAAAAAAUAAUCAUUUAAUAUAAAUUUUAUUAAUAAUAUAAUAAAUAAAUUAAAUCACAAAAUAUUAAUGCUAAAAUUAAAAAAUGACACUUUUGGACUAAUGUAAUUUAGAUAUUAAAUAUGAUAUAUAUGAGAUAUUGGUAUUUAUUUUAUUAAUAAAAUAUAAAGAAGCAAAUUACAUAAAAAGAUAAUCAUGUAUGAUCACAUUUUGUUAUAUAAAUCAUAUAUAAUCAUUAAAUAUGAAGCAAUAAAUGCUUUUUAAUUUUUUUAAAUUUUAUUUAUAAUAAUUAUGUUUCUCUAAUAUUCUUUAAAUUAACUUAAUGUUAUGGAUUGAUUUACCCAUCUGUAAUUCAACAGUUUUUUAAAUAUUAUAAUAUACAAAUUAAAUUUUAUAAUUACAAAUGCUUUAUACAAUAAAUCCAAAUGUUUUAAUUUAGAAAUAUAAUUCUAAAAAAUGUUGAAAAUAGCAAUUUUUAAAUAAAUAAUGUAUUUAUUAUUAAAAAAAUAUUUUUAAUAUUAUAGUAUUUAUUUAAUUUAAUAAAAAUAAAUAUUUUUAAAUAUCAAAAACUUAAUAAUUGAAAUUUAUUACGCAAGUGCAUGUAUCAAUCAAGUAAUAAAGUGAUAAAAAUAGGGACAAAACCAGGAAAUUACAUUAGGAGGGCCGAAAUUAAAUUUUAAUUUUAAUAGCCUAUAUCUUUAUAAUUUUUAAAAGAUUAAAUCAAAUUUUUAUUAUUUUAGGGGGACCAAAGUGCGAUUUUACCUUUACCAAUUUAAAAUUUUAAAAUUUCUAAAGGGCCUAAAUGAAUAUUUUUCCAUUUUAGGGGCUAGGUGUAACACCCUAAACCCGGCCUAGAUGGAAAGACCAAGUCUAGAAUGUCAAAUGAACUUACCAGAAAAUAGAUACACUUAAAGUCGGUUUAACUAAUACGUAAAUAAGUCUUAAAAUCAUUAACCACUCAACAUAACACAAUCUUAAAACUCAAAGUCGGAAAACAAUAACAAUUUAAAACACACACACACACAUAUUGAUACAGAUGCAGUUAUCCUACCCCCAUCCGCUACGCACUAUCUCCGAUCAUCCCAACACACCAAUAGGUAUAUAAUACCCCUCCAGCCAUACAUACCUUAUAGUGUCGGCACGACACAUUGUAAUGUUUACAGUCUCACUGCUAGAUCAGAUAUAAUUCUAGGUGGUUUGACCACCAAAUUAGUAUGGAACACUUCCUUCAAUCCAUAAUUCCCACCCCAUGCAAAUGCAGAGAACAAAUGACCAAUAUUUAUGUAUUGUUAUGCAGAUACAAAUCAUACAGUUUCAAUAUAUCAAAGGGUUGAAAUUCUUACGAAUUGUCUCAUACGGUUAUGUAAAACCAAUUUAUAAUCAUAAUAAAGUAGAUCAUAAAGUCCAGUUUAGUUCAUACACAUCCUAUAGACGACUUACACUCGCCUCGCACAACAAUUAUAGCAUUAACAAAAAUUUGGCGAUUCUAGCUCACAUGCCCAUGUGGAUGCCCGUAUGACUCCACACGGCCUGGCACACGACGAUUCUGAGAUUGGUAUUAACAGAGAAGUGCAAAAAUAAUAAUAUUUCUAAACGCAGGAUCAAAGACUCAAACACCAGACCAUAAUGUAUACAGAUUCUUUAUCAUCAAACCAACAGGUUCAUUCUUGAGAUGUCAAUGCAUGAAAUUUAACUUAUGUGACACAUGUAAGUCAAAAGUUCAAUUAUAAUACGCAAAACUUCAAAAAAAAAAAUGUGACUUGAACCUCCAAUCUCAAACACAUAAACAAAGUACUUAAACACAGAUACAGAGACUUAAUUAUUGAUACUACCUAAUAGGAAAACCCACAUUUUUAGGGCGUUACACUGGGGCCCUACCAACCCCCUCUAGAUACGCCACUGGAUAAGAAGAUAUCGAUCCCACAAGUACCAAAUUCUAAGAUGUUAAGUAACAAAUAUUUAGUUUUAUCUAAUUCAAAUUAAUAAAAUAAAAUUUGAUUAGUAGAAAAAUUAAACUAAACAAAUUAUGGACUUGAAACUCUAACUUCUCCUAAUCUAGAUUCAAUCUAUGUAAGUCCUAACCCAUAAUUCAAUGAUAUUAAUUAGACUCUUCCUGUAUCUAGUUAAGUUAAUCUCCUUUCCCAUUAACUGUAUUCCCAUACUAGGCAAGUUAAGUGAAAUCACUAAGAACAAACUUAUUAGAUUGAUUAGGGAAUCAUGUAUAUUUAUAUCUUAAUCACAGAUUAACUCAAUUAAUCUUGAUUUAAUUAGCCUAAAUCUUAACCUUAAUUUUCUCUUCCAUGACAAAUCAAGAUUAUUGAAUUAAUGUAACUUGGUGAUUAGACAAGUAGAUUAAAUAAGCAUAGGACUGAAUAAAUAAUUAAUAAGGAUCGAGCAAUUAAAGAGAAAAUUUAAUUAAUUAACUAAGAAAUAAGAUUCAUUAUCUUUCUAAAAAAAAUUAAAGUUUAAUUCAUAAUAAGUUGAAAAAACAACACAAAAAAUUUAGAACAAACUUGCAUCAAUAAAUUCAGAUAAUUUAUAAAAUGCAUAUAUCAAAUCCAUUGCCAUUUCCUUAAUUCAAUUAGAGAAUAUCAAGAUUUAUUACAUUGUUUGUAAAUUAAAUCAGUAAUAUAAAGUUGAGACUUACCUAAAUCAAAUCGAAAUUCAAUGAUAAAUUAAAUUAAAGAUAAAAGAUUAAACAUAUAAAGUAUGGAACCACCUAAUCAUAAAUUUUGGAAAUAAAGGUGAUCUUAAAAAAUUAUUCCUAAAAAAAAUUCAAUUCCUGCACAUGAAACAUGACUUGACUGGAUUCAACUUUAUUUCCUUUUCAUUAUUUAUUAUAUUUAAUAUUAAUAAAAAUUAAAUAUUUUUUUUUUCUUUUUUACUUUUGGCCUUUUUCUUUUCUCUCUUGCAUGUGGUGACCAGUUUAAUGGGUUAAAAGUUAUCUAAAAAUUUUAUUACAAUUUUCUCAAAAAUCCAAUGCCACACGAUGAAUCUUUUUGUAGACGCCACUUGUGAUUGUCUUUUUGGUUUUAGUUUUUAAAAUUAAAAGUAAUAGAUAUUUUAGAUGCCAAUGAUGAUGAGGUGAGAUAUUACUUAUGACAAUAUAGCAUAUUUGAUGAUUAAUUAUUUAUUUUAAUUACGAUCAAGAAAAAAAUAUUUUAAGUGUUAAAUUGAAAAAAAAUUAAAAGUUAAAAUUAUAUUUAAAUUUUAAUUGAAUAUUAAUUUUGAUUUAAUGCAGUUAUAAAUAUGAAUUUUGAUUUAAUUUUGAUACAUGUGUUAAUUUUCAUUGAAUAAUCCAUUUGAUAGCAAAAAUAAAAAGUUGCCUUAAAAUAUUUUCCAAAUUUGCAGCUGUUUGAAAGCAAUGGAAAUAGGGCUGUCAUCCCGUAAGACAACUUACCCCAAAUUCUUUUGGUAAGUCAUGUUACGGUACCUAAACCCCAAAUGUUUAUUCCCACAACAAUUGCUCUCUCCUAUUCAAACAAUUCUAUGAAUGGAAUUUGGGAAUAAUUGUAUCCAGAAAAUGAACAAAUUACAUGGACAAAGAUGAUGAAUUUUAGAAUACAUGUUACUCUUUGUGUUAUUUUGUUUGCAUAUGAAUUUAGAGCAACAUGUGUCCUUUUUUUUCUCAAUCCCUGUGUUACUGAAUUCAUUUGUUUUUUAGACGUCAUUCAUUUUCUUUUCAUUAUACCUCUUGGGGUCGGUCUUCUUUGACUCUUGUUCAAAGUUCCAACAUUGAGUUCUACUUGUUGAAUGUUGCAAAAAAAAUUUUUAACUUUUGAUUAAUUAUACUCAUUCAUUUAUAGUUAUUGGAACACUAUAAAUAUUUAGAAAUGUUCUAACAAUCUCCCCCCAUUUUCAAAAUAUUUUAGAUUUUGAUAUUCUUAAAAAUCAAUUUGCAUAAAUGAAUGUGUCUUACGAUUGAAUCUUCACUUAGUGAAAACAUGUUAAAGUUAAUCGAAAUUGCAUAGUAGACUAAACUUUGAACCAGCUAUUCCAUGUCUCACACAAUGAUUUCAACAUCAGUCAAUGCAUAGUAUCUAGGGACACAUUAUGGCUAUGUGUUUGUGUCCUCUUUUCAUAACUGCUGUCAGAGUCAAGCCCUUGAACUCCUAGAAAUGGCCAUACUUCCACUCACAUAGGUAGAUUCCAUCAAGAGUGUUCUCGUAAUUAUAACACUAUAACAUAUUUAUGUUAUGGGUCCAUUAAGAGUACAUUACUCACCCUUCCCUUAUCAUUACGAGUACCUAGCACUUUUAUCUUAGGAUGAAUUUAUUUAUAGUGUUAACAGUCACAUUGUAACACCCCAAAUCUGGUCUAGACGUUAUAGUUGAAUCUGGAAAUGUUACAAAGGAGAAUUGUAAAGUCACCCUUGUUGUAAUGAAAAUAUCGUAUAAUUUGUUAUUAAAAGAAUCCACUUUUUAGGAAAACAUUUUAUUAUACACAUCAUGAAACCAUCAAUUGUUUGCCCUUUUAAGUAAAACUAUAAUUUACAACAGAAAAUGAUGUUCGUUAAGUUAUAAAAACUGAGUUGGUGUUCUCAAAAACAUUUGUUUUCGUAAAUUGUUUUAAUAAGCGUCGCAGGAAACUUAAACAAAAAAUCAACGACCAACAACCAAACCAAAAAUUCUAAAGAGUCCCAUAUUUACAAAACUCUCAAAAAUAAUUCAGGAAUUUAAAUAAAUUUUUAAAUAAAUGAUAACACUAUAGAAUAACGUAUUUUUAUGUAUUAAUUAUGUAUUUAUUCUGAGUAUGAUCCUGCUAAUUUGAGUUAUUUAUGAUCUUUUAUUUCAUGGGGACUAAAUUUGAGGCAAAAGCAAAAUUAAGGGCCAAAAGCGUGAAUUUAAAGAUAAAAUGGGCCAAUGUGCAACACAAGGAAAAGUUGGUGCUAAAAGUGCAAGCAUAAAGGACACAAGGGUUGAAAUGUAAAAAGAAGAGAUUUUAUUCUAUCAGGCUCUAUUUUAAUUAUAUUAGGAUAAUUAAUAUUAAGAUAAUUAUUAAGGAUUAUUUAAUUUAGGAUUUUAUUUAAUUUAUAUUUAUUUAUCUUCAAUUAAAUGUAUUUAUCUUUUGAGAGUUAAGUAGGAUUAGACUAUCUCCCCUAGCACUAUGAAUAGGGGGUGAAGUGACUCAAAAGAGAUCCAUCUUUUUCUGUAAACACUCUCUCCCCAAAAGUCUAGGCUUUUGUUCUUCUCAUAUUUCCUUUCAAUUAAAUCUCCAUUUUUAUUAUAUAUUUUUUUUCCACCACAACCAUGAGCCACUAAACCCAUCUAGCCAAAAGUUGUCGAUAUUCCCCAAAAAGGGUUCUUGAGGCUUAGAGUCUGUACUUAGCCUCCUUGCUGAGUAUUAAUCGUUUCUCCGUACUACGGGGUUGAUGCUUCCAUCCAUAUCCCUUAAGAAGUAAACUUUUCAACAUAUGCAAAGGCGGUCUCUUUGUAUGUUUUGGGAAGGUUGCACAGUCAGUUCAUUAGUUUAUUGCAUCUGAGGUUGGCAAGCCCAAGAGACAAAAUGCUGUGAGAUUCGCCAUUGAGAAACAUUGAUCUAGCAUAAGAUGAUCCCACAGAAACGAUUGUUGGCUGAAGUCAGGUUCCACUAAAUCAUAAGUCUAAAUCCUUGGAGCUGGUGGUCGUAGGCAUCCUCUUCCAUUAUAACUGGCUUAUUUGGUUUGGAAAGGAUCAUCUAAAAGCCAAGGAUUGAACCCAAGGCGGAACGAGACAAUUGGAGGUUGGAACCUCCCAUAAGAAUUUCCUUUCUCUCAACUCUAUUUUUAAUUUCUCAAAUUUUUUAUUUAAUAUUCUUAAUUUUGUUUUUAUUUUAUUUUUCGUUUCUACAUCCAAACCUUUAAUUCUGUUAUUUUUUUAUUUUUUUCCAGGAACGCAGGUUUUCUUGGGAAAGAUUCUACUUGUGAUUUCACGGAACAAGAUAUUGUACAAAUCUAGUCCCUGAGGAUUUGACCCUACUUCCCUUUUACUAUUAUUUUUCAUUAUUUAUUAGGGAUAGGAUAUUUUUUGUGCUUUCAACGACCGCAUCAAAUCUUGGCGCCGUUACCGGGAACUGACAACGUACUAAUCUUAUUUUUCUCUUAUGACCAGAUCUGCUCCAGGUACUCUUGUGUUCGAUUCAAAAAUUGAGAAGGCUGCUAGAGCCAAUCGCAAUGAGACAAAGUUAUAAAAAAAAGCAGUAAGCUGUGGUUAGAACUCAAAGUAACCAACUGACAGAAAUCAAAGCCGACAACGAAGCUGAGUCUAGGGUUAACAAAAACCCUACUCAAACACUUGAAAGUGAAAAAGUAGAAGUCAACUCACCAGAAGAAGUGCUUAACGCUAAGAUUAAUGAAAACUCGAAUCUAGCACACCAACCAAUGGCUCAAACGAUUCGGCAACUAGCCGAAGCUCCGACAGAACAACCGCCAUUGUGCAUCACGUAUCCUACUGUGGAUACUAAUUUUGAGUUGAAGUUAGGUUUAAUCCAGUUACUGCCAACUUUUCCUGGGUUGCAAAAUGAAAAUCCCCACAAGCAUCUGAAAGAGUUUCAUAUGUUUUGUCUUAGCAUGGAACCUCAAGGGGUAACUGAGGAUCAGAUUAAAUUGCGUGCUUUCCCUUUCUCCCUAGUAGAUUUCGCUAAGAAAUGAUUAUUUUAUUUACCCCUAGAUCUAUUGAUAACACUCUAGAAUAACAUAUUUUUAUGUAUUAAUUAUGUAUUUAUUCUGAGUAUGAUCCUGCUAAUUUGAGCUAUUUAUGAUCUUUUAUCUCAUAGGGACUAAAUUUGAGGCAAAAGUGAAAUUAAGGGCCAAAAGCGUGAAUUUAGAGAUAAAAUGGGCCAAUGUGCGACACAAGGAAAAAUUUGUGCCAAAAGUGCAAGCAUGGAGGACACAAGGGUUGAAAUGCAAAAAGAAGAGAUUUUAUUUUAUUAAACUCUAUUUUAAUUAUAUUAGGAUAAUUAAUAUUGAGAUAAUUAUUAAGGAUUAUUUUUAGGAUUUUAUUUUAUCUUUAUUUAUCUUCAAUUAAAUGUAUUUAUCUUUUAGGAAUUUAAGUAGAAUUAGAAUAUCUCCCCUAGCACUAUAAAUAGGGGGUGAAGUGACUCAAAAGGGUAUCAUCUUUUUCUUUUUCUGUAAACACUCUCUCCCCAAAAGUCUAGGCUUUUGUUCUUUUCAUAUUUCUUUUCAAUAAAAUCUUUAUUUUUAUUUUAUUUAUUUUCUUUUCUACCACAACCAUGAGCCACUAAACCCAUCUAGCCGAAGGUUUUCAAAAAUCCCCAAAAAGGUUCUUGAGGCUUAGAAUUCGUACUUAGCCUUCUUGCUGAGUAUUCAUCGUUUCUCCGCACUACGGGGCUAACGCUUCCGUCCAAGUCCCUUAAGAAGUAAGUUUUUCAACAUAUGCAAAGGCGGCCGCUUUGUAUGUUUUGAGAAGGUUGCACAGUCGGUUCGUUAGCUUACUGCGUCAGAGGUUGGCGAGCCCAAGAGACAAAAUGGCGUGGGAUUCGCCAUUGAGAAGCGUUGAUCUAGCAUAAGGCGAUCUCACAGAAGCGAUUGUUAGCUAGAGUCAGGUUCCAUCAAAUCGUAAGUCUAAAUCAUUGGAGCUGGUGGUCGUAGGCGUCCUCUUCCACUAUAACUGGCUUAUUUGGUUUGGGAAGGAUCAUCUAAAAGCCGAGGAUUGAACCCAAGGCGGAACGAGACAACUGGAGGCUGGAAUCUCCCAUAAGAAUUUUCUUUCUCUUAACUUUAUUUUAAUUUCUCGAAUUUUCAAUUCAAUAUUCUUAAUUCUGUUUUUAUUUUAUUUUUCGUUUCUAGAUCCAACAAUUUAAUUCUGCUAUUGUUUUUAUUUUUUUUCAGGAACGCAGGUUGUCUUGGGCAAGACUCUGCUUGGGAUAUCACGGAACAAGAUAUUUUGCAAGUCCAGUCCCUGAGGAUUUGACCCUACUUCCCUUUUACUAUUCUUUUCAUUAUUUAUUAGGGAUAGGAUAUUUUUGGUGCUUUCAACGACCGCAUCAAAUUUUGGUGCCGUUGCCGGGGACUGGCAACGUACUAAUCUUGUUUUUUGUUUCUUAUGACCAGAUCUGCUCCAGGUACUCUUGCGUUCGAUUUAGAAAUUCAGAAGACUGCUAGAGCCAAUCGCAAGGAGACAAAGUUACGAAAAAAGCAGUCAGCGGUGGUUGGAACUCAAAGUAAUCCACUGCCAGAAAUUGAAGUCGACGACGAAGCUGAGUCUAGGGUUAACGAAAAUCCUACUCGAACACUUGAAAGCGAAAAAGUAGAAGUCGACUCACCAGAAGAAGUGCUUAAUGCUAGGGUUAACGAAAACCCAAAUUUAGCACACGAACCAAUGGCUCAAACAAUUCGGCAACUGGCUGAAGCUCCAACAGAACAACCGCCAUUAUGCAUCGCGUAUCCUACUAUGGAUACUGAUUUUGAAUUGAAGUCAGGUUUAAUCCAGUUAUUGCCAACUUUUCGUGGGUUACAAAAUGAAAAUCCCCACAAGCAUCUGAAAGAAUUUCAUAUGGUUUGUCUUAGCAUGAAACCUCAGGGGGUAACUGAGGAUCAGAUUAAAUUGCGUGCUUUCCCUUUCUCCCUAGCAGAUUCCGCUAAGGAAUAGUUAUUUUAUUUACCCCCUGGAUCUAUUACAACUUGGGCUGAUCUAUCUCGUUUGUUUCUGAACAGGUUUUUUCCAGCGUCUCGAGCAGCUGAGCUAAGAAGAGAGAUCAUUGGAAUAAGGCAAAAAGAAGCUGAGUCCCUUUACGAUUAUUGGGAGCGAUUUAAGAAGUUGUGUGCAAGCUGCCCACAACAUGGUAUAACAGAGCAAUCUCUCCUCCAAUACUUUUACGAUGGUUUGAAGCCCAUGGAGAUGAAUAUGGUAGACGCUGCUAGUGGAGGAGCAUUGGUCAACAUGACUCCCCAACAAGCGAGAGACUUGAUCUCCACGAUGGCUGCAAAUUCUCAGCAGUUCCGAGCCAAUACUGAACCCCCUAGAAGGGUUCAUCAGCUAAGUAAUUCAACCUUAGAGGAUAAAGUUGAUAGACUUACUAAUAUGAUGAAUUCUCUUAUUGUAGAAAAAGCGAAGACAGCUCGAUUAUGCGGAAUAUGUGCUACACCUGAUCACACAACUGAUGCAUGUCCCAGUUUGUAUGAUGAUGCCACGGCCCAUCUGGAUGCUGUUGGAAAUUUCCCUGGGCCACCACAAAGGCAGUACGACCCCUACGCUAAUACCUACAACCCAGGAUGGAGGGACCACCCUAACUUAAGUUAUGGGGCAAAUCCACGAAAUAACCAGCCAUACCAAAAUCGAUUUUCACAACAGCUGCAAGGUUCAGGUAAUUUUCUAGAAACCAUGGUCAAUAAGUUAGCAGCUAAUGUUCUUGAUUUUCAGCAGCAAAAUCUUAAUUUCCAAAAAGAGAUGAAGGAUUUCCAACAGAAAACUGAGGCGUCCAUCAGAGAGUUGACCACAUCGAUCGAGAAAUUAACCUCUCAAGGGAAGCUGUCGUCAUAAAUAGAACCAAACCCUAGACAAAAUGCAAAUGCAGUGACGUUGAGAAGUGGAAAGGUACUGGAAUCGAUUCCUGACAGGAAUCUUGCCCAAGAAAUUACCUAGGAAAAAACUAAAAAAGACGAACAGGUCCGACCGAAGCCUCUAUUGCCUAAAAUUCAACCUCCAUUUCCAGAACGAUUCAACCAGUGUCGAAGAGGUAAAGAGGACAAAGAAAUCCUCGAAACAUUUAGGAAUGCCGAGAUCAAUAUUCCGCUGUUAGAUGCCAUCAAACAAAUACCACGGUAUGCUAAAUUUCUUAAAGAGCUUUGCACCAACAAGCGAAAAUUGACAGGUAAUGAAAUGGUGAAUGUUGGUGAGAAUGUAUCUGCAGUGUUACAGCGAAAAAUGUCGGGAAAAUGCAAGGAUAGGGGCAUGUUUACAAUACCAUGCAAAAUAGGCCAUCUGGGAAUUAAAAAGGCUAUGUGUGAUCUAGGGGCUUCUAUAAAUGUAAUGCCAUAUUCUGUUUAUGAAUCACUUAACGCAGGUUUUUUGACAAAAACAGGUGUUAUCAUUCAAUUGGCGGACAGGUCUGUUGUGCAUCCAGAAGGAGUCCUUGAGGAUGUUCUGGUAAAAGUUAACGAGUUUAUUUUCCCUGUAGAUUUUUAUGUGAUCAAAAUGGAUGAGGAUAGCACUCUUGGAUCUUCAGAUCUCCUGCUGGGUCGACCGUUCCUUAGUACAGCAAAUACUAAAAUUGAUGUUCGAAGUGGAACUCUCACGAUGGAGUUUGAUGGGGAGAUCGUAAAGUUUAAUGUCUACAACGCCAUUAGCCAUCCAAGCGAAAUAUUGAGCGUAAAUCGUAUCGACAUAAUUGACUCUUUGGUGGAAGAAAAUUUUGAGCCAAUUUAUGGAGAUAAUUCUGAACUUAAUGAAAUUAAAUUUGUUAAUGAGUUAUUAUCUCCAAAUACUAAAUUGUUACCUUUUGUUAUACAGGCACCAGAGUUGGAGUUAGAACCCAUAGAACAGGCAAGGAAAUUAGACAUCCAAGAGUUAGAAGAAAUUCGCAAUGAUGCCUACGAGAAUGAUCACAUUUAUAAAGACAAAACAGAGUUGUUUCACGAUAAUAGAAUAGCUCAGAAGCGUUUUUCGGUAGGAAAAAAAGUUUUACUUCAUAACUCUGUGCUAAAGUUAUUCCCAGGUAAGCUUCGAUCACGAUGGCAGAGACCUUUUAUUGUUACUGAAGUGUUCACACAUGGAGCAGUUGAAAUAGAGAGUGAAGAAUCUGGAAAGCGGUUCGUAGUCAAUGGCCAGCGGUUGAAGCCAUUUUAUGAGAAUUUUCAAGCCCACACGGUUAAGAAAAUCCAUUUGGAACCACCAUAGAACCAAUAACGGCGUCGAGCUAACGACGUUAAACAAGCGCUUGUUGGGAGGCAACCCAAUUUUUAUUUUUUUUAUUAUAUUUUUUCUUUAUUUUCUUUAUUACUUUAUUUUAUUUUACUUAUUUGGAUAUUAAUAAAUUUUUUCUUCUUUUGCUUAGAUAAAACAAAGCAAAAAAAAGAAGCAAACCGUUAAGCAACACUUAAAGCGCAUUGAGGCCUGACUUGAAACCUUUGGCCAGCAACUGACCAAGCUCAUUGCCAUCAUUUGUGAUCAUACGGGGAGUUUUUCUAAACUUUUCUACCUAUUUAUUUCUUUUCGUCCACAUUGAGGACAAUGUGCUUUCAGUAGGGGGAGGUACUCUUCGUUAUUACUAUCAUUUUCUGCUGUGAUUUUGGUUACUGUUGCUGUUGCUGUGAUUAUUUUUGGCUGGUGUUGCUGCUUGAGGCUUGAUUUUGUCCAUCUCCUGCCUCUUUUCAUGCCCAAGAUUUUUACCAAGAAUUGCCUACUGUUUGACCUACAAGCAUGAUUCUUGUUUUCUGAGAAAAUUACGAAUUUUUCAUAAUUGAUGCCAUCUCCACUGUUUUAUUUUUAUUAGAGUAAAAAUAAUUGUGAUUCAUAAAUUUAACUUUAUCUUGCUUUUCGUAAAAAAAUUUAUUAUUAAUGUCAUUUAAUGUUCCGUGGUUAUGAGUGCAACUUAAAAACGUGACUGACUGAGUAACCGGGGUAGGGUGCUUGGGUUGUCAUUCUAUUUCGCGUCAAAAGGUUGUGUGACGUGUUAGGUAAAACUCCGCUAACCGGAAUUAAUUUUUAAGAACAUGUUGGGCUGAGUAACCGGGGUGGGGUGCUUGGCUGUCAUCUCUCUUCGCGUCAAAAGGUUUGAUGUGUUCUUAAGAAAAUUAUAAUAAAUUAGGAGUUUGCUGGGCUGAGUAACCGGGGUGGGGUGCUUGGCUGUCAUCUCUCUUCGCGUCAAAAGGUUCAGUAUAUUCCUAAAGCAUAAAAAAAACAAAAACAAAAAAACAAAAAAAAAAAGAAAAAAAUAAUUUGGGGACUAAAAGAGGAAACAAAUAGGGUGUCUUGGUAGGUUUGGUAAAUUACCUAAUUUUCAUUAAAUAAUUCAAGUUGAUUCUAAUUUUUGUGUGUAUUAAUUGAAAAACUUUUUUUGUUUUACUUAAAGCAAGCUUAGGGUUCUCUUUAUUUUUCAUAUGCAUUUUUGACUGAUUUUUAUAAAACUUUGGAGUUGUAUUUCUUUUAUGGCAGAAUCUAACUUUCACAGUAGAUAGGAACCAUACUUGAGGGCAAUCAUGGGCUAAGUAGGGGGGAUUUGAUAACACUCUAGAAUAACGUAUUUUUAUGUAUUAAUUAUGUAUUUAUUCUGAGUAUGAUCCUGCUAAUUUGAGCUAUUUAUGAUCUUUUAUCUCAUAGGGACUAAAUUUGAGGCAAAAGUGAAAUUAAGGGCCAAAAGCGUGAAUUUAGAGAUAAAAUGGGCCAAUGUGCGACACAAGGAAAAAUUUGUGCCAAAAGUGCAAGCAUGGAGGACACAAGGGUUGAAAUGCAAAAAGAAGAGAUUUUAUUUUAUUAAACUCUAUUUUAAUUAUAUUAGGAUAAUUAAUAUUGAGAUAAUUAUUAAGGAUUAACUUUAGGAUUUUAUUUUAUCUUUAUUUAUCUUCAAUUAAAUGUAUUUAUCUUUUAGGAAUUUAAGUAGAAUUAGAAUAUCUCCCCUAGCACUAUAAAUAGGGGGUGAAGUGACUCAAAAGGGAUCAUCUUUUUCUUUUUCUGUAAACACUCUCUCCCCAAAAGUCUAGGCUUUUGUUCUUUUCAUAUUUCUUUUCAAUAAAAUCUUUAUUUUUAUUUUAUUUAUUUUCUUUUCUACCAUAACCAUGAGCCACUAAACCCAUCUAGCCGAAGGUUGUCAAAAAUCCCCAAAAAGGUUCUUGAGGCUUAGAAUUCGUACUUAGCCUUCUUGCUGAGUAUUCAUCAUUUCUCCGCACUACGGGGCUGACGCUUCCGUCCAAGUCCCUUAAGAAGUAAGUUUUUCAACAUAUGCAAAGGCGGCCGCUUUGUAUGUUUUGAGAAGGUUGCACAGUCGGUUCGUUAGCUUACUGCGUCAGAGGUUGGCGAGCCCAAGAGACAAAAUGGCGUGGGAUUCGCCAUUGAGAAGCGUUGAUCUAGCAUAAGGCGAUCUCACAGAAGCGAUUGUUAGCUAGAGUCAGGUUCCAUCAAAUCGUAAGUCUAAAUCAUUGGAGCUGGUGGUCGUAGGCGUCCUCUUCCACUAUAACUGGCUUAUUUGGUUUGGGAAGGAUCAUCUAAAAGCCGAGGAUUGAACCCAAGGCGGAACGAGACAACUGGAGGCUGGAAUCUCCCAUAAGAAUUUUCUUUCUCUUAACUUUAUUUUAAUUUCUCGAAUUUUCAAUUCAAUAUUCUUAAUUCUGUUUUUAUUUUAUUUUUUGUUUCUAUAUCCAACAAUUUAAUUCUGCUAUUGUUUUUAUUUUUUUCAGGAACGCAGGUUGUCUUGGGCAAGACUCUGCCUGGGAUAUCACGGAACAAGAUAUUUUGCAAGUCCAGUCCCUGAGGAUUUGACCCUACUUCCCUUUUACUAUUCUUUUCAUUAUUUAUUAGGGAUAGGAUAUUUUUGGUGCUUUCAACGACCGCAUCAUCUAUUACAACUUGGGUUGAUCUAUCUUAUUUGUUUCUAAAUAGAUUUUUUUAAAUGUCUCAAGCAGCUGAGCUAAGAAGAGAGAUCGUUGGAAUAAGGCAAAAAGAAGCUGAGUCCCUUUACGAUUAUCGAGAGCAGUUUAAGAAGUUGUGUGCAAGUUGCCCACAACAUGGUAUAACAAAACAAUCUCUCCUCCAAUACUUUUACGAAGGUUUGAAGCCCAUCAAGAUGAAUAUGGUAGACGCCGCUAGUGGAGGAGCAUUGGUCAACAUGACUCCCCAACAAGCGAGAGACUUGAUCUUCACGAUGGCUGCAAAUUCUCAACAGAUUCGAGCCAAUACUAAACCUUCUAGAAGGGUUCACCAGCUAAGUAUUCAACCUUAGAGGAUAAAGUUGAUAGACUUACUAAUAUGAUGAACUCUCUUAUUGCAGAAAAAGCAAAGAUAACCCAGUUAUACGGAAUAUGUGUUACACCUGAUCAUGCAACUAAUAGAAGUCCCAGUUUGUAUAAUAAUACCAUGGCCCAUCUGGAUGCUAUGGGAAAUUUCCCUGGGCCGCCACAAAGGCGAUACGACCCCUACGCUAAUACCUACAACCCAGGGUGGAGGGACCAUCUUAACUUAAGUUAUGGGGAAAAUCCAUAAAAUAACCAACCAUACCAAAAUCAGUUUCCGCAACAGUCGCAAGGUUUAGGUAAUUUUCUAGAAACCAUGGUCAAUAAGUUAGAAGCUAAUGUUCUUAAUUUUCAACAGCAAACUCUUAAUUUCCAAAAAGAGACGAAGGAUUGCCAAUAAAAAACUGAGGCGUCCAUUAGAGAGUUGAUCACAUCAAUCGAGAAAUUGACCUCUCAAGGGAAGCUGCCAUCACAAACAGAACCAAACCCUAGACAAAAUGCAAAUGUAGUGACGUUGAGAAGUGGAAAGGUAUUGGAACUGAUUCCUAAUAGGAAUCUUGGCCAAGAAACUGCCCAGGAAAAAUCUGAGAAAGACAAACAGGUCCGACCGAAGCCUCCAUUGCAUAAAAUUCAACCUCUAUUUUCAGAACGAUUCAACCAGUGUCGAAGAGGUAAAGAGGACAAGGAAAUCCUCAAAACAUUUAGGAAUUCUAGAUCAACAUUCCGCUGUUAGACGCUAUCAAAUAAAUAUCGCAGUAUGCUAAAUUUCUUAAAGAGCUUUGCACCAACAAACUAAAAUUAACAGGUAAUGAAAGGGUGAAUGAUGGUGAGAAUGUAUCCUCAGUGUUACAGCGAAAAAUGUCGGCAAAAUGUAAGGAUAGGGGCAUGUUUGCAAUACCAUGCAAAAUAGGCCAUCUGGGAAUUAAGAAGGCUAUGUGUGAUCUAGGAUGUAAUGUCGUAUUUAAUGUAAUUUGGUCUUUAUAUUUUAGUUUUUAACGUAAUUUAGUCUUUAUAUUUUUAUAAUGUUAUCAAUUAGUUUAAAUAGUUAAUAUGGUUAACUUUUCUAUUAAAAUAUUACGUGGUUAUAUAUAAUUUGAAAGCAAUUUUUAAAUCCAAAAAGUAGGGGAUUAAAUUCUUAAAAAAUAAAAGUAGGAGGACUAAAUUUGAAAUGUAUGAAGUGUAUAUAGACAUAAAGCCAUGGUUGUUUGAACCAAGAAUUGACCGAGGUACUAGUCCAAAGAGAGGCAUUAGACCACUUGACUUGUGAAUCGAUACAAACAAAUUGAACCAGGUUAAAAAACUGAUUAUUAUUAUUAUUUUUAAUUUUUAUGAUUUUUAAUGAUUUAUUUAAUCAAACAAUACAAACUAAUAUCUGGUCAAUUCGAACCAAUUUUGAAAAUCUUACUUAGAAUAACUUUUACUCUUUAAAUUUUUAUUUUAUAAUUUAACACAAAUAAAAAUAACUAAAAGUGAACCAUGAGUAGAUGUAAGCAUGGGUCGUGCCGGGUUUAACUAAAAUUUUAGGCCCGUUUGCUAGGCCCAAAAAAUGGGCCUAAAAUUUUGCCCAAGCCUUACCCGGAUAAAAAUAUUAAACUUGGGCCCGACUCGGCCCGUCUCGCCCUAUUAAUUUUUAUAUUAAUUUUAUAUAAUUUUAAAAAGAUAUAAUACAUCAAAAAUGCUUAAAACAUCAAAAUAAAUAUUUUCCAACAAAUUGAAAACAAGUUUUAAAAAAUAUAUAUACUUAAAUAACACUAAUAUAAAUGCAACUUAACAAGCAAAUGUUUCUAAAAUAAUAACAAAAUUAACAAAUGUCUUUAAAAUAAUAACAAAAUUAACAAUAAAAUAAGUUUUAUACAAUAUCUAAACAAUAACAACAAAAUAGUAGCAACAUAAUAGUAAAAUGAUAGUAAAAUAGGGAGAAAAAAACAAGAAAAUAAUAUUAAAAAAAAGUAGAUUUUUUUUGUCCUUUAGUGGAUUCGGGUCGGGCUCGAAGCCAAAAAUACCUUACUCGAGGCCCGGCUUAUUUUUUUAAUGGGCCUUAUUUUUUAUCCAAACUCAUUUUUUGAGCCUAUAUUUUUAUCCAAACCCCCAUACAUUUCAACCGACCCGGCCCAUGAUCAGGUCUAACCAUGAGUGAACCAUACUAGCGUUAAAGAAAUAGGAGAUCCACAGUGGUACACGAGUUGCACAAAGGAAGGAACUACCAACUAGGGGUGGGCAUUCGAUUGAAUCAAAUCGAAUCGAAUCGAAAAUUUUCGAGUUAAUUGAGUUUUCGAAUCUCAUUUUAUCAUCCUAACUUUAUUUGAAGUUUUAUCGAAUCGAAUUGAGUGAGAUGAAAUUCGAAUCGAAUUGAAUCGAAUAUAUUUGUUCGAGUUAAAUUUUAAAAAAUAAAUUUAGUGUUGUUUAUUUUUAUGUAAUUUUUCAAAAAAUAAUUUUCUUUAAAGUUUUUAAACAUGAUCAUACAACAAAAAAUUGAAGUAAAUAAGUGAAUAAAUAAAAGCAACACAACAUCAACCCAAAUAAACAACAUGAUUCCAAAUAAACAACAAAAAUAAUACAACAAGAUUAUAAUAAAAAAACAUAAGUAAAAGUCCAAGUAAAUAGCAUGAGUCGAAAUAAACAAUUUAGGGUUUUUUGAGAAAAAUAAAUUUUAGGGUUUGAACUUUGAAUGGAAUGGAAACAGAGAGAAGAAGAAAAUAAAUGGGGGUUUUCAUGAUGGAAUUUGCUGGGGGUGAUCUGGGGGGAGAAAUUGGGAUUUGGGAAAUUAAAUCUUUAGGGCAUGGGCAAACGGGCUUGGGGAAGUAGGAAAAAAUAAAAUGUUUGGGGUUGGGAGAAAUUGGCAAUUAGGUUAAAUACUUGAAAGUAAUUAAGUAAAAGCCUAUUAAAACAUGGCUGUGUGUAAGCCUGUGUAGCUCCUAUGCCUUGCUUCAGUUUUCUGGUUUUCACUUUUUUUUCACUCCUUUUGCUCCUAAAUGCUCUUCUAAGUAUAAAAACUUGAAUUUAAAGGAUUAGGAGUAUAAAAUUCACUAUUAACAUCGAAUAAUCACCUAAAAAUGCAUUAAGAAUGAGAUUAAAACAUGUUACUUUUAGCAUUUAUUAGAAUUAUAAUGAUAUUUAUGAAAUUUUUAGUGUAGUAUUAGUUAUACUUUUUUUCAUAUUGGAAAGAAAUAUUUAAUUUUAUAUAGUGUGAUUUUUUUCUUUUAAUUUUUUUAUAGUUAAAUUGUUCAUUUUUAAAAAAAAUUAAAUUGAUUUGUUUGAUAAGAAAAAAAAUAUCCAAGAAGAAUUAACACUUUUUUACGUUAAAAGAAAGGCUGUUCGGAUUUAGAAAUUUCAUGCCCUUAGAGUAAAAUCCUAGAUCCGUCUCUGCUUCGAUAAAUCAUUCUAUCAUUGGAAUAUGGGAAUAAUUGUAUCUACAAAAUGAACAAAUUACAUGGACAAAGAUAAUAAAUUUUAGAAUACAUGUUCUUUGUAUUGUUUUGUUUGCAUAUGAAUUUAGAACAAUAAUCCAUGUAAAGCUUCAAACUUGAGUUUGUUAUUGAAUCAUUUGUUGUUUCGACCUUAUUCAUUUUCUUUUCAUUAUAUCUCUUGGGAUUGGUCUUCUUUUUGACUCUUGUUCAAAGUUCCAACAUAUCUCAUAAAGGAACGUGAGAUUGAGCUAUACUUGAUACAGGGGAAUUGUAGAGUAGCUAUACUUGAUACAGGGGAAUUGUAGAGUCGUUGCUUGCCAAUUUUAGAUUCCACAUUAAAAAUUCUUUUGGUCUUUGUUGAUAAGAAUUACCUACCCCUAUUGAAUUGGAAUUUUAAUGUGAACCAUUGUUUUAAUUUUUUCUUCCUCAUAUGACAUUCAAGUCUAUUUUGAAGUUCAUUGUUUUGCCUCUUAAUCCUUGUGUUCAAGUAAAUUUGUGUUAUUUACAAAUUUGUAGACAAAUUCAUGGUCGUUGCAUACAAUGACUUGUGUUAUUUAUGUUAUAUAUGCUUAUAGAUUUGUGUUAUUUGCAGAUUUGUAUGUGUUCAACAAAUUACCUUGACAUGUGUGCAUCAAGAGUGGUUGAUUUUGUUAGCUCGUUCAAACAAUCGAAAUAUUCAAGAGGAGGUGAAUUGGGCUUUAAAAACUCAUGAAAGCAAAAGAAUAAAGUAUGAAACAUUGAACACAAUAAUUUAGAGUAGUUCAACCCAAUUACCUACUCCACUACCUUGGCUUUCCACAAUUAAGGAUUUUCCAAAAUUUAUUAAUUUGAUGAACCUUUGAGGACAAGGUCUAUCUUUACAACUCACUUAAUAUUUCUACCCAAAUCUUUGUUAGUACAAAUCUCCUAUGAGGAAAAUCUCGAACACACGAACGGAACUCGAACAGAAAAAGAAGAAAUAGGAAAAAGCUCCAAGGCGUGUAUCAAGUCACUAUCUUUAAGGUUGUAUUCGCCCCCACGUAUCUUCGGUGUGCAAACAAGUUCCAAGUAAAUUAACCUCUGGGAUACAAUGAAGCCAAUGACUAUUUGCAUUUUGCAUUGACAAAGAAUAGCCCACUACACACUGAGCAAUGUAUGACAAGAAACUCAAUUUCUAUAAAGGAUUUCUGCAGUAAUACUUUAUAGAAUAAUCUAAUAAUAUUAGAAAAUGAAGGAAGGAAAAAAAAGAAUAUUACAAUUUAUUGGUAUAAUUUCCAAAUGAAAUCACAUUCCUAUUUAUAGGAAUUUUCAUGUCUCUUCAUAGAGACAUAUUUCAUCAAUAAGUGUCUUUCUGAAUAAUAAUAUCUUUAAAAACACAUAAUUAUUCAUUUAAUAUUAUAACUAUUCAAAUAAUAUUAUUUAAAUAGUUAUAAUUCUUUUUCAAAAAUCAAAUAAUAUAAUCUUUUGAUUAGUUACACCCAUUCAUUUAUAGUUAUUGGAACACUAUAAAUAUUUGAAAAUGUUCCAAUAAUCUCUCCCCAUUUUCAAAUUAUUUAGAUUUUGAUAUUCUUGGAAAUCAAUUUACAUAAAUGAAGGUAUCUUAUGAUUGAACCUUCUCUUAGUGAAAACACGUUAACGUUAAUCAAAAUUUCUUGUUAGACUAAGCUUUGAACCAACUAUUGCAUUUGAUUAAUCAAACACAUCCCAUACAAUGAUUUCAACAUCAGUCAAUGCAUAGUAUCUAAAGACACUAUUAUGGCCAUGUGUCUAUGUCCUCUUUUCAUAAGUGCUGUCAGAGCCAAGCGAUUGAGCUCCUAGAAGCGACCACACUUCCACUCAAAUAGGUAGAUCCCGUCAAGAAUGUUUAUGUAAUUAGAACACUCUAACAUAUUUAUGUUAUGGGUCCAUUAAGAGUACAUUAGUCAUACUUCCCUUAUCAUUACAGGUAUUUAGCACUUUAAUCUAAGGAUGGAUUUAUUUAUAGUGCUAACUGUCACAUACUAAUGAUGUUCUUUGUCUCAUUGAACUCAAGACUUGACAUUAUACCAAGUAUUGAGUCGAGUUUCCAUCAUGGAUGUCUCUAAUUAAUGGGCUUGAGUCCCAUCCCUUUUAAGGUCCUUUUUACUACAUCUCUAGUAAAACUUUUUGUCAAAGGAUCCGCUAAAUUUUCACUUGACCUUACAUAAUUAAUAGUGACCACUCCAUCAGAGAUUAAUUGUCAGACAUAACUAUGUCUUAAUCCAAUGUGUCUAGACUUUCCAUUAUAUACUUGACUAUAUGCCUUUGCUAAAGUAGCCUCACUAUCACAACGGAUAGAAAUAGGUGAAAUUGGCUUAGGCCAUAAAGGUACAUCAUAAAGCAAAUUUCUUAAUCAUUCUGCUUCUUUAGAUGCAGUAGCUAAUGCAAUAAAUUCUGCUGCCAUGGUGGAAUCAGUAAUACAUGUUUGUUUCUUGGAACCCCAAGAAAUGGCUCUUCCACCAAAAAUGAAGAUCCAUCCACUAGUAGAUAUAUGAUCAGUAAGAAAGUAGGUAUCCUUGAUAUAGUAAAAUGAGGAAAUAAAGUGACAAAAAGGGAAAUUUUGAAUUAUGGUAACAUUGGGAAGUAUAUUAUGACAUAUUAGUUCAAGAAAGGAUUAAAUCGUAAAAGUGAGAAAAGUUUUGUUGUUCAAGGGUAAAUAAUCAAAAAUUGAAGGGUUAAAGUGUAAAUAUGAAAAGUUGAAGGACCAAUGGUAUAAAUAUUUUAAGGGUGGAAUGAUCUAGAAACUAAGGAAAAUGGAUGGAUUAGGACUAAAUUGAAAAAGGUGAAGAAUUUUGAGGGACUAAAUCGUAAUUUUACCAAAUUAAGUGAUGACUCAAGGAUGGAAUUUUAAAAGAUCAUAAAGGGCAAAAUGGUCAAUUAGAAUAUAGAGAAAUCUAGAAGAUAAUGAUGAUGUUGGAGAUAUUUUAGAUUAAAUAAAUAAAUAAAUAUUAGUUUAUUAGUAUUUUAAUUCAAUUUUUAAAUGAUAUUUUAUUAUUUUAUUAUUAUUUUAUUUAGUAUAUAUACAUAUGUGUGGAAAGAAAGAAAAAAAAAAGCCACUAUCCCAUCAUUUUUCCAUGCAUCAACAUGAGAAGAAGAGAGAAAGAAAGGAAGUCUUACUUUCUUUACAAUUUGGUCCUUCCACAAAAAAUUCACCAUUUUCAUCUAGAAAUCAAAAGAAUUUCCAUAUAUCCAUCAAGAGAGAAAGAUAACAAUGAGACUAUGGGGAACUAGAAUAUCAAGUUGGAUUCAAGAAAUAGAAGCUGGAGGAGAGAGAAAAUCAAGUUAAAGAUUGAAAUCAAUAUGACAAGGUAAGAACAUCAAGAUUUUAAUAUAUUUUUAAGUUUGAUAUUAUUGAAAAAAUAUGGAAAUGAUGUUAAUGUAAAGUUUUCGUAUAUAUGGUCCUAUGUUCUUGAUAUGUUAGUGAAGAAAAAUAAGAGAAAGUGAUGAGAAAUAGUGUAGAGAAAGAAAAUAAGGGUGUUAUAAACAUGGUAAUAAACAUUUUGCACUAAAAUAGUUUUGGACAGGAACAGUAGACUCAAUUUGAAAUAUCACUAUAAAUUAUGAAAAUCGAACUAGAGUAUGAAUAAAAUAUGAAAUUAAAUCUUAUUGAGUCUAGUUUCUCAUAAAAGAAAUGGUGUAAGUAAUGGAAUUGUAAAUUAUGAGAUAUAAUAAAUUUUGUCAGACAAGGUCAGAAUGAAUUCGGGUUCCCCUGUUUUGAAUUUCAAAAAUCAUUAAAAAUUGUAAAAAAGUAAUUAUUGGUUAUAAUUUAUAUUUUUAAAAUCCUAAAUGAGUCUAUUUUCAAUAUAAACAAACAGGGACAUCAUCCGAAUUCUGUACAAAGAGAUAAUUAAUUUUUAGUGAAGAAGGGUUGGAACUAUCAGAGAGCAGAAUAGAGGUGAAUUUAAAGAAUAAACUGUACUUAUUGGCUUAACCAAAAAUUCUAAAAAUUUUAUAGUAAGAAGAUAUGUGAGUCUAGUUUCAGGAAAAAUUUUCAUAUCUUAAUUCGGUGUCCCAUAGCUCAAGAUAAAAAUAAUUUAGUGACAUGACUCGAGUGGACAGCUUUGAAUGAAUAUAUAAUUAAAUGGUGGAAUUAUAGAUAAUGUUACAUAUAGGCAUAUUAUACAUUAAGGAUGUGGAAUGGAGAGGAGGAGGAGGAGGAAAAAUAUAUGAUUAUUCAACCAGCAUGAGUUUUCAUUAAAAAUGGCUAAUUUGCAUGUUUUAGGUUCAGGGACUAAAUUGAAUAAAAGUAAUAUUUUAAGGGUAAAUUUGUAAAAAUGUCAAAAAGUGACCAAAUUGCAUGAAAUGAAUUGUUUUAUUAUUUAAAUUAAUAAAUUGAAUGAAAUAGUAAUCUAUAUCAAGAUUGGAUGGAAAUUCAAGGGAAAUAGAAAAUUACCAAAAUGUCCCUAAAUUUUGGUAUUUCUACAAUUUAGCUUGGUAAGUUUGUGUAACUUGAAUUAUAUUCUUAGAUGAUUGAAAUAUAUAUAUUGGAUUGAGAAACUGAAUUGAAUUGUGAACAUGAGAAAUUAUGAAUUUAAUGAAAUAGAAAUGAAGCUUUGAAUUACAUGAGUAAAUAUAGGGUCUUGUAGGCCCUAUUUGUUACGAAUAUAAUAUUUUGAGGAUAUGUUGUAAAGAAUUAUAAAAGCACGUUAAUAAUUUAAAAGUAUUAAUUCGGAUGAAAUUUUGUAACUCGGUUUAAUACGUAUGCAAAUGUAUGUCUUCUAGUAAUGCCUCGUACCCUAUUUUGGCGUCGAAUACGGGUAAGGGGUGUUACAAUGUGACAUCGCCAGAUUCGGUCAUAACGUUUAGACCGGGUUUGGGGUGUUACAUGAUCUUCCAAACUUGUAAUCCAACUAGCAUCCGAAUACCCUUCUAAAACUGGAGGAUAUCCACUAUAACACAAUCCAUAGUUAAUAGUUCUAUUUAAGCACCUAAGUACUCUAUUCAAUUGCCAAUGCAAACUACUUGGAUUACUUGUGUACCUACUCAAUUUCCCAACAGCAUAUGCAAUUUCUAGUCUUGUACAAGUCAUUAUGUACAUAAGACAACCAAUUAGACUUGCAUAUUUUAAUUGAUCAAUUUUCCUACCAGUAUUAGAUACUAAUUUUAUUUGAGGAUCCAUGGGUGUAGAUGCUGGUAUACAGUUGAAAAUAUCAAACUUUUUAAGCACAUUUUCAAUGUAACGUGAUUGUGAUAAAGCUAUAGUGCUUUCAUCUCAGGUUAUAUUAAUCUCAAGAAUAACAUCUACUACACCCAUACCUUCAUAGCAAAGUUGUUCGACAAGAAUUUCUUUGUGUUUUCUAUUUGUUCCAAAUCCGUGCCAAAAAUGAGCAUGUCAUCUACAUAUAAGCAAAUUAUGACACAUUUUCCAUUUUCAAAAUUGCUAUAUAUGCACUCAUCGGAUUCAUUUAUUUUAUAGCCAUUAGCUAAAACAACAUUGUCAAACUUUUGGUGCCAUUAUUUUGGUGCUUGUUUAAGUCCAAAUAAAGAUUUAACAAGCUUACAUAGCUUAUGCUCUUGUCUUGGAAUAACAAAUCCUUCCGGUUGUUCCAUGCAUACUUCAUCUUCCAAAUCACCAUUUAAAAAUACAGUUUUAACAUCCAUUUGAUGAACAACCAAAUUAUAUAUAAAGGUAAGUGAUAUUAAGAGUCUAAUUGUAGCAAUCCUUGCUACUGGAGCAAAGGUAUCAAAGUAAUUAAUACCUUGUUUUUGUGUAAAACCUUUGGCUACCAACCUUGCUUUAAAUUCAUCAAUGAUUCCAUCAACCUUCAUUUUCUUUUUGAAGAUCCAUUUACAACCUAUUGGUUUGGAACUCGGUGGAAGAUCAACUAAGAUCCAAGUUUAAUUUCCUAUUAUUGAAUCCAUCUCAUCAUUUAUUGCUUCUUUCCAAAAGGCAGAGUCUUGAGAUUUCAUUGCCUCUUCAAAUGUAAUAGGACCACAUUCCGUAUUAUAACAAUAAGGUUUCUUAUUGCAUAUACUUUCGCCCUUUCCUUAUACAAGAAACAUAAUGAAAUCUGGUCCAAAAUCUUUGACCUUUUUAAUCCCCUUACUUCUUCUUAAUUCUUGACAAGAUUCAUCAUUAUUAUCAAUUUGUUCCAAUGGAAUCUCAUUCUCAUUUGAAGAAUGAAUCACAUUGUUGUGGCUAUAAUUAUCUUGGUAUAAAAUUAAAUCUAUUUUCAUCAAAAAUAGCACCUCUUGAUUCAAUAACAGUAUUAAUUGAAAUUGAAUCAUUUGGUUCAAUUACCAUGAACCUAUAUGCCUUGUUAUUAUGUGUAUAUCCUAUAAAUAUGCAUUCAAUUCCACUUUCAGCUAACUUUUUUACGUUCGGGUGUUAGAAUUUUGAUAAUAGUUCUACAACCCCAAACCUUCAAAUAAUUAAAGUUUGGUUUCCUUUUCUUCCAUUGUUCAUAAGGGGUUAUUUAAGUUUCCUUAUUAGGAACUCUAUUCAAUAUAUGACAAGCUGUUAGAACAACUUCUCCCCAAAAACCUUGUCCAAGACCUUAAUAUGAUAACGAUGAAUUUACCAUUUCAGUCAACACUCUAUUUUUCCUUUCAGCUACACCAUUUUGUUGUGGUGUGUAAGGGGCUGAAACUUGAUGGACAAUUCCAAUGGAUUCAAAAUAACUUGGAUUAUAGUAUUCUCCACCUCUAUCCGAUCUUAAGCACUUGAUAAAUGAUUCACACUGAAGUUCAACUUCAAAUUUAUAAACUUUAAAUUUAUCAAGCACUUCAUCUUUUAAAUGCAAUAAAUAUACAUAACAAUAUCUAGAACAAUCAUUAAUAAAAGUAACAAAAUAUUUCUUUCCACCUAAUAUAGGAGUAUUAUGCAUGUCACAUAAAUCACUAUGUAUCAAACCAAGCAAUUUUGUUUUCCUUUUAACCUUAGGGAAAGGUUUCUUGUAAUUUUAGUCAACAUACAUGUAUUGCAUUGUUCAAUAUUAUUAUUAAAAACAAGAAUUGAAUCUAACUUAUACAUGUCAUUCAUUUUUCUAUAAUUCAAAUGACCUAAUCUAUAAUGCCACAAACAAAAAGAUCCAACCAUAUAAGCAGAAAUAGUAUUUUUAUUUUUAUUAAUAAUAUUGAGUUUGAACAUACUCUCAUACAUAUACCCUUUCCUUACAAAAACUCCUCCCUUAGACAAAAUAAACUUAUCUACCUCAAAAACAAGUUUGAAGCCAAACUUAUUCAACAAACUUCUAGACACUAAAUUCUUCCUAACUUCUGGUACAUAAUAUAAAUCAUUUAAGGUUAAAAACUUUCCAGAAGUGAAUUGUAGUUUAACAGACCCUUUGCCUUUGAUUGCUGCGGUGGAAGAAUUUUCCAUGUACAAGAUGUCAUUUUCACAUUGUGUGAACUUUGUGAACAUGCUUUUGUCUUUGCACACAUGUUUGGCUGCUCCGAUAUCAAUCCACCAUGUAUUAUCAUCUUGUGCCAUAUUAAUUUCAGAUAUCAUUGCAAUGAACUUUUCGUUAUUAUCAGCCUUAGAAGAUGAUUUCUUCUUUAAAAAUUGACAUUCAUUCUUGAAAUGUCCCGACUUACCAUAAUGAUAGCAUGAGCCCUUUUGUUUCUUUUUGAACUUAGGUUCUCUAUCAGUUUGUUUGAACUUAUUCUUGAAUGGUUUAGUAGUUUGUACUUCCUCUGUAACAUGCACUUUGGCAUUUUCAGAAUUUAGGUUCUAGUAUUGCUUUCGAUUUUCUUCUUCAAUACGAAGAUGAUUUGCCAAAGACUCAAGAGAUAUUUCCUCUUUCUUAUGUUUUAGACUUCUUUUAAAGUCUUUCCAAGAUUGAGGAAGUUUGUCUAUUAUGGAGGAUACAACAGUCAUUUCAUCCAUUUUCAUAUCAUAUUGCUUGAAUUGAUUCAGCAUUUUUUCAAUAUCACGGAUUUGUUCCAUAACAAAAUGACCAUCAACCAUUUGAUAAUUAUUGAAACGACUGGCAAGAAAUUUCUUACUUGUAACAUCUUCGAUCAUGUAUCUUGUCUCCAAUUUGUCCCAUAAUUCUUUAGCCGUGACCUCGUUUUGGUAAGUGUCGAACAAACCAUCAGAUGAACCAUUCAAUAUGUGGCCCAUGCACAUGUAAUCAGCAUUGUCCCAUUUUUGACUUUCUCGGGUUGCUGCAACAGAUUCGUUAUCAUUCUCUUCAGGUCUUGGAGUAUCCAAAACACAAACAAUCUUCAAAGUUGAUAAUAAGAAGUGCAUCUUUUCUGCCAUCGUCGAAAAUUACCACCAUCAAACCUAUCAAGUUUGACAAAGCUGGAAGCCAACUCCCUUAGUGUUCCACUUUCAUAUGUUGUGGUAGUCAUCAUGAAAUAUAACCUAAAAUUGUUAGUACAAAUCUCUGGUGAGGAAAAUCUCGAACACACGAACGGAACUUGAGCAGAAAAAGAAGAAAUAGGACAAAGCUUCAAUGCGUGUAUCAAGUCACAAUCUUUAAGGUUAUAUUCUCCCCCACCUAUCUUCGAUGUGCAAAUGAGUUCCAAGCAAAUUAACCUUGAGGAUCAAAUGAAGCCAAUGACUAUUUGCAUUUUGCACUGACGAAAGUGGCCCACUACACACUGGGCAAUGUAUGACAAGAAACUCAAUUUCUAUAAAGGAUUUCUGCAGUAAUACCUUAUAAAAUUAUCUAAUAAUAUUAAAAAAUGAAGGAAGGAAAGAAAAAAUAUUAGAAUUUGUUGGUAUGAUUUCCAAAUGAAAUAUUAUUCCUAUUUAUAGGAAUUUUCAUGUCUCUUCAUAGAGACAUCUUUCGUCAAUAGGUGUCUUUAUGAAUAAUAAUGUCUUUAAAAUAAACACAUAAUUAUUCAUUUAAUAUUAUAACUAUUUAAAUAAUAUUAUUUAAAUAGUUAUAAUUCUUUUUCAAAAAUCAAAUAAUAUAAUCUUUUGAUUAAUUACACCCAUUCAUUUAUAGUUAUUGGAACAUUAUAAAUAUUUGAAAAUGUUCCAACAAUCUUAAGAUACAAACCCUCUCAAAAGAGCAAAAAAAAAAAAAAGAGCAAACUAAGAAAUAUUCCUUACAAGAUUAGAAUGUGUGCCAAUUAAGCACUAAUACAAAGAAAAACAUUUGAGUUGAUGGAAAACAAUAAAUACUCACAAGUGUAUUCAAGAAAUAAUGAAGAAUUUUAAGUACAAAGGUUGAUACUUAAUGAUAAAUAUUGAUUUUUUUACUUUGAUAAAAAAAUUCCAUAAUGACAUCUUUGUAUCGAUACCAAGAAUAGGUAUCGAUAAAAAUGUCUAGAUAUCGAUAUUUAUUGAAAAUAUCGAUACUUGUUAUUUUUGCUCAAUGUUUCUGGACUUUGAAACUUAAAAACAAUUUUAUAAGUAAUAGAGAGCAGUUUUUUACUUGUUUAAAAUUUGUUCAAAGUAUUUUCUGAGUGUUCAAAGUGAUUCUCAAAGUGUUUCAAAAUUUUGACUUUAAACUUCAUUAAUUUUUAUUAAAAAAUAAUUUUUAUUCAAAAAUAUUAUAUUUAUUAUAUCAAAAUAUUUUAUGAAAGCUUGGUUUAUCAAGUUUACAUCAUGCCAAGAAAUUUGAAUCAUUUAGCUUUUGUUGUAUAAAUGACUUGGUUUUGGGAAUUUGAAACAAAAAUGUUGUUUUGGAAAAACAAAAUUAUAUUAACUCUAUGUUCAAAUUUGUAUAUAAAAAAAUAUGCUUAUAUAUAUACAUGUUAGAUUGUUUUGACAUGUGGCUGACUUGAUUAAAAAUAUAUAUACAACUUGUAAACAUAUAUUCCAAACAUACAUACAUACAUAUAGAUAGAUAUUUCAUUUGUAUAUCACAAUAAUCAUAACAAGUAAUUCUAUAGAUUGUUUGUGUUUGAUUGAAGAUGAAUAUUUCAUUGUAUAAUAGUUUUUGAAAUUAAUUAAUGAAAAGGAUUGUUCUUUUAGUUAUGAAAAUAUCUAUGUUUGGUUUAUUUCACCUAGAAUAAUUUUCAUAAAAUGUUUACAUAAAAUCAACUAAUUAUACUAAAAAAAUCACAUUUUUUAAAAAAUUAUACUAUUUUUCAACCAAUGCAACAUAUAAAUAUAAAUUAUGUUCCAUCGUCUAUUGAAAUAAUAUUACCAAAGUUCAAUCAAUGCAUCUAUGCUUUAGAUGCUAAAGUGUGGAAUCAAAAUAAAGAGUUAAAAGACUGGAAUAAAAUCUUGCAAAAAAAAAAAAACCAUUCUGGAACUGUUGCUAACCGCUGAAGGCUGAAGACCCUGGAAUUUGUAUCCACUAGCGUUGAGACUUUUCUUCUCCAGUUGCAGAUGCCAUGGACCUGGUCACUUCGAGAUUUCAUUUUCGCCUGAUUUCUUGUUUCCUGUGAUAAAAGGAAAAGAUAAAAAAUGAAUCUUGCAUACACUUACUCUUCAUUAAUUUGAUCCUGCGGUUAAUAUAUCAAAAUAUUUCCAAAUGAAAUGAAAGUAUAGCAUUUGGACAAGUGAGAACUCACUCUUGAAGGAGACAGCUUCAGGUGUUUCUGUAUCGAUUUUUACGUCGCUGCCCAUUUUAUCCUUAACGUAAUCUACAGACCAUUCCAUACCUGUCAAGGUUAAUUUUGUUAAGCUGGUUAAUUUCUCCAGACCAUCAACCUCUUUUAGUUGAUUGCAGUAUCUGAUCUCAAGAUUCUCCAGGACUGGCAUGGUGCCAUCCUCCACAAUCCAAUGCUGCAGUUCCACCAGCUUCCACAAUUUCAAGGCUUGAAGCUUAGGAAACGUGUUCCUACAAACCAUAGUUUUCCCCAAGAAGGAAUGACCAUAGAGCCUAAGGACCUUCAGUUCUUUCAGCUCCGCAAGCAUUUCCAUUGGAUCAUCUGGUAAAUAUGACCCUGACAAAGUAAGGACUGAGAGACUUCUUGGAAGUUCACCAAGUAUCUUUCUCGGCCCUGUUAGUUCUCCAAGCAGAUAUAAUUUACGCAAGCUCUUGAGCUUGUUCAUGCUCUCCAAUUCAAGUUUUGAAGACUCGUGUCUUUCACUUACUGAUCUCAACUUCAAGGACUGAAGAUUUGUUAGUUCUGAAAGCCAGGCAUCUAUAACUUCCAUAGAUGAUUCAUAGCACGUUAAUUUCAAUUUCCUUACACCAACCAACCUGUUCAACUGGUUGUGCAUCGGGAUCUGUCCUCGAAUUUUCAAUCCCCAUAAAGUAUGAAGGUUAGUUGAAGAUCCCUCAUGAUCACAUCCCUUCUGAAUGGACAAGUCAACAUAAACUUCACUCAUAUAGAGAUGCCGAAGCUUCUUUUCCUCCCAAAUGGUGCUUGGUAGAGUGGUUAUAUUAGUAUGUUUUACAUCUAAAGACUGUAAACGAGGGAGCUCGGCAACUGACUUUGGGACUGAAUCCAAAUGAGUCCGUCUUAAACCCAAAUACUUUAGGCAAGGCAGUCUUCCAAUAUCCUCAGAAAGCGCUGGUUUAUAAACACCUUCUAGAUCAAGCACUACAAGCUUUCCAAAACGGUCCUUGACAAUCUUUUUGAGAAGGUCUCCUAUCCCAUCUGCAGGUCUAUCUCCUUUUCUGUCGUAGAAUGAAAUGUAAGAACGUAGAUUUGUCAUGCUGUGUUUUUCAUGCUCGGUAUGGAUGAACAUUUGUAACCCAUCUGCAAGCCUCCGGAUAGGGAUAUUAUACGGUGUUGUAUCGGAAUUGGAUGCGGUUGAACUGCUGCGAAUGCGAUGUAUGUGGAAAAAUCCAAAGUUCUCGGCAUUUGGAGACAAAGCAUCGUGUAAUGCAUUCGGUAGGAGACAUGUUUUGGGGCUUCCAUCUAAGCUCCAUUUAACGAUCUGAACCAAAUUUCUGCUUUCUAGUUGUACAAACUGUUGCAUGGCCAGCUCUUCCAGAGUUUUUGUGUUCCCUUCUGGUGGUAUGAUCAGUCCUUCAGCAAGCCAUAUGAGAAGCAACCUUCUUAUUGGGAUCUCAAAUGAUCUGGGAAAGAGACCCAAAUGAAGAAGACAGUGAUUUAAAGGGAAGCCUAGGCGCUUAUAGGACUCAUCCAAUGUCUUGAGAGGAUUUUCUUCAGUAUCACUGGAUUUUAGCCUCGCAUCAUUUCCUUCUAUCUUCUCUGUCCCCAAAGAAGCCUGUUGAUUGAACUGACCUGCCAAUAGACCUAUCGAAAGAGGUAGACCACGGCCUCUUUGCAUCAAAUCUGACGGCACGUGCACACUUUUUUGUACCUUCUUUGUGAACAAUUUACGACUCUCAUCCUCAUUUAACGGGCGUAGUGGGAGAACUACAGCUGGUGGAUUCAUAUUGUACGCUAGAUACGCCUUGCGAAGGGUGAGGAUCACCCUGCUACCGUUGGAUGAAUUCGGGAGGACUUUAAUGAGUGUAUUCUUCCAUAUCUGAGGCGUCUGUAAAUCAUCUAAAACUAUCAAAUAUCUCUUCCAAUUCAAGAAAAGGUGAAACCUUCUUUGUAGUUGCUCAAUAGAUAAGCUCUGUUUCUGCUUUUUCUUCAUAAGUUGUCCCAAUAAAUCAAGCAGGAGAUUUCUUUCAUCAUAUUCUUGCGGAACAGUGAUCCAAGCCCGACAAUCAAAGUGCUGCUUCGUUGCAAUGCUGUCGUAAAAUGCCCUCACAAGAGUUGUCUUGCCAGAACCUCCCUCACCUAGCACCGAAAUCAGAUAAUGCAAUCGGUAGCUACUUAGUGCGAGUUUCGCUAAUUCCUCUAUCGUAUCCCUCAUCCCUAUGAUUUCAGACUCGUUUUCCAUGAUAUCAGAAACUGAAUUCCACAGUUGUGCAACCUUUCGAUCUACAGUAUCUUCAUGCAGCUGUUCUAAAUCUAAAUCAGGUAACAACUCUAUCCCGGGAGUCAUUUGAAAGACCCAAGAAUUGGUUUUCCGUGCUAUAUCUGCAUGAGGUACAGUAAGAAUCACCCUGCUACCAGUCAAGGAGUUCGGAAGGGAAAUUUUGAGACUUUCCCAGACACUGGAUGUCCAGACAUCACAUAGAACUAUUAGGUACCUCUUCUGAGCUAAGAAAUUGCAAACCAUUUGUCGCAUUGGCUCAAGGGAUAGUUUAAUUUCCCUGACGCCUAUUUGCUUCCAAAUUUCAACUAAAACAUCUAUUUCUUCGAACUCUUCUUGAACAUGGACCCAAGCAGAGCAUUCAAAAUGCUGCUUGACUUCUUUUUCAUCACAUAUUUCCCGCAAUAGAGUACUCUUGCCAACACCCACAAUUGAAAUGAGAAACAGCAACCUGUCAGAAUUGAGGACCGAUUGCUUUAGCUUACUCAUUGCAGCCUUUAUGGCAAUAGUGCUAGAAUCAUUAUCCAAAUAAGUAAACGAUUGAGGCCAUUCUUCUGAAGCAUGUAUUAAUGCUGCAUCACCAACAACACCAUUUUCUCCAAUGAUCCGUGAACUAUUCUGAAUUGCAAGAAUCACCCGACUACCAUUAAAAGAGAAAGGAAAGGCAGGUUUGAGAUCGUUCCAAAUACUUGCCGUCAAAGCUCCAGAUAAAACUAUCAGAUACCUCUUCCCAACUAAGAAAUCAUGAAGCACCUUGUCUACAUGAAGCACCUUGUCUACAUGAAGCACCUUGUCUACCUGUUCCUCUAAGAAAACAUGAAGCACCUUGUAUACCUGUUCCUCUUUCGUUUUGUUAUGCUUAACUUGUUCUAAAAUGGCUUGUAAGAUAUCCUUUGCUUCAUACUCUUUACGAACAUGGACCCAAGCAAUGCAUUGGAAAUAUUGUUUGAUAUCUUCUGAAUUGUAGACUGCCCACAAAAAAAUUGCCUUACUUGAGAAUGCAACUAAAGCCUUGAAGAUGAGAUAUUGAAGCAUGCAUCGACUAUGGACCGGCUGAGCUAAUUUCUUUACUAAAUCAUCCAAAACGAUCGUAACCGGUUUCUUCUCAAACCAUUUUUGGCCAUGAAUUUCAACUUCUGGUCUAACUCCCACAACUUUUGGGCUAGUUGGCUGACCUUGCUUUAUUACAGCUUCAGUGUUAGUCAAUGACUCAUUUGGUUUAACUUUCAUUUGCUCUCUUACUUUGUCCUUCAAUUUCCCAAUCUUUUUUCUUAAUCGCCUUUCGCUCAACCAGCACUUGAUUCUCUCGGAGUUAUACUUCAUAUUGAAACCUCUGUGGAAUUGCAGUAUCAUAGUGUCCGAGAAGGAGUCAAUCAUGUCCUCCACAAGAUAGAUAUCCUUGACAAGCUUCAACCAGUCAUCGAUAGUUUUUUUGUCAAGUACUUGGACGCUCACAGCACUUUCCAAGGAUUUCUGCAUUUCUUGUAGCUCAUUUAUGGAUUUUUCAACUUCACUUUUCAAAUUUGGAUUGCUAGAGAGCAGACGUAAUUUUCGGCUCAAAUGUUCAGUUAUUUCAACAGCCAUGGAGUCUCAGUUAUCAAUCUUUAAUUCUUCUUUUCCUUUAUAAUAUGUGGCUUAACUUUGUCAGUGAUGUCCUGCAUCCUGCUAAAAUACAAUUCUUUAAUUAGUGAAUGAGGUUUGAAGAAGUUGCCUGCCUAAAAUACAUAAAUUUUUAUGCCAAUUAGGCCUUAAUCAGUCUUUCCUAAUUUCAUGAUGAGAGAUCUCCUAACUUCAGCUACUAAAGUUUAUGAUAAUUUAUCAUAUAACAAGAGAGCUAUAUAAAAGGAAAACAGACAAAUUUGGUAAGUUGUGUUAUCCGUGUGUUUGUGUUCUUCAUGCUAAGCAAUUGCGUAAACAAAAACAUUGUAGUUAUUAACAUACAUGAAUUUUUUUCUAAUAUGCAAUAUUAUACAUAAAAUUUUAUUUUAUACAAUUUUAUAAAUAAAAUUUUGAUUUAAUUUAAUUUUUACAAAUCACUAACAAUAUAUCGAAUUAGCACCAUCUUAAGUUGGGUAUUACAUACACCAACAGUUAUAUUAAUCCAAUAUGAAAAUAAAUAUAUGUAUUCAUUUUUUUAGAUGUAUAUAAUUGAAUUAAAAUUAAGGCUUUACGUAUACAUAUGAACCACAAUUCAAGUUUCAUAUGUAUAAUUAUACUAAAUAAAAGUACAUAUGUAUCAAAUUACACAUUAAAGCAAAAUUCAUCUAUAAAUAUGAUAUUUAUCCCCAAAAUCAUAAAAAAAAUUUAAAUGUGUUAAUAGUGUUUAAAUGGUUAUUUUUACCUUCAUUGAACAUAUAGUAUUCUCAUAACUUUUGUUAAGGCUUAGCUCACAAAUUGAUACUUAAUUUUUUUUUUUUAGCUAACUUUUUUUGUCACAAGUGAUAACUAAAAUUUUUCCCCAAAAUUAAUGCCUCCUUAAAUCAAGCAAUUAAAUUUAAUUUUUUAAGAUAAACUAACCUAUAAAUUAAUACUUAAACUGCGCAUUUUUUUUUCUUAUUUUGGUAUUUAAAUAGCCUCAUUGUACCUAAUUACUUUUUCCCCAUGUAAGUACUUAGAUUAAUUUAUUAGUUAGUUAAAAAUAUUCCGUCUAUUUUAAAAAAAAAAACAUUUCAAGAUCAACAUGUAGCAAAAAAAAAAAAACAAAAUGUUAUAUUUUCUCUUAUAUAUAUAUAUAAUAUUUUCUUUUUUCUUUUUUCUUUCUUUAGAAUUGGGCCAAUAGUAGAAUCGAUCAAAUACUAGUUCUCAGUUUGAUCAAUUUGUUCAAUUCAAUUAAAUAAAUUUAUAAAAAUUUAUAAAAAUAUUUUUAAAAUAGAGAAAACUGAUUCAACCGGUCUAUAUCGGUUGACGAAUCAAUCAUUUCAACCCCUAUCUUCAAAUCAAUAUCCCAGCCAAUUAUUGAUUCAACCAACCAAUCCAGUUCUAAAAAUAAUAGUUUUGAUCAAUGAAAUAACUUUUCCAAUCCUGUCAAGUCGAGCCGAGCAAACAGAAGGUAAAGUUUAAAAACAUAAUUAAUUGUGAGCUUUUCAACCUCAGAAGGGUGAAUUUCAAACAAUAUUAUAAAGGAAGAAGAAAAAAAUAUAAAGAUAGAGAAAUAAUGUAAAGGAAAAUUAAAGAAUUAAAGAAUAUUUUUCUAAGUUUAUAUGAAAUGGCAAUUUGUAAUAUUUUUUAAUGGAUAUAUCAUUUUAGUAUAAAAUGGAUAAUUAAAUAAUAAUUUAGGCACUGAUUGUGAUCCAAAAAAUAUUUAGAUACUAAAAGAAAAACAGUAUAAAUUAGAUACUAAUUUGUAGGUUGAUUUUUUUAAAUAAAUUUAAGGGUUUGACUAACAUUGGACUAAUAAAUUAUGUACCAACUUGAAAAAAAAUUGUUAGUUAAACUUUUAUAUAUAUAUAAAAUCAAAACUAACAUUCUGGAAUUUUGAUUUCAAAAAAUGAACUUAGAUUUGUAUAAAGCAACAUCUAAUCCUUAAAUGAUAGAUAUAUAUAUAUUUUUUUUGAAUUUGAUCUUUAAAUUUUUUUUGUUUAUAAUAAUUUCAUAAUUUAAUAAUUCUUUCUAUUUUGAUCCUUAAACUUUGAUUCCGUUAAUAUUUAAUGUUAUCUCCUAAAUAUUAAUAUACUAGUUUUUUUUUUACUCAAAUAUAUGCGAGCUUGAUUGUACAAAAUAGUUAAAAUUAUUUUAUAAUUUUGUAUAAAUUUAAUUUAUGAUUGGUAAAAUAAAUAAAAUAAAAUCAUUUUAUAAUUUUUUAUAAUUUUGUAAUCCAAUAUUUCUAAAUUUGAUAGUGUAUUUUUAAAUAAGUAAAAAGAUAGUUUUGAAAUUUGAAAUAAAUUGCUUAGGCAUAUUUUAAGUUUUAAGAUAAUUUUAUUUUAAAUUCGAAAUAUAAUUUUUUAAAUUAAAAUUAAAAUCACUCCACUUAUAAGUCAACCAAAAACAAAAUAAGGAGAUGAGAAUUUAAAACGUAAAAUUUGCUUUUUAAUUUCAUUUUUUUAAAUCUUUACUUCCUUCUUUUUCUUUAAGAAAAAUAUUUUUAAAUUAAAAAAUCUUAUCCUACAUAUCAUUUAAAUAUUAAUAAUAAUUUUAAUAAAUAAUUAUAAAUAAGAACUUGGAAUUUCCAAAAAUAAAAUUUUAAGUUAUAAUCUAAAUAACACUUUAUGGAUAAUGAAAAAUUAUAAAAAUUAUCUUUUAUAAAAUGAUAUAAAAUAAAUAAAUAAAUAAAAUCAUUACUUGGCAUCAUUUUAUAAUUUUGUACCUUGUUAUAUUAUAUGAUAUAUAUGGUACAUAUAUAACCUAAAAAUACAAAAAGCAAUAUUAAAAUAUUAUUAAAAAUAAUAUUUUAAAAAAAAAGAAUUAUUCGAUGAUGUAAUACAAUAUAAAAGUGCUCAUACAUUAAAACUUAAUUAAUAAGAAUAGCAAAAACAAAUGAAGUAAAAUACCAUAAAAAGAUACAACAAAAUCAUAUAUUUCCUAAAUUCUUAUAACAAGUGAACAAGAAAGAAGUAAGAAGAGUGAGAUUACGUACCGCUAAGUACGAGUGUUGAGGGUGCACCAUUGCAGAUUGUCGUCUGCAAUUCGAACUUCAGGCCAUAGUUUUUAGCUGAUCUGGCCACAAUAGCUUCCCGGAGACCGCCGGUUAAGCUAGGAAAGUGAGAGAAAUAAAGUAAGAGAGAUUAAGUGUUAGGCACAUGUAAAGAAGAGCUGUAAAAUAAGUCCAGUCAAGGAACGUGUUCUUUUACUAAAGAAAAGGAAUGUUUGAAAUGGGAUUAAAUUGUUUCAGUGAAGCAACAGAUUGCUUUUUAUUGGAAGUGAUGUAAAAAGAAGAAAAAACAAUCAUAAUUCAGUAUUUUUAGAACAUCAUAAUGGCUGAAAUGCUCACUUUUGUUUCAAAAGACCAUGAUGCAAGGCACUGGCGAAUCUCGAGAGGGCUUCCAUGGUCCUGGCGCCCCUAAAAUGUAAAAUUAUUAUUUAAUCCUUUAUAUUAUUCUAAAAUUUUUAAAUUAAUAGAUGAAGGUAAAAUUAUAUUUUAAUUCUCUUAAAAUUAUAAAAAUUCGAUUAAUUCUUUAAAAAUAAUAAAGAUAUAGACUAAAUAAUUAAAUUUUCAUAACAUUGUUCUGGCUUCGCCUUUUUUGAUGAGAAUAUUUUGACUAAAAUAUGCAACAAGUUGUUGUAUUCCAUCGGUCCUUAGGAUUGAGGGGCUUUAACCCUAAAGUUUUUAAAUUUUCAUUAUACCCUUAAAAUUUUUUUAAAAUUUUAAUUUUCUCAAAAAUUUUUGAAAAUUCUUUGUAUACCUUUCAUAUUUUUUAGUUACAUCUCUACCAAUGUGAGUAGUUUUUUUAAAUUUCACAAUGUCAUACCAUCCAAUUUGAUAAAAAAAAAAGUGACUAUGUUAACAGUUAGACCUUAAUUUUAAAACUUGAAGAGUCUGGGUAUAAAUUCUAAAAAAUUAAAAGUAUAGAAAUUAAAAUAUAAAUUUAUAAAGAGUAAAGCAACCUAUAACAUAUUUUAACCAUAUAUUUUUAUAUAAAACUUCUUCAAUUGAGUGUCCCGGUUAAAAAGGUUCCAAUUGCUUCUUCUUUUUCCAAAUAAUUGUUUGGCAAGUUAAUUUAUAGGGAAAAGCAAUUUCUAAUUUGCAAAAUCGGGGGUGGAUAGGAAAGUGAAGGUACAUUAGAGUUCACACCAUUACGUUGCCUUUGUCGACUGAAAAUUUUCAGCUUCACACAACCUAAAAAAAUUCAAGAAAGACCCGGUUUUCCGGCCAAAGAAAAACCUAAUUUCCCGAUGGUCAUAGCAGUGAUAGGCCCCUCAAGCAGGGGCGCAGUGGCCAGCGAGCUUGCCAAACACCUCCAUUUCCACCUCAUUGACGAAGAUGAUAUCAUCCCUACUUCUCAACACUCUUUGCCUUCCUCCUCCGCCGCCGCCGUUGCUGAAUCCAAAACUCUCAACUCGUUCUUCGAACUUGUCAUUCAAAUUGCGAAAACGAUCAGGUUGAAUCAGGGGCUUAUCAUCAGCACAAAGCUCUCUCAUAGCUCCCUCAUCGAUGACCUAAAGCAGCUGGCAGGCACUGCUGAUGAACGUCUGGUAAUUGUUCAAUGCAUCGAAGCCCAAGAUGCGAGCUACAGAUACCAAUUUGAAGGAGUUCAGGUGUUCACUGUUGACCCCAAACGCUUCGAUGCCAACAACCUUUUAGCCGAAAUGUCGAGUAAGGUUGCAAAAAGGAAUUCCACUCAUCUGCAUGCUCUGUCUUUGUAUAACAAUUAUCAGCCAUUCACUGAAUCUGGGAAAGGCCUCAAAUGCAAAAGGUGCCUGGAACUCAUUUCAGGCCCUAUGUAUCAAUGCAUGGAGUGCAAUGAAUACAUUUUCCACAAAUCUUGCGCUGAAGAUCCCUGUGAUUUAAAGCUUGUUCGGCAAAGUUGCCCUAAAAAUCUCCGAGCAUCAAAGGAGCCGCCAGGGUAUGAAUUACCUCCGGAGAAACAGAAAAAGUGUGAGACAUGUGAAUUGAACAAGAAGGAUUUCUCCGUUAGUUGUCGUGAUUGUAUCUUCAAAACCAACAUGGAAGGUAAAUUCCUCCCCCUCAUCAUCAAUCACGGAUCUCACUCACAUCCCCUCAAUCUUUUAAUGAUGCCUCCCUCGUAUGAUUACAAGUUCGAAUGUUGCGGGUGCGGUGAGCUGGGCAAAUCCAUUAGCUACAGAUGUUAUGACUGCAACUUCAAUCUGCACGUAGGUUGCGUUUUGUUAGAGCACACUGCUAAAAGCAUCCGCCAUGACCACAAACUUACACUUGUCUAUGAUUCUCUGGAAGUUACCUAUUGGGAUAAAAACAGUUGUGAAUUUUGUAAUAACGAAAGAAAACCAGAACAAUGGUUUUACUACUGUUCAACUUGCGAAAUCGCGGCUCACAUUGGUUGCUGUGCGGUAGAUCAGUCGCAGUGAUCUUAGGGUUUCCAUCGCCAUGACUGCAUAUGGUCAAACUUCAGCAACGCAGAUCGUUCCUUUUCUUUGGUUUUGCCUAAUAAUAUUGCAUGAUUGUUUUUGUUUUAUUUUCGCAUGAUGCCAUGUGUUCACACAUACAUAUUGUGGGCGACCUCUAGAUAGAGACAUGUAAUAUGGUUCGCCUGCACAUGGCACGAAAAUUGUGUACACGAAUCCACUUCGAGUAUACAUGUGUUAAUCCUAAGAUAAGAUACGUGUCAUCAUGCAUUAAGACUGUAACACCCCUUUACCAAUCCUGAUUACAGGAUCAAGUGCUACAUUAGUUUUCAUAAACUCUAAUAGUAAUAUCUAAAUAAAAAUAAUAUUAUAAUUUGCACAUAUUAGUUUCGUUGUUCCAGUAUAUUAAUUAUUGAUACUCGAGAUAAGCUGAAAUAAAAAUUUUCAACCAUUCUUACAUUUAGAACAAUAUACUAAAGCGAAAGAAUGGACAUUGUGAAAAAUAUGGAACGUGGUUGUGUGGAUUUCAGGAACCAUGUUUAAAUUUGAAAUUCAAGGGAUAAUUUGUUAAAUUAGUUCCUAAAGUUUACCUAGUUUAACCCUUGCUCACAUCUCAAAAUUUAAGCCAAUUUAAUUCAAAAAUAAAUCAUAAUUAAGCAUUUUAAAAAUCCGAAUUUCUUAUAUUACUUAAUUAACAUUUGAAUUAUUUCAUAUGAAUUAAGCAGACAUCAAGUUUUACAGUUAAGUCCCAUCACAUUCAACCUUAAUACACACACCUAGGUACAUGCCAUUUACUGAAACAACAGAAAUUAAUACUUUACCCCUUUCUCGGAUUCACUUAUAUGAUUAGACGAGAUGCCUUCGAUCUUCAAAAAUCCCUUUUCUUCUACUCUUAACCUACGCGUAUAAAACACGCGUUAAACUAUUACUAGCUUAGGAAGUAAAACUAAUAUUUAGAUCAUAAUCUAUAUUAUAAAUUAUAACUUAUUUAUUAUUACUACACAAAAUCAUUUAAAUGACCUGUUUGUAUUCAUCAUACAUAAUUUUUCCAAUCGAUUCACUUAUUCUUACAAUUAGGGCCACAUUUAUUAUUUACUUAUUAAACACCAACUAAACAUACUGAUUUAAUUAUCAUCUAUAUAAUACUAGAAUCACAUGAUCCAUUUUAAAUUCUCAUUUAUUCCAUUUAGCUAAAAUUUCGGAUAAUUUACUUUACUUAUUUCAACCAUAUAUUUUCUUAUUUUUCUCAAUUUCAAAUAUUUUCAACACAUAUAAUCUAUAUAAUUCAAUAAUCACUAAAAUAAUUUAUACAUUUUUCAGAGACCCAGUAGACUAAACAAAACACUUAGGAUAUACGGAAUUGAUACAGAGAUGCACUAAAGUGUGCUAAUAGAACAAUAGGCACCAAAGUGCAAACCACUAAGCACCAAAGUGCAAAAUAGUAAGCGCCAAAGCGGGAAACGAUAACCGCGCUAAAAUUUCCUUAAUGGCAUGCCAUCUAUAUCCCAAUAGUUCUAAUCUCGUCUACUUGGGUAAAUUAUAUCAUGCACACAUAUCACUUUUACAUUUUUGCAUAAUGCUUUUACAUUUUCUACCAUUUAAUCCUAAUAACAAUAUUUCGUAUAAUUAUAUCUUCCUCUUUCAUUAACACAUAUAACUUGUCACAAUAUUUAAUAAUCCUCCAUAAUUUCACUAAUAAUUUUUAUUAGACAUUUGACCUAUCACUUUUACUUUAUUUACAAUUUAGACCACAUCAUGACAUUUCAUGUAACAAUGUCUUUCAUUUUUAAUAACAUAUAUAAAAUGUUUCAUUUCUUAGUUUAAUUUCUAUAUUUCACCACGAAUUCUUAUUAUCAUAUUUAUAUAUUAUUCUUAGUCCUUAAGUCAUCAAUUCACUAAAUAGAACUUUCGUAUCUUUUUAAUACAUGUAACAUGUUUCGCUAUUUAAUAUAAUUUCCAUAAUUCAUCAUUUAUUUAUAACUUAUUUACUUUAUACUACUUUUACAUUUUUAAAAAAUAUUAGUCAUUGUAAAGAUAGUUUAUUUAACAUUAUUUUCUACUAACAAUAAUUCAUGUAUCAUAUCUCAUAUUUAUAAAUUUUCCAUAAUUUACUAUUAAUUCUUAUUAUAUAUUUUUUAAAUAUAUUAUUUUUACAUAUUUUACAAUGCAGUCCCUUUCUUUCUCAUAUUUUGUCAAAUAAUCCCACAACAUUACGACAUCAAUCUACUCAUCAAUUAUAUACAUAUAUCAUUUCUACACUCAUUUUAUUAUUUAAAAAUUAUAGUUCUAUUAACUAUUGUACCUCUUAUGAAUUAGUCCUUUAUAUCUUUUCCUUACUUUUCUUUUAAUUUUCUCUAUUACAUUUUACUUAGUCAAUUCAUCAUACCAAUAUACUCAACCUUAGUCAAUUCAUCAUACCAAUAUACUCAACCAUUAUCACAUUUUAUUCUUUAAUUAAUUAUAUAAUAUGUAAAUUUCUAAUUAAACACUAUAUCUAGAUUUAUUCUCAACAAAUUUUACUUAAUAAUUCAUCACAUAUUUAAAAUAAACAAAACUUUAGUUGUACUUACAACUCAAAGUAUGGAAUCAAGCUUUCUUCCUUUUCUUCCUCCUUUAGCUCCUCCUUUGCUUUAAUUCUCUAUUUGUUUCUCUCUUUUCUUCACUUUUUCUUCAUUUCUCCAUAUCAAAAUACACAAUAUUUACACAUUAAAAUCAUAUUCACAUAUCAUAUUUCAUGUUUUUCAAAUAAAACCAACAUGUAUUUCAAGAAAAGUAUAGCUUUCUUACCUUAAUCACUUGUAUUAAAUACUAAUUCUUAUUUUCUCUCCUCCUACACAAGUAUGGAUGCAUUUCUUUUAACAGUUGGGUAGUUACUACACUUCUCUACUAAUUUUACUCUCUAAUUGUGAAGAAAUUUGGAAAAAAAAAAAAGAAAUCUAGCUUAAUUGUUUUCUAUUUGAUGAAAAGGACUAAAUUGAAAGAAAAAUAAAAGUUAAAAUGGUGUAAAAAUGGUGGCUGACGUGAGCCAUUCCAUCCUUUCUUUUCUCCAUUUCUCUUAAAAGUAUCUCCUUUUAUUUUAUUUACCAUUUUGUCCUAACUAUUCACACUUUUUACUAUUUAUCCUUAAUCAUUACCUUCCAUAAUUAUCUUUUCAAUUCAUUUACCAUUUUACCCUUCCUCUUUUCCUAUAAUAACACCCAUGUGUCCUAUCUCCUUUGGUAUAUUUUUACCUUUAUGUCCUCCUCAUUUUUCAUCAAUUUAAUUUAAUCCUUCAACACCCAACUUUCUCACAUUGUCCAAAUACUUUCCACUAAUUUAAUUGAUUCCCAAAAAAAAUCAUAUUAAUAUUUAUACUUUUUCAAAUAUCUUAUGCACCUAUUUUUUUAUAUCUCAUAACUCUUUAAAUUUCCAGUUUCCUACUUUCUCAAAAUUUCGAAUAAUUUAUUGUAUAUAUAUCACAGUUCAAGACUCUGAAAAUUUCUGGGAUGUUACAGACACCUACCUAGCAUACAUGUAUGAACAGCGACCGUAUCAUAUAAAAACAUAACAUUAACCCAUCUGAGAUGACACACACAGAAAAACACUCAACAAGUCACAAUUGUUUUCAUAUUGAUGUAUAUAUAUAUAAUUUUUUUUAGAAUUAGUCCAUAAAUUUAGCAAUUGAUGUUACCUUGGAACAUAAAUUUUUUUGUCCAAAUUAAUCAAUGAGAUUUCUUUUAAAAAAUUGGACAAAAAAUUUCUAACCCAAUGUGAGAAUAAUUAUCUAGUUCAUAUUCCUAAUUCUCAAAUUUAAGGACUAAUUUAGAAAAAAAUAAAAACAUUUACUAAAUUCAAACUUCAUCUACUACAUUAACUUUUCCUAUUCAACCAAGUUGAUGAAAGGAAGAAAAAAUAUACUGCACUACAGAGAUAAGGUCGAAAUUUUAGUUCUAAAUUUUCGAAGAAAAUUUUUUUUUUUUGGUACAUUCAAUUAUAUUAAUUCAAAUUUCUUAGAAUUCUUAAACUUGGAUAGUUUCUCAUCAAAGAAAUUUAACUUAAGAUGCUUGUAUCUUAAGAUAAUCAUAAAGAAAAUAAUUUGAAAGGCGGGUUUGAGAUUUGAAUUGGUUAUUGUUUUUAUAUUAAGGUUUGAAAUUUUUUUUUCUAGUUAGCCCUUGAACUUAACAAUCUUUUCUAUAUUGAAUUUGAACUUAUUUUUAUCCAAUUUAAUCACUGAUAUUUACUUAAAAGAAGUUUAGGCUCGAUGUGGAAACUAUUUCUUAAUUUAGACCCCACUAUAAGAAUAAUUACCGAAGAGACUAACUAAAAAAAAAAAAGUUUAGAACCAAAUGUGAGAUAAUAAUUUUUAAGAGAGAAUCUGGAGAUGUAGUUUAAGUUUAAAGUGCAUUAAGUGUCAAAUUUUUAUUCUUUUUGUGCUUGUUAAUAGGUGUCCUACUUUAGUAUAUUAAUUUGAUAACUUUUUCCAGCUAUGAAAUUAAGAAAAAAUCGCUUUUUUAAUUAUUUUUAAUGAUUUUUUAAGUUUUGUUAUAUAUAUUUAAAAAUUUUAAGUGAAUUUAUUACUUUUUCUUUACACGUGGUAGUAUGUCAUUGGUGGAUUUAAAAAAAUUUAACCGAAGUACAGAAUUAAAAUACAAGGGCCAAAUUAAAAACAAAAAUAAAAUGCAAAGGCUAAACUGAUAAAAUAAAUAAUACAAAUAUCAAAGUUAUAAUUUAAGUAUUGUACAGGGGCCAAAAGCGGUAUUAAGCCAAACUAAAAGAGAAUGAAUUAAAUUGAAAGAGUAGCAUUUGAUGGGGCGAAGGUGGUGUGAAGGAUCAUUUGUUUUUCUAAUGUGGGUGCUCCUUUCCAGUUCUGCACGAGGCCAAGCGGUGACAAGAGUUAACCCAUACCAGUUCACCAACCCAACACAAGGUGUUUAGUUUUCCGUCACUCACAUUUCAAGCAACAAUCUCUGGUUUCGUUCUGUUUUACGACGCAAGAUCUUUGAGAAGAAUCGGGUAGCCAUUGACCAUUAUAAGUAUUUUUCUGCUACAUCAUUCACAAUCAUUACCAAAAUAUGAACCCUAACCUCUAUUCAUUGUUUCUUUUUGUUUUGUUGAUGAAAAUAUUCUUUUACCAGAGUGCAAGGCAUUUGGUGAUUGCUAUUUUCUGCCGCCUCAGCAUCUCCUCAAGGCCAGGUAGGUACUUUUGCAAUACCUAUGUUUUGUUUUGUGUUUAUUUUUUUAGCAUACUCACUUUUUAUACUUUUUAUAAAUAAAAAAAAUUUAAGAAUUAUUCACCAAUUGGUUUAAAAUAAGCAUAUAAGUUUCCUUUUUUUUUUUCCAUUUUUUAAAAAUAUUAGCUGUAAAAAAAAUCUUUACAUCAUCUUUAAUGGAGUAACCGGAAAAAAUAAUGUCAAAAAUAAUAGUAAAUAAUUGUAAUUUUUUAUAAUUUAUUGAUGGAAACGAGAGUUUAUUAAUAAUUAAGUCACUAAAAGGUUAUUAUAAAAGAAUUUUUAUCAUUUUACAUUUUUAUUUAAAAUUUAUAAAAAAUAAUUUAAACCAAAUUAAAUCUAAAAAAACCGAAUAUAAAAACCUUUUUUUAAUAUACGCAUAUAAUAAAAUUUGAGAUUUGAACUCAAACCCUUUUAGUUUUCAAUAUUUAUAUUUUACCAUUCAGCUAAAACUUUAAUAUUUUAUUAUUUAUAAUCCAUUAUCUUUCAAUAAAUCUAAUAUAACAAUGUAUAAGGAUCAUAAUAGGUGUAAAUCAUAAUUAGUUAUCAUUUAGAAAACUAAGGCAUGAAAUAUAUUUACGUGAAAAAGGUGUGGAAAAAGGACAACAAAUAUGUCCAAUAGUCUUGCAUAAAUUGUGAAUUUAAUUCAAAUAUUUUUAAUUUUCAUACUGUUUUAAAACUUUGUUCAGUUUAUUACCAUCAUCAACUACCAAUGAAAAGAAGUUUUAUCUUCCUUCACUGCUUUUCUUUCUCUCUGAUUUUUCAAUGUUAUCUUUUUUCUUUAUACAAUAUUGCUGUUUAAAUAGUGUCAAAUCGGUAUUUAAUAAGUGCUUUAAUCAUUUAUAUUUAACCCAAUUAUUUUAAUAAAUAUCUUAUUUUUAUCUUUUUUCCCCUAUUUUUAAUGGUAAUUAAGAUAAAUAAAAUAAAACAUCAAGAUAAAUUAGUUGAUUUAUGGAUUUUCAGUUAUAUUUUAAAAGAUAAAAUAUAUAUGUUAUAAAUAAAUAAAGCAAUGGAGAAUUGGCCAUUUAAAUUUUAUCAAUAAUAAUUUAUUUUAUUAAUGUUAAUAUAAAAAAUUAGUAGAAAAAAUUAUUCAAUAUUUAAUUUAAUAAAAAAUACCCAAUUAAGAAAUUUUAAUUUAAUAAUGAUCAUUUUAAUUUUGUUGAUAAAAAAAUAAUUAAUAUUCUAUUUCAAUAAAAAAACAAUGAUUGAAUAAUCAAUUUUAGAAAAUUUAAAGGAUAAAUAUAUUGUUCAUUAUUUAUUAAUAUUUUUAUUUUAAUAAAAAAAGCAUUCAAUUCAAUAUGAGAGUGCAUUUGUUUCGGAAAAUGAUUUUUGGAAAAUAACUUAAUUUUUUAGAAAAAUUAAUUUUUAUAGUAUUUAGAUGAUCCUAUGCAAAAUAUUUUCUAUUGUUUGAUAAAUUUUCGUGAAAAUUAUUUUGAGUGAGAGAAACACACAUUUUUAUCUUUUGAUUUUUUAUUGAAUUUAUGUUAUUUCUAUAAAUUAUAUUUUGCUAUGUUUUUUAUAUAUGUGCCAAUGUUUUAAAUUUUUAAAAUACAUCAAAUUAAAUUUAGGGUAAAUUACACCAUUAGUUACUAAAUUAUGGGUAAUUUUCCGUUCUGGUCACUUAACUAAAAAAUCACAAUUCAGUCACUAAAGUUUUCGAAAUUAUUUUUUUGGGUCACCCAACUAUUAAAUGGCACUUUUUUAAUAGGCAUAAUAACAAUUUUAGUCCCCACUUUUUUUUUGUCAAUUUGAUAUUGAAGCUAUAUAAAAAUAUAAAAGAACUCAAAAUUAUUUAAAAAUAGAAAAUUCUAUAUAAAAUUUCUAGAAAAAUAAAAUCUUGAAAAUGUUGUUGAAGAACUAAUAUGUAUGUAUGGGAAAUAAAGAAAAUUAUCAUUCAAUAAUAAAAAAUUAAAACAAAACAAAAAGAUUAAAUCAUUAUGUGCUUCUUUCGUGUUUCUCGAAAUCAAAUUAAUAAUAUUGUAACACCGAUUCCGGUAGUUGAUAUGGACAAGAGACAUUAUUAGAACAAUUUUGGUACAAAAAUCAGUAAUUUAUGUAAUUUAAUAAAUUAAGAAAUUUACUUAUUUGAAUUAAGUGGUAAUAAAAAUAACUAAUAUUUUAUUUCAAUAAAGAAAAUAUUGAAAAAUUAAAAUUUUAUCAACUAUAAUUUAUUUGGACUUUAAUAUUAAUGGUAAUAUAUUUUAUUAAUAGUUUAUUUUAAUUAAAAAUACAAGAUUGAAUAAAUAAUUUUAGGGUAAACUACAAGAAUAGACACCCAAUUAUUUUUUUUUCUAGCAUAAGAGUAAUUAACUCUAGGUUAAUUAAAAAACUCCUAUUAUUAGAUCAAUUCGUUCUAUUAAUUCUCUUAUUAGAUUUGUCUUUAAUUCGGUAGACUUAUAUCGUCCUAUUUCUAGGAUUGCAUGCAACUUCAUUCAAUUAUGCAAUAUGUAAUCACAAGAAUGGCUUCUUCAACCUUAAACUUAUGCACAUCAAACAUGGAACAACACCCUAGAAUUUAAACCCAAGAACAAUUAAGUCUUCAUAAUUGAAAACAAAGAAAUUAAGAUUUUAUUGAAUAAAAGAUAGAAAUCAAACAAUAGAAUUCAUCCUAAGAUUCAUCUUCCUUAGGUAAUAAGAGAAUUAGUUCAUACUUCCAAGAAUAAACACCAAAAAGUAUAAUAUAACCACUAAAAUAAAAAGAAAUCCAUGAUAACUCCAUUGGAAAUUAGUUGGACUCUUGAAUAUUGUUGGAGAAUUGCUUAGAAAUUGACUUCAAUAGUGUUAUUUGAGUAAUUUUCGUGCUAUUCUAUGACGGAUGCUUUCCUCCUCCUUUAUUUCCUUAUUUAUACCUUCUUAAAGUGCCAAAAUUUAAAAAUCGUCACUUCUAGUUAGCACACAGGGUUCCGGAAAUCUACACGUCCUGAACACAUGCCCGUGUGAAUCACAUGGUCGUAUGGGUAGUUCGUGUGAAAAUUUAUCGCAUGUGUGCAACUUCUGAAAUGCUCCAAUGUUGAAAUUUUCACCCGGUUUUCACUCCUAUUGCUCUCAAGUACCCUAUUAAGCAUUAAAACAUGCAUAUAAAAGAUUAGGAGUAUAUAAUUCACAAUUAAUAUCACAUAAUCACCCAAAAAUACAUUAAGAAUGAGGCUAAAACAUGUUACUAUUGACACUUAUCAUAUAUAUAUAUAUAAAAUGACCUUAAGCUUUUCCUCCAAAUAUAUUUGGGUUUGCCAUCAACUCACGUAAAAAAGUUAGGUCAAAGGUUAGCUUUCCCCAUUAAAAUAAACAAUGCAACGCAAUAAAUCACAAACUUAAAAUCAACCAAGAUGGAAGUUUAAUAUUCCUAAAAUUUAUAAUUAAAUCUUGGUUCAAAUUUGCAUCUAACAACAAUGGGAGAAAAGAAACUUGUAACACCCCAAACUCGGCCUAGACGUUAUGGCUGAAUCCGGAGAAGUUACAAAGAAUGGGUUUUGAAAACGGAGUCGCUACGUUAAAUCAUUUCAGCUUAUUAACUCAUAUUCUUUUAUAUCCAUUGUCAAACACGCCAAUUAAUUGAUUUAUUUGCCAAAACAUAUUUUACAUCGGAAGUCUAAUAAAACUGUUAUAUUUUGGAAAUCCAAUUCGUAUUUUUAGAAAAAUCUUUUUGUUUGAGUAAAAUAGUCAUUUGUAUAAACAUUUUGUUAAACCAUGCAAAUAAACAAGCAAACAAACCAAAACCAAAAGUUUAAAAACUGUCCAAUAAAUUACAAACUCACAAUUAAGUCUGAAAUUUAAAUAAAAAUCAUAAUUACUUAGGAUAAUCAGUUCUCGCACGAAUGGUCACCGCUGAGUCUCUAUUGCAUCAAUCCACCUAAGUUUGUGGAUUACCUGUACAGAACAAACAACAUAUGUGAGUUUCGUAAACUCAGUGUGUAACCCAACAGAAAUAGGCAGGCAAAAUAUUCAGAAAUCUCAUGCUAAGUCAAAUACAAAUACAGACUUAUGUCCAUUUUAGAUACAGAUACAGAUAUGCAGAGUCCUACCCCUAUCCUUUACACACCAACUCCGUCCAUCCCAACACACCAUGUGGGGUUAAAAACACCCACCCAUCCCUACACACCAUAUCGUGUCAUUACGACACAUAUCAGAUAAUAUGCAGCCAUGCUGCCAUAAUAUAGGCGUUGAUCGCUAUAUAGAACACUUCCUCCACAUAUACAAAUCCCACCCUAAAAAUAGUUACAGAAAUCAUAUACAGAAAUUACAGAUAUAACAUGCUUAUCAUGCUUGUGUACAAAUUUCAGAUGUACAUAUAUCAGAAUAGUCAGACAUGCAUAAAAGUGUCAUUCUCAGAGCAUACUAUCAGAAUAUGAAAUUGCAUAAUCUAGGGUUUGAUUAGCCCUUACCGACCCUAUGGUAGGCCCACAGUCGAUCGAAACGACCCGUGCAACCCUUGGGAAAUUUUCAAAAUUUAGGCUCACAUGCCUGUGUGGAAUGCCCGUGUAGGCCCAAACGCCCAAAUUGGUCUUGUCCAUGUGGCCCACACGGCCACACUCACACCACCACACGGUCAUGCCUUGCGGACGACCAAGCCUUCGUCGAUCACACGGCUGUGUCUCGCACACGGCCAACCACACGGGCGACCACACGCCCGUGUGGCAUCAACAGAACAGUCGAGCCUUUCGAAACCGCCAACACACUCGUUCACUCGCACAAAUUAGACUGUUGGAGUGGAACUACUGCUUCACCUUCGUCUCCUAAGCAACAAAUUUACAAAACUUCAACCUCAGAAAACAAAAGCUAAAUGAAUACAACCAACCCCACUUACCGGUUUCACGAAGACCAAAGAUUCAAAACGCCCAAGAGCAAGGUUUAAUGACAGAAUCAGAAGGCGGAGAAGGGGGAGUUUACUACUAUUUUGCCAGAAAGUAGAAGAAGAAAAGGAGAAGAAAAUCAAAGGGAAUUUCUAUUUGGGAAAAAAAAGGUUAGAAACAACGGAUUUUGAGAAAAGAAUAAAAAAUAAAAAUAAAAUAAUUUUAAUAUAAUUUGAAACCUCAAAUCCUACUAAAUUUCACCCACUAACCACAUACAACUACCUUGGAAUUUUGGCUCUACCGAAACUCUUCCAAACAACCGAGCAAAAAUUAACACCCUUGCUAAAGCAAGACCUCCAACACCCAAAUCCCUUACCACUCAAACCAGUAGGCUCAUUCCGAUAUAAAUUAACAAACAAUAUUAUAUAAACCACUUGGACCAAAAAUAACAAAAUUAUCAACAGUGAGACUUGAACCCAAGACGUCAUAUACACACACCUAAAAUACUUAACUACUGAAGCAAAUACACACUUAUAUUAGAUACUUACAGAAACAUAAAUAAAUUUAUCAUGGCGUUAGAAAACUCCCCAUUUGCAAUCGAAGUAACUAUAAGAUUCCCCUGAUUGUAUAACUUUUAUAAAAUAAAAACAUUUUAAACCUUGAUAAACAAGCUGAAAUAACAAAGCAGAAAAAGAACACCAAAAAUCUAAAUUAUAUCUAAAAAGAAAGUCAACUCAGUUUUUCAACUAACUUAAAAUUGAUAUUAAGGAAAGAGAGCAUCUGGUCAAAGGUAAACUGUAGAAGGAAAAGAGAUGUAAAUUGUUAUCUUGAUAGAAUAUAUAAACAUAUUAAAAUUUUGAUAACUAAAUGAAAAAUUUUGUGAAUAUUUGUUGAAUUUUUUAGAUUAAAGAUGAAAUUGAUAGGAUGUGUAAACAUUGAGAGGUUAAAAUAACAAAUUUUGAGAUAUAAAUUUAUUGAAUAUUUUUAGAUUUAAGAUUAAAUUGAUAGAAUGUAUAAAUGAUGAAAGGCUAAAUUUGUUACUAGGUGAAUAUAAAAAACAUUUGUUAAACUUCGGUUACUGAGUUAAAGUUGAGUUACGGUCAAAUAACUUGUGAGUGACUAAAAUGUUUAAUUUUUAAAAGUUGAGUGAUUGAAUUGAAAAAAAAUAAUAGUUGGGUGACCAAAAUAAAACUAAGUGUAUAGUUAGUUGACUAUUCUUAUAAUUUAACCACAUUUUUAAAAAAAAAAUUAGGGAAAAAUGUAUAAUAGUUUUAGAACUGGAUCCAUUCGUAGAGGUGCAAAACUAAAAUAAUUUUCAACCAUUGCAUAAUUUUUUAUAUAAUUAAUGUUUUAACAAUCCAACCAUUAUAUUUUAUUUUCCAUUUAUAUAGAUCAUACAUAUUAAAUUUUACAUAAAUUAGAAAUUUCAACCUAAUAUAUGUUAAUAUGAACAAUAUUUUACAAUGAGCUGUGAUAUGAUUGCUCACUUUAUCUCUCAACCAUGUAAUUGGGGGUUUGAUCCCCACUCAUUGGAAUUAAACAUAUUUUAUGGCUAACCAUUUAUUUUUUGGAAGAGCACUCAUGACAAGGAGAUUAAUUACUACUACUGGUAGAUAUUUUAUAUCGAUAUGAUAAAGAUAUCGAAUUGAUUCAAAAUUAUACACAAAUAUAAAUAUCUUGAUAAAUUCAAUUGUUGAAUUGUUAAAACAUUAAUCGUAUAAUAAAAUAUUAAUUGUGAAAGUAUUUAAAAAUACUGGUGUAAGUCCAACCCUUUCCUAUUUACAUAGAUUAUUACAUUAAAUUAAAUACUUACAUUUUAUUAUGAAAUAUUGUAAUAUUUUAGUUUCAAAUAAUUAUCGUGUAUGCUGGAAAAAAUUAGAACAGAAAAAAGGUGUAUAUAUUUAUCAACUAUUUGAUAUGCCAAUGCAUUCUUAAUAUCUGGACUUGAUGCAGGGACGUCAUGUUGGUGGUGAAGCCAGUAACGAGAUCAAUUUUAGCUAAAGUGGUUAAAGGCGCCAUUGUCAGACCACUUACCAGGACUCUGAAUUACCACAUAAAUUUCGAUAAAUAUGUGAAAGAAUUCGAAGACGCUGAACGUAUUUUGGUAGACCAACUGAAAGAUAUUGAAGCUCAAAAGCAAGAACAGCUUCGUUAUGUGGGAAGAAUGUUAGCGCCUGAAGUUGAAGUUUGGCUAAAACGUGCACGGAUGGUUCUUAAUGACGCCCAAUAUGUUACAGAUGAGAUCAGGAAAGGGAAAUAUAUGUUGCGUUCUAUUGUAGGGAAGCAUGUUGUAAGACUAACUCUGGAAAUGAAGGAUUUGUGUGAACAUGGUUCGUUUGAGAGGAUGUCGUCUUAUGCUGCUUCCUCUGCAAUGACUUCAUUGCCAACAACUGAUAUUGUAGGUAUUUCUCGUGAAGAGGAAAUUUGCAAUUAUUUGAUGAAGCAGGAAGUUAGAAUGCUUGGAGUGUGGGGGAUGCCUGGACUCGGGAAAACCACCAUAAUGAAGCAUAUUUACAAUAAAUUGAUGGAAGGCAAUAAAUUUAGUAAAAUGAUUUGGAUAACGGUAUCCGAAGGUGCUGAUAUCCGUAGGCUACAGAACGACAUUGCACGCAUAUUAAGUAUUGACUUGUCAGAUGAUGAGGAUACAAAUGUACGUGCAAAAAAGCUAUAUGAAGAGCUGAUGAAAACAGGGAGCUACCUAUUAAUACUUGAUGAUGUAUGCCAGAGGAUUUCUCUUGAGGAUGUUGGAAUCCCUAAGCCAUCUGCAGAUAAUGGACGCAAGAUAGUAGUGACAACGCGUGACAGAAAGGUUAUUCAAAAGAUGAGUUGUAAGGCAGUCGAAGUGCGGUUUCUUUCUGAUGAUGAGUCCUUCCAGUUACUCUUAAGCAAAGUUGGAGAAGAUGUGUUGGCUGAUCCAACCAUAAAACCAAUUAUGAAAGCUAUACUUAAGGAAUGCGGUGGUCUUCCGCUCAAAAUUGUCACAGUAGCUAGUUCAUUGAAAGGAGUACUUGAUCGUGAUCGUUGGGUGCAUGCAUUAGACCAGUUGAAAAGAAGCAGAGAUUUACUGAAAACCAGAUAUGAUGAUCUAGCAGGAACAGAUAAAGAUUGUUUCUUACACAGUGCACUAUAUCCUGCAGACUAUGCAAUCCCAAAAGAGGAUAUUAUUGAAUAUUGGAUAGAAGAAGGACUUGUAGAUGAAAUGGAGAGCAGAGAAGAAAGGAAGAGUAAGGGCCAUGCUUGUUUGCAAAGGAUUUUAGACAGUAGCUUGCUACUAGGGGCCGAUGGCAAGAACAUUGUAAUGACGAGUAAAGCCGGGAGAGAUAUGGCACUAUCUUUGAUAGCAAAAGAGUUUCCGUGUUUUGUGAAAGCUGGUAUGAAAUUGAAGGAGCUACCAAAUGAACUAGAAGAGGCUCUAGAUAUAAAGAAGGUUUCCUUGAUGGAGAAUUUCAUAUCUAAAAUACCUCCAGAAAUUUCUCCAAAGAGUAAAAAGCUCACGACCUUGUUAUUGUCAGGUAAUGCCUUGGAAGAAAUCCCUGAAUCUUUCUUCACCCAUAUGCAAGCACUCAAGUAUCUUGACCUUUCUAGAAAUCCAUUCAAAAUUUUGCCAAAUUCCAUCUCAAAUUUGGAGAAUCUGACUGCAUUACUUCUUUCGGAAUGCAAAAAUUUAGAGGAGGUUCCAUCUUUAUCAAAACUUCUAGCUUUAAAGAAGUUGAACCUUGAAAAAACAAGAAUCAAAGAGGUUCCUCAAGGUAUGGGAUUCUUGGUAGAUCUAAGGUAUCUCAAUCUUAGAUUCAUCUCGUGUUUAGAAGAGAUCCCGCAAGGUCUUUUGCCGAAACUCCAACGUCUUCAACACUUGGCAAUACAUCCAACACUGUCAAGAGCAAAGGAGAUAAUGGAAUUGAACAAGUUGGAAAAUUUUGAAGGUAGGUUUGCUGAUCUGCAAGACCUAAGCAAAUAUGUUGACUUUCUUCGGAAACAAAGUCAAAGGACCAUCAAGUACUUCAUUUUGGUGGGCAAGACUGUUGAGUAUAAGUUACGUUCUUGUACCAACUCUGUCAUAGUAAAAGAUUGUAACACCGAAGGCAGUCAUGUGCUUCCUUGGGAUGUCGAGGAAUUCGGAAUUGAGAAGUGCAAUAACUUGAGCAGCUUAAAUGGAGUUUCUGGACUGCAAGAGGCAACCCUUUUGAAAAAAUGCAGAAUUGAGGAAUGUGAAAGACUGGAGUCUGUUUUUUCCUCUAGCUGUCCACCACUUAAAAGCCUCGAGUCCCUAGUUCUUCGGCAUUUGAAGAAUCUGAAUGUCCUAGUUGCAUAUCCAGAACCAUUCCUCCAUGCCUUUUCCUCUCUUAAAGUACUUUUCUUAGUUAAAUGUCCGAAAAUAAAGAUUCUGUUCUCAACUAAGCUGCGGCUGCUACAACAUCUCAUCAACUUGGAACAAGUCAUUAUUUGGGGUUGUGAUCAAAUGGAGCAAAUAAUAGAAGAAGAAGAAGAAGAAGAAAUCCUUAGCGAUGCCACUGAAUUUACCUUUCCAAAAUUAAAGGAACUGGGAUUAUGGCAUCUACCAGAAUUGAAGAGCAUUUGCAGCACCAAAGGAGUAAUGCUUUGUAAAUCUCUCCAAAAGCUAGAGAUAUGGAAUUGUCCCAAGUUAAAGAGGAUUCCUCUGAAGCUGGAUAUUUCCUUUGAGAAUGGCAAAGUAUUUCACCAUCCUCCUCUAAAAGACAUCAAGAUGAAAUCAAAUGAAUGGAAAUCCAUCGAGUGGGACCAUCCCGAUGCUAAAAAAGCCCUUUUACCAUUAGUGAGGAUCAUGUAGCAGUAUCUUAUAGUGGAGUCAAUGAUCCAAGGCAAGCCCUGUCAUCUCCCUUACAAUUUAAAUGGUUCCAACUUAAUUUCUUCUAUUUAUACUUUAACAUUUAUGUUGUUUUCAGCUUUUCAUAACUCUCUACAUCACUGGCAUCAGAAGCAAACUCCAGGCCGAGUGGAGAAACAGAACUCUUGAACCAAAAAGAAAUAAAGUUGCAUGGCUUGAACCAUGACUAUGGAUUGCAUCGAUCAUCUUUCUGUAUUGUAAUUUAUUUUUAUCAUCCCGACUUUAGUCUUUAAUGCUAGUUUGUAUUUGUUUGGAACCUUUUUUUUCUUUUUCUUUUUUUUUUUGUGAAGCUCUAUUCGUUCCCUGGAAAAGGGUCUUUAUGUUGUAGCAUCUGAACAAGAAAUUAUGCUUCUGUUUGUACAAGUUCAGUUGAAGUUGGUACGGUAACUUUAUACCAGAACCAUUGUCUUCAAUUUUCGUAUACCAGUUGAUUUCCUUCGCAGAAAGUAAUAUGACUUUCUGAAUGUUCUUAUAUUUUUGUUAUUUGGUAUAAUGAUAUAUUUUACUCUUCAAUUUUAUAAAAAAUAUCAUUUUAGUUAUUAAUUUAAUUUUUCCUUUAUUUUAAUCUUUGAAUUUGUGUUUUUUUAAUCAAAUCACUCUAAAUUAGAUGAAAAAGUUAAAUUACCAUCCUUCAGUAUCCAUGAAAAUUACUGUCUUGUUGGGCCUCCUUCACCAGCGAAAAUCAUAAGAAUGGACCAAAAAUUACGGUUUAGAUAGCCAUGCACUAUGCAUUAUAAAUUGCUUUCUUCUUCUUCUUCUUCUACCAAAUGCUAUCAUGGCCUUAUAUGCAUGCUUGAUAUUUUGAGUAAACCAUGUAUACCUGCCUAACACUUUCUCACCUUGACAUUGACAUGCAUUAUCUUGCAUGCGUUUCAUGUGAUUACGUGUUCUUUUUAAUGCAAUUUUAAAUUUCUUGCAUUAUGAAAUUCAAAAUAUUUUCCACGUCUUUUAUUUAUCCAUGACUAAAGAUUAUAAGUUCUGAUCAUAUUUGUUAUUUUUAAGAUAAUGCCUAGAGCUAUCCAUAGUCUAUUCUCAACCCAUAAAUAGGAGGAUAAUACGCUUUAGUGCACUCAAACUCACGUUCUCCUGUAUUGACAACAAUGCUCAUGCCAAUCAAGUUAAGACUCAAUCAACUUCAAUAGGUGUCUUUUUUGAAUAAUCACAUUUCUUAAAUAAAUAUAGUUAUUCAAGAGAUACAACUAUUCAAGUAAUAUGUCAUAAAUAAAUAUAACUAUUCAAGUGAUAUUACUUGAAUAGUUAUAAUUCUUUGUUAAAAAAUCAAGUGAUAUAACUCUUCAUAUUUAACAAACAUAAUAACUAUUCAAGUGAUAUUGCUUGAAUAGUUAUAAUUCUUUGUUAAAAAAUCAAGUGAUAUAACUAUUCAUAUUUAACAAACAUAACUCAUUAUUAGAUCUGAUCAUGGGCCAAGCCAUCUACCCAUGCCCAAUAGCUCGCCUAAAAAGUGAGAGAGUUAAGGCAAAUAUAUAGGCUUAAAAAAUGGAUUUAAACAAAAAAAAGGCUUGUUUAGAAAAUAGGCAAGCCUUAGGCAAUAUUUUCUUUGCCCGAGCCUAGCCUGAAUUUGACAAAAAAUUUGUUGUUAUUUGCUUUUGUUUACUGUUGUUAUGUUGUUAUUUUGCUACCAUUCACUAUUAUAUUGCUACUAUUUUAUUGUUAUUGUUUGGAUAUUUUAUUACUCUUAUUUUAUUAUUAUUUUUGUUAUUAUUUUAGAGGUAUUUGUUUGUUAAGUUGCAGCCAUGUUAGUUUUAUUUUUUAUAUGUAUUUUCAAUUUGUUGAAAAACAUUUAUUUUAAUGUUUUUUACCUAUUUGAUGUAUUAUAUUUUUUAAACUUAUUUUUAUAUAAAAAAAAUAAUGCAAGCGGGUUGAGCUAGGCUUAGGUUUAGUAUUUUUAUCCAGAUUGGGCUUGAGCAAAAAUUUAAACUCAUUUUUUCGGGUCAGACCAAGCUCGGGUCUAAAAACUGGGCUUGCUUUUUUGUAUUGACCCGGUCUAGCCCAUGAUCAGCUUUACUCAUUAUUUAAGAAUAGUCAUAACUCUAUUAAGAACUAAAAAUUAUAACCUUCAAUUACAUACAAUUUUUCGUUUAUAGUUAUUGAAACAUCAUAAAUAUUUGGAAAUGUUCCAAUAAUAGGACAAAAGAUUCAUCCUAGAUGACAUGGUAUCAUGAUCCAGAGUAAAUUUACUUACUAACGCGAGAUGGAGGCUAACUUUCAAAACCUCAAAAGCUUAAGCUUUGUCUUAAGAGUUGACGUUACCGAAUUGGUUCUCCAAGGCAAAUUCUUUCAAACUCAAGGUGAUAAUCUAGGUUUGAGCAACUCAUGCGUUUUCAAGUUCAACUUCAACAAUCAAACUGAACCUGAUGACAGAUUUAAGCAACCUGCGUACCCUCAUUCUGUUCUAAAAGUAUCUAUUUGUUCAAAUCCAAUCUCAAUUUAACUCUUUACAACAGCUAUUUCCAGGCUAUAUUAAUGACAUAAUUCUCAGAGCGAUGGAAGUCAAAAUUCUAAAAAUACAAAGCAACCAACUAAAUUAGUAGAUUUGUUGAUGGUCAAACUAUCAAAUUAAAUCGAAUAUUUGUUCGAAAUAUGAUACCUGGAAUGUGGGCUUAGGGAAAAAACUCAAAAUCCUAUCAUAUAUCCAUUUCAGCCUUUGCCUUCAUUUCCACUUUCAAUCAUUUUCAUGUCCACCUUCAACCAUCAGCCAUCACUCACCAUUGCUUAAGCUAUUUUGCAGUUUAGACCAUAAAUUACUGAGUUGAAAACUGUAGUGUCGUUCUGCAGCCCUUUUUGUUUCAGGCUGAAAACUGUAGUGUCGUUCUGCAGCCUUUUUUGUUCCAGGCAGGGCAGGCUGGGCUCAAAAUUUGGGUCGACCUUAAAUAAAACAUUUAAACCCGUAUUUCAUAUUACGCAAGUGUUAAGUUUAGUUCCCAUGCAAAGGUGGCCAUGCACGACAUGCAAAGGUGGUCAUGCUUCUGGAAUCGCAGCAGGCAGUGGUGCCAUGGUGUGCAGCAAGCUGAAGCUAUCCAUUUAGUUUCCUUAAUUGAAUGUUUUGUAUUUAGUUAGGAUCAAACUUAGUUGGUAGCUGCAUUUUGAUGUAAUUAGGUGCUGAAUGACAAGUUUAGGUAGAAGCUUUUUGUUUUUCAAUCAAGUUUACCAAGUUACUAGGCAAUUUAGUGGUGUUAGGUAUGUUAUUAGGUGAUUACUUGUUUGUUUUACUUGUUGACUGAUAUAUGUAAUGGCUUAAUGCCUUGUUGGCUUGCUUAAUGAAAGAUAUCAGCUCAUUUUCAUUCAAUCUUUUUCUCUCUUUUUCUGUUUUUCACUUGCUAGCUUCAUCUUUCUGUUUUCUGCUUCUGAGUUUGCUUCUUCACCAAGCCUCGAGGCUUACUACUCAAGCAAGACUAGAAACAGCUUGCUGCUGCCUCUUGCACCAACAAUUGGUAUCGAGAGCUCUUGUCUUAGUGGACCUGUUGCUUCAAAACAAAGAACUUGAUGGCUUCUUCAGGAUUUUCACCAGCAGCCCCACCAGUCUUCAAUGGAGAAGGCUUUCACAUAUGGCUGGUCAAGAUGAAGACUUACCUACAGGCCUUCGAUCUGUGGGAAGUUGUCAACACAGAUACUGAGCCAGCACCACUGAGGGCUAAUCCCACAGUAGCUCAGAUUAGGCAACAUGCUGAUGAGAGGACCAAAAGGCACAAAGCCAUGUCCUGCAUCCAGAACUGUGUGUCAGAUGUCAUCUUCACCAGAAUUAUGGCCUGUGAGACUCCAAAACAGGCCUGGGAUAAGCUCAAAGAGGAGUUUCAAGGCACUGAGAGAACAAGGCAACAGCAGCUGUUAAACUUGAGAAGGGAUUUCGAGAAUUUGAAGAUGAAGGAAGAAGAAACAGUGAAGCAGUACUCAGAUAGAAUUAUGGCAGUGGUUAACAGCAUAAGGCUCCUAGGUGAGCACUUUGAUGAGGCAAGAAUUGUGGAGAAAGUCCUCUCCACUUUGCCUGAGAGAUAUGAGGCCAAGAUAUCCUCUCUAGAGGACUCAAGAGACCUUGCUAGCAUCUCUUUGACUGAGCUAAUCAACACCUUUUAUGCUCAGGAACAAAGAAGAGCUAGCAGAGCUGAAGAUCACCAAGAAGGUGCAUUUCAAGCCAAGGCCAGAGAAACCUCGAGCACUAAUGCUCAAAGAGGCAAAAGGCCUUGGAAAAACAGGCCUAAGCCUGAUGCUGCAAGGAGCAAUGACCAGCCCUGCAGAUAUUGCAAGAAGCCUGGCCAUCCAUAAGACAGAUGCUGGUUUAGGCCAGAUGCAGUAUGCCAACACUGCAAGAAGAAGGGCCAUGUUGAAAGGGUCUGCAAAAACAGAAGUAAGCCAAGGCAGAAUCAAUUUCAGCAGUCAAAGGUUGAAGCUCGAGUAGCUGAGGACAGUAGUGACCAAGAAGAACAGGUCUUUGCUGUUUCCUGUGUAGCUUCUGAGAAGAAAUGCUCUAAAGGCUGGUUGCUGGACAGUGGUUGCACUAACCACAUGUCACCAGAUGCCUCCUUGUUUAAAACCUUGGACAAAAGUUAUAAAACCAAGGUCAAGGUUGGAAAUGGUCAGUUUAUAAGGGCUGAAGGAAGAGGAGAAGUGCUGAUAUGUACUCCCACAGGCAACAAGAUCAUUCCAAAUGUGCUGUUGGUACCACAGAUUGACAGAAACCUUCUCAGCAUAGCUCAACUGCUCGAGAAAGGUUAUUCUGUUGUGUUCAAGGAUAAACAAUGCCAUAUUACUGAUCCAAGUGGAUCAAGCCUUAUGACAGUCACAAUGACUGAUAAAUGCUUUGAGGUUCACUGGGCAAAUGACUCAAACUCAGCAUACACAGCCUCUGUUGAAGACUCCAAGCUUUGGCAUCAAAGGCUUGGACAUGCCAACUUCAGAUCAAUGGCUCGAUUGGCCAAAGAGGGCUUGGCAGAGAACUUCAUCAGCUCAGUGGAGCAUGAUGAUGUGUGUGAAGUUUGCCAAAUGGGGAAACAGGCAAGACUGCCAUUUCCUACAAAUUCAGCUUGGAGAGCUACUGAAAGACUGCAGCUGGUGCACUCUGAUGUAUGUGGCCCGAUGAGGACUGAAUCACUCAGCAAAAAUAGGUAUUUCAUCCUCUUUAUUGAUGACCUUACAAGGUUUUGCUGGAUUUUCUUUUUAAAACACAAGUCUGAGGUAGCUCAAGUGUUUGUGAAGUUUAAAAAUGCUGUAGAAACAGAAACAGGUUGCAAGCUGAAAUCGAUAAGGACUGAUAAUGGCACUGAGUACACUUCAGCUCAGUUUCAAGCCAUUUGCAAUGAUGCUGGUAUCAAACAUCAGCUUACAAAUGUCUACACACCUCAGCAGAAUGGGGUAGCUGAAAGAAAGAAUAGAAGUCUGAUGGAUAUGGCCAGAUGUCUGCUGUUUGAGAAGAAACUGCCCAAGACCAUGUGGGCUGAGGCAGUAAACACUGCUGUUUACCUUCAGAACAGGCUUCCUACUAAAGCUCUUGCAUCCGAGACACCUUUCGAGGCUUGGUCUGGUUUCAAGCCUUCCUUAGCACAUCUGAAGGUGUUUGGUUGCCUGUGUUAUGCACAAAUACCAGCAGCAAAGAGAGACAAGCUCUCUAAAAGGGCUCAACCAGGUGUUCUAGUAGGCUACAGCUCAGUCAAGAAGGGCUACAGGGUUCUGGAUCCCUUGAUAAACAAAGUCCAGGUGAGUAGAGAUGUCAUCUUUGAUGAAAAAGCCUGCUGGAAUUGGGAGAAAAAUGAGCCAGAAGCAGUUUCAGAAGACCUAGUGCCUAACCAAGCUGAACUUGAGCAGCUAGGACCUGAAAUGGAUGUUGAUGAUGUGCCUGUGAGAGGCACAAGGCCCCUAGAUGAUAUUUAUGAAAGGGCACAGGUUGCAAUAGCAGAACCUAGCAGUUUUGAAGAGGCUGAGGCAGAUGAAGGCUGGAAACGAGCUAUGAUCAAUGAAAUCAACAUGAUUGAAAAGAACCAGACAUGGGAGCUUGUUGAUAAACCUGCUGGAAAGAAGACCAUUGGAGUAAAAUGGGUCUAUCGAGUAAAACAGAAUGCAGAUGGCAGUCUGAACAAGCUAAAAGCCAGGCUUGUUGUCAAAGGAUUUAGCCAAAGGUAUGGUCUGGACUACCUGGAGACAUUUGCACCAGUAGCCAGGCUUGACACAGUUAGAAUGAUAGUUGCCUUGGCUGCUCAACAUCAGUGGACCAUUCAUCAGCUUGAUGUUAAGUCUGCAUUUCUCAAUGGCUUCCUGGAAGAAGAGAUCUACAUCGAGCAGCCUCAAGGAUUUGUGAUCACUGGCAAAGAACACAUGGUGUACAGACUGAAAAAGGCUUUAUAUGGCCUGAAACAGGCUCCUCGAGCCUGGUAUGCUCGAAUUGACUCUUACUUGCUCAGUUUGGAAUUUGAAAGAAGUCCCAGUGAACCAACACUGUAUGUGAAGAAGAACCAAGCUCAAACUCAGCUUAUUCUGUCACUCUAUGUUGAUGAUCUAUUGAUAACUGGAGGAGAUGGAAGAAUGCUGGAAGAUUUCAAAAGAAAAAUGAUGGAAAUGUUUGAAAUGUCUGAUUUAGGCAGAAUGAACUACUUCCUUGGAAUGGAAGUGAACCAAACAGAAAAGGGAAUCUUUCUUUGUCAGAGUUCUUUUACUAUGAAGAUCCUGGACAAGUUCUCUAUGAAGAACUGCAAGCCAACAAGCACACCAAUGGCUGUUGGAGUGAAGCUUUCGAGGCAAGGGAGUGGUGAACCAAUUUGUGAGACCAUGUACAAGAGUCUCAUUGGUAGUCUGUUGUAUUUGACUGCCACAAGGCCCGAUAUCAUGUUUGCUGUUAGUGUGCUAUCAAGAUACAUGAAUUGCUGCAAUGAUCAGCACUUUCGAGCAGCUAAAAGAGUGCUGAGAUACAUCAAAGGCACCAUUGGUCAUGGUGUAUUGUUCAAAAGGGCCAAAAACAUGAAGUUAAUAGGCUAUGUUGAUAGUGACUGGGCUGGAUCAAGUGAUGACAUGAGAAGCACAUCCGGAUAUGCAUUCAGUCUUGGCUCAGGCAUGUUUUGCUGGAGUUCUAAGAAACAAAGUCUGGUGGCACAGUCAACAGCAGAAGCUGAAUAUGUUGCUGCUGCAUCUGCUGUGAACCAAGCCAUAUGGCUUAGAAAAAUCUUGACUGAUUUAAACCAAAACCAAAAGGAGGCAACAAAGAUUUAUUGUGACAACAAAUCUGCUGUUGCAAUUGCAAAAAAUCCCAUUUUUCAUGGCAGAACCAAGCACUUCAAUAUUAAGUUGCAUGUUAUAAGGGAGAUGGAACAAGCUCAUGAAAUCGAGCUGAUUCAUUGCAAUUCAGAAGUGCAAAUUGCUGAUAUCUUCACAAAGGCACUCAAUGUGUCUAAAUUUGUUAAAUUCAAAAGGGAAUUAGGUGUUACUAGCAUGGAAACUAAGGAGGAGUGUUAAGUUUAGUUCCCAUGCAAAGGUGGCCAUGCACGACAUGCAAAGGUGGUCAUGCUUCUGGAAUCGCAGCAGGCAGUGGUGCCAUGGUGUGCAGCAAGCUGAAGCUAUCCAUUUAGUUUCCUUAAUUGAAUGUUUUGUAUUUAGUUAGGAUCAAACUUAGUUGGUAGCUGCAUUUUGAUGUAAUUAGGUGCUGAAUGACAAGUUUAGGUAGAAGCUUUUUGUUUUUCAAUCAAGUUUACCAAGUUACUAGGCAAUUUAGUGGUGUUAGGUAUGUUAUUAGGUGAUUACUUGUUUGUUUUACUUGUUGACUGAUAUAUGUAAUGGCUUAAUGCCUUGUUGGCUUGCUUAAUGAAAUAUAUCAGCUCAUUUUCAUUCAAUCUUUUUCUCUCUUUUUCUGUUUUUCACUUGCUAGCUUCAUCUUUCUGUUUUCUGCUUCUGAGUUUGCUUCUUCACCAAGCCUCGAGGCUUACUACUCAAGCAAGACUAGAAACAGCUUGCUGCUGCCUCUUGCACCAACAGCAAGCUUGAGCAAAAAUAACAGUUAGCAAUACCUUGUCUAAGCCUGGGCCAAAUCCGGCCUAUCAGAUAAAGCAUUCAGAUUGAACUACCGGUAACAUUAUGAGUUUAUGGUCCAUCCUUCAUGGGGAUGCAAAGAACAAAAUUAGCUAACUUUUGCCACUAUAGAAUGUUUGUUCAACUAAAUAAAAUAAAGAUUGUCCUAUAAUUCUAGUUCCAUUCAAGUUAAAACUUCUUCAGGCAAGAUAAUAGUAACAUAAUGCUAAAAGAACCAGCACAACCACCACAGCAGGAGCCGCCCAUAUCCAAUAGUUCGUCGACUUCUUACGUUUUAGUAUGGCUUUUGGGAGGGACUCGGUUCUUUUGGUUUGAUUCCUGUACCUACUAGUAUUCUCCUUUGGUACUUUACCCUUCAUUGAAACGGUAGCAGGAACAGGUGCAUCAGCAUUAACAUCGACCUUCUCGGGUUCUGAAUCUUGUGCCACAGCUUCAAUCAGUUCCUCGGGAUUCACAGCAUUUGUCGAUCCUGCCACCUUCUUCUUAGCUCUCUUUUCACGCUCCCGAAAAAGAUCGAAAGAGUUUCAGUUUCAACCCACAAACUAAUGACCGACAAAGCGAAACCAGAUAAGGAAGCGAAUGAUUUCCUUGAGCUUCUUUUCAGCUUCCAUUUGGGCUCUUCUAGCUGCUUUGGCUGCUGCUUUUUCAGCCAACUUCUUUUUUUCUUUCCAUGGCUUGCUUUGCUUUCGCUAUUUCCUCUUCUCUCUUCAAUUCUUUUGGUUUUGCUGCAUCGACUUCCUUGUUCUUUUGCAAUUUUCCGGAUACCAAAAUUUCCUCUGCUACAACACUAAUAUCUGACAAAGGAUUUGACUCCAUUGCUAUAGUCUCGGCAUCUUUUGGGGCCUUUUUGGCUAGUUUAGUAUCUGGUUGGGGACCUGAUUUGGCCUCUUCCUUUGGUUGUCUUACACUAGGUCUCAGGAUUGUUUCGGUUUCAGAAUCCACUGGUCUCUCGGGUGCAACCAGUGGUUUCUCAUCAGGAUUCCUUAUCCGACCAUCCCGACUCAAUAGCCGACUGUCCAGGGAUAGCAGAAUUCUUUUCUCAUAAUCAUCCCUGAAGGCUUUAUUGCCAUUCCAGAGAGCCAUAAACUUCUCAACCUAAAAGGAAUAUAAAAGAUAAGUGAGCGGCUAAUUAUAAAGCAAAUGAGAUACAUUGGAAGUAACAUUAACAAGCAGUCUGUUGAAAGCUGGACUGCAAUGCAACAUGGAGCCAGAAGCAUGCUACUGUCGAGACCCGCAGCUAUCGAGCUCAGCUCAUUUUACUUGGCGCGCACGAAUGGUUUUUGGACCAAAUGAAGCAACUGACAUUGCUGUUUUGUUUUGAUGUAAUUUAGUUUAGUUCAACUUUAACUAGUUUCCAAAGUUAGUUGGAUUAAGUUUGUGAUUGGAUUGAUGAUGUAAAAGCUGAUAUGUCAGCUUAUUUUGUAUUUGACUUAAGCUUGUAUUAGUUUAGUUUAAGUGGGAGCAGUUAUGUCAUUAGGUAACUGUCAAAUGAAUCAAAAUUUGUAACUCUUUUAUAUAUUCAAAUUUUGAAUGAAAAUUGGUAAUGUUCAGUUACAACUUUGCUGAGUAUUCAAUUUUGUUCAUUGCUUUGCUUUUUCUUUGCUUCGAUUCUUCUUGCUUCAGUCUUACAAAUACAGUUCUGUAACUCUGUUUGAUGUUUGCUGCUGCCUUUGUUCCAACACAGUCUCAACAAACCUCCACAAUUGAUAACUCCUCAAGAGCCUUUAUAUCUUUUUGUGCAGCAAGCAGUUUGGCGUUGUGUACAAUGGUACGGCUCUGGUAAAAGUGAGAAUUCUGAAAUUUUGAGAAAGAAAGUAAUUAAAACGAUUCAUUAGUAACAUCAUGCACAGUAAUAUCUUAAGUGCCACUAGUUAUUCAUGCAUAAAUGAAAAUGUUCCAACAUGGUCAAGUAUAUAUACGAAACAGAUAUCUUAAGAGUUGAAGCAAAGAAAAGGCGAUACCCCCUGAUCACUUUGUUUCCUCAGCUCCUGAAUGUUUUCAAAAGCUUUGUCCCUCUUCAGGGCCACAGCUUUCAGCUCAUUUUGUAAAGACUCGAUUUUAGUCUCAGUUUCAUCCAAUUUAUCUUUAAUUUGCUUUUUCUUGGACCAGAUUGCAUGCUGCUCCUUCCUUACUCCAUUCAAAUCGACACCCAUAAGCUACAAUAAACAAAUAUAGCAAAUUUUUUUAGUGUAACACAAUGGUGCUCUAUAUUCACAGAUAAAAAGUGGAGCAAACUCCGAUGGAUAAAUAGAAUUAUCUUACUUUAACUUGAUCUUGAAUGUCUUCUUUCUGGCCUAAUGAAUCUUGAAUCUUUGAUCUCAUUGCAGCAUUAGCAAUAACUUUCUCGCGGGUUCCCUCCAGGUGUUUGAUUUCUUUAAGGAUUCGCUUCUCCUCAGUCAACGAGAUGCUUUCAUGCUGAAUGCGAUAUUGCAAGCUAUGAAUCUGCAAUUCAUAAAUUCCAUUGAAGUGACUAAAGGAGAAAAAGAAAAGCAUUAACUGCGGCAGAAAACAAUGAAUAAAUCUAAAUGCAGUCAAAGUUUAUAGAAGUAUCAUACAAUAAAACCGAGCUCUUCCUCAGAUGCACAUAAACUAAGUCGAUUAUCAACAUCUUUAUUUUGCGAAGCUUGCCUAAAGCCUGCUGCAGUGGUUCUAUUUCCAUCUUUUUCUCAUCUAAAAUCGUCUUAAAUUGCUCAAAAUCAACAUUCAGCGCUCUCACUUGCGAAAGCAUAUCUGACCGUUCUGCCUGCAUUAGCAUAAAGAUAAUCACAAUUUAGCCAACUGACGGCGCCAUUAUUUUUUACUUCUUUCACAUUUUUUCUCAAAUUCUGAAGGCAAACACAACAAUAACGAAUCAUUAUACCAAUAGGAUAUCUGUAAGUGUCAUUACGUUUCAAGGACAUAAAUUUCAAACAUUCAAAUAAAUGCUUCCGGGUUUAAUUCCCCUACAUUCAUCAUAUUACAAUAAGCACACCGUAAUGACAUAAUGAUAGGGCUAAUAAUUAUCUUAAAAGUAUGACAAUUAAUGGCUACCAUGCUAUACAUCUAAUUGAAAUUAUUAACUUUUCACUCACCCUUUUUGCUUUUAAUUCGUCGGUAAGCUUAAACCGGCUUUAUUCCACUUUUGUAUCUCUUUAUCAGCCUGAUCAAGUUUGGCUUUUAUAGCCGGAUCUUCGUAGAAGCGAUACCUAAUAAAAUGAAAAGAGUGGAUCUGCUUAGGUGCAGGCCACUCGACGACCGCAUCCUUCGGAAAGUCGGGAUCGGAUGCACCAUUCUCUUCUCCUUAUCAGGUUCCUCACUAUGUGAAUCAACUUCAAUGGGGUUAUUAUAAACUGGAUCCUUAUCCAGUUUCCCAUUUUCAUGAAGAAAUGAUUUGUCUACUUCAGUCACUUUGUCAAUAGACAAUUGUGCCAGGUCUGAAUCAACAACCUCAACACCCAUUAAACACAAAAUUGAGCUACCUGAAAACAUCCAAAGACAAAGAUUAUGACACCAUAUAACAACAAAUAUAAAUAUAAAAUAUUAUUUCAUUCAUAAAAUAAAAAUUUUAAAACAGACACCUGAUAGACAUGUAUAAAACAAUAUAUAUUAAAUAAAUAAAUUUUAAAGAACAGUGUAGCCAAUACAAUUUGAAAUGGUGCAAUCUAAAGUCAUUCCUUUAGCUAGUUUUCUCAUUAAUCAGAUCAAAAGAGUGAACAAACAGUAGAAUUGCAAAAAUAUAUGUAUAUAUUCUAAAUAAAUGAUAAACUAUAAUGGAGAAAAACAAUAAUCAGAUAAAAUCUAGAUCAAAAACUAAAUUAUAAGAACAUUAGCUCAUGCUAUAACAAAAGAUCAAGCCUUUAUCCGUCAAGAAAAUUAACAUGCAAAAUCAUAUGACACCAAUGGAAAAGAAGGAAAAAAAACCCAGAAAUUUACAAACAUGAGAUAAAAUGAAAAACAAACAAAAAAAACCCAGAAAUAAAAACACGAGAAAUAAUUAUGUAGUUUGUAAGCCCAGAAAGUUUAUAUUUUUAAAAUGAAAACGUCAAAAUAGGAUGUUUUUGUUGUCGAGAGAGGCAUAGAUACAAAGGUUCUGAGAUUCUGGAUAAAAAAAAAAACUUCAACUUUUUUUAUUUUACAUUGGCAUAAUGCCCAAAUUUUAUAAAUUCUAGUUGUUAAACAUGUCAAGUAAUUUGAUUUGGUAUGGUGGUUAAGUGCCUUGAAUGUUUGCUUUAGGUCUUGGGUUUAAAUUUAUUUUGUUAAAUUUACCCUAUUUAUUAUGGUAUUAUGUUCAACUUGAGCCUUAGGGCUUCUCUUAUUUUCAAUGAUGAAUCUAAUGAUUCACUGGUAAGAUUUUAGCUUAUCACUAAUUAAAAUUUAUAAAAUCUGGUAAGUGGAAUUUAGAUUAACAUAAAAAUUUUUAUUUAUUUAUUUUAAUUUAAUUUUACUAAAUCUCUAUUUUCACUCAUUGUUUCAACCGUUCACACUCUCACCCCACUUUGUACGCUACUUUCUUUUGUUUCCCUAUUCUACCGUUUUAUCUUCUUUUCUCUUCCUUCUUUCUCCUCUUUGAUUGUUCCUGAAUAAUACCGUUUAUUUUAUGAGUUCUAUCACUUGGAUCGUAUUCUGUUUGCAGUGUAAGUUUCAUUUGGUUACUUUUGUUCUCUUCCCAUUAAUAGUUUAGUUUUAUUUCGUUUCUUGAACAAGCUAAGUUUGUGUUAGUAGUUUCUAUUCGUUAUCAUGAUUAGUAUUUUUGUGGUUCUCGAUUAGGCAAAAGGUGUGAGAAUCCUAACCCUCCAGCAAAGUAGUCACAAUUUUCAAUGUUGUUUUGGAGAACUAAGAAUUCGAAUUCUAUUUUAAGGGCUGAAAUUUUGAUUCAACGAUGUUAUUUUGGAUAAGUAUUGUUAGUUAAUCCGUGUGGUUUGAUGAACGUUUAUAGGAUUCGUGAGUUCCAAUUGAGCGGUUGAUCAAAUCAGCAAUAGGUGUAUGAAAUUAACCUGAUAACUCAAUCGAAACUCGAGAAAAAUAAGGGCCACACGAUUAUGUGGGUAUUUUGGCCAAUUUUAAGCCCCAAUUAGGGGCCGAUUAAAGGACUCAAAUAUUGGGUCCAUAGCCAUCAUAUAAGCCCAAAAAAAUGUAAGUUUUAGUAUGUAUAUAUACAUGGCUAAGCUUAGGAGGUAUGUUAAGUAGGUUGUAUAUAAAUCAUAUGCUAUGUUAUGUUCCUUAUAAAAAUAUGUGUAUGCAUGUCAUACGACUUAUGAUAUAUGUAUUUAUGAUAUUAUAAUUAUGAUUAUGCUUAUGUUUUGGGAUGGGUUAUGAUAUGAUGGAGGAAGUGUUAUAUGAUAGUUUUUAUCGCAAUUAUGGCGGCUAGACUAUAAAAUUUCUAUCUAACAGCUCAGUUGCAUAUUUAUGAGUGACAUACCGCCACAUAUUGGUGUGAUUGGAUGGAUGGACUCUUGUAGUCCUAAUUGGUGAUAUUGCUUGGACGGAGAUGGUAUAUAGCAACUGGGGGUAUGAUAUGAUAUGAUAUGAUAUAGGAUAUGGUAUAAUAAGAUAAGAUAUGAAACAUGCUAUAACAUGAUAUGAAAACUGAUAUGAUAUAAGAUAUGCUUCGAUAUGCUAUGAUACAUUCUGAUUUAUAUAUAUACUACAAUGUGUGGGUCAAAUCACAUACUGGAUGUUAAGCUCACACGUUUGUUUAUUUUGUUUCAGGUGAUCUUUAGACCUAGGAUUGGAAGAUGAAUCUAGAGCUCGUAUUUCACUCUUUCGGUUUAAGUAUGCAUUGGACUCUCUUUUGUUUAUAUGGACCUUUUGAGCGUUGGAUAUUUUAAAUUUAUUUGGGACGCUAAAAAUUAUUUUGGCAUUUAUUUUUCAAAAGUUUUAACUUUUACUGAUACUUAAAUCAAGACAACUAAAAAUAAACCAUAGUUAUAAGGUAAAUUUGCUAUAAUGCAUUCUGUUGCAAGUUUUAAGGUCAAUUUGCUAUAAUGUUGUCCACUGCAAGUUUUAUUGAAAUUUGCUAAGAUGUUUUAUCUCACAAACAGAGUAAGUAAAUUAAAUACAUUUUGGUAAAAUUAACAAAUAUGACUUUCUUCAAUGUACUCACGGGUUUUCAAAAAUGGUACAUCUUCAACGGGUUAAUCAAAUUUGUUUUCUUUUGAGUUAAAUAGUUUUUGCCAAAAUGAAGUAAUAUUGUUUUCACACGCAAUGUAAUCUUCACAAUCUGACUGUAACAUCUAGGACAUGUUUGGGAUGUUAGAAUUAGAGUUUUAAAAAAUAAUUAUUUUUUUCUUUUAGAAAUUAAUGUCAUUGUAGGGUUUGAUGGGUUAUCUUCAACUUUAACAGUUAGGUUUCCAAAGUCGGUGAUCCUAUUUAAAUAUAUAAAAAAAUCUUUAAAUUUAAAAGGUGUUCUUAUAAGGAAACAAAGAUGUUAUAUAUGAUUGUUGUCGUGACAUAUAAGCAUUUAAUUAAUAUUUUAAAGUUUUAAAAAAUAAUAAUAAAUAUAUUUUUAAUAAUUGUAAAUUUUAAAAAAUAAGUUAUAUAUUUUUAAAACCUUAAAGUUUUUUUAAAAGCUAAUGUAUCAUCCAUAACAAAUUAUACAUCAUUAACACAUAUUGGGGCAUGGGAAAGAUUUUAAAAAAUUGAACUCAAAGAGUGCUGGUUCAUCAAGGCAUGGCAAGUAAGUGAUAGCUGAAGCAAUUUGUGUCAUGAUUGCCUGUAUUUCUUUCAUAAUUUCUUUAUCACUCUGUACCCCUAGCACACGGCAAAAUCUCCUACAUUUCAAAUUAACUGAUGUGAAGUAAAACAUUAAAGCAGAAGAGGAUCAACUAUUACCCUCACUAUUUGUUUCAAUGCUAAAAUUCCACCUCUCCUCUCCAACACCUCAUUGGUAGCCUUAAUCAUCAUAACCAACACAACCCUAAACUUGAGUUGUCAUAUUCAAAUAUUUAUUUGCACCCUAAGCAAUAGUUUUAGAACAAUUAAAUUUGCAUAAAAUAACAAGUUUUUUACUUGACGUUAAGACUGAGUUAUUAUUCAUUGAUACUGCUUUAGAACACUUAUAGUAAUAGUUUUAGUCUUUCAACUUCAUCAAUUAAUCUUUUAAAGUUAUGUGUUACGAUUGCCGUCAUAGGCCAGCUAAAAUUUUAAUUACGGUAAGUGCAUUUAUUAAUUAAAGAUAUAGUUACUGUGAACAAAGAUAUCAUUCUCACGAAGACUAAAAGUACUAGUAAUUAUCGUUUUUCUAUUAUUUAACUGACAAAUUGGAGUGAUUGAUUAAAGCUAAAAUUAACUAAAGAACACAACAAAGAGUAUAUCAUAAUAAUAAACUAUUAACAACCAAUAAGUGAGACAAUACCUAGGAAAGAAUCCACCUAAACUUCAUCUGUCAUGAUCAAUCUAAAUCACACAAUUUCUUCACUUUGUAUCUUAAUACGGAGAAAUCCCUAAAUUAUGCUAAUAUCUCUCUUUAAGACUAAAAGCUACUGAUUCUAGAUUGAUUAAUUGAAAUUUCUUUCUAAUUAAAAUCCCUAUUAUUGCAUUAACCCGAUCUAUAGAUCCUUCUAUUAGAUUUGACUCUAAUCCAAUAGAUUUAUGUCAUCUUAUCUAAGAUUGCAUGCAAUUCCACUCAAUUAUACUACAUCUACUCUUAAACAAUGUCUAUUCCUCCUCUGAUUUAAGUACAUAAAACAUGGAUCAAUAGUCUAGAAAUAUUAAACCAUGAAUUAAGCACACAUAAUUUAGAACAAGAUUUAAGUAUUUGUUGCAUAAAAAUAAAAAAAAAUAAUAGAAUUCAUCCUAAGGUUUAUCUCCUUAGGUAUUUGGAAAAAAUUAGUUCAUAUAGUAAAUAAAAACAUCUCAAAGAUAGUAUAACCAUAAGGAAUAAAGAAAAUCAUAAUAAACUUUAAAGAAAUCACAAGGAGAACUUCAAUUUUGAUGGAAAUAUGCUUCAAAGUCGGCUUCAAUGGAAUUUUUUGAGUUUUUUUUCUUCAAUAUUAUAUGACAACUCACUUCCCUCUUCUUAUAUUUUUCAUACAUGUCUUAGAAUACAUGAAAAACUUAAAAAUUACGAUUUUCUGUGUGUCUAGAGUACAAUUUGUUCUUUCCACAUGGUUUGACACAUUGUUGUGUGGCAACUCGUAUGGCUCACUCGAUCGUGUGGAAUGACCUAGUCCGUGUGGCUCCUGAAGCUUGUUCUAAUUUUCUAAUUUUUGCUCUUUUUAUUCUCAAAAGCUCUCUUAAGUAUAGAAACAUGAAAUUAACGGAUUGGAAGCAUAAAAUUCACCAUUAGCAUUGAAUAAUCACCCAAAAACGCAUUAAGAUUGAGAUGAAAACAUGUUACUUUUAGAAUCUAUCAUGUAUAUAUAUAUACAUGUCUUCUUAGAUCAUUUGCUAUUAAAUAUAUAUAUAUUAGAGCAAACUCCGGUGAGGAAAAUUUUGAACAUACGAAUGAAACUCGCAUAGAAAAUGAAGCCGAUAUAUAUAUCAAACCAUAUUUUUAAAGUUAUACCCGCUCUCACCUAUAUUCGGUGUUCAAAAUAAUUUCAAGCAAAUUAACCUUGAGAAUACAAUGAAGCCUAUGACUAUUUACAGGAAUUUUUAUGUCUUUCAUAGAGACAUCUUUCAAUAGUUAUUUUUUUAAUAAUAACAUCUUUAAAAAGACAUAUAAUUAUUCAUCUAAUAUUAUAAUUAUUCAAAAAAAUAAUUCUUUUUCAAAAAUUAAGUGAUAUAAUUAUUGACCAAUGACCAAAAGAUUUAACUUUUGAUUAAUUACAACAAAUUUUUAUAAUUAAAUAUAUUGAAUUUACAAAUUAAUGGAAGAAAAUAAUUAAUGGAUUUUAAGAUUUAAGGUUAAUAGUUUGGAAUUUAUCCCAAGUCUAACUUAAAGUUCAACUCUUAUCUAAUUGCGUUGAAAAAAAAAAGCCAAAAGAAAAAUUCCUAUCUAAUUUCAGCAAUUUAAAAAAACUUUAAAUUAAACUUAAAUUUUUAAGAUUCUAAUAAUAUAAAAAAUUAAAUUGAAAUUUUUUAAAAGAAUAUAUUAAAUAAAUAAUUUAUAAUUAAAUAAGAAAUAAAUAUUUUUUACUCUUCUAAAAAAAUCUUUUCUUAUUUUCAGUCUUCCAAUUUUAAAAAAAAAAAUUAUCACUCUUCUUCCUCCUUGGGUUUAUCUACUACGGGUAGAAGAGGAAGGCGAAAUGGGAUAGAACCCAGAUCGUGUCGGGUUGGCAUAGGAAAUGGGUUGUAUGAAGAUCAAGGUUUUUAGGGUUUUUGCAUUGGAGAAGAAGAAAGGUGGAGAAAAAAAGACAAAGAAAAAAAAAAGGUGAAUUUUUUUUUUCUGAAAAACUGAAAUCAGAAAGGAAGGGCUUUGCUUUCUAGGAGAUAGUGUAUUUUAAUGGAAUAUUAUGUAUUUAUUAUAUUGCUCUUUAAUUGCUGGGCUGCAAUUGCAUGCAUGCAUGGACGAUGUAUGUGAGUUGUGUAUCUUUUUUGCUGGAUUUUCUAUAUUGUUUUCCUCCUCCAUCUAUCUUUUUUUUUUUCAUUUUAAUUGAUUCAAUGGGUUUUGUUGAUUCAAUUAGAAUCAUUUGAUUUUUAAUUUGCUGAUUCAAUGGGUUUAUUGAUUCAAUGAGUAGUAGUAUCACUUGAUUUAUUUGCUUAGUGAUUCUUCUCUCAUUUUGACCCAACAAAAAUUGUCUUCGUGGAUGAAAAAAAUGGGAUAACUUUGCUCGCAUUAGGGGUUGACAGGACGAAAUUUCAAGUUUAAAUGGGAGCCAAAACUAUUAUGGAAGAAUUAAAACUAAAAAAAAAAAAAACUUGAGAUUAUUUUGAAUUAUCAGAAGAACCAUGGGGAGAGAUUGAAAAGUAGAAAAGGAGUUUCAUGGAUGUGAUGACUAGAAUUGAAUGUGUGAAAGUUACAGCUCAAAAUAUUUAAACCUCGCCAUGCUAGGUCUGGCUAGACAGUCCAAACCCAAUUAAUGACUGUAGGACAUUCCCACUAUAAAUUAUCCAACUACACUUCGUGUAAAAAGACGAAACACAAAAAAGCUAAAAGAUAGGAAUUCUUCCUAGUAAUUCUGCCUUUGUGGAACCUACCUCGGAAUUUUGCCUGUUUUUAUCUGAACUUUCUUCUUCGUUUUGGCUAUUGUACCCACAACAUUCUUUCUUCUUUACUGUUUUUAAUUUCUUUUGAUUUCCAAGGUCUAUCACAAAAUUUCAAGCAACCAGUCAAGGAAAUUUUCUUUCAUUUGCUUAAUCCGUAACAUGCUUUUCUUUGCUUAAUUCAUGACUUUGCAAUGAUUGUUUCUGGUUAUCUGCUACUCUUAGCAGCUAGCUUUGUAAGACAGUCAACUUCACUGCUUCAUUUUCAGUUCUAUUCUCUCAACACUUUUCAGCCACUAAGUCAGGUAAUAAGAUCUGAAGCUAUGAUUUCCUCCACUGAUUAUCAACAGUUUUAGAUUUUAAGACAAGUUUAUCAGCAGACAUAAGCUACUCUACAUUGAAAUUAAUACAGAAAGAGCUACCCGGAAGCACUAUAAUGUUGAAAUCUCAUACUUAACAUUUUAACUCUUAAUAUUCUGUAAUGAACUGUUGCACACUUGAAUCUAGCAUUUUAUAUACAUUAAGAGCUUAAUUCUGGUGACCAGAAUUUCAUCAUGUUUCUGUCUGCCACCCAUCCAUAGCUCCAUCUAAUAAACGCCAUUGCUUGAAACUUGCAAUCAUGUUUUCCUUUUCAUGCUUACACUGACAUAUCAAUACUUCAUAAAAUAUCCAAUUCAUUCUCUGCUACUGUUAUCUAUGAUUGCAUUGCAGGGACAUAGCAAUGGAGUACGUAGAGCCUGUUGUUGGCAUUGCAAUUUGUCUCGGCACUCCUGUUUGUAAAUAUUUGCAAUAUCACAGAAAGCUGAACGACUAUGUGAGAAACUUCAAGAGGAUCAGAGAUGAGUUGAAUUGCAAAAUGGAAGAUAUAGAGCUGCAAUUGAAAGCAGAGCUUCUUCGGCCUCUGGGGAAGAUACCAAAGAAGGGAGUUGAAAAUUGGUUGAAAGAUGUGAAAGAGAUGAUUCGGGAAGCACUACUUGUUGAAAACAAAGUCAGUAACGGGAGAUAUCUCUGUCGUGCUUGCAACGGGAAGCUGGUUGAUGUAAAGACUCGAGAAAUGAAGGAAUUUCUUGAUAAAGCUCCUAAAGCCUCUGAAGGUCUUGCCAUGGAUGGUCCAAGUGGUGGGUUGCCGCUGCCAACAUCAGAACUAGUCGGAGAGGAAGCUGUCAGAAAUGAGAUUUGGGCAUGUUUGAUGCAGGAGGAGGUGAGCAAGAUUGGAGUUUGGGGGAUGGGCGGUGUGGGUAAAACCACUAUCAUGAAGCACAUCCACAAUGAUCUUUUGAAAGAACAAAGAUUCGAAAGGGUAAUCUGGGUUACCAUAUCAAAGGAGUUCAAUGUAAUGAAGGUACAAGAUAAUAUUGCAAGUGCGUUGAAGGCGAAGGAAUAUUUAGACAAAGAAGAGGACAAGGUCAGACGAGCAGCAAUCUUGUCAGAAAUGCUGAAGAACGCAGGAAAGCAUGUUCUAAUCCUAGAUGAUGUGUGGGAUAAAGUCUCUCUAGAGGAAGUUGGGAUCCCCAAGGCAAGUGGCGGCAAUGGCUGCAAGUUGGUGUUGACAACUCGUUCGGAGCAUGUCUGUAAGUAUACGGGUUGUAAGGUGAUAAAAGUGAGGCCCCUUUCAGAAGAAGAGGCAUUGAUACUAUUCUUGAGUAAAGUUGGACCUAACAUAGUUCAAUGUCCAACUAUAAUGCCAACUCUGAAGCUUGUUGUCAAGGAAUGUGCGGGUCUACCUCUUACAAUUGUCGUGGUAGCUGGUACCAUGAAAGGAGAAUAUAACCCUCGUAUUUGGAAAAAUGCACUCAAAGAUUUGAAAGAGAGAAUAGGGAAAGUGGAAGGAGUGGAAGCUGAGGUAACCGAGCGCUUGAAAUUCAGUUUCGAUCACUUGAAAGAUGAGAAAGUAAAAGAUUGCUUCUUGUAUUGUGCAUUAUAUCCUGAAGAUUAUGAAAUUCGUAAGGUUGAACUAAUCGAGUGUUGGAUUGCUGAGAUAUUCAUAGACGAGAUGGACACAAGACAAGAAAUGGAAGAUAAAGGCCUUACUAUUUUGAAAAGGUUGGAAGAUAACUGCUUGUUGGAAAAUAAUACCACUCAAUUUGGUUUAAAUGGUAUAAAGAUGCAUGAUGCAGUGAGAGACAUGGCAUUGUCGAUCACAAGAAUGAAUCCUCGAUAUAUGAUACAAGCAGGUUUGCAAUUAGAAGAGUUACCAGAAAAGGGGCAAUGGAGUCCGGAUAUUGAGAAAGUGUCACUUAUGUAUAACUCCAUAUCAGAAAUUUCCAUAGAUGUGCUGCCCACAAAAUGUCAACUGCUCACAACCUUGUUAUUGCAGCAUAACCCUAUAAAGAAGAUUCCAUAUUCUUUCUUCAUAAACAUGCCCUGUCUUUGUGUCCUAAAUUUGUCCUAUACAGAGAUCGAGAGUUUACCAAAUUCCAUCUCUGAACUAAAGAACCUCACAAUAUUGUUGCUUUGUGAUUGUGAAGAAUUAAGAGAUCUACCAUGUCUUUCGAUGCUUCAAGAAUUGAAGAAGUUGGAUCUAAGUUGGACUAAAAUUGAGGAAGUCCCUGAAGGAAUGGAUAUGCUGAUAAAGCUAAGAUAUCUUGAUCUUAGAGUGCACACUCUGAAAGAGAUACCCGCUGGACUUUUACCAAAACUCGUUCACCUUCAGCACUUGGGUUUUUAUGAGAACAAUGAAAAAACAAGUCUAAAAGCAGAGGAGUUGGAACCAUUGAUGAAGUUGGAGUGCUUUACCGGACGUUUCGAAGAUAUCAAUGAAUUCAAUAAGUUCAUCUCCUCAAUGAAACAAAGUAAGAAAAAUCUCAUCAAGUACCAUUUACAGGUGGGCUCAUCUUUUAUGCUUGCUACAAGAGAUAAAACAGUAACAAUUGGAGGAGUCCAGAAUUGGGAAGGUGAGUCAAUUAUGCACCCAAUUGAAAUUCAACAGUUGAAUAUUUCAAGUUGCAACUAUUUGAGAAACUUAGUCGAUGAUAAUUCUUCCUUCAAAAAAGUGAUUGGCUUGAGGGUUUGGGUUUGUGAAGGGAUAGAGUGUGUUGUUUCCCUGUCCUCUUUUGCCUCUUCUUCCACUCAUCCAUUUCAAAGCCUCGAGGUGUUAGAUCUUGGAGAUCUGCUAAAGUUGAGUGCCCUUAUUAUGAAAGAUGCAGGAAUUGGUUCAGCAACAACAUCAACAUCGGCUCCGUCUGCCACCUUUUCCCAUCUUAAGGAAAUUAGGAUAUACAAAUGCUCAGGUAUGAAGACGUUGCUUCCACAUUGGUUGCUUCCAAACCUCCAAAGCCUGGAAGAAAUACAUGUGGGUGCUUGUAGUCAGCUAGUAGAAAUAUUGGGAGCAGCAACAUCAAAAGUUGAAGAAAGAGGGAGUGAUGCAUUAAUCAAAUUCCAUCUUUCCAAAUUCAGAGUAUUGAGACUAAAUAAGUUACCAAAUUUGAAGAGCAUAUGCAGCAAAAGUGGAGUGAUGGUUUGUGAUUCUCUCCAAGUUAUCAAAGUUUUUGGAGAUUGUGAUAAACUGAAGAGAAUUCCUCCAUUUGUUCCCCUUGUUGGCAAUGGGCAGCCAUUUGUAUAUGCUCCACCUUCUCUUACAAUCACGUCAGACACAGAAUGGUGGGAAUCGUUGGAGUGGGAUGAUCAUCCAAACUUUAAAAAUGUUCUUCAACCCCUUUGGAAGCUUUUAAGGUAUCAACCAUUUAUAGUUUAGUUUAUUCGAUUUAUUUUAUAAAUCUAAUUUCUCCAUUUUAAUACCAUUUCAUUAAUCCAACUUCUCCAAGUUAUCCAAGUUAUCCAACUUAUCCAAGAUGCUGGAGACUGUUAUAAACUGAAGAGAAUUCCUCCAUUUGUUCCCCUUGUUGGCAAUGGGCAGCCAUUUGCAUAUGCUCCACCUUCUCUUACCAUCGGGUCAGAGACAGAAUGGUGGGAAUGGUUGGAGUGAGAUGACCAUCCGAACUUUAAAAAUGUUCUACAACCCCUUUGGAAGCUUUGAAGGUAUAUGAACCAUUAUAGUUUAGUUUAUUUUAUUUAUUUUAUAAAUCUAAUUCCUCCAUUUUAAUACCAUUUCAUGUUAUAUUUUAUUUUUGUUUGAAGAUGAUGUGGCCUCCAUUGGUGCGAAAGAAGUAGAAGAGAGUAGCAGGGCGGAGGAUGGUGCAAAAGAGAGGAUAAAAAAUGUGGGAAUAAAAGGAAUGAUGGAUGAGGAAUUGAGCAGCCACCAUAAUAAUUGACUCCUUUUCCAUUGAAUCAAAUAUUAUUAUGUUCUAUUAUUUAAAAAAUCUUUAUAUGUUCUUAAACAGAGAUGUUGCUUUUAAAAUUAUUUGUCUGUAAAAUUAUUAAACUUAUUAUUCUUCUAUCAAUCAUUUAUGCAUUUUUUUACUAAUGAUUCUAAUAAAAAUUUUAACAUUCAAAAGCAUAUAAGUUGAAAUAAUUUUUUUCAAUUUUAAAAUAUGCAACUUAAAAAAGUACUCCAUUAUUUUCUUAAAAUAAUAUCAAAUAAAAUAAAAAAUUUAGUUUAAAUAUCAUUAUUUCUUCUUUCAACAAUCAUUCUAUUCUAAAAAUAAAAAUAAAAUAAAUAAACAAAAAAACUUUAUUAUAUAAUUUAAUCAGUUAAAUUUAAUCCGUUAAAAUAAAUAAAAAGUAAGACUUGAUGAAACACUAUAUAUAUAACUUAAUCAGUUAAAUUUUAUUAUUAAUUUUUGUAUUACGUUGUGUAUUUAAUUUUUAUAUUUUAAUUUGAUUAUUUUUAAUUUUUAAUUUUUUAAAUUUUAAAAUUUCAUGUGGUAAUAAUUAAAUUUAUUAAGUUAAAUUAUACUAUUUCUAAAAGGGUUAAUGCACUAUUUACCCUUAAAAAUUGUACUCAACUAUCACCUUGAUACUUAAAGAAUUUUUUAUACCAAUUUUGUACACGGAGUUUCUAACUAUGAAUCACUUUACCUUACUUGUUAACUGCAUUAAAAAAAAGAUGAUGUGGCGUGCUCUCAGCAUAUUACGUGAUUCAAUUCUUAUUUUCUCAAAAUAAAUUCUAAAAAAAAUGAGAACAAUAAAUAAUAAUAAUAAUAAUUGAGAAUUUUUCUCAAUUUUUUUAAAAAUAAAAAAAUAUGCAAAUUUAUAGCAAAUUCCUAAAAUUGAAAAACUAUUUACAUUUUUUUAAGUACAAAAAAUUAAAAAAAAAACAAAUAAAAUCUAUAAAAUUUUAACAAAUAAAAAAUUGGAAAGUUGUAUAAAAUUUUCAAAAUAAAAAAAUAUUUCUCUUUUUUAAAAAUAGAUAAAAAUACAAAAAAGAAAAAGAAAAAAAUACAAGAAUUUCAAAUUUUUCAGAAAAAGCUUAAAACAAUUGAAAAUCAGAAAAAGACAAAUAUAAUUUUAAAAUAUAUGAAAUAUAAAAAAAAUUUAUUUGGAGAUAAAUACGGAAGGUUUAGGGGUUGAGCCUCUAGAACAUAUGAACUGAUAUCUGAGCGAUCAAGGCGAGGAAAGCGAAGUUUCAUAAUAACCACCAGAGAGUCCCCUUCAAUCUCCACAGAACCAAACCCCAUCUCCCUUGCGAAUCAAAUCUCUUCCACACUCACCCAUGCCUUCGCUGCCAAAGGGGUUGAAACAUACUCCAUCCAGAAGCAGGUUGCCCACAUUAGAAGGCCUAAAUGAUUCAAAGUCAUGACCCCCGCACGUGCAACCGCCCAAAUCCCUAUGAAACCCGGUAUCAAAAUUGAGUCGCAUACAAGGAUCGACUGACAGUCACCAUGUUCGGAAGGUUGAGUCUUUCCGUCGACCAUGCACAUCGAGUAAGCAUCCCAGCCUUCAGACAUGACCCAAAAUAAAGGUAAGAAGCUCUGAAUUUUAUUGUCACUUGCCCUCAUGCACCAAAAGAUUUCUCAAAUACCAAACUGCCUAAAAGGUGACAAUUAUUGUUAGACGUUGUGCAGGAGAACUACCACAAAGCAAAUCCCAACAAAGCAAGGAGUCGUUAACCUCAUCCACAUGCCAAGUGAAACCAAGGCUCAACCAAACCGAGAGCAGAAAUGGACAAUCACGACAAGCAUGAAGAGAUGUUUCACCACACGCACCACAUCGAGGGCACAUCGAGUCACCUCGAAGGUGUUGCAUGAAAAGAUAAGCAUUGGUAGACACAUAGUUGUUUAGGAAUUUUGACACUAUAAUUUGGAUAUUUUCCUAUGCAGAAAUCUACCAAGGAGUUCUAUAAAUGUCCUUGAUGUCUUGACCCACAUUAAUGUACUUGUCCUUCAUCGAACUAGGAAAACCAUGCAAAAGGAGUCAAUAGCCACUCCGAACCGUGUACUCUCGAGAACCUUCUAAGCACCAAUGCAACUGUCAGAGGCCCCCUACUGCGGCAAAGGAAUGAAGAGGAUCGUACGAGCCUCUAAGGCAUCAAACGUUGAUAGAACAACAUCCUCAUUCCACAUAUUCAUAUUUGUGUCAAUCAAAUCAGCAACCUAAUUAAUACCAUUGACUCGUUGUAACUCCACCAGAAAUGGUCGAUCACUAGAGCAUCAUGACAUGUCACAAACUAAAAUCUCAUUCUCAUUCCCCAUCAGCCAACUACAACCUUUGACGAGUAGGCCUUUCGCCGCCCAGAUGCUCCUCCUAAUAAAAGAAGUUUUGCUCCCUAAUGUCGACUGUAGGAAAUCAUCACGCAAAAAAUAUUUCACCUUAAGAACCCUUGCCAUUCACAAAAAUUAUCCCUAUUUAAAAUUUUCUUAGUAAAAAUGUUAAUAAGAGGAUUAUAAGACAUAUUUGAACUGAAAAAAAAUAAAGAUUCAUUAAUUACUAUAUUUGUAUUAAGCAAAUAUUUUUAUUUCAGCAACAUAUCAAGAAUGCAGUAUGAUGCAUGCGUCUUGUAUUAAAACCUUGAAAAUAAUUUUUUUUUGUUGCUAUGAUCAUUUUCACACCCAUCAAUCAUGUCGCUUUGGGGUCCAUGAUUAACUAGUAAGAACAUGGAAUACAUCCAAUCAGUUCAUGAAUCUUAAUUCUCAAGACUCCAUAGGAACCAAUGAUCGUUUAACGUUUAGCCAUCAUCUCUAGCUUAAAUAUUGUUUUUUGGGAAACUAUUUCAUAAGAGAAGAUUUUAAGUAUGUAACCAUUGACUCAACACCCAUCAUGAACAUGCUUUCAUUUAUGAGUCAUCUUGGGACAAUUUCACUAAGAUUCAUGCACAACUACUUAUCCUGAAAAGUAAAUCUUAUCUAGUGAACCCACAUGAUAAAGUUUAUCUUGAGACAAUUGUUUUUUCUUUUAUCAUGCUAUCACUUAAUACCAUCAAUGGAGGUCGCAGGUCUUGUUAAAGGACCUUCUCCCACUCAAUAUUUUAAAAUAAUAUGAAAGGUUUUUUUAUCUCAUGUUUAAAAAAUGAUCAUACAAUAGUCCUAGUGACAUUCUUAUCUAAUUUAUAUGACAUGCUUCCCAUAUAUGCAUGACAUGCUAUGACAAUUUUAUAAUAUUCACAUUCAUUUAUUCAUAAGAAUCAAUCAAUCAUAAAACAAACAAUUUUGAUUCUCUAUAGUUUUUCCUUUGAGGGAAAACUGAAUAAGUGAAUGUGAACCGUGCACCAAGUAGGGUCUUAGGAAAGGGAGGUGAAUCAAAGUUGACCACUUAAAAACCAAGCCUUCUAAUACCACAUUUCUCACGGUAAUCGAAUAACCUAAAGUAGUGAAUAGAACAAUACAACACAUGCAUUUUCUCAUUACCACACUUCUAAUUUUUUUUAAUCGAUCAACUGCCGAUCAUCUCAUAUAUAUAUAUAUCACAAUUGUAACAUUACAUGAUAUAAAUAUUAAAAUCAAUUAUAAAACAAAAAUAUAAGGAGGUGAGUAAUUAAAAUAAAAUUGUCAACCAAGGUUUCCAUGGUUUUAUUCUAGAAAAUAAAAGAAAAAAAUAAAAUUACACAGUUAUUGGCCACAAGGUAUUCUUUGGGUCUUCAACUGCCAUCGCUCUAUCUUUUCCUAAUCAUGGACUCCUUUCGGUAGAACUACAUUUAACCCUUAUGUCCGUUUUCGGAUCAAGAAUUCUAUGAAUUAAAAAAACAAUCCUACAUGAAGAUGAUAGUCCACGGUCUAUUUCCUAAGAACCAUAACAUUGACAAAGCAAACAAUUAGAUAAUAAAUAUAUAAUAUCGCAUUCAUUCUCAUAUAUAACACAAAAAUAUGUAUAAGAUCUAAAGAAUGUCACUUUCUAUGUAAUCAAAUCAUUCAAGAAGAAGAGAAUUUUAUUUUGGUUAUCUAUUUAUACUUAUAGAUAGAGCAAAACCUGAUUUUAAUACCAAUUGUUCAAAAACGAGUUUGGAAAAUGCAGCGAAAAAUCAAUAUAGGGAAAAACCUAAGUUUUAAAAACUUAUAAAAUAAGAAUUUAGUUGUGAUAUCAAAAGUAAUAAACACUUAAUAAAAAUUAUACCAUUUGCAUAUGCUCCACCUUCUCUUGCCAUCAAGUCAAGCACAGAAUGGUGGGAAUCGUUGGAGUGGAAUGACCAUCCAAACUUUAAAAUGUUCUUCGCUUCAACCCCCGUGGAGGAUAAGAGGUAUGAACCAUUUAAGAUUUUGUUUAUUUUUUUUAUUUUUAUAAAUCUAAUUUCUCCAUAUUAAUAAAAUUUGAUGUAUAUUUGUGAUGAUGUUGAAGAGAAAGAUAGAAGGGUUGGUGGGAAAGAAGUAGGGGGGAGGAUAGUGCAAAAGAGAGGAGAAAAGGAAUGAUGGAAGAGCAUGGAGACUGAGAGGCAAAGGUAAAUAAGAAAUCAAACUGCCUCCCCUUUUUAAACAUUUUUCCUCUCUUACCAUUCCUUCUAUUCUCUUCUAAUAUAUAUAUGUACAUCCCAAAAUAACCUUCUAAAUAUUUAUUAUUAAAUUAUUUAUAUUAAUCAAAAUGAUUUAAGGUGAGACAAAACUACGACCAUAGUUUUAUUUCCAAUAAAAGUUAGGAAAUUGUUGUAAAAAGACAUAAUAUUUUUUAAUUUCUAUGUAAAAUUUCUGGAAACAUUACGAUUUAAAAAAUAAUAAUAUAGUUAGAAAUUAAUGCCAAAAGAGCUACCCAGAAGCAAUAUAAUGUUGAAAUCGCACACUGUUGAACAUUUUACCUCUUAAUAUUCUGUUGCACACUUGAAUCCAGCAUUUUCUAUACAAUGAGAGGUUAAUUCUGGAUAUACAAAUUUCAUUGUGUUUCUGUCUGCCACCCAUCCAUAGCUCCAUCUAAUAGACGCCAUUGCUUGAAACUUGCAUUCAUGCUUACACUGACAUAUCAAAAAGCCAAUACAUUCACAGAUUUUCAUUAUCUGCUACUGUUAUAUAUGAUUGCGUUGCAGGGACAUAGCAAUGGAGUACGUACAGCCUGUUCUUGGCAUUGCAAAUUGUCUCGGAACUCCGGCUUGUAAAUACUUGCAAUAUCUCAGAAAGCUCAAUGAUUAUGUGAGAAACUUCAAGAGGAUGAGAGAUGAGUUGAAUUGCAAAAUGGAAGAUAUAGAGCUGCAAUUGAAAGCAGAGCUUCUUCGUCCUCUGGGGAAGAUACCGAAGAAGGGAGUUGAAAAUUGGUUGAAAGCUGUGAAAGAGAUGAUUAAGGAAGCACAAGUUGUUGAAAACAAAGUCAGUAACGGGAGAUAUCUCUGUCGUGCUUGCAACGGGAAGCUGGUUGAUGAAAAGACUGGAGAAAUGAAGGAAUUUCUUGAUAACGCUCCUAAUGCCUCUGAAGGUCUUGCCAUGGAUGGUCCAAGUGCUGGGUUGCUACUGCCAACAUCAGAAUUAGUUGGAGAAGAAGCUGUCAGAAAUGAGAUUUGGGCAUGUUUGAUGCAGGAGGAGGUGAGCAAGAUCGGAGUUCGGGGGAUGGGCAUAAAAAAUUAGUAAAAUAGAUCAUUGCUAAUUCUCUCUUUUCUUAAUCGGUAAGUUUCUCUCUUCAAAUCCUUUUAUUUCUUUAUUGAAUCCAUCGCAAACCGAUUUCUGUACAGUUUGUUUGUUCAAUUUUUCUUUUUCCAGUUUUUUUUUUUUUUUUUUUUGGAUUUAGAUGGAAGAUUCUUUUGUCGCAUUUGAAGAGUUUCUAAAGACUUUAGGGUCUUCCUAAAUCUAACUUUCUUGACACCACGUGCGCGUAUAAAUUUCUUUCGUGGAGAUUAUUUAUCAUGUUUGUGUGUUUCGUCUCUUGAGGUUGAGCUAUUUUUCUUUUCAAAAAUAAAUAUUUAUUUUCUUUUGCAUUUAUUUCUAAUAUCACCAUAAAUUGUUUAGGGUUGUCGAUUUUGGGGAUUUUGGGUUUUGGGUGGUCUAAUUUGGGGAUCUUGAGUAAGGGUUUUGAUUUUAGGAAUUUUUAUUUAGGGUUUUUAAUUUUGGAGAUUUUGGGGAUUUCUCACACCGCCCUCCUCAUCAGCUUCAAAGCCAACAAAUCUACAUCUAGGCUCAUGCGAAAAGUCACUAGAACCCAUGUUUGAAACCCCGGGUCACUUCCGCCAUGCAAAUUGCAUCGAACUGAUCAACGACUCUAUCAAAGAGCUCCAAAAAUCUAUAUGUAAAAUUUUUUCAUAUCAGAUGCUCCAACUUUGUGCUCAUGAGUGAUCUUCAAACCUAGGUUAAUGCUGCUCUAACGGAUGAAGAUACUUGCAUGGAUGGAUUCUCAAGCAGGGCUAUGGAUGGGUAUGCAAAGAUGAUGGUGAGGAAACGAAUUAUUAAGAUCACACGUUUGACGAGCAAUGUUUUGGCUCUCAUUAAUAACUAUGCUUCAUCUCAAAUCCUUCAUAGAUUUUCUUGAGAAAACUUUGAUGGCAAGGAAAGCAACUUUGAUGGAAAGGAAAGCAUUGUGUUUCAUGGAUUUAUGUUCAAUAUGAGAUUUUAUGGUUUUCAAACAGGGCACAAGUUUUUAAGGUACUGUAGAUUGUGUUCUCAACUCUAGGUUUGUGGUUCUUGAUUUUUGCAAUUGUAUCAAUUUGAAUAUGAAAUUUGUGUUCGUGUAUGUUUAGGGUUUUUAUUAUUUUUUUAAUAAUUUUAAAAUCAUUUGCUGACAUGGUAUAUAAGAGAAAAUAAUGUUAUGUUAGUAUUUAAAUUCAUUUGGACCAUCAUGUCAGAGGUUAAUGUUGACCAUUAGACAACUAACGGCCACAUCACCUUCUAUGUUAAAAAUAAACCAAUUUGUUAGAAAUUUAAAUUUUGCACUAUAAAAUUAAUUUUUAAAAUUAACUAUUCAAUUUGUAAUUGAUUUUAUUAAAUUAAAUUAUUCACUAAUGUUUGAAAAUGUUCUCCAUGUUAAUUAUACACUUGAUUUUUUUUAAAAUUAUUUAAGAAUUCAGUUAAAUGGUAAUCAAUUUAUAUUAAAAUAUCAGUUUUAUUGGUUGUAUUAUUUCAUUAACAUUCUUAUAAUAUUAUUUCAUUUUUAUUUAUAGACACCAACUUCAAAAUCAAAAGAGGAUUAAUUCACGAGAAGAUAUGGCUCAUACUGUAAACGAUAAAUAAGAUAUUAUAAAUUGAUAUGAUUAAAAUUUAAAUAAUAUACAAAGAGUAGCAAAAUAAAUUGAAAGCAUUUUAUAUGAUCUAAAUGAACUAUAAUAAAAGGAUUAUAUAUUUCCUAUCAAUCCUACUAUAUUGUCUUUUAUAAAUAAUUUCCUAUCAAGCAAGUUGACAGCUAAAGGGUGCAAAUUUGACUUUGCUAAAUUCUCUAGCAUCAAAGAGGCAAGAUAUUUUGCAAACAAGACAUAAACCAAUAUCAACAUGGUGAUUCCAAAAUUCAAAACACACUAAACCCCUACUUUUGUAUGAUAGAGAAAAUAUGAUGUAUAAAUUUAUAGUCAUGGAAUGCAUUAGGUGCAUUGAAGAUAACUCAGUGUUAGAAUCAAAUAAAUUUAUCGUUAUUUUUGUGAAUUGUAAAAUUGUGCAUCAACUGGAAAAAAUGUUUGUCUGGCAUUACAAGAAUUUCUUUAAAGUUAAUAGUAUGUUUGUCUGCCAUUACAAGAAUUUCUUUAAAGUUAAUAGUUUGAGAGAUUAUUUUAAGGAGGAAUUGGAAGGCAUUGCUAUAAGGAGAAUCUCAAGAAAGCAAUUUGGUUUUGAGUUUCAAGUGAAAGGAAUGAAAGAAAGGUUAAUUAAAUAAAUACGGGAUUGGAUAUUGAGCUGUUUUGAAUAGUUGGAGCGAAGGACACAUGGACCAUAUGAAAUUCAAGUCUACCAAAGUAAUGCUAAUCAGAUUCCUCUUUGGAAAUGAUAACUUUUUAAAACAUUGUCAAUCUACCUUGAAAGGUGGCAUCGGUAAAAGAAUCAAUCAUGAAAUAUUAAAAUUAUACUAAAAUAACUAUACAGAUUUAUUUCCCUUAUAAAUAAACAUUUUCUUAUUCUUCCUUAAAAAUUAACAUGAUUUUAUCUUAAUAUACAUGUAUAUAUAUAUUUAUGUCUCAAAAUAGCCUUCUAAAAUAUUUAUUUUAAAAAAAUAAUUUAUAUAAUACAUAUAACAAUUAAUUAUAAACUUAUUUUCAUAUGAUGUCAAAAUUAAAUAUUAUAAUGGUCCUUUAUCACAUUCAACACUAACUUUUAUUUUAUAAUUUUUUUUAAAAUAAACUUUAAAUUUUAUAAUAAAAAGCAAACAUAGGCUUCAAAUUUUAAGUUAAAAAUAUGGGAUACUAGUUGACUAUAGACUCAUCCAUGGGCCCUUGACCAGAGUCGGGUCUAUAUAGAUAAAGUUUUUUAUAAUUCGGGUCGGUCCAACUAAAAUUUAAUUUAAAUAAUACAAAAUUAUUUUUAAAAUUUAAAUUUAAUUAUAAAAAUAUACUUUUAUUUUUUUUGAACAUUGAAACGAGCUUUUUAGGUAGAUCGAGUUGGGUCAAAAACUGGCUUGGACUUGAAAAUUUUUAGAUUAUUUUUAAGAGAAUAACAAUAUCAAGGAGUCUAAGAAUUAAAAAUUUUAAAUUAAAAUUUUAUUGUUUGAAAUCUUCUAAUAACAUAAAAAAAAAUUAAACUAAAGUUUUUAAAAGAAUUCAGGGUAAAAUACACCAUUAGUCACUCAACAAAGGGUCAAUUUUCAUUUUAGUCACUUAACUAAAAUAAGAUACAAUUUGGUCACUAAUGUUUCUAGAAAAAAAUUUUGGUCACCCGACUGUUAAGUGGCGCUUACUUUAGCUGGUAUGAUAACAAUUUUUGUCACAUCCCAAAAACCAGUUUAGUAGAAAUUGAGUUAGUGAAACCAAGAGUGGUCACGUCCUAUUUUUGAGUUAAGAUUGUGAAAAUUAUGUUAAGUAAAUUGAUUUGGUUAAGUGGUUAAGUGCUUUGGAUGUGUGUUUAAGGUUUUGUGUUCAGAUCUUUUCCCUUAAAUUUUCAUUAUUUUGUCCUAACUUCCAUCUCUAAACAUCUAGCUUAUAUAUUAUUUUUGUUCAAUUGAUUAUAAGAAUGAGUUUGCUGGUUUAGUGGUAAGACUUUAGUUUACUUAGAGUUCUUAUGUUUGAAUCUUAUGUGUGUAAAUUUAAACUCUGAGAAUUUUUUUAUAAGGAUAACUAAUCAAAUUGAGUGGAGAAGUUUUCCAUUUUCCUACAAAACUUCCCCAAAUUUUGCCUCAUUCUGUCGUCCACUUCUUGCCACAUUGUUCACGUUUUCUUUUCCCUUUUUUUUCCAUCUAAUGAUUUCUAUUUUCUUUUUGCUUUAGUAGUUUUGCUGCUUUCCUUUCUCAUCUUUACUCUACUAUUUUCUUUUGUGUUAUUCUAUUGGUAUGCUAUUGAAUCUCCGUUAUUCCUUUGAGUAAGUGUUGGUUAUUUGUUUUAUAUAAAUGUGGUGUUGGGUUAAUCUUUCAAGUGAUUGAUGGUUUCAAGUUUGAUCUUUGCAAUGUGUUGUUAGGAGAAGAUCGAUGGACUCGUGAAUUGUCUCCAGCGAUUUAAGUGCAGGAAAGGGUUGUUGUUUUUGCAAGGGUAAGUGAUUAAAGUUUUCAAUUGGAGGUUGAUUCGGUUGCUUAGGCUAAGUGUUUAGCAUUUGCAAUCGAAUUAGUGACUUGGAUUUAGCAUAUUACUAAUAAUUCUUACGUUCUAAAAUGUCGGUUUAGGUCUGAAAUCUUCGUAGUGGUGUUAGCAUAAAAACCGACCAGGUGUGUAACAGAAAUAUUAAAAAAUAGUGAACGACACGAUGUCGAAAAACCCACUAUCGACGUCACACAUCCAUGUGUCAGGUUAUGUGGGUCAUACGGGCUGGGUUAUUUGGGCCGUGUGGGCUACACGAGUGUAUGUUAGGCUGUGUGUCUGGCCGUGCAGGCCAUACGGGUUGGGUCAGUUAGGCUGUGUGGGCCCAUUUUUCGUAAAAUUCUGUCAGGGUCGUAUUCGAAGUGUGAUUUGAAAUUAGUCACUUAGUAGGUUUUGAUAUGUGUUAUGUAUGCAUUAUGGAUACGAAAUUUGAUAUUUUUUUCUAUUAAUGUGAUUUUGAAAGCAUAUUAUUCAAUAUUGACAUUGUACGUGUAACAUUCGAAAGCAUGACUGUGGUAUAAUUUAUGAUUCUGAUCUAUAAUUUGAGAAUCUAUUUAAGCAUGAUUCAUUUAUGUGCAUCUAAGUAUGUAAAAUGUUUUGACAUGUGCAUUGGGGUGGGAUGAUGAUGUGAUGGAUGAAGUGUUUUGGCAAUUUAACUGUAUACUGAUAUUUAUAAGUCAUCGUUGUCAGCCAACUCGGGAUAACUUAAUUUGUGGUUUAAACACAUAUCUAAUAUGGUAGCUUGACCACACUUAUUGAUUUUGGCAGAAUACCGCAUUAUUUCUGGCAGCUUGACUACGCUAUUCUAAAAAGUGAUAUUCGCUCACUUAUUGGUGUGACGGAUGGAUAGGCUCUUAUAGUCCUAUUUGGUCUGUAUUGGUGGCACGGAGAUGGUGUGUAGUGGAUGGGCGUAAGAUCUAUUUUUUUGUCUAUAUUUGCAUUUGUAUUUGUAUAUGUAUCUAAUCCUGUAUAUGAGAUUGCAUUUGUAUCUGAAACUGAAAUUAUAUAUGUAAUUGAAUUAUAUCAAUUUCUAUAACUAUUACUGUAUUUGAGUCUAUUCGGCCUAUUUGGGUUGAGUUACACACUAAGCCUAUAAGCUCACCCAAGUUCUUUGACUUCUCAGGUAAUCGGCAUACUUAGGACCAAAUGACGUGCAGAAGCUUAGAUUGGGUUCUCAGUUAUUUAAGUAUGGUGGUUCAUGUUUUUAAAUUAUUUUGGACUUUCUAGAUUUUUUAGGGGGUUGUAAAUCUAUUUCUGUAUUUUGCUUUACAUUUUGGUUUGCUUAGUUGAACUUAGUAAUUAUUAAUUAAAACUACAAAGUUUUGUGUUUUGCAAAUUACAAUUUUUUUUUGAAAGGUCUUAAUAACACUAAAAAUCUUAUCACACACAUAUGCAUGUGGAAAUCACGUAUUUAUAACACAGACUUAUGUUCAAAAAUAACAUACAAUGAAUAUUGAAAAGUAUGAUUUGGAACUAAUUAAUAAUAACACGUGAAAUAUGUAUGAUAUUAAAAUAAAAAUUAGAUUAAAUUGAGAAUAAAACAAAUCUAAACACAAAAACACAUCAUAUUAAGAAUACUAAAUGAAUGCAAAUGUUUAUCAUUAUUUUGUCUUCAAUCCCAAGUUGGUGAUGCUAAAUCAAUAACAUUAUUUACAUACAUAAAUAUAUAAAAAUUUAGAACACAAAUGUUUGUCUGUUAUAAAAGCAUGUAUGACAUGUAUAUUUUUGACAUUUGUUAAUUCUGCAUGUGCAUUAGGAUGAGAUUUGUGUUUAGGAGGAAGGGUGGGAGUUUAAUUCAUUUUCCACAUUUUGUGGCUCAGCCACACAUAUUUCUGCAUUUGGCGAUGAAUCACCUAAUGAUCUGGCAACUAGGCUGCGAAUAUUUUGAAAAGUUUCAUACCGGUACUAAGCAGUGUGUAGGGUUUGAUGGGUAUUUAAUACCCUAUAUGGUGUGUAGGGAUAGUCGGAGAUGGUGUGUAACGGAUCGGAGUAGGAUUGUAAUCUACAUUUAAUAUGUUUCGAUUCUGUUUCUGUAUAUGAUAUAUGUCUAAUUGACUUCCUAAAGCACGUUUGAAAAUUAUAUCUGAUAUUUUUACUCUUAUAAGUUACAUAUUGAGCUUGCAAGCUCACUCUCAGUUUCUCUUAUUCUUAAGUAAUCCUUAGACUUAGGUGGGUCGGUGCGACUGGAGCUCGAUUAAUUAUCUUCUUGUUAUAUUUGUUAUUUUAAUCUGGUUUAUUCUGUUUUGGUUUUGAAUUGUUUUUAAGUUUAGGUUUAUUUUCGUUUUAUUUAUUUAUUUAAACAUUUUUGGUCGAUUUAAAUUCAAUCUACAAAAUGUUAAAUUAUAUGGCAACAAAUUGUGUUUUCAAAUUUGGACUCAAUUAAGAAUUUUCGCUACAAACAUAAGUGUUUUACUAGUAAAUAAUUGAAAAUUUUAUCGAAAUGGUUAAGAAGGAUAUUUUCCCCAAAUAAACUCGAAUUUUACUUAAUAAGAGCUAGCAUUGAUUUAUAAGUUGAACGGAUUCUGGAUUUUCAAAUAAAUUGUAGUAACAUCUCCAGAUUUUCCCAUAACGUCUAGGCCAGGUUUGGGGUGUUACAGAGCCUAUAAGCUCACCAGGUUUGGGGUGUUACAGAGCCUAUAAGCUCACUCAGUGUUUCUAACUUCUCAAUUAAUCAACAUAUUUAGGACCAAACGACGUGCAGAAGAUCAGAUUGAAUUCUCAAUUAUUUAAGUAUGAUGGUUCAUGUUUUUAAAUUAUUCUGGACAGUCUGAUUUUUUUGGGGGGUUGUAAAUCUUUUUCCGGAUUUUGCUUUGCUUAGUUGGAUUUAGUAAUUAUUACUUAAAACUACAAGAUUUUAUGUUUUACAAAUUAAGUCAUGGUUUUCAAAUUUUACUACUCUAAAAUUUCCACUACAAAAUAAAGUAAUCACUUAAGGUUUUUCUAUAACAAAAUAAAUAGUUUUAAUGAUUGUUUUCUUAAAAAUUGAAAAGCGAUUCGCCAGAAUUAAUAUUGUCAAAACACACAAUUUUAAAUUUAUUUUCUAGGUUUUUAAACAAGUUAAUGUAAUUCCUCCAGAUUCGAUCAUAACGUAUAAAUCAGGUUUGUGGCGUUACAAUUUUUGUUCUCAAUUUACAUAUAUUUAUCAAUUUGACCCUGCUUUUAUAUAAAAAAAUUAAAAUCAUUUAUAAAAUAGAACAAUGUAUAUAAAAUUCUAGAAAAAUAAAAUGUUGAAUAUAUUGUCGAAGAACUAAAAUGUAUGAGAAAUAAAGAAAAGUAUCAUUCAAUAGAAUCCAAUAACAAAUUAGAAACAAAACGAAAUAAAAAAGUUCAGUUUCAUGCUCUUGAAGAACGUCUAGGACUGAUAUUAUAGACUUAUAAAAUCAACCCGACUGUCAUUUUUUUGGUCAAAAGAAUACAAAAUAUACCACAAAAUUUUUUUCAAACUCAGUUCAAAUUUUAAUUACAUUUAAAUUAUUUUUCAAAACCCAAAUUGUAAAAACAAAAUGUGUUUCUUCUUCGGUUGAGUUGGGCUUAGACAAGGUUUUUAUCUCACGAGCUGUUCCAAUUCCAAUUCAAUUUAAAUAAUAAAAAAUAUUUUUAAAUUUUAAAUUUAAUUAAGAGUAUAAAAAUAUUUUUUAACAUAGUAUUAUUUUUUGAACUCACAAAUGGACUUUUCUAGGUUGACUAAGCUUGGUUAAAAAUGGGUUAGGCUUGAAAAAAUUUUAGAUUAUUUUUAAGAGUAUAUCAAGGAGUCUAAUAAUUACAAUUUUUUUAAAAGGUUUUAAUAACACUAGAAAUCUUAUCACACGCAUAUAUCUUACUUUGCAAAUAAAAUAGUAUUUUUGGUAAUUUUCUUAUUGAGUUGGGACUCGAUUGAUGAGUGACACUAACUCAGUAAAAUGUUUAAUACAUAGUAUAGAUAAAACAAUUCUAAACUAAAAUUUUUAAAAGAAUUUAGGGUAAAAUUCAACUAUGGUUAAGUUUUCAUUUUGGUCACUUAAUUAAAAAAAUGUUACAAUUUAAUCACUAAUAUUUUCAAAAUUAUUUUCUUUUUGUCACCCGACUGUUAAGUGGCACUUGUUUUAGGUGGUAUAAUAAUAAUUCUAGUCAUCAGUUUUUAUAUUUUCUAUCAAUUUGACUCUGAUUGUGUAUAAAAAAUUAUUUAAAAAACUCAAAAUAUUUAUAAAAUAGAAAAAUGUAGAUAAGAUUUCUGGAAAAAUAAAAUCUUGAAGUUGUUGAAUAACUAAACUGUAUGAAAAAUAAAGAAAAUUAUGAUUUAAUAAAAUCCAAUAACAAAUUGAAAACAAAACAAAACAAAGUUACAUUUUGCACCUUAUACUUGUUCAUAAUAGCUAAUAUUCACAUAAUUUUUCAAUUCAGACCAUUUUAGUGAUGAAUUCACUAAAUUCUAGUUAUAGCUAAACAUAUAGAUGAAAUCAAGUACAAUUUACACAUAAUAUAAAACCAGAUAGUAAGUUUCAUAUUUAAUGUCACACCCUAAUUCAACUCAUUGCUAAUACAACUCAUUGACUUGUAUAUUUAAUUUCAAGUUGUAUAUUUAAUACUGACAACUUCAACAAUGCAAAUGAUUUAGUAAUGGGGUGCGAAUAACUAUACCUAAUGCAACUCCUUUACUUGUAUAUUUAAUUUCAAGUUGUAACUUAUAAUUAUGCAUUCUUAUACCCUGCCGUCCCAACUCUUAUUUUUAUUAAAUAUUAUUUAUUGCCAACUUCAAUGAUUUUGUUUUGAUGUCCAAGGUCUAUCCCCAAAUUUCAAGCAUCCUGUCAAGCUAAUUUUCUUUCAUUUGCUUAAUCCAUCACAUGCUUUUCUUUGCUUGAUUCAUGACUUUGCAAUUUCACACCCUAAUACAACUCAUUCCUAAUACAACUCAUUGACUUGUAUAUUUUAUUUCAAGUUGUAACAUAUGAUUAUGCAUUCUUAUACCCUGUUGUCCCAUACUUUUCGAUUAAUUAUUAGAUUUAAUGAUAAAUUUAGCCUUUAACGUUUGAUUAUUUUAUUAAAAUGGCCCUAAUUGUGUUUUUGAAGUUUUUUUUUUUUUUGGCUAUCAACCUUUGUUCUUUUUUUCACUCUUCUUUUUUAAAUAGAUUUAAUGAAAGUAUCUUAAAAAAGUUAACCGCGAUUAUGUGAAAUUUCAUAUGUCGAAUAUUUUUAAUGAGAUAUAAUUUAUUAGUUAGAAAACCCAAUAAGAUAUUUAUAUUCUUGUGAAAAAAAAUAAUACAUUAAAGUGAAAAAAAAAUCUUAAUUUAAAGAAAAUAAACUUAAUUAUUUUUUAAAAAAAUUAACUCAGUAGAAAAACUUUUCAGUAAACAAACAUAUGAAAGAUUGAAAACUUUUGAAAGGAAAAAAAAUAUUGAAACAAAUGCUGAUGGUAAAGAAAAGCUCAAAAAUAGAAUUAGGGCCAUUUUGACAAAACAAGCAAAAAUUAGUAGUCUAUUUUGCCUAAAAAUAGAAAAGCCUAAAAAAUGCCGCUAAAAGUCUAUUUUACUACAGUAGUCUCGAUUCCUUCUUAAUGCUACAUCGGUUUGAAGAUCUGCGUUAAUAGUCGAUCAACAAUAAUGAAUGCUCACUAACCAAGCUAAGAGGGUUCGGUCAAUGGGUGAGAAAUAAUGAUGACAAGAUGAGACUUAGAUGGGGCAGCAAUGCAGAAAUUAUGAAGGCAACAAAAACUUCAAUGUGCAACAACAGGAGAAGGAGAAUUGGACAUCAAUGGAAAAUCAAAAAUGGUAGAAACUUCUAAACAAAAUAUUGAUAUUAAAAAGGCAAUGAUUCAGCCAAAUAAAUUGGAGAAGUGAUAGGCAAAGGGGCAGCACAAAUAGAAAAUAAAACUUGUGUUUUAGGUUGCAAUAAUGGUGGGUUAUGAGAGAAAAUUGAAGAAUAAUGGCAAGGAAAAAUGAAGGGGACGACAAUAGCUUGAGAAAAAUAAAUAAAAUAGGCUAAACAUAAAAUAAAAUGCAAUUUAUACCUAGGUUAAAAAGGGCUUGGAAGGCAACAAGGUUUUAAGGAGCAGAAACGUUGAAAAAAUAAAAAUUUACAAGGGAAGGGAAUCAAACUCAAGUCUUAAGGUCAAUUUCACUAACUCUUUACCACUAGGCCAAUUAAUCAUUCUUUUCAUAAACGCUCAAACAAAACCUUAAAAAUUAGGGCAAGACAACUCUCAGUUCACUAAACCGAUUUCUUCCUACCCAAUUCCUUCUGACCCAAUUUUUGGGACAUGACAAAACUAUUAGUAAGUUUACGUUUAGUUUUAGUCACUUAACUUCAAAAGGUUACAAAAUGGUCAAUAAACUAUUCAAAAGUUUUCAUUUAAGUCAUUGGUUUGUUAAUGUUUUUUUUAAGUUUAACUAAUGAGCUUCAAGCGAUGAUUCGACAAUUGAUGUAGUGAAUCUAUACCCAUUGAUGAGUGGAGCAUAUCUUAGAUCCAAGUUAACAUGCCAUUUAGUGUAGAAGAUUGGAGAAAAAAAGUUGUUUGAAAUUUGGUUCACAGAUUUGUGACGUUCAAAACUGUUUUAUGAAAUGAAAUUAUGUUGUAAAAGAGAAGGGAAACGUGAGCUUUCAAUUGAUACAAACGGUGCAAACAAAGGUCAUAUAGUAACAAUUUUAAAAGCUUGAUGACUUAAAUGAAAAUUUUUGUAUAGUUCAGUGAUCAUUUUAUAAUUUUUUGAAAUGAACUAAAACAUAAACUUAUUAAUAAUUUAAUGACCUUAAUUGCCAUUUACCCAUAAAACUAUUAAGACCAUUAAUGAUCAUUAUUCUAAAAAGUGAUGCAUUAAUUAUAUCUUUUUAUCUUUUAUAUAUUAUUUCGAUUAAUACUUAAAUUAUUUGUACGAAAAAAAAAUCAAAAUGAAAUGCAACAUGUUCUGAACUUUUAUUAAAGCUCAUCAUUUUGUUGAAGAUACCCCAAUCCAUGAUUUCAACAUUGGAAUUUUUGAAAGUCCCUAGUAAUAGUAUGAAUUAUGAAAUUUCAAAAAAGCAUAUUCUUAUUUAUUGUUAAUUUCAAGCUAAUUUUAAUAGGUAUGCUUACAUCUGUCUUUAGAAUUUGCAAAACAAAUAGAAAAUUCACUUUAAAUGUAUAAAAAUGAAUAAAGAAAACCCAUCUUCAUUUCUGACAGCAAAUAAGAAAUAGGAAAAAAAAACUAAAAAAGAAAUACAUAUUUUCUUGAUAGACGCUUCAAAUGAAACAAAUAUGAAAAACAUAGUUGUAGGAGUGUUCAAUUGCUUAAUCGAUCCAUUAACCAAAUCGAAUUAGUAUUAACAAAAUCGAAAUUAUCAUGAAAAAACUCAAACUUAUAAAUCCCUAUCCCGAAAAAAAAAACUGAAGCAUCCAGAAAAUACAUCAAGCAUUGAACUACAAAAGAACAUAUCACUAUUCAUAGUUGUAGAGGAGGAUUAGACACUGCUGCUAACGAUGGGUGAAGAAAUAUGCCAACCAAAGACAUAUUGUUGUGUCUGGCGGGGUUAUUCUACCUAUACCAAAAACAUGUUAUUUCAACAUUACAAUGAAAAUUCUGAUACAGUGACAAUAUAAUGAAAUAAAUUUUAUCAUGUUCCGAAGAAGAAUUAAUAAGGGGAAUUUCUAUUGCAUUCUAUAUUUUUCAUAAUCUUUACAUGUAGUAUACUCCACUAUAUAUAGAAAGAUUAGACUCUUCAUAUUCUAAGACAUAAAUAAGAAAAAAGGGUUAUAAGGAGAUGAAAGUUUAAAAAUUAAAGAAAAUGAAAGAUUAAGGUCAAGAGAGAUGAAAGGUGAAAGGUUAAACAUCCACUUAAUAAUAUUAAUAAUAAAUAUUUUAAAUGUAACAAAAAUCAUAAAAAUAAUAGAAACACCGCUCCAAAUGAACCAAUUCCACUCAAGCAAUUACUGAAACUUCAAGUAAAACAUGAGAGCAUAGAUUGUUUAUUUUUUAAUAAGUUAAUUGCACCAAAUAUUUUUAAAUUAUUACCCGCAUUCUAUAUUAAUGCACUUUCGAAAUAUUGUGAUUAAUUGCUCACUUUCGAAAUUGGUAGGGAUUAAAUUGUUUCGGUUUUUUUAGAGGGAUCAAUUUGCUGAAUAUCAAAAUUGAGAGGGACUAGAGAGGUCGUUUUACCUAGUUUAAUAAUUAAAUGACAUGUUAAAUCUUAUGUGACAUAAUUUAAAAUGAAAAUUAAAAAAAAAGGAAGAUUGUAAAAAUAGUUGUUUUAAAAAUCAUGGUUUUGAAGUUUUUACACCAUUUUUAUUGUUCGUUUUUUUUAAAUUUCAGUUUAUAUAAUUUUAGCUUCUUUAAAAUUAUUAUUUUAAAAUUAGCUAUAUAAAAUUUAACGUGUCAUUUAAUGAUUUUAAUAAUAAAAUGACCUGAUUAAUAUAAUAUCAAUAGUUUAGAAAUGUAAUUAGAUCAGUUUGAAGUUUGAAAAUAAAUUUAAAAUAAUUGUCAUAAUUUAGGGGUGGUUGAUGCAAUUAACUCAUUUCUAAUGGUCAUAAUUUAGGACAAAGUGAGAAAGUGGAAAGCAGAGUUAAAAUAUGACCCAAAGACUCACCUUUUUAUAAGUCGUCUCCUAUCAUAAUUGCAGACUCACCUUUUUAUAAGUCGUCUCCUAUCAUAAUUGCAUAAUAAAUGGAUGGGGCAAUUACCAAACGAUGAAGCAAAAGAAAAAGGCUAAAAGAAAAAGUAAUAAAAAUAGGAUUUCUUACUAAUAAUUCUGCCUCUGUGGAUCCUACCGGAGACUUCAUAAUUUCCCUGUUUUUAUCUUCACUUUCUUCUUACUUCUUCACUGCUUUUAAUUUGUUUCGAUGUCCAACGUCUAUCACAAAUUUUGAAGCCUCCAGUCAAGGUAAUUUUCUUUCAUUUGCUUAAUUCAUCACAUGCUUUUCUUUGCUUUUGAUUAUCUGCUACUGUUAUAGCAGCUAGCUUUGUAAGAUUGUCAAGGAACUCAACUUCACUGCUUCCUUUUCACUUCUAAUCUCUGUACACUUUUCAGCCACUAAGUCAGGUAAUAAGAUCUGUUGCACUGAUUUCCUCUACUAAUUAUCAACAGUGUUAGAUUUUAAGAGUGGAUGACCAGCAGACAUAAUCUACUAUAGAUAGAAAUUAAUACAAAAACAGCUACCCAGAAGCAAUAUAAUGUUGAAAUCUCAAACUGUUCUGUAAUGAACUCUUGCACACUUGAAUCUAGCAUUUUAUAUACAUCGAGAGCUUGAUUCUGGUGACUAGAAUUUCAUCAUGUUUCUGUCUGCCACCCAUCCAUAGCUCCAUCUAAUAGACGCCAUUGCUUGAAACUUGCAUUCAUGUUUCCUUUUCAUGCUUACACUGACAUAUCAAUACUUCAUCCAAUACAUUCACAGAUUUUCAUUCUCUGCUACUGUUAUAUAUGAUUGCAUUGCAGGGACAUAGCAAUGGAGUACGUAGAGCCUGUUGUUGGCAUUGCAAAUUGUCUCGGAACUCCUGUUUGUAAAUACUUGCAAUAUCACAGAAAGAUGAACGAUUAUGUGAGAAACUUCAAGAGGAUGAGAGAUGAAUUGAAUUGCAAAAUGGAAGACAUAGAUCUGCAAUUGAAAGCAGAGCUUCUUCGUCCUCUGGGGAAGAUACCAAAGAAGGGAGUUGAAAAUUGGUUGAAAGAUGUGAAAGAGAUGAUUAGGGAAGCACAAGUUGUUGAAAACAAAGUCAGGAACGGGAGAUAUCUCUGUCGUGCUUGCAACGGUAAGCUGGUUGAUGAAAAGACUCGAGAAAUGAAGGAAUUUCUUGAUAAAGCUCCUAAUGCCUCUGAAGGUCUUGCCAUGGAUGGUCCAAGUGCUGGGUUGCCACUGCCAACAUCAGAACUAGUUGGAGAGGAAGCUGUCAGAAAUGAGAUUUGGGCAUAUUUGAUGCAGGAGGAGGUGAGCAAGAUUGGGGUUUGGGGGAUGGGCGGUGUGGGUAAAACCACUAUCAUGAAGCACAUCCACAAUGAUCUUUUGAAAGAACAACGAUUUGAAAGGGUGGUUUGGGUUACUAUAUCAAAGGAGUUCAAUAUUGUGAAGUUACAAAAUGAUAUUGCAAGUGCAUUGAAUGGAAAGAUGCCCGAAGAAGCAAACAAGGUCAGACGAGCAGCAAUCUUGUCCGAAAUGCUGAAGAGAGCAGGAAAACAUGCUCUAAUCCUAGAUGAUGUGUGGAGUGAAGUCUCGUUGGAAGAAAUUGGGAUCCCUAAGCCAAGUAGCAGCAAUGGGUACAAGUUGGUGUUGACAACCCGUGUGGAGCAAGUUUGUAAGUCUAUGGGCUGUAAGGUGAUAAAAGUGAAGCCCCUUUCAGAAGAAGAGGCAUUAAUACUAUUCUUGAGUGAAGUUGGACCUAACAUAGUGCAAAAUCAAACUAUAAUGCCUACUCUAAAGCUUGUUGUCAAGGAAUGUGCGGGUCUACCCCUUACAAUUGUCGUCAUAGCUGCUACAUUGAGAGGAGAAGAUGACCCUCUUAUUUGGAAAAACACACUCGGAAUUGAAAGAGAGAAUAGGGAAAGUGAAAGAAGGGGAAGAUAAAGUGAUCGAGAGUUUGAAAGUUAGCUUCAAUCACUUAAAAGACGAGAAAGUGAAAUAUUGUUUCUUACAUUGCGCAUUAUAUCCCGAAGAUUUUGGAAUUAAAAAGGAUGAACUAAUUGAGUGCUGGAUUGAAGAGGGAUUCAUAGAUGAUAUGAGUACAAGACAAGAAAUGAAAGAUAAGGGCCAUGUUAUUUUGAAGAAAUUAGAAGAUAAUUGCUUGUUGGAAAAUGUCUCGAGUGAAAGAGUGAGAAUGCAUGACGCAGUGAGAGACACGGUAUUGUCGAUCACAAGAAUGAAUCCUCGAUAUAUGAUACAAGCAGGUUCGCAAUUAAAAGAGUUACCAGAAAAGGAGCAAUGGAGUCCGGAUAUUGAGAAAGUGUCACUUAUGUAUAACUCCAUAUCAGAAAUUUCCAUAGAUGUGCUGCCCAUAAAAUGUCAACUGCUCACAACCUUGUUAUUGCAGGAGAACCCUAUAAAGAAGAUCCCACAUUCUUUCUUCACAAACAUGCCCUGUCUUAGUGUUCUCAAUUUGUCCUCUACGAAGAUCAAAAGUUUACCAAAUUCCAUCUCUGAACUAAAGAACCUCACAACAUUGUUGCUUUGUUGCUGUGUAGAAUUAAGAGACCUGCCAUGUCUUUCGAUGCUUCAAGAAUUGAAGAAGUUGGAUCUUUAUGGGACUAACAUUGAGGAAGUCCCUGAAGGAAUGGAUAUGUUGAUAAAGCUAAGCUAUCUUGAUGUUACAGUGUUCACUCUGAAAGAGAUACCCGCUGGACUUUUACCAAAACUCGUUCACCUUCAGCACUUGAGUUUUGCUGGGAACAAUGAAAAAAUAAGUCUAAAUGCAGAGGAGAUGGAACCAUUGAAGAAGUUGGAGUGCUUAACCGGACAUUUCGAAGACAUCAGUGAAUUCAAUAAGUUCGUCUCCUCAAUGCAGCAAAGUAAGAAAAAUCUCAUCAAGUACCAUUUACAGGUGGGCUGAUAUCUCAUUCCUCUGUGUGUGACUCCUGAAAUAGAUAAAAUAGUAGCAAUUGGAGGAGUCGACAAUUGGGAAGGUGAGUUAAUUAUGCACCCAAUCGAAAUUAAAGAGUUGCAUAUUAUUGAGUGCGACUAUUUGAGAAGCUUAGUCGAUGACAAUUCUUCCUUCAAAAAUGCGAUUGACUUGAGGGUUUGUGGGAUUUGGGGGUGUGAAGGGAAGUGUGUUGUUUCCCUGUCCUCUUUUGCCUCUUCUUCCGCUCAUCCAUUUCAGAGCCUCGAGGUGUUGGAUCUUCAAUUUCUGCCAAAGUUGAGUGCCCUUAUUAUGAAAGAUGAAGGAAUUGGUCCAGCAACAACAUCAACAUUGGCUCCGUCUGCCACCUUUUCCCAUCUUAAGGAAAUUACGAUAGUCAGCUGCUCAAGUAUGAAGACGUUGCUUCCACAUUGGUUGCUUCCAAACCUCCAAAACCUGGAAAACAUACACGUGGAGGAUUAUAGUCAGCUAGUAGAAAUAUUGGGAGCAGCAACAUCAGAAGUUGAAGAAAAAGGGAGUGAUGCAUUAAUCAAAUUCCAUCUUCCCAAAUUGAGAGAACUGAAAUUGUGGAUUUUACCAAAUUUGAAGAGCAUUUGCAGCAAAAGUGGAGUGAUGGUUUGUGAUUCUCUCCAAGUUAUCAUAGUUUUUGGAGAUUGUGAUAAACUGAAGAGAAUUCCUCCAUUUGUUCCCCUUGUUGGCAAUGGGCAGCCAUUUGCAUAUGCUCUACCUUCUUUUACCAUCAGGUCAAGCACAAAAUGGUGGGAAUCGUUGGAGUGGGAUGACCAUCCAAACUUUAAAAAUGUUCUUCGCUUCAACCUCCGUGGAGGAUAAGAGGUAUGAACCAUUUAUGGUUUAGUUUAUUUUUUUAUUUUGAUAAAUCUAAUUUCUCCAUAUUAAUAAAAUUUGACGUAUAUUUGUGAUGAUGCUGAAGAGAAAGAUAAAAGUGUGGGUGGGAAAGAAGUAGGGGGGAGGAUAGUGCAAAAGAGAGGAAAAAAGGAAUGAUGGAAGAGCAUGGAGAGUGAGAGGCAAAGGUAAAUAAGAACUCAAACUGCCUCCACUUUUUAAACAUAUUUUCCCUCUCUUACUCCUAUUCUCUUAUUCUUCUCUAAUAUAUACAUAUAUAUAUAUAAUUCCCAAAAAAACCUUCAUAUAUUCAUAUUUAUAAUUAAAACAUUUAAGUUAUAAACGUAUUUUGAUAUGAUAUCGAAUCAAAUAUUAUUAUGGUCUUUUAUCACAUGCAACACUAGUCUAUUAUUUCGUAAAUUUCAAAGUUUAUAUAAAAAUAUAUACACGCUUCCAAUUUUAAAGUAAAUAAUAUGGAAUAGAAGUUGACUAUAGACCUCACCAUAUCUCGAGUCAAUCCAACUUAAAUUUAAUUUAAAUAAUAUAAAAUUAUAAAUUAACUAUUUAUAAUUAUAGAACUUGUAGUAUAACUAUAUUUUAAUUUAUAAAAUAGGGUAUGUAAUUAUUAAAUUAUUUUUAUACUAUCAGUCAUUACUAUUAUAUCAUAUUUACAGAAAAUUGUCUAUUUUAUAUAUUUGAAUUCGAUGACCCAAAUAUUAAAAUUAUAUAUUUGAACUCGUGAUAAUAUGUAUUAUAAAUUCCUCGAUUGUUGGGCCAAUAGACACAUUACUUGCCAAAUCACAAAGUGAAAUUUAUACAAGUCAACUACGAAGAAAAACACUAUCGCUAACACAUUAUUAAAAAAGAUAAAAAGGAAUGAAUUUCAAUAAUCUCAUAAGUCAUUGUAUAUUCUCAAGUCAAUGACUACCAUCCAUCAAACUACAAAGUGAAGUUCAUAUAAGCCAGACGAAAGCACCCUCCAUCAAUAUGCCAAUAAAAAAAUUUAAGUCAAGACUUGGAUUCAGUUCAGUAGUACAAUCCACGGUAUGACUCAUAAAGGUAUUUAUCCACAGUAAAGGCACCCUUCCAGCAAGGGUUCAUUUUCAUUUCCCUAAAGAUCAUUUAUUGAAUGGUAGCUCGCUUUAUUACAAUUCUAAAUAUUUGUAAAUUACCACAAUUUUUAUAAGAAAAAUACAAGUAAAUAGUUCUUGUUCACAACCAGAGGUGCUCAUGGGCCGCCUAGCCCGACGGCCUGCCCGAAAUAUGGGAGGGUUUGGGUAAAAAUAUAGGUCUGAAAUAUGGGCUUGGGCAAAAAAACGAGGCUCGUUUAAAAAACGGGCCGGGCCUCGGGCACCACUUUUUUGGCCCGGGCCUGGCCCGGCCCGAUAUAACAAAUAUAUAUUUUUUAAUUUUAAAAUAUUUUUUACAUACUUUUUUAAUUUUUUUUAAUUUCAAAAUAUUUUUAAAAUACUUUUUUUUAAUUUUUUUUAAUUUUAAAAUACUUUUAAAAUACUUUUUUUAAUUUUUUUAAUUUUAAAAUAUUUUAAAAAUACUUUUUUUAAUUUUUUAAAAUUAUUAAAAUAAAAAUGGGCCGGGCCCGGGCUUAUGAUUUUUUUCCCGAGCCUAGCCUGGGCAAAAUCUUAGGCCCAUUUUUCGGGCCGGGCCGGGCCCGGGCCUAGGACCCGGGCAGAAAUUUUUUAUGGGCCCGGCCCGAACCCGGCCCGGCCCAUGAGCACCUCUAUUCACAACACAUGUAAGAUCAUUUAUCGAACGGUAGCUCGCUUUAUUAUAUUAGCAUAGUGUUAAAUAGUUUCUAUCGCCUCCGAGAUUAGUUUGAUUUCAAACGAUUGCUUUACCGUCAACGUUAGCAUAAUUUAAAUGGUAAUGAACAAUUGCAAUGCGCCAACACAAUUCUAAAUAUUUGUAAAUUAUCACAAUUUUUAUAAGAAAAAUACAAGCAAAUUGACCUCGUCCACAACACAUGUAAGAUCUGAUUUUACCUCAGAUUUUUGAAAAACAGAGAAUGAUUUAAACUAAAUGAAAAAAAAAAAAAACCUCGAGAUAAUGAUUUUUUGUAUUUAAGAUGAGAGGAAGUAAUUAUCCGACAACUUAACAACACUAAUAGUUAUUUAAGAAUUUAGGUAUAGGUAUAGGUAUAGGUAGUUGACUGUUAGGAUUUGUUAAAUUAAUGUUAUCUUAUAUCUGUUUCUUUUUGGAUUAAAUCCUGAACUGCAUAAAGCAAAAACAUGAGACAAAUUAAUGUUAGCUUGUGGUCCUUCAACUUUUUCCACUUCCAUCUUACUCUGAUUUCAACAUUUCAUUACCACUCUCUAUUAUUUAUAUCUCCUUCUCCUGCAAUGGAAGCUGCAGGUUUCAGAGCUGCCAUAAAUAAGGAUUUCAUAGCUCAAGAACUUGACAAUGACAGGGAAGAUGACCAAGAAGAAGAAGGGGUUGCUAUGGGAAGGUAGGGUUCAGUGAUGGCUUGUCACAGCCUUCUUCUCAAGUGGAAAAAUCCAAGCUCAGUUCAUCGGAUGCAUUUGCCCGCAAUCAAAAGGGAGUCAUUGCAGACAUAAUCAGCUUAUGCUACCAAUCUUAAUAUAAGAACCAAAACAUCAACUUACUAUACUAUGAUGAAGGAUUUUAUAACAACGUCAGGUAUAGGAAUUAAAAUUCAAUUAUCCAAGGGAAUCUAAGGGAUAACAUCUGAAGGAAAUUCAGAUUGUUCAACAACAAAUUUGAAAUGUCAUGGCAGAUUAGGUAUCCAAUCAGCUGAACCGCUAAAGCGAUUGAAAGCUUGGUAGAAUAUUAUGUUCCAGUGCUACAAAUUCAACUUUAGUUUCCUUCAUUACUGUUUGCCUAUGUAUAGAAAGCUUAGGAUACCACACAAAAUAUGCAUAACAUUCUAUCCAACAUAAGAAAGGUACAAAAAAGAGUUCGUUAUCAUACGGAAACAGGUGAAGUUGCCACACUUACAGAUCACUAAAAUUUCACAACAAUGAUGGAAAUGUCAUCCUCAGUUAGGUGCUUUGCAGCAGAUCGAGCAUCCUUAAUGCCUUUGAUAGCAUCGACAGCUUCUUGGUUUGACAUUACCUGGAAUUUAAGGAACGGACCAUUAAAUCUCAGGUUCAACACGCAGGUUCAAUAAAGGAAAAAUGUGAUUAGGUAGGGCUUACCUUCCAUAAACCAUCACUAGCCAAUAUUAUGAGGUCAGUAUCAUCGUCGAUUGUUUCAGUGCUCACAUCUGGCUCCGAAGUAAGAUGUUUCUUUAAAAUCUUGUCACCAAAUGCUCUCGCCACCGCAAGCUGGCCGUCAACACACGCGACAUCCCCUGAAACAAAAACAAUAUCAGGAAAAGCUGGUGUAACCUUGAGCGUCAUCCCCAAAAGAUCAGGCACCCAUUACCUGGAAAGUUCGAAACAAAACCACCUCUAUUUUCAAUGCUCUCCCUUUCAGAAGCGGGCUCAUGAUCAACUGAAAGCUGCUUAGCCACACCGUUCUUAGAAAUCACAGCCCGGGAAUCGCCAACAUUUGCUAUUACUGUUGGAACAAUGGCAGCAGCAAACAAAGUUGCAAGCAGGAACAAACAAGAGUGAUCGAGCCAAAAGAAAAAAAAAACAAGCAAAAACAGCAAAAUGUAACUUGAAUGCUCAGCAAAAUUUGUAACUGAACUACUACUUUCAUUCAAAAUUCAAAAUGUAUAUAUAAGUUACAAUAUGCAAUAUGACAGUUACCUAAUAAUCUAACUGCCUCCACUAAUGCACAACUAAUACAAGCUUAGACAAAUACAAAGAUAAGCUGUCAUACCAGCUUUUACAUCAAAGAUCCAAUCAAAACUUAAUCCUACUAACUUUAUAAACUAGUUACAAAGCAACUAAGCUAGAUUACAUUACAACAAGAUAAUUAAAAAACUGGUUGCUUCAUUCGGUCGAUUUUCAUUCUUGCGCACCAAGCAAAUUUGUUGAGCUCAAUAGCUGCAGUUGUUUGCUGCUGAUCUCGACAGUAGCUGGCUUCAUGUUGCAUUGCAGUCCAGCUCUCAACAAUUACCAGCUUCUGGCAGUUGAUCAAUAUUGCUGUCACUGCCGUUGAACCCCCUUUGCCCAAAUCAAUGCCUUGUUCCAAUAUAUUUGUAUCCGUUAAACGAUACGCUUUCCUAAUCGCAUUCUCUGGUUCCGACCAAAAGUCGGGCUGCUCGCAUAAAAAGAAACAGAGGCGCUUGGUUAAAACUACAAGCAAAACACUGUCAAUGCAUAGGAAAAAGAUGCCGUAAGAUCCAGCUUAUUAUAGAUUACCUCAUUCAAGAUAUUGUUAAACAAGUUCGCCUUCAAAUAUUCGGGAAUAACAUGGCUCAAAUGGCCAUCGAAUAUGGCAAAUAAACCGAGCUCACUGCCAUUGACUUGCUUAAACUCCGCGAAAACAUAGUCCUCCAUUGGAUGAUUCGCUUUCCCCUUCACUAAAUGAUAACCAUGCGUUAUAUUCUUCGACAUCUUACUCUUCCCUUUUCCAGAUUCAGCAUUAUGAGAAGGGUUUAAGCCAACUUUUUCUUGAACUUUCUGCUGCAGUGAUGAAGAAAAACAUGCCAUCACCCGUAAAGCAUUGUGGUGGAAAUGGGUUAAUUCUUUUCCAAAAUGCAGUUAAUUGAUUCAAAACUUUUUAACAAUUUCAUUUUCUUGGGAAAUUAUUGAGGUCAAAUCAUCCAAAAACAUCCAAUUCUUCCCACAAACUAGUUCUUGGAAACAAUUUACUCCAAUUUCCAAAUUUCCAAGAAAAAACAAUCAUAAUCAAACCCCAUAUAUAAUAAAUCCAAAAUCAAUCACUUCAAGAUGAUGCAAAUGGGUUCUUUCAAAGAUAAAUCAUAACCCAUUUUUUCAGGAUUUUGCUUUGCUUAGUUAGAUUUAGUAAUUAUUACUUAAAACUACAAGAUUUUGGAUUUUAUAAAUUAAGUAAUAGUUUUAGUACUCUAAAAUUUUCGUUCCAAAAUAAAGUAAUCAAGUGUUUUUUUUAUAACAAAAUAAAUAGUUUUAAUAAUUGUUUUCUUAAAAAUUGAAAAGCGAUUUGUCAGAAUUAAUAUUGUCAACACACAUAAUUUUAAAUUUAUUUUUUGGAUUUUUAAACAAAUCAAUGUAAUUCCUCCAGAUUCGGCCAUAAUAAACCAAUUGGCGUUACAAUUUUUAUCCUCAAUUUAUAUAGAUUAUCAAUUUUUCCUUUAUUUUAUAUAAAAAUUUAAAAUCAUUUUUAAAAUAGAAAAGUGUAUUAAAAUCUUGAAUAUGUUGUUGAAGCUAAAAUGUAUGAGAAAUAAAGAAAAGUAUUAUUCAAUAGAAUACAACAACAAAUUAGAAACAAAAUGAAAUAAAAAAGUUUAGUUUCAUGCAGAACAUCUAGGAUUGAUACUACAAAGACUUAUAAAAUUGGCCUGGAUGUCAUUUUUUUGUCAAAAAAUUACAAAAUAUACCACAAAAUACUUUUUUCAAACUCAGUUCAAAUUUUAAUUACAUUUAAAUUAUUUUUCAAAACCCGAAUUGUAAAAACAAAAUGUGAUAAGUUACAUAUUCUGAAACGGUUUUUAGAAUAAACCGUUUUGGAAGUAAUUCAAGCUUCCAUUUUUUCAAUGUUCUUAAAACCGCAAGGGUUUCAAGUUCGUGAACUGGAUAUCUUUGCUCUGUACCAGAGAAAGAGCCAUUCGCGUAGUUUGAUAGCAAUUCGACGCGUGACCAUCGUUUGCUUGUCAUUAGAGCCUUUAAUCGCUCUAGGAAACCUAUAUCCUUCUAUGGUAAUUGUAACCAUUUCGGCUAUCCAUUUUAGGUAAAUUACUGAUCCAUCAGCAAUUUUUACUGGUUGAGGGUUCAAAGCCUCUUGCCAUAAAUCCUCUGGUAAGAGAUUUUUCUUACAGAGUGUUACACUAGCACCCGUAUCUAUAUAAGCAAAUACAGUUUUACCAUGUAAUUGUACCUGUAUGAAGGUACUAUUCGGAUUCUGACUCCGUUUUUGACUCAUAAUCUAUCUCUAGAUCACUUAGGCCAAAUGAUUCGUCUUCACUAGACGUUUCUAUAGGUUCAAACCCUAAAGAUAAUACCUUAUUAAGGACUUUUAGCUUUCCCGGCCCUUGUCCUUUCUUUUUGCAUUCUGAUGCAUAGUGUCAUUCUUCGUGGCAAAUCCAACAUGUUAACAUUAAUGGGAGACAACAUUAAUGGCAAACAAUACAAAGUGGUGCAAGUUUAGCACCCUAAAGUUGACUUUGAAAAAGUGGCAUGGGAUAAUUUUUUUUUGGUCCUUGAGAUAAUGGGCUAUUUAUUGUUUGGUCCUUAAACCUCAACUAUAAAUAGGCUUUCUCAUUUCUCAUUUCAAUUCAUCCCAACCAAUCUUUCUCUCUUAGUUUUCUCUCUUCUCCCAUUUGAGAAUUCUUAAGGAAUUCUAUUUGUUUGUAAUACUUUGGAGAUAGUAAAGUUAUCAUCUGGUGUUAGUGCCCGAGGACGUAGGUAUAAUUUACCGAACCUCGUUAAAUCUCUUGUGUUCUUUCUUGUCCUAUUUUUCUUUCAAUAUUUGAGGGUAUAAUAGUAGUAUUUAAUUGUGCUAUUAAAUUACUAUAGAAGAGAUAUUCUGUCUAAGGAAAGACUUGGUAUUUAAGAGAUCCAUGUGAUCCACCUCUCUUCCCUGGGAAUUGAACUUUGUGUGAUUUUUUAGUACAAUAAUUUACACGCUUCCGACCCUAUUGGAACAACAAGUGGUAUCAAGAGCCGAAGGUUAAUCGUAGUAUGCUCUGUGGUUGCAGUUUGAACUGAUCUUCCACAUCAGAAAAGAUUUCCUUAGGUAUAUUGAAAGAUUUUGGAGAAAACGGUCGGUGUAGGAGCUUCAACAUCGUCCAUGUGGACAAGACCGACAAUUGCAAAUGCAAGAUUGGCCGUGGAGAUCUUUGAUGGCACGGGCCAUUUUGGUAUGUGGCAAAGUGAGGUUCUAGAUGCCCUUUUUCAGCAGGGUCUAGACAUUGCCAUUGAUGAAGAGAAACCAGAUGAUGUACAGGAGAAAGAUUGGAAGGCGAUCAAUCGGUUGGCAUGUGGCACAAUUCGAUCAUGCCUUUCUCGAGAGCAGAGGUAUGCUUUUUCAAAGGAGACUUCUGCAAAUAAGUUGUGGGUGGCACUUGAAGAAAAUUUUUUGAAGAAAAACAGUCAAAAUAAGCUCCACUUGAAGAAAAGACUGUUUCGCUUCACAUACGUCCCAAGUACCACAAUGAAUGAUCACAUCACCAAAUUUAAUCAGUUAGUCACUGAUUUGCUGAAUAUGGAUGAGACAUUCAAAGAUGAAGAUUUGGCUUUGAUGCUGUUGGGGUCACUUCCUGAGGAGUUUGAGUUCCUAGAAACUACUCUACUUCAUGGCAGGAGUGAUAUAUCUCUGAGCGAAGUCUGUGCGGCCUUAUACAGUUAUGAACAGAGAAAGAAGGACAAACAGAAAAACUCAAUCAGAGAUACAGAAGCUUUAGUAGUCCGAGGUCGUUCAUACACUCGGAAGAAAACUCAAAAGGGGAGAUCAAAGUCAAAGUCCAGACUCGGGAAAGAUGAAUGUGCUUUUUGUCAUGAGAAAGGCCACUGGAAGAAAAAUUGUCCAAAGCUGAAGAAUAAGGGAAAAGCUGCUGUAGAUGCUUGUGUUGCUAAGCAUGAUACUAGUGACUCUGAACUAUCACUGGUUGCAUCAUCAUCGUCGUUCCAUUCAGAUGAGUGGAUAUUGGAUUCGGGUUGUACCUAUCAUAUGUCCCCUAACCGGGAGUGGUUCUCUGAUUUAGUAGAACUAAAUGGAUGAGUUGUUUAUAUGGGCAAUGACAAUGCCUGUAAAACUGUUGGGAUAGGUUCAAUCCAAUUAAAGAAUAAAGAUGGAUCAACCAGAGUUCUGACUGAUGUUCAGUACGUGCCCAGUUUGAAGAAAAAUCUCAUCUCAUUGGGAGCCUUGGAAUCCAAUGGUUCAGUUGUUACUAUGAGAGAUGGGGUUUUGAAAGUGACAUCUGGCGCACUUGUGAUAUUGAAGGGCAUCAGGAAAAAUAACUUGUAUUACUACCAAGGUAGUACAGUUAUUGGAGCAGUCGCUGCAGCUUCCGGUAACAAAGACUUGGACUCAAUGCAGUUGUGGCAUAUGAAGUUGGCAGCGAAAAAUCCUUGCAAAUUCUGGCAAAGCAAGGAUUGUUGAAAGGUGCAAAGGCUUGCAAAUUAAAAUUUUGUGAGCACUGUGUUCUGGGAAAGCAAAAGAGAGUGAAAUUCGGCACUGCUAUCCAUAAGACAAAAGGUAUUUUGGAAUAUAUUCACUCAGAUGUGUGGGGGCCUUCCAAAACACCUUCGUUGGGAGGAAAACACUACUUUGUUACUUUUGUUGAUGACUUUUCCAGAAGAGUUUGGGUGUAUACCAUGAAAACUAAAGAUGAAGUGCUUGGAGUUUUUCUUAAAUGGAAAACUAUGAUCGAAAACUAGACUGGCAAGAAAAUCAAGCGGCUUAGGACGGACAAUGGAGGGGAAUAUAAAAGUGAUCCGUUCUUCGAUGUGUGCCAAGAGUAUGGUAUUGUUCGACACUUCACAGUUAGGGAUACACCACAACAGAAUGGAGUGGCAGAGCGUAUGAAUCGAACAUUGCUGGAGAAAGUUCGAUGUAUGUUGUCCAAUGCUGGGUUGGGCAAGCAAUUUUGGGCUGAGGCUGUGACAUACGCUGGCCAUCUUGUUAAUCGUUUGCCAUCAUCUGCAUUAGAAAGAAAAACUCCUAUGGAGGUAUGGUCUGGAAAACCGGCUACAGAUUAUGAUUCCUUACAUGUGUUUGGAACCACUGCAUAUUACCAUGUGAAGGAGUCAAAGUUAGAUCCGAGGGCAAAGAAAGCUCUCUUUAUGAGAAUCACUUCUGGAGUGAAGGGAUUUCGACUUUGGUGCUUAAGCACAAAGAAAAUGAUCUGUAGCAGAGAUGUUACCUUUGAUGAAUCUGCCACAUUGAAAAAGGUAGCAGAUAAAGAUAUUCAGACGAGCAAUACUCCACAGCAGGUGGAAUGUACUCCAAAACAGGUGGAGUUUGAGCAGAUGGGGAUUUGCCCAGUUAAUAAGUCUAAUUCUCCAGCCACAAUGGAGGAAUUAGAGGUUGAAGAGGUUCUGACCCAAGAACCACUAAGUACACCAGAACCAGUUGCAGUUGCAAGGCCACGGAGAGAAAUUCGUAAACCUGCUCGAUUUACUGAUAUGGUGGCCUACGUCCUUCCCGUUGUUGAUGAUAUUCCUAUCACUUAUCAAGAAGCAAUGCAAAGCUUAGAAAGUGAUAAAUGGAAAAGCGCCAUGGAUGAAGAAAUGCAGUCUCUCCGGAAGAACAAUACUUGGGAGUUGGCGCAAUUACCGAAAGGUAAAAGGGCAAUCGGAUGCAAGUGGGUAUUCGCAAAGAAAGAUGGAUCUCCUAGCAAGAAGGAUAUUCGCUACAAGGUAAGAUUGGUAGCUAAAGGCUACGCUCAGAAGGAGGGAAUUGACUACAAUGAUGUAUUUUCCCCUGUUGUGAAGCAUUCCUCCAUUAGAAUUUUGUUGGCCUUGGUAGCACAGUUGAAUUUGGAGCUAGCUCAACUUGAUGUUAAGACAGCUUUCUUGCAUGGUGAGUUAGAAGAGGAGAUCUAUAUGACUCAGCCCGAAGGAUACACAGAUGCUGGUGGUAGAAAUUGGGUUUGUAAGCUGAACAAAUCGCUAUAUGGAUUGAAGCAAUCCCCGAAGCAGUGGUACAAGCGAUUUGAUAGCUUUAUGAGAAGACAGAAGUACACAAGAAGCAAAUAUGACAAUUGUGUAUAUUUGCAGAAGGCUGCAUGAUGGAUCUUUCAUUUAUCUACUCUUGUAUGUUGAUGAUAUGUUAAUCGCUUCGAAGAGCCAAAAUGAGAUAGAUAAGCUGAAGGCUCAGUUGAAUCAAGAGUUCGAGAUGAAAGAUCUAGGUGAGGCCAAGAAGAUUCUCGGCAUGGAGAUAAGUAGAGAUAGACCGAGAGGCAAUCUCUGUUUAAAUCAGAAGCAAUAUCUGAAAAAGGUAUUACAAUGUUUUGGUGUAAAUGAAAACACAAAACAUGUAAGUACCCCACUUGCUUCUCAUUUGAAACUUAGUGCUCAAUUAUCUCCGAAAACUGAAGAAGAAAGAGAAUAUAUGGCGAAAGUCUCAUAUGCUAAUGCAGUUGGGAGUUUGAUGUAUGCGAUGGUGUGUACGAGGCCUGACAUUUCACAAGCUGUUGGAGUUGUGAGCAGGUAUAUGCAUGAUCCUGGAAAAGGACAUUGGCAAGCUGUGAAAUGGAUUCUACGGUAUCUUCGAAAAACUGUAGAUGUUGGUUUAAUUUUUGAACAGGAUGAAGCACUUGGUCAGUUUGUAGUUGGAUAUGUUGAUUCCGACUUUCCUGGUGAUUUAGAUAAACGUCGUUCAACUACGGGGUAUCUGUUUACUCUUGCGAAAGCCCCAGUGAGUUGGAAGUCUACCUUACAGUCUACAGUAGCUGUGUCUACUACAGAGACAGAAUAUAUGGUAGUUACAGAAGCUGUUAAGGAGGCUAUUUGGCUUAAUGGAUUGUUGAAAGACUUAGGAGUUGUUCAAAGUCACAUAAGUUUAUAUUGUGACAGUCAGAGCGCUAUUCAUUUAGCGAAAAAUCAAGUCUAUCAUUCAAGAACCAAGCAUAUCGACGUAAGAUAUCACUUUGUGCGGGAAGUCUUUGAAAAAGGAAAAAUUCUACUUCAGAAGAUUCCGACAGCAGAUAAUCCCGCAGAUAUGAUGACCAAGGUGGUAACAACAAUCAAGUUUAAUCAUUGUUUGAACUUGAUUAACAUCCUGAGAAUUUGAGCACCUUCAGGUGUAUGGCGCUCGAGAGUGCAUUUGUAGGCACUACAAAAGAUAGCUUUAUCGAAUUUGGGGAGUUGAAGGAAGUGUGUGAAGAUGUGAUUAUCCUAAUCAAAUCUUCAAGGUGGAGAUUGUUAACAUUAAUGGGAGACAACAUUAAUGGCAAACAAUACAAAGUGGUGCAAGUUUAGCACCCUAAAGUUGACUUUGAAAAAGUGGCAUGGGAUAAUUUUUUUUGGUCCUUGAGAUAAUGGACUAUUUAUUGUUUGGUCCUUAAACCUCAACUAUAAAUAGGCCUUCUCAUUUCUCAUUUCAAUUCAUCCCAACCAAUCUUUCUCUCUUAGUUUUCUCUCUUCUCCCAUUUGAGAAUUCUUAAGGAAUUCUAUUUGUUUGUAAUACUUUGGAGAUAGUAAAGUUAUCAUCUGGUGUUAGUGCCCGAGGACGUAGGUAUAAUUUACCGAACCUCGUUAAAUCUCUUGUGUUCUUUCUUGUCCUAUUUUUCUUUCAAUAUUUGAGGGUAUAAUAGUAGUAUUUAAUUGUGCUAUUAAAUUACUAUAGAAGAGAUAUUCUGUCUAAGGAAAGACUUGGUAUUUAAGAGAUCCAUGUGAUCCACCUCUCUUCCCUGGGAAUUGAACUUUGUGUGAUUUUUUAGUAUAAUAAUUUACACGCUUCUGACCCUAUUGGAACAACACAACAUUUGCAACUUUUCUUUCUUUCAGGACAGAAUUUUUUAAUGGCGUAAUUGCCUGUUUUCUUUCGAAAACGAUUUUUCUUCUUAAAACCCUUUCUAUGGCUUUUAAAUUUUUUCUCUUUAUAGAUUUUUUUUCUUUUUCUUUUUCUCGUAGACUGGUUUGCAACCAAAUCUUUGAGGUACAUCUUCAAAUGAAUUACAACAUUUGAUUGACAUUUUUAUUGCCUUUUUAGCAGUUUUCUUAGCACAUUCUUCUGCUAUAUAUUUUCUUACUUCAGCAGCCAUCGAUCCUAACGAUGAAGGCUGGUCUGAGUCUUUUACAUACCUUUCCCUAAUAAUAUUAUUAAUGGGAUAUGGUAGUUUAUUAAUAAAUAUAUCUUCAUACAUAUCCGUUUCUAUAGUCGGGAUUUGGUAGAAGUAUUUGCUAUAUUGACAGAGAAAUUCUUCAAAAUACAAAGGUUACAUCAUUGUAUAUUUGUUAAGACAUGUUUAGUCACAUCUUUGUUGGUCAUUUCGGCGAUCGCUUGCCCUGGGACCCAUUUUAUACCACAAAAUUCUUGUAGUAUAUCUCUAGUUGUUUCCCUAAGAACUUGGGCAUUAUCGAAUGCUCCAAUAUGAUUGUUUCUAGAUAUUAAAUAUCUAUGAACAUUACCAGUGGUUUUAUAUAAGACAAAGUUGUAAUAACUAAGUCCAUCUGUUUCACUUAAUUCUUUAUUAAGGGUUAGCGCUAAUAGCAUUCUAUUAUACCAAUUUUGCACUAUAUUAAGUUUAUUAAUUGUGCAGUCUAGGUAUAAUAGUUCUCCUGUACUAGAUCCCUCUUUAGGUCUGUAUAAUCCUUGUCCAGGUCUUAGUCUUCCAUUUUUAUCUCUGACAUAAUCAGAGGUUGGAACUUGUUCAAAAUUACUUCCUGAGCUUUCGCCCGGUAAAUUUUGAGAUUCAGUAUUACCUGUAGGUUCAUCAGCCAUAUUUACCUGAUCUUCAUCUGGAGGAUUUUCAUCUCCUAGAAUGAAUUCAUUGGUUUCUUCAAUUAUGGGUUGAAGAUUAUCACUUAGAUCUUAUUGAUCUAGUAUUCUCCCAAGUUCUUCAACUUGAUUAUCCGUUUGAUAUAGAUGAUCAAACGAGUCAUGACUCUGUGGACAAGUCAUUGCUUCUACCAUUUCUGUUGGUAGGUUUGUCGUUUGUGCCGACACUUCUUUUGGGCCUUUUUGGGAUGGUCUGCUCCAGAGUUUAUCCCUUAGGGACAGAGGCUCAACAGAUUUCUUUCUAAGGAAACCCUUAGAAAUUUCUAACUUUAAAGAGACACAGAAGCGAAAGCUUCAACAAACUCGUUUUGAGAGAAAACGUCCUUCUUUUACCCUGAUUAAAACCCUCGAUUGAGGCUCCUUAUAUAGAAAUCCUCAAUACAAAAGAAAUGAUCCUAAAUCCGACACGCCAACCGUUAGUACAAUACGCGUGAAAGGAUAUAAUAAAAAAUAUUUUUAAAAUUUAAAUUUAAUUAAGAAUAUAAAAAUAUUUUUAAAAUUUUAUUAUUUUUGAACUCUCACAUGAACUUUUCUGAGUUGACUGAGCUGGGCUAAAAAUAGAUUAGGCUUGAAAAAAUUUCAGAUUAUUUUUAAGAGUAUACCAAGGAGUCUAAUAAUUACAAUUUUUUUUAAAAAGUUUUAAUAACACUAGAAAUCUUAUCACACACAUAUGCGUGUGAAAAUCACGUAUUUAGAAUACAUAGUUUGUGUUUAAAAAGAACAUAUAAUAAAUAAUGAAGAGUAUGAUUCGGAACUAAUUAAUAAUAACACAUGCAAUAUGUAUGAUAUUAAAAUAAAAAUUAGAUUAAACUGAGAGUAAAACAAAAUUUAAAUACAAAAAUAGAUGAAUAUUAAAUGAAAACAAAUGUUUAUCAUUGUUUUGUCUUCAAUACAGAGUUAGUGUCAUGUUCAUUUGUGACGCUAAAUCAAUUACAUUAUUUACAUAUACAAAUAUAUAAAAAUUUAGAACACAAAUAUACUUAUUAAAGUUUCAAGGAAAACUUUAAAUUGUUUUAGUUAUAAUGUAAAUGAAAAAGCUUUAUAUGCAUGGUGUCCCCUAGUUCAAAUAUCAUUAUGGGUAAUUUUUUAUUGAUUUAUAAAAAAAAUAUAAAAUGAUGAAAACACCCUCAUAAACGUAUAUCUUACUUUGCAAAUAAAAUAGUAUUUUUGGUAAUUUUCUUAUUGAGUUGGGACUCGAUUGAUGAGUAACACUAACUUAAUAAAAUGCUUAAUACAUAGUAUAGAUAAAACAAUUCAAAACUAAAAAUUUUAAAAGAAUUUAGGGUAAAAUUCAACUAUGGUUAAAUUUUCAUUUUGGUCACUUAACUAAAAAUGUUACAAUUUGAUCACUAAUGUUUUCGAAAUUAUUUUCUUUUUGUCACCCAGCUGUUAAGUGGCACUUGUUUCAGUUGGUAUAAUAAAAAUUCUAGUCAUCAAUUUUUAUAUUUUCUGUCAAUUUCACUCUGAUUGUGUAUAAAAAAUUAUUAAAAUUAUUAGAUUUAGUUAUUAGAUUUAAUUUCAAGUUGUAACAUAUGAUUAUGCAUUCUUAAACCCUGUUGUCCCAUACUUUUCGAUUAAUUAUUAGAUUUAAUGAUAAAUUUAGCCUUUAACGUUUGAUUAUUUUAUUAAAAUGGCCCUAAUUGUGUUUUUGAGUUUUUUUUCUAUCAAUUUUUGUUCUUUUUUUCAAUCUUCUUUUUUUUUUAAAUAGAUUUAAUGAAAGUACCUUAAAAAAGUUAAACGUGAUAAUAUGGAAUUUCAUAUGUCGAAUAUUUUUAAUGAGAAGUAUGAAAGAUUGAAAACUUUUGAAAGAAAAUAAAUAUUGAAACAAAGGUUGAUGGUAAAGAAAAGCUCAAAAAUAGAAUAGGGUCAUUUUGACAAAGCAAGUAAAAAUUGGUGACCAAAUUUAUAAUUAAACCUAAUUAUUAUUAUUAUUAUUAUUAUUUAAUGCCAAUUAUAAUGGGUGACAGCAAAGAAAAGAGUCAAAAAAGAUGGAUUUCUUACUCGUAUCCACAACAUUCGUCUUUUUAUACAUGUAAUUAUUAAUUAUUUUCUCUUUCUUCUUCUUCUUCUUCACAUACUUUCCCAUUAAUUCCUAUCACAAUUUUGCUUAUUUCUAUUUUCACCUUCUUCUUCACUCUUUUUAAUUUCUUUUCAUCUCCAAGGUCUAUCACUAAUUUUCAAGCAUCCAGUCAAGGUAAUUUUCUUUCAUUUGCUUCAUUCAUGACUAUACAAUGAUUGUUUUUUAUUAUCAGCUACUGUUAUAGCAGCUAGCUUUGUAAGAUAGUCAAGGUAAUAAGAUCUGAAGCAAUGGUUUCCUCUAGUGAUUAUCAACAGUUUUAGAUUUCAAGACUGGAUGAUCAGCAGACAUAAUCUACUAUAGUUAGAAAUUAAUUCCAAAAGAGCUACCCGGAAGCAAUAUAAUGUUGAAAUACCAAAAUGUUGAACAUUUUACCUCUUAAUAUUCUGUUGCACACUUGAAUGUAGAAAAAUCUUUUCUUAUUUUCACUCUUCUAAUUUUUAAAAAAAAUUACCACUCUUCUUCCUCCUUGGGUUUAUAUACUUUGGGUAGAAGAGGAAGGCGAAAUGGGAUAGGACCCAGAUCGGGUCGGGUUGACAUAGGAAAUGGGUUGUAUGAUGAUCAAGGUUUUUAGGGUUUUUGCAUUGAAGAAGAAGAAAGGUGGAGAAAGAAAAGACAAAGAAAAAAAAAAGAAAAGGUGAUUUUUUUUUUCUGAAAAACUGAAAUCAGAAAGGAAGGGCUUUGCUUUCUAGGAGAUAGUGUAUUUUAAUGGGAUAUUAUGUAUUUGUUAUAUUGCUCUUUAAUUCCUGGGCUGCAAUUGCAUGCAUACAUGGAUGAUGUAUGUGAGUUGUGUAUCUUUUUUGCUGGAUUUUCUAUAUUGUUUUCCUCCUCCAUCUAUCUUUUUUUUUUUUUUUCAUUUUAAUUGAUUCAAUGGGUUUUGUUGAUUCAAUUAGAAUCAUUUGAUUUUUAAUUUGCUGAUUCAAUGGGUUUAUUGAUUCAAUGAGUAGUAGUAUCACUUGAUUUAUUUGCUUAGUGAUUCUUCUCUCAUUUUGACCCAACAAAAAUUGUCUUCGUGGAUGAAAAAAAUGGGAUAACUUUGCUCGCAUUAGGGGUUCACAGGACGAAAUUUCAAGUUUAAUAGGAGCCAAAACUAUUAUGGAAGAAUUAAAACUAAAAAAAAAAAAAAAACUUGAGAUUAUUUUGAAUUAUCAGAAGAACCAUGGGGAGAGAUUGAAAAGUAGAAAAGGAGUUUCAUGGAUGUGAUGACUAGAAUUGAAUGUGUGAAAGUUACAGCUCAAAAUAUUUAAACCUCGCCAUGCUAGGUCUGGCUAGACAGUCCAAACCCAAUUAAUGACUGUAGGACAUUCCCACUAUAAAUUAUCCAACUACACUUCGUGUAAAAAGACGAAACACAAAAAAGCUAAAAGAUAGGAAUUCUUCCUAGUAAUUCUGCCUUUGUGGAACCUACCUCGGAAUUUUUCCUGUUUUUAUCUUAACUUUCUUCUUCGUUUAGGCUAUUGUACCCACAACAUUCUUUCUUCUUCACUGUUUUUAAUUUCUUUUGAUUUCCAAGGUCUAUCACAAAAUUUCAAGCAUCCAGUCAAGGAAAUUUUCUUUCAUUUGCUUAAUCCGUAACAUGCUUUUCUUUGCUUAAUUCAUGACUUUGCAAUGAUUGUUUCUGGUUAUCUGCUACUCUUAGCAGCUAGCUUUGUAAGACAGUCAACUUCACUGCUUCAUUUUCAGUUCUAUUCUCUCAACACUUUUCAGCCACUAAGUCAGGUAAUAAGAUCUGAAGCUAUGAUUUCCUCCACUGAUUAUCAACAGUUUUAGAUUUUAAGACAAGUUGAUCAGCAGACAUAAUCUACUCUACAUUGAAAUUAAUACAGAAAGAGCUACCCGGAAGCACUAUAAUGUUGAAAUCUCAUACUUAACAUUUUAACUCUUAAUAUUCUGUAAUGAACUGUUGCACACUUGAAUCUAGCAUUUUAUAUACAUUAAGAGCUUAAUUCUGGUGACCAGAAUUUCAUCAUGUUUCUGUCUGCCACCCAUCCAUAGCUCCAUCUAAUAAACGCCAUUGCUUGAAACUUGCAAUCAUGUUUUCCUUUUCAUGCUUACACUGACAUAUCAAUACUUCAUAAAAUAUCCAAUUCAUUCUCUGCUACUGUUAUCUAUGAUUGCAUUGCAGGGACAUAGCAAUGGAGUACGUAGAGCCUGUUGUUGGCAUUGCAAUUUGUCUCGGCACUCCUGUUUGUAAAUAUUUGCAAUAUCACAGAAAGCUGAACAACUAUGUGAGAAACUUCAAGAGGAUCAGAGAUGAGUUGAAUUGCAAAAUGGAAGAUAUAGAGCUGCAAUUGAAAGCAGAGCUUCUUCGGCCUCUGGGGAAGAUACCAAAGAAGGGAGUUGAAAAUUGGUUGAAAGAUGUGAAAGAGAUGAUUCGGGAAGCACUACUUGUUGAAAACAAAGUCAGUAACGGGAGAUAUCUCUGUCGUGCUUGCAACGGGAAGCUGGUUGAUGUAAAGACUCGAGAAAUGAAGGAAUUUCUUGAUAAAGCUCCUAAAGCCUCUGAAGGUCUUGCCAUGGAUGGUCCAAGUGGUGGGUUGCCGCUGCCAACAUCAGAACUAGUUGGAGAGGAAGCUGUCAGAAAUGAGAUUUGGGCAUGUUUGAUGCAGGAGGAGGUGAGCAAGAUUGGAGUUUGGGGGAUGGGCGGUGUGGGUAAAACCACUAUCAUGAAGCACAUCCACAAUGAUCUUUUGAAAGAACAAAGAUUCGAAAGGGUAAUCUGGGUUACCAUAUCAAAGGAGUUCAAUGUAAUGAAGGUACAAGAUAAUAUUGCAAGUGCGUUGAAGGCGAAGGAAUACUUAGACAAAGAAGAGGACAAGGUCAGACGAGCAGCAAUCUUGUCAGAAAUGCUGAAGAACGCAGGAAAGCAUGUUCUAAUCCUAGAUGAUGUGUGGGAUAAAGUCUCUCUAGAGGAAGUUGGGAUCCCCAAGGCAAGUGGCGGCAAUGGCUGCAAGUUGGUGUUGACAACUCGUUCGGAGCAUGUCUGUAAGUAUACGGGUUGUAAGGUGAUAAAAGUGAGGCCCCUUUCAGAAGAAGAGGCAUUGAUACUAUUCUUGAGUAAAGUUGGACCUAACAUAGUUCAAUGUCCAACUAUAAUGCCAACUCUGAAGCUUGUUGUCAAGGAAUGUGCGGGUCUACCUCUUACAAUUGUCAUGGUAGCUGGUACCAUGAAAGGAGAAUAUAACCCUCGUAUUUGGAAAAAUGCACUCAAAGAUUUGAAAGAGAGAAUAGGGAAAGUGGAAGGAGUGGAAGCUGAGGUAAUCGAGCGCUUGAAAUUCAGUUUCGAUCACUUGAAAGAUGAGAAAGUAAAAGAUUGCUUCUUGUAUUGUGCAUUAUAUCCUGAAGAUUAUGAAAUUCAUAAGGUUGAACUAAUCGAGUGUUGGAUUGCUGAGAUAUUCAUAGACGAGAUGGACACAAGACAAGAAAUGGAAGAUAAGGGCCUUACUAUUUUGAAAAGGUUGGAAGAUAACUGCUUGUUGGAAAAUAAUACCACUCAAUUUGGUUUAAAUGGUAUAAAGAUGCAUGAUGCAGUGAGAGACAUGGCAUUGUCGAUCACAAGAAUGAAUCCUCGAUAUAUGAUACAAGCAGGUUCGCAAUUAGAAGAGUUACCGGAAAAGGGGCAAUGGAGUCCGGAUAUUGAGAAAGUGUCACUUAUGUAUAACUCCAUAUCAGAAAUUUCCAUAGAUGUGCUGCCCACAAAAUGUCAACUGCUCACAACCUUGUUAUUGCAGCAUAACCCUAUAAAGAAGAUUCCAUAUUCUUUCUUCUUAAACAUGCCCUGUCUUUGUGUCCUAAAUUUGUCCUAUACAGAGAUCGAGAGUUUACCAAAUUCCAUCUCUGAACUAAAGAACCUCACAACAUUGUUGCUUUGUGAUUGUGAAGAAUUAAGAGAUCUACCAUGUCUUUCGAUGCUUCAAGAAUUGAAGAAGUUGGAUCUAAGUUGGACUAAAAUUGAGGAAGUCCCUGAAGGAAUGGAUAUGCUGAUAAAGCUAAGAUAUCUUGAUCUUAGAGUGCACACUCUGAAAGAGAUACCCGCUGGACUUUUACCAAAACUCGUUCACCUUCAACACUUGGGUUUUUAUGAGAACAAUGAAAAAACAAGUCUAAAAGCAGAGGAGUUGGAACCAUUGAUGAAGUUGGAAUGCUUUACCGGACGUUUCGAAGAUAUCAAUGAAUUCAAUAAGUUCAUCUCCUCAAUGAAACUAAGUAAGAAAAAUCUCAUCAAGUACCAUUUACAGGUGGGCUCAUCUUUUAUGCUUGCUACAAGAGAUAAAACAGUAACAAUUGGAGGAGUCCAGAAUUGGGAAGGUGAGUCAAUUAUGCACCCAAUUGAAAUUCAACAGUUGAAUAUUUCAAGUUGCAACUAUUUGAGAAACUUAGUCGAUGAUAAUUCUUCCUUCAAAAAAGUGAUUGGCUUGAGGGUUUGGGUUUGUGAAGGGAUAGAGUGUGUUGUUUCCCUGUCCUCUUUUGCCUCUUCUUCCACUCAUCCAUUUCAAAGCCUCGAGGUGUUAGAUCUUGGAGAUCUGCCAAAGUUGAGUGCCCUUAUUAUGAAAGAUGCAGGAAUUGGUUCAGCAACAACAUCAACAUCGGCUCCGUCUGCCACCUUUUCCCAUCUUAAGGAAAUUAGGAUAUACAAAUGCCCAGGUAUGAAGACGUUGCUUCCACAUUGGUUGCUUCCAAACCUCCAAAGCCUGGAAGAAAUACAUGUGGGUGCUUGUAGUCAGCUAGUAGAAAUAUUGGGAGCAGCAACAUCAAAAGUUGAAGAAAAAGAGAGUGAUGCAUUAAUCAAAUUCCAUCUUUCCAAAUUGAGAGUAUUGAGACUAAAUAAGUUACCAAAUUUGAAGAGCAUAUGCAGCAAAAGUGGAGUGAUGGUUUGUGAUUCUCUCCAAGUUAUCAAAGUUUUUGGAGAUUGUGAUAAACUGAAGAGAAUUCCUCCAUUUGUUCCCCUUGUUGGCAAUGGGCAGCCAUUUGUAUAUGCUCCACCUUCUCUUACAAUCACGUCAGACACAGAAUGGUGGGAAUCGUUGGAGUGGGAUGAUCAUCCAAACUUUAAAAAUGUUCUUCAACCCCUUUGGAAGCUUUUAAGGUAUCAACCAUUUAUAGUUUAGUUUAUUCGAUUUAUUUUAUAAAUCUAAUUUCUCCAUUUUAAUACCAUUUCAUUAAUCCAACUUCUCCAAGUUAUCCAACUUAUCCAACUUAUCCAAGAUGCUGGAGACUGUUAUAAACUGAAGAGAAUUCCUCCAUUUGUUCCCCUUGUUGGCAAUGGGCAGCCAUUUGCAUAUGCUCCACCUUCUCUUACCAUCGGGUCAGAGACAGAAUGGUGGGAAUGGUUGGAGUGGGAUGACCAUCCAAACUUUAAAAAUGUUCUACAAUCCUUUGGAAGCUUUUAAGGUAUAUGAACCAUUUAUAGUUUAGUUUAUUUUAUUUAUUUUAUAAAUCUAAUUCCUCCAUUUUAAUACGAUUUCAUGUUAUAUUUUAUUUAUGUUUGAAGAUGAUGAGGCCUCCAUUGGUGCCAAAGAAGUAGAAGAGAGUAGCAGGGCGGAGGAUGGUGCAAAAGAGAGGAUAAAAAAGGUGGGAAUAAAAGGAAUGAUGGAUGAGGAAUUGAGCAGCCACCAUAAUAAUGGACUCCUUUUCCAUUGAAUCAAAUAUUAUUAUGUUCUAUUAUUUAGAAAAUCUUUAUAUGUUCUUAAACAGAGAUGUUUUUAAAAUUAUUUGUCUUUAAAAUUAUUAAACUUAUUUAUUAUUCUUCUAUCAAUCAUUUAUGCAUUUUUUUACUAAUGAUUCUAAUAAAAGUUUUAACAUUCAAAAGCAUAUAAGUUGAAAUAAAUUUUUUCAAUUUUAAAAUAUGCAACUUAAAAAGGUACUCCAUUAUUUUCUUAAAAUAAUAUCAAAUUAUGACUACCUUUAAAGUAUAAUUGAGUGGAUAAAUCACACCGUUGGUCAUUUUAAACUAACAUUAUUUCUAUUUUGGUCACUCUAUAAUUGCUCGAAUUAGUUGGUCAUUUUAAACUAACAUUAUUUCUAUUUUGGUCACUCCAUAAUUGCUCGAAUUAGUCAAUGACAUUGACAUUUUUUUAUUUUGGACUAAAGCUAGGGACUUUUAUGUAAUUAGCCCAAAACAUUUGUUUUUGUUUAUUUUGCAACAUAAGAACCACAUGUCACCACUCAUCCCUUGCUUUCCAUUGCUCCUCACUGCACAAUAAGAGCCACGUUUCAUCACAAUGGUGUACAAAGAGUGUUGGCUGUGUUUUGACUAUCGUACAAAUUAGUGUAGAAAUACAACUGAACAAACUUUCGAGUGGAUACUAUUGGGAAAUUGUAGGUAAAGUUGGAGCGAAAAACACAACCACGUCUCUUUUAUGGAAAAUGGCCUGAAAAAAGCCUAAUAAACCCAGUUGUGUAUUCAACAAAUGGGUUUCAACCCUCCUUUCCAGCCACUCCCACCGCUGAUAAAUUGAAAUUAUUUGUAAAUUUUAAAAGUUAAUCUUUUAAAAUUAUAAUUAAAUCGAUAUAAUAUGUAAAAGUUGAGAAAUAAAUUUAUUAUUAUAUUAAUUUUUUAACUAAUAUAUCAUCCUCUCAUUAGAGAGGUUUAAGGCACUUAAAGGAAAUAGAUAAAAAAAUAUCUCGAUUAAUUGAGUGAUCAAACUACAAAAAUUAAUAAUUGAAUGAUGAAAAGGAAAAGAGAUAAUGACUAGAUGUAAUUUACCCAUAUUUUUAAAAAGCGUAUAAAAAAUACAGAGGAAUGGGCUGGUACUUUGAAUGGUCCAAUUAGAGUAGCAAUUGGUGGCUCCGAUGCUAAUUUAAUUUCUACACCAUAACAUGGAAUUUUGCACCAAAGCUGAUCCCACGGUCAUCUCAAAAUAAUGCUCAUCAUAUUUUAAUUUAUCACACUUGGAAUUACAGACGCUGCACUUUCAUAAGAUAAAUUUUUAAGAAUUUGGAAUGUUAUCAUUAAGUAACUAAAUUUAAGUAAAUUAAAAUAUUUAAUAUAAAAAUUAUAAAAUUAUAAUGUCAAAAAUUUGUGAGAAGUGUAUUACAAUUAUGGGAUAUUUUUAAUCUUUUUGAGAUAAAAUUGUUCUUUCAAUAUGAUCCCAUUUUUCUCAUGGUAACUAUGUGAUCCAUGACAGUGUUUACUUCUCAUUUAUCAUGUAAUGCUGAUGAGAGAAUAUAAUUUACCUUUUAGUUGAGCUAUGAAUUUCAUUGUUGAUGAAUGAUGCUACAUACUAUAAAGGUCAUAUACCUAAUGCACCAACUUUCAGUUCCUUAUCUAUUUAAACUCAGACUUUCGUUUACAUCAAAGUAUACGAAUCACACAUACAUAGUCCAUCAUCUACUCAGGAUUAAAGUAUGUCACACCAUGAACGUCACAAAUGAAUAAAUCUACAAGUGAGUUACAUCUAUGUCUCUAUUUUCUAAGACUCAAUCUCUCCAGUACCGAAGAUAAAGUAUUUCCUUAAUUGGAUUGGAUAGAUAACAUGUUAUCAUUUCAAUCAGUUUGCUCUUUUUUUAUUAGACUAAGGACAUUUUUAGAUUAUCUAUUAAUAUAAAUUGUUUUUCCAUAUUAUGAUCCAACCAUGUAAUACCGUUUGGUAUUAGUUAAAUGUUAGAUAAUUAUUGGGUCAAUAUUUGUUUUGCGUGCAAAAAUCAUAAAGAAUAAUAUACAAAGGAUAUUAAUGUAAUGAAUGAAUAUUUUAUUAAAUCAAUUUGUUCAAAAAAUAUAAGUAUAUAUUGACGAAAAUAUUAAAAUAAAGACACUAGAUCUAACAGUCUCCCAUUUGACCUAGAGAAGUAGAUAAGUCAUAUUUCGAAUUCCCAUAUUUUCUACACGUUUCUCAAAACUCCUAGCCACCAAAGUCUUGGUCAAUGGAUCCGUAAGGUUGUCCUCUUAUAUGACUUUGACUACAUCCACUAUUUCAUUUGUUAUUGCCUCCUUUAUGAUAUGAUACUUUCUAUCAAUAUGUUUUGUCCUUUUGUGGUUUCCAGUUUCCUUGGUGUUAGCUAUUGUCGCACUAUUAUCACAAUACAGUGUGAUAAUUUUUUCCAUACCAUGAACAACUUCAAGACUCGUAAGGAAUUUCCAAAGUCAUAUUACUUAUUUUCUUGCCCCAAAAGCAACCACAUAUUUGGCCUUCAUAGUGGAUUCUAUAGUGUAACCCUAUUUGACACUUCUCCACACUAUGAACCCAUCGCCUAGGACAAAGUUAUAAACCGAUUUGGAUUUGCUAAAAUCUCGAACACAUUUGGAAGUCAAGAUCGAUAUAACAAAUAAGAGUGAGAUCUCUUCCAAAACAUACAAGCAUAUAAUUCAUCAUUAUUCGUAAAUACUUGAGUAUAUGCUUUAUUAAUUGCCUGUGUCUUGAGUUGGGAUUCACCUAAUAUCAACUCACCACCUAUUAUGAAAAAAAUAUCUAGACGUGUGUGUCACAAUAUACAUGAGGCUUCCUAUUGCCAAAGCAUAAAUAACAUUUCUCAUGUAUUCUCUUUCUUAAAGAGAGAUGAAAACUUGAUAUAGAAGAUUGAGAUCUCUUCUUGGAAUUUGUCGCUGCAAAACAUUCCAUUAUCUUAUCUAUGAAUGAAACUUUUGAUAAAGUUAUCACUUUGUUCUUUCAAUCCCUUAAUAUUCAAAUGCCCAGAACAGAGUUAGUUUCUCCCAAAUCCUUCAUUCUAAAUUGUUGGGUUAACCAUAAUUUAACCAAUGACAAUGUCUCUACAUAAUUCCCAAUGAAUAAAAUAUCUUUGACAUAUAAAAUAAGAAAUAUCACCUUUCCAUCCUUAAUACUUUUAUAAAUAAUAGGUUGAUCAAUAUUUUUCUCAAAUCUUAAAGUUUUGAUGGCUUGAUCAAAUCUUUGAUUCUUUAAGCGGGAUGCUUGCUUAUGUUAGUUGACAACCAUGAUUUUAAUAACCUUAAUAGUUAAUAAUUAAGGAUAACAAUAAUUUUUAAAGAUUCAAUUGAUAUUAUUUCAUUAUUUAUCAUAACAAUUUCUUUAUAUAAACAUGAACAUAUUUUAGAAUUAUGAAUGAAAUUGAGUGAUUAUUUCCUCAACAUUACAUAGAAUCUUUCUCUAAUUCUGAACAUGGUAUCAGAUUUAGGUUUGAUUUAGGGAAUUUUUUUUUCAAUUUUUUUUUGAAACCCUAGAACCAAAAAAUCUCAUCAAGUAUCGAUUACAGGUGGGCUCAACUGAUUGGCGUUCUACUGUAAAUUAUAAAGAAGAUAAAGUUUUAUGACUUGUAGAAGUGGGAAUUUUUAGAACCAAGUUAAUUAUGCUCCUGAUGGAGAUUCAGGAGUUACACAUUUCGUACUGCCACAAUUUGAGAAGCUUCAGCGAUGAUGUUUUUUCCUUCAAAAAUUCUAGUGACUUGAAGGUUUGUACAAUUGAGCAUUGUGAUGGGAUAUAAUGUGGUGUUGUUUUUUUCCUCUUCUUCCUCUCAUCCACUUCAGAGCCUUAGGUGUUGUUUCUUUACAAAUUGUCGACGUUGAGUGCCCUUAUCAAAGUUAACAGAUUUGGUUCAGCAACAACAUCAAUAUUGGCUUCGUCUGCUACCUUUUCCUAUUUUAAGAAAACUCACUUACCCAACUGCUUCACUAUGAUGAUGUUGCUUCCAUAUUGGUUGCUUCCCAACCUCCAAAAUCUACAACUAAUAAAAGUGAGAGGUUGUGAGCUAACAGAUACAUUGGGAGGACCAACAUCAAAACAUAAAGAAAAAAAGAAGUGAUGGAUUAAUCAAAUUCCAUCUUUCUUAAUUGAAAAAGUUGGUAUUGCAAGAGUUGCUAGAACUAACAAGCAUCUGCAAUAAAAGUGGGGUAUUGAAGAGCAUCUGCCGUAAGUUAGAAUUCCUUCAUUUGCUCCCCUUGUUGCAAAUGGACAGCCAUAUGCAUAUGCUUCACCUUCUCUGAAGCUUGAAUCAAUUUCAACAUGGUGGGAAUUGUUGGAGUGGGAUAAUCGUCCAAACUCUAAGAAUGUUAUUCAACCCCAUUGGCAUAAAUUGUGUAAUGUCAACAUUUUUAUUUAUUUGUACUUUAUAAUCUCAUUUCUCUAUUUUAAUGCAAAUUCUUGUAUUGUUUUAAGGUGGUGAUGAGAAAGUUGCUCCAUUGCAGCUUCAUUUGGAUACCUCUCAAGUUGUUUAGGAUGGAGAUGGCGGAAAACGUGGGGGAUAGUGUUGAGGACACCUUGAAUGGUGCUUAAGGGAGGGCCUGCUUUACCGUGCCGGGAGGGUCUUAAUUGUUGGAUCUACAAAAUUCAAGGGAGAAGUGCUAUCAUAGUACAUAUGAACAAUUAUAAAGCUCAUCUUGGGUACGGAGACUCGAAUCGCCAACUUAAAGCUUAUACUGCUUAGCUGCAUCCAUAAUACCACGUGGGCUAUUUACCAAACACCGGCUAUCGGCAAAGUAUGAGAGACAAAACCCUCACCGGGGAUAAUACCUUUGGUUGUUGAGAGAUUGAUUGACUACCCAACAGACGACACUUUAAAAGCUUCUCCCAAAGACUUUGACCUCUCUAAAAAUAUGUUUCAACCCAAGUAACUUAUGAUCCUAAGUGUCCCGAAAAAUAUUUUAUUCCUUGAUAUUCCUAAACCAUAGUUAAUACGGAUGGAACCAUUCAUCUGAUCGCUAUUAGCUUCAACAAUCUGCUCUGGUGGCAUCCACCAUUAAUAAUUUAAUGUUGCAGCAAAUAUGACUCCCAGGUUUGGUUCAUUUUGUCUUGUUUUUUUCUUUGCACUCAAUGUCUUAGAUCUCCAAAACACAUCAAGGUAGGCCCUGGAGGAGUAUAAAAAUUUUUGAAUCCAUGGCAACGUGAAACAACUUGACCUUUAACCUAUAAGAGCUAUCAAAACGUUUAGCCUAAAAAUAAACCAUGAGACUGUUUAUUGCUUUAAUCAUUUAAGUUUCAAUUGGUUCAGAAUUUUGAUUAAUUCUUUUGUUUCUCAAAUUCAUGUGGAUAUCAUUUAUAUAAUAUAUACUCAACACGAGUAUAUUUAAUAAAUCAUUCUUAUGUCCUGCUUUCCCAUAUUUUCAAGUCACUUGCAACAAUUUUUUUUACUCUAACUUAGGCUUCACACCAAACUAAACUAAUUGAUUUGAAACCUAUUUGGAAUAAUUGGUUACAUUAUUACUUGAACAAAUAACGUUUUUAAUGUCUUUAUUUUAUUUUGGCCCUUAAUUUUUUUUUUGUGUUUUAUCCCAACUUUUUAGAAUUUUUUUGUAAGUGACUUGAAAGGGAGUACUCUUUUUUCUCAUUUUAAUCUCACAUGGGCUAGCCGAUGGGUUAUACGUACAAGGCUAAAAUGAUUGUUUUAAAAAUUUUAUAUGUUUAAUUUUUAGAGUUAGAAUUAAAUUCACAAAUUUUGUAAAUUUUGAGGUCAAAUUUGUUGAAAUUUUUAUAUUUAGGAUCAAAUUGAUCAAAUGUGUAAACAUUAGAGGGCUAAUUUUGUUACUAGACCAAUAAAAAAGGCCACAUUAGUUUAGAGUGACUAAAAUAUUUAAUUUUAAAAAGUUUAGUGACUAAAUCAAAAAAAAAAAUAAUAGUUGAGUGACCGAAAUAGAAUAAAAAGCGUAGUUGGACAACCAUUUUUACAGUUUACGCAUAAAAAAUAGUUUUCAAGAUGUCCACGUAAUCUUUUAAUAGAUAAAAUUUAAUGGAGAAACUAAUUUACACGUUUUAAAAUGAAUAAAUGUCAAUUUACUCGUUUUUUCAAUAAAGAAAUGGAAAAGCAAUCCGCCCUAAGCGCAUCAACCUUCCUAAUACUUUUACCUUUGAGAUCCCUUAUAUUGUUCUGACAUUCAAGUAUGCAAAUCCAACUAUUUCCCCCUUUUAGGAUUUCUUAAAAUUUGUUUCCCACAUUCAAGGAUGCAACUGUAAACAUUUCCCCUCUUAGGAUCCCUAAAAUUUAUUUCCCCUUUAAAUAAACAAUUUCUUAUUCUUCCCUAAAAAAUAACUUGAUUUAUUUUAAAAUAUAUAUACUUCAAAAAGUAACCUUCUAAAAUAUUUAUUUUUAAAAUAUUAUAAUUAAUAUAUAUAUAUAAAAUUACAUUAUAAACUUAUUUUGAUAUGAUGUUGAAUCAAAUAUUAUCAUGAUCCUUUACCACUUUCAACAAUAGUAUUUUAUUUCGUAAAUUUUAUGUUAAGUAAACUUCAAAUUUUAUCAAAAAACAUAUAUAUGGUCCAAUUUUAGUAUGUGUUUAGAUAUGAUAGAUUGAUUGGAUGAAAGUUUAAUUACUAUUGUAAUAAUUGCACCCUCUUGUAAUUACAAAGAAUUAUAAUUUUCUAGACAUAUUUGGGUGACAGAGUGUAAUUACAUAUGAGAUAUUACAACGUCUAAAUGAAUAACAAAAAUUAAAAUAAAAUAAUCAUAUACAAUAUGUUAUUCCAAGGUAGUUGAUAAUACGAUUAAAUACCAAGGAAAAAUAAAUUUCAUAUGCAAUUUUGUCUAAUCUCUCUAGUAUUUAUUGUUGGGUUACAGGGACAAGCCAAAAGUUUUAUCUUUGUGAGGCCAAUUAAAUUACAAACCUUUAAAUGAGUCAAAUUACAAUUUUAUCUUUGUUAAUGCUUGUUAUUUUAGAAAGGUAAAGGGUUUAAACUGGAAUUUUUUCCAUCUUUGGAGGGCCAAACUGCAUUUUACCACUAAACUAACUUAUAAUUUUAAAAAUUUCAAGGGACUAAAAUGACAGUUUUUUAUUUUAAGGGGAUAGGGCCUCUACCUAACCCCCCCUUGGCACUAUCCCUAUGGGGUUAUUUGAUCUUUUAACAUUUAACAUAUACUCUAUUGCUCUUUUUCAUCAACAAUUGGUCGCUGAGUUUAUUGUCAUGUAAAUCUGAAUUCGUAUUUGUGUCAUUAAGAUUAUAACGAUCUUAUUCUAUUUACUUUUUAAUGGAUCGUCUCAAUUCCACCUACAAAUGAGGUUAUGAGAUAUGCAACAUGCUAAUGUAAUCCAACCUUAUUUUUUUAUACUAUAUCGAAUCAAUGUUAUUAAUAUAAAAAUCUUUUUUAGAAUAAUAUUAUAUCUCUACUUCAACUUGGACCCAGUUGGACCCUCCAAUGGGCCACUCAAGGCUUAUUAAGUAACAUAAUUAGGUAAGAAUCUUCACUCAGUUAUAAAUGCCCAAAGGUACCAACAUUAUUAUAGUGGUCCUCUCUAGACUCAAAGUUUGAAAUAUGCUAAACAUUCAUAUUGAGGCCCUCUACUUGACUGAUUCUUGGUCCUAGAAUGGGUGAAUCGGUCUUCCUCGACACCACCCCCUCCUCCUUCUCCACUCCCAUUAAUACUGUGUAUCAACAAUGAUAGAGGUGACGGUGGAUCGAACAUGCGCAAAACCCUAGAAAUUCACCCUCUCAAUAUACAAAGAAAAAAAAACCAAAUUUUAGGUUCAAAGAGCUUGUAUUUGUUGCCAAAAGAUUUGGAGAUUGAAAAAUACAUAGCUUUUGACACGAUUCAUGGUAGUUGGAUAUUUGUGGGCAAUCUAUUUUUAUUUCGGUAGUAUAUGGUAUGUGCUUGCAUUUUUCUUUUUCUUUUCGGUUGUGGUGCAUUGGUCUUUGAGUGGGGUUUUAGAAUAGAUAAUUUUCUCUGUGUACGAAUUUUAGUGGAAUUUGGGGUUUGAUUCUUUGAUCAUGGUUUUCCUGUUGUGAUAGUUGAUGGGGUUCAAGUGUAUUGUUGCAUGGUAAGAAUUUCAUGAUGUUUGCUUGUGGUUCGUCUCUUGUUUUAUUAUAAUUCACCGGUUUACUUUGUCAUUCAAGGGCUGGAUCCGAGGUUGUUUCAUUGAUUGAACUUCUUGCUGAUUCUUAGAGAGCUCGUAUGUUUGUAUAACAAAUGUAUUGCCUCUAUAGUACAUAAAAUAAAAGCAUAAUAGGGGGAUGUUAGACAUGGUCAUGCUGAUUCCACUCAAUUAUACAUUAAAGUAGAACAUGUCCUAAAUACACAAACAUAACGUAUGUUAUGUACUUGCUAAAACAUGUAUAAAUGUAGAAUAUCCUGAAAAUAGAAAUUACAAGAGUUGCCAGGUUCGGAAGAUAGGGAAUAAUGAGCUUCUUUCUGAUAACAUGCUGUUUGACUUCAACAUAAGUUAGUGUGGCUUGCAAAUAAUGCACCAAACAUGUGUUAAAAUUGCUUAUUGCUUUUAAUGUGAUUCACCACUAUUCUAUUGUACAUGCAAAUGCAAAAUAUGGUUUGCUCAUUACUUGUUCAUAGCUUCUCGGCUAACCUUUACAACCAUCAUUAAUUUUUUUUUAAUUUCCUUUUUAUAUUGUUGGCUUUUAUAUUACUGAAUGUUUCACUGAAUGUCAAAUGUUAGACUAAGUUAUAAUUCGAAGUUUUUGUUAUUUUGUGUGUGCUUUAAAUAUGUUUGGCUCAUUUUCUCCAGUAUGAUUGUUAGUCUAGAAUAAUUAAAUCUCUGGAAGCUAUGCUUGUUUAUGCAUCUCACUGCAACCAAUAUCACUGCAGUUUAAAUUACCUAUAGCUUGUGUUUUUUUGGUCAUCUACAGCCUUUGGUGACUAUCAAGUAAGACAUGAUACACAAUAACAUUAUUGCAACUCUUUAUCCCAGAGGUGUAAUCCCCUGUGUAUGUAUGUAUAUCAGCAGAGUGCAACACCCAUGCAUGUGUAUGUUUAUUAUAAAAAAGAAAGAUGGUGGUGAAUUAGAGGGACCUGCGAAGGUUCCCACUAGGUUUCUUGCAUAUGUGUUAUUAACAAUAAGAAAAUGAAUGGAAGGGGGAACCCUCCCACGGGCAUAGCCCUGCCUAUGUGUAUAUGUAUAUAUAUAUUAUUUUAUUUAAAAGAGAGAGAAUGAUGAUUGAAAGCUUUCCAUGGACAAUUACACUUCACGAACAGUAAUUACUCGACAUCUUUGCUUUUACACUAACAGGCGAUUAUACCUCCGUAGAUAGUAAACACUCGGUAUGGUUAUUUGUACUUAUCUAUACAUGAAAAUCUAUACGAGUUUGAGAAAGGGAACCUAUGAGGGGUUCCCACGAGUGGUUCUACCACCUUGCAUAUAUGUAUAGUCAUGUGGUAUAUAUGUUACACAAAGGGAACCCACGAAAGACUCCUACGGAUGAUUACUUGUUGUCUACAUUUAUGUAAUUCUACUUCCAUUAUGUAAACCCAAGUCGAGUAAACUUGGUCGAAGGUUGUGAUUUGACGUGGCAAGGCCUUACACUCCACGUAAUUCUGGCCUGCGAGAGCCACGAUAGUGUGAUCGACCUGUGAUUCUUACUGUAAGUCUCCCCCCAUGUGUUUAGGAGCAGGAUCUAUCAUAAGCCUUCCGCUCUAAGUGGAGAAAGCACCACCAUUUUUCCAUAAGUCUCCCCCCUUGCAUAUUGGAGCAGAGCCUUUAUUACCACUUUUCGUAAGCCUCCCUUAAUGUGUCUUGGAGUAGGACAUUCGCGCCCUUCUGUGAACCCUUUGGGCUCUUGAUGGAGGUAAGACAUAUCUUCUACAUUUCAGCCCGUUUGUGAACUCUUUGGGCUCUCGACAGAGGUGAGGCAUAUCUUUUACAUUCGGGCCCCUCCAUGAACCCUAUAAUGACUCAAUUUUCAAUGGUGUCAAAAAAUUUGAUUUUAGAACCUCAUUUCUAUAAACUGAGUUCAUAACUAUUAAAUAUGGAUAUUUACAGAGUUAGUAUAUAGAUGUAUUGCAAUUUAUUAAAUAAUUUAGUUGAAAAUGUGGUUAAUUAAGGCCUAGAGGCUAAAUUGUAAAAAGUUAAAUCACUAUAGAGUUUUAAUUUGAAAAAGGCUUAGGGACUUAGAUAAAAAUUAUCCAAAGGACUAAAAUGGCUAAUAGACGAAUUUUAAAUAGAUAAUAGUGGGAUGUGAUCUUGAAUGUCAUUAGAUAAUAUUAAUUAAAUAUUAAUGUUAAUUAAACACGAUUAAAGUAAUUAAUUAAGCUUAAUUAUAAGCUAACCUAGCUAUAUAAACCAAAUUUAGUGGAGGGAGAGAUGAAUAUUCAUCUUCUCCAACUAGCCAAAGGAGUAAAGCCAAGUAGAAACCCCAUUGUUGAGACCUUGUUCAUUCGACCAACAUUUACAAGUAAGUCUCUAGCCAUUUUUUUAUAUAGAUUUUUUUAUCAUGAGAGCUUGAUUAAGCUAGCUUAUGUAUCAAUUUGUUCAAUUGGUGAAAUUUUGAUAAGUUACCAUUGUUGAGAAUUGAAUGAAUUAGGCUUGAAAUUGAUAGAAAUUAAGCUUAGGUUAUCGAAAUGACUAAAUUGCAAAACUUAAUUCUUAGCCUUUUACAUUAGGGGCAAAAUUGAAUAAAAUGAAUUUUUUAUAAAAUUAUGGUAGGAAUAGAAAGUAUAAGGUCCCUAAUGAAUACAUGUGAAAUCAAAUUUUAUUCCGAAGCUUUAAAUCGAAAGUUUUGCUUAUCUAAAGUUUAGGACUAAAUUGAAUAAAUUGUAGAAUAUGCAUGAUUUGGUAUUUGAUUGUGAAUUGGAUGAAAAUUGAUAGUGUUAUAUGUUUUGUGAUUGUACGUAGCUAACGUCAGCACUGUGCCUUCGAAAGGAAAAAGAAAAGUGAGAGUUGUCGACGAGUGACGCAAGCCUACAAUUUGUACUUUUAUGAUUCAGGAUCGUAUUAUUUGUUUGCAUAUACAUUGUUUAUUGAAUGAGGAAAUGUCAAGGUGAGUAUAUAAUGAAAAUGUGAAUUGUUGUGUUAGGCUUGAUAUGAAAUAUUGAGAUAGAAGACUAAAAUUAAUAAAAUGGAAAAUCGCAUGAAUUACUUUGAAAUGUGAUAUGUGACAUGGAAAAUUGAGUAGAAAUAUGUUAUAUGGAAUGAGACAUAAUGUGUAUUGAUAAUGAAUUGGAUUGUGACUAAGGUUGUGAUUGUGAAAUGAUAUAUGUAUUGAAUUUUAAAAUAAAAUUGAACGUUGGUACCUUAUUAACUAGUCUAGUUGAGCCAGAUAGUUAACAUGUCAUAGGAUUAGAUUGUCUAUGAGUUUGUGCACCUAUGCGCCAGGAUGCACCUCGUGUGCCAAGAUGCAUUUUAUGUUCCAGUAUGCACUUUGUGCAUCAAGAUGCACAUUGUUUGCCAGUAUGUGUUUUGUGCGCCAGGAAUGUGCUUCAUGUGCCAAUAUGCACUAUAUGUGUCAAUUUCGUUACUUCAGUUUAUUUGAUUAUGCACUUCGGUGCUAGUUUGGUGUGUUGCUUGGACGAUCUGUGUAUUCGUUUGAGUCCUAUUAAUAGGGAUUAUAAGUGGUAAACUUGGUAAAUGAUAUCAAAAUGAAAUGGUAUGAUGAUAUGGAACCACUUGUGUACUGAUGUAAAUCAAAAUGAAGAAUUAUGUAAAUGGUUAUGCAAAACAGUUGAAUACGAGCCUUGGGGGCCAAAGCAAAUGUGAAUGACUCAAUAGACUUCAGAAAAUUUUUAUACGAAUCGUGUCCUUGGUUCAAAUUUCAUUAUGGAUAAUUUUUUAUUGAUUUAUAAAGAUAUGAAAGAUGAAAACACCAUCACAAUCAUAUAUCUUACUUUAUAAAUAAAAUUAUUUUUUCGUAAUUUUCUUACUGAGUUGGGACCAAUUGAUGGGUAAAACCAACUCAGUAAAAGACUUAAAAAAUAGUAUAGAUAAAAAGGUUUUAAACUGAAUUUUUUAAAAGAAUUUAGGGUAAACGACACCAUUAAUCACUCAAGUAUGGGUAAGCUUUCGUUUUGGUCACUUAACUAAAAAAGAGUUACAAUUUGGUUACUAGUGUGUUUCAAAUUGUUUGUUUUUCUGUCACCUGACUAUUAAGUGGCACUUGUUUUAGUUGAUACAAUAAUAAUUUUAGUCCUCAAUUUUUAUAUUUUCUAUCAAAUUGACCUUGAUUUUGUAUAAAAUUAUAAAAAAAAACUAAAAAUAUUUAUAAAAUAAGAAAAUGUAUAUAAAAACUCUAAAAAAUAAAAUCUUGAAUAUGUUGUUGAAUAACUGAAUUGUAUUGAGAAAUAAAGAAAAUUAUCAUUUAAUAGAAUCCAAUAACAAAUUAAAAAUAGAACAAAUCUAUGUUUCUUAAAAUCAAAUUAGUACUAUUUUCAAGUUGAAUUACAUGCCCUAGAAGAAUAUCUAAAACUGAUAUUACAAAGGCUUAUGAAAUUGACCUCGAUGCCAUUUUUUUAAUCAAAAGAAUACAAAAUAUACCAUAAAAAAUUUCUUUUUCAAACUCAAUUCAAAUUUUCAUUAUAUUUAAAUUAUUUUUCAAAAUCAAAAUUAUAAAAAUAAAUUAUAUUCAGAAUUUUAUAGUUUCUUAUAAUGUAAAAGCUACGUCAAGAAAUAGAAGAGGUAAAAAAACAGAGACAUGUCAUUUUUCUUAAUUUUUUUAUAUAUAUAUUUUAAAGAAUGGGUAUUGGAUAUUUUUAUAAAAAUAAUAUAGAGAAAUUUUGAAGGGUUUAAAACAAUUAUCCUCAUUUUCUCUCACUUUAUUUAAUUUUAAAAAUUUUAUCUACUUUUAUUUAAUUUUUAAAUUUAUAAUGUUCUAAAAUUUUAAAAAUAAUUUACUAAUGGGGUGCGAAUAACUAUACCUAAUGCAACUCAUUAUUAAAUAUGCAUUCUUAUACCCUGCCGUCCCAACUCUUAUUAUUAUUAAAUAUUAUUUAAUGCCAACUUCAAUGAUGUCCAAGGUCUAUCACCAAAUUUCAAGGUAAUUUUCUUUCAUUUGCUUAAUCAAUCACAUGCUUUUCUUUGCUUGAUUCAUGAGUUUGCAGUGAUUGUUUCUGAUUAUCUGCUACUCUUAGCAGCUAGCUUUGUAAGACAGUCAACUUCACUGCGUCAUUUUCAGUUCUAUUCUCUCAACACUUUUCAGCCACUAAGUCAGGUAAUAAGAUCUGAAGCUAUGAUUUCCUCUACUCAUUAUCAACAGUUUUAGAUUUUAAGACAAGAUGAUCAGCAGACAUAAUCUACUCUAGAUUGCAAUUAACACAGAAAGAGCUACCCAGAAGCAAUAUAAUGUUGAAAUCUCAAACUGUUAACAUUUUAACUCUUAAUAUUCUGUAAUGAACUAUUGCACACUUGAAUCUAGCAUUUUAUAUACAUCGAGGGCUUAAUUCUGGUGACCAGAAUUUCAUCAUGUUUCUGUCUGCCACCCAUCCAUAGCUCCAUCUAAAAAACGCCAUUGCUUGAAACUUGCAUUCAUGUUUCCUUUUCAUGCUUACACAGACAUAUCAAUACUUCAUCCAAUACAUUCACAGAUUUUCAUUAUCUGCUACUGUUAUAUAUGAUUGCAUUGCAGGGACAUAGCAAUGGAGUACGUAGAGCCUGUUGUUGUCAUUGCAAAUUGUCUCGGAACACCUGUUUGUAAAUACUUGCAAUAUUACAGAAAGCUGAACGAUUAUGUGAGAAACUUCAAGAGGAUCAGAGAUGAAUUGAAUUGCAAAAUGGAAGAUAUAGAGCUGCAAUUGAAAGCAGAGCUUCUUCGUCCUCUGGGGAAGAUACCGAAGAAGGAAGUUGAAAAUUGGUUGAAAGAUGUGAAAGAGAUGAUUAGGGAAGCACAAGUUGUUGAAAACAAAGUCAGUAACGGGAGAUAUCUCUGUCGUGCUUGCAACGGGAAGCUGGUUGAUGAAAAGACUCGAGAAAUGAAGGAAUUUCUUGAUAAAGCUCCUAAUGCCUCUGAAGGUCUUGCCAUAGAUGGUCCAAGCGGUGGGUUGCCGCUGCCAACAUCAGAACUAGUUGGAGAGGAAGCUGUCAGAAAUGAGAUUUGGGCAUGUUUGAUGCAGGAGGAGGUGAGCAAGAUUGGAGUUUGGGGGAUGGGCGGUGUGGGUAAAACCACUAUCAUGAAGCACAUUCACAAUGAUCUUUUGAAAGAACAAAGAUUCAAAAGGGUAAUCUGGGUUACCAUAUCAAAGGAGUUCAAUGUAAUGAAGGUACAAGAUAAUAUUGCAAGUGCGUUGGAGUCAAAGGAGUAUUUAGACAAAGAAGAGGACAAGCUCAGACGAGCUGCAAUCUUGUCAGAAAUGCUAAAGAACGCAGGAAAGCAUGUUCUAAUCCUAGAUGAUGCGUGGGAUAAAGUCUCUCUAGAGGAAGUUGGGAUCCCUGAGCCGAGUGGCAGCAAUGGCUGCAAGUUGGUGUUGACAGCCCGUUCGGAGCAUGUCUGUAAGUAUAUGGGUUGUAAGGUGAUAAAAGUGAAGCCCCUUUCAGAAGAAAAGGCAUUGAUACUAUUCUUGAAUAAAGUUGGACCUAACAUAGUUCAAAGUCCAACUAUAAUGCCUACGUUGAAGCUUGUUGUCAAGGAAUGUUCGGGUCUACCUCUUACAAUUGUCGUGGUAGCUGGUACCAUGAAAGGAGAAGAUAACCCCCGUAUUUGUAAAAAUGCAGGGGAAUUGAAAGAGGAAUAGGGAAAGUGGAAGGAGUGGAAGCUGAGGUAAUCGAGCGCUUGAAAUUUAGCUUCGAUCACUUAAAGGACGAGAAAGUGAAAUAUUGUUUCUUACAUUGCGCAUUAUAUCCCGAAGAUUUUGGAAUUGAAAAGGAUGAACUAAUUGAGUGCUGGAUUGAGGAGGGAUUCAUAGAUGAUAUGGGUACAAGACAAGAAAUGAAAGACAAGGGCCAUGUUAUUUUGAAGAAGUUAGAAGAUAAUUGCUUGUUGGAAAAUGUCUGGAGUGAAGAAAUGAUAAUGCAUGAUGCAGUGAGAGACAUGGCAUUGUCGAUCACAAGAAUGAAUCCUCGAUAUAUGAUACAAGCAGGUUUGCAAUUAGAAGAGUUACCAGAAAAGGAGCAAUGGAGUCCGGAUAUUGAGAAAGUGUCACUUAUGUGUAACUCCAUAUCAGAAUUUCCAUAGAUGUGCUGCUCACAAAAUGUCAACUGCUCACAACCUAGUUAUUGAAGGAGAACCCUAUAAAGAAGAUCUCAAUUUCUUUCUUCACAAACAUGCCUUGUCUUAGUGUUCUGAAUUUGUCCUCUACGAAGAUCAAAAGUUUACCAAAUUCCAUUUCUGUACUAAAGAACCUCACAACAUUGUUGCUUUGUUAUUGUGAAGAAUUAAGAGAUCUACCAUGUCUUUCGAUGCUUCAAGAAUUGAAGAAGUUGGAUCUAAGUUGGACUAAUAUUGAGGAAGUACCAGAAGGCAUGGAUAUGCUGAUAAAGAUAAGAUAUCUUGGUCUUCAAGUGUUCACUCCGAAAGAGAUACCCGCUGGACUUUUACCAAAACUCGUUCACCUUCAGCACUUGAGUUUUGAUGUGGACAAUGAAAAAACAAGUCUAAAAGCAGAGGAGAUGGAACCAUUGAAGAAGUUGGAGUGCUUAACCGGACGUUUUGAAGACAUCGGUGAAUUGAAUAAGUUCAUCUCCUCAAUGCAACAAAGUAAGAAAAAUCUCAUCGAGUACUAUUUACUGGUGGGCCCAUAUAUUAUGGGUCGUGGAAGGGAGAAAACAGUAACAAUUGGAGAAGUCGAGAAUUGGGAAGGUGAGUUAAUUAUGCACCCAAUUGAAAUUCAACUGUUGAAUAUUGUAAACUGCGACUAUUUGAGAAGCUUAGUCGAUGAUAAUUCUUCCUUCAAAAAUGCGAUUGACUUGAAGGUUUGUGGUAUUUGGGGGUGUGAAGGGAUAGAGUGUGUUGUUUCCGUGUCCUCUUUUGCCUCUUUUUCCGCUCAGCCAUUUCAGAGCCUCGAGGUGUUAUAUCUUCGAGAUCUGCCAAAGUUAAGUGCCCUUAUUAUGAAAGAUGAAGGAAUUGGUUCAGCAACAACAUCAACAUUGGCUCCGUCUGCCACCUUUUCCCAUCUCAAAAAAUUAAGAUAGUGAGCUGCUCAAGUAUGAAGACGUUGCUUCCACAUUGGUUGCUUCCAAACCUCCAAAACUUGGAAGAAAUAUUAGUGGAUCAUUGUGAUGAGAUAGUAGAAAUAUUGGGAGCAGAAACAUCAAAAGUUGAAGAAAAAGGGAGUGAUGCAUUAAUCAAACUCCAUCUUCCCAAAUUGAGAGAAUUGAGUCUACGUAGGUUACCAAAUUUGAAGAGCAUUUGCAGCAAAAGUGGAGUGAUGGUUUGCGAUUCUCUCCAACUUAUCCAAGUUGAUAGAGACUGUUAUAAACUGAAGAGAAUUCCUCCAUUUGUUCCCCUUGUUGUCAAUGGGCAGCCAUUUGCAUAUGCUCCACCUUCUCUUACCAUCAGGUCAAGGACAAAAUGGUGGGAAUCGUUGGAGUGGGAUGGCCAUCCAAACUUUAAAAAUGUUCUUCAACCCCUUUGGAAGGAUGAAAGGUAUGAACCAUUUAUAGUUUAGUUUAUUUUUUAUUUUGAUAAAUCUAAUUUCUCCAUAUUAAUAAAAUUUGAUGUAUAUUUGUGGUGAUGUUGAAGAGAAAGAUAAAAGGGUUGGUGGGAAAGAAGUAAGGGGGAGGAUAGUGCAAAAGAGAGGAGAAAAGGAAGGAUGGAAGGAAGAGGUUAAGAGCAUGGAGACUGAGAGGCAAAGGUAAAUAAGAAAUCAAAAAUAUUUAUAUUAAUCAAAAUGAUUUAAGGUGAGACAAAAUCAUAGUUUUAUUUCCAAUAAAAGUUAGGAAAGUAUUGUAAAAAGACAUAAUAUUUUUUAAUUUCCAUGUAAAAUUUCUGGAAAUUUAAAAAAUAAUAAAUGCUUGUUUUUUUAGAACAUAAUAUUUAUUUAAAAAUAUAAUUGGAUUCAUUCAUAUGUAAACGUAAUGAUAAAGAUUAAAACAAUAAUGUACUUUCAUAAAAGUAUGAUUUUAGAAAUUAAAAGUGGAAAUUAAAUAAGAUAAAUUCCUUUUCUUAACUAAUAUAAAAAUUGUAGGGAUUAACAUAGUUAAUAAUAUUAACAUAUUUCUAAUAUUAAAUAAUAUUUUAAUUUAUCAGGACUAAAUGAGAAAAUUAAAAAGGUGAAAUCCCUUUUAAAAUAAAUUUAAAACAUUAAGGGUAUUAUGUUGCAAAUAACCCCUCCACGUUCCCAUAUAUAAAAUACAUUUUCCUUUUUCUUUUAAUUUGUGAUGAAUAAGUUGGAAAAUAAAAUAAAAAUAAAAAAAACUUAGUUUGCUUCUUUUUUUUCGAAGCUGAAGGUUUAAAGUUUUUUGGUCUUAAAUACAAAAAAUAUCAUAGGUUCUCAAUAAUUAUGUAGUUUGUAACGCCAGAAAGUUUACAUUUUUAAAAUAUCAUAGGGACACUAGCGUGUGUCCAGACCGUGUGUGACUAUGUUAGUGUAGGGUUCACACAGGCCAAGGAUAGGAACGUGUGUCCAGGUCAUGUAACUCACUAUUUACAAAAUAAGGAUCACACGGACGGAUGACACAGCCGUGUGUUAGGCCAUGUAAGACACACGGGCAAGCAAACAGGCGUGUGUCAGGUCGUGUGAGGCUACAUGGGUGUGUGGGCCAGUUUACGAAAUUUUUCAUUUCCCGAACUUCAUUUGAAAUGAAUACAAGCCUUCUGUGAGGCCGUAUGAACUGAAUUAAAUUGUAUAAAUUGAUAUUCUAUGAUCUGAAAUUGAGUACUAAUAAUUUGCGUGUGUAUUGUGUAUGACCUAUAUUAAUAGUAUCGAUCUACUGUAUUCAAGCAUGACUUGUAUCUGAAUAUUCGCAUUUGUAUUAACUGUCAUGUGAAGUCUGCAUAUGCAUUGGGUGGAAAUUGAGCAAGAAGGAAGUAUUCUGUUCUGGCAUAAUGAUUAAUUCACUGUCAUAUGUACUCUGAUAUGGCAGCUAGACUGCAAUUUUUGAAACGUGUCAGACUGACCAUAUAUGGUGUGUAGGGUUAGAUGGGUUAUAAGUACCCUAUUUCAUGUGUUAGGUUUGUCGGAGAUGGUGUGUAACGGCCGGGAUUAAGAAAAUUGCAUAUGUUCUGUUAUGUUCUGUAUCCGAUUAUAGUUUGAUUUGAUAUCUGUUUGUAUAGUUCUGAUCCGUAAAUGAAUGAGCUAUUUCCUAAGUCUAAAUCGGCAUUUGAACUUGGACAUCUACUGGUUUAAUCCACACUCUAUUGAAUAUGUAUAUUGUUGGUUUCUUUAUGAGAUAUUAAAUCAUUUUGUUGUUGAAUGAAUUACAGGUAAAUCACAGGCUUAGACGAGUCAGUGGAUGGGAAGCUCAGUUUCACUAUUUUAAACUGUUUAGUAGUACUAGUAUUGUUAGUUGUUAUUCGUAUUUUCAAUUUAGUUGGACGAUAAACCAACUUUCUUGCCUUGUUAGUUAUUUAAAUCUUAAAUGACUCUGAAGGAUUUUAAAGCUAAGUUAUGAAGUUGCUUUAUUAUUAUAGUUCGUUGUAACCCUCCAGGCUUGGCCUUGUCGUCUAGACCGGGUAUGAAUUGUUACACUCCUUUAUAAUAUUUAGCAAUGCCAACAAUGUUAAAAUUUGGCCCACACGAGGUUAAAACGCUUGCAAUUAAUUUUGUUUUCAAAUUUCAUUGCAUACUUGCUUGACCUGAUAGGAUCGAAAAAGUUUUUCAUCUAUCAAAACUAGUGUUUUAAAAAUUAUAUCGGAUCAGCCAAUUGGAUAUUAAAUCGGUCUAGAGAUAGGAGUUGAAUUGGUUGACUUGCGAGCCAAUACAAAUAAGUUGACCCAAGCUAAGGAAACCAAUUGAACCAGUUCUCUCUAUUUUUUAAUUUUUUAUGAAAUUUUAAUAUUUUAAAUUUAGAUAAAGAAAAUAUUAUCUUUUUAUCUUUUUUUUACAUGAAAAGUUUUAAUUGAUUAUUUUUAAAAAGAAAUAGGCUUAACAGUUUGCGUAACAACAAAAGUACCAACUUGGGAAAAAUAUAGUUUAGGUAGUACUUUUAACCAAAAAAAUAUUCAGGUACCAAAAUGAGAAAAAUGAUAGAGUUUAGGUACCAAUUUAUGAGUUAAACCUUUUUUUUAAAUGAAUUUAACGGUUUGACUUACUAUUUGACUAACGAAAGUAUCAACUUAAGAAAACAAAAGUAGUUUAUAAACCACUUGUGAGAAAAAAAAACUUUAAAUAUCAAGAUAAAAAAAAAUAUAUAUAUAAUUUAAAUAUCAAUUGAUAAAUUAAUUAUAUUCAAAAUAAUGGUAUUUUAGAUAGCAAAGGUAUUGAAAAUUUAAAGUGAUAAAUUACCUUUAUCAUUAUAAAUAAAUACCACAAUUUUUUUAAAUAAAAUAAAAAAUUUAGUUUAAAUAUCAUUAUUUCUUCUUUCAACAAUCAUUCUAUUCUAAAAAUAAAAAUAAAAUAAAUAAACAAAGAAAACUUUAUUAUAUAAUUUAAUCAGUUAAAUUUAAUCAGUUAAAAUAAAUAAAAAGUAAGACUUGAUGAAACACUAUAUAUAAUUUAAUCAGUUAAGUUUUAUUAUUAAUUUUUGUAUUACGUUGUGUAUUUAAUUUUUAUAUUUUAAUUUGAUUAUUUUUAAUUUUUAAUUUUUUAAAUUUUAAAAUUUCAUGUGGUAAUAAUUAAAUUUAUUAAGUUAAAUUAUACUAUUUCUAAAAGGGUUAAUGCACUAUUUACCCUUAAAAAUUGUACUCAACUAUCACCUUGAUACUUAAAGAAUUUUUUAUACCAAUUUUGUACACGGAGUUUCUAACUAUGAAUCACUUUACCUUACUUGUUAACUGCAUUAAAAAAAAGAUGAUGUGGCGUGCUCUCAGCAUAUUACGUGAUUCAAUUCUUAUUUUCUCAAAAUAAAUUCUAAAAAAAAUGAGAACAAUAAAUAAUAAUAAUAAUAAUUGAGAAUUUUUCUCAAUUUUUUUAAAAAUAAAAAAAUAUGCAAAUUUAUAGCAAAUUCCUAAAAUUGAAAAACUAUUUACAUUUUUUUAAGUACAAAAAAUUAAAAAAAAAACAAAUAAAAUCUAUAAAAUUUUAACAAAUAAAAAAUUGGAAAGUUGUAUAAAAUUUUCAAAAUAAAAAAAUAUUUCUCUUUUUUAAAAAUAGAUAAAAAUACAAAAAAGAAAAAGAAAAAAAUACAAGAAUUUCAAAUUUUUCAGAAAAAGCUUAAAACAAUUGAAAAUAAAAAAAAAUAUAUUUUUAAAAUAUAUGAAAUAUAAAAAAACUUUUAUUUGGAGAUAAAUACUGAAGGUUUAGGGGUUGAGCCUCUAGAACAUAUGAACUGAUAUCUGAGCGAUCAAGGCGAGGAAAGCGAAGUUUCAUAAUAGCCACCAGAGAGUCCCCUUCAAUCUCCACCGAACCAAACCCCAUCUCCCUUGCGAAUCAAAUCUCUUCCACACUCACCCAUGCCUCCGCUGCCAAAGGGGUUGAAACAUACUCCAUCCAGAAGAAGGUUGCCCACAUUAGAAGGCUUAAAUGAUUCAAAGUCAUGACCCCCGCACGUGCAGCCCCUCAAGUCCCUAUGAAACCCGGUAUCAAAAUUGAGUCGCAUACAAGGCUCGACUGACAGUCACCAUGUUCGGAAGGUUGAGUCCUUCCGUCGACCAUGCACAUCGAGUAACCAUCCCAGCCUUUAGACAUGACCCAAAAUAAAGGUAAGAAGCUCUAAAUUUUAUUGUCGCUUGCCCUCAUGCGCCAAAAGAUUUCUCAAAUACCAUACUACCUAAAUGGUGACAAUUAUUGUUAGACGUUGUGCAGGAGAACUACCACAAAGCAAAUCCCAACAAAGCAAGGAGUCGUUAACCUCAUCCACAUGCCAAGUGAAACCAAGGCUCAACCAAACCGAGAGCAGAAAUGGACAAUCACGACAAGCAUGAAGAGAUGUUUCACCACCCACACCACAUCGAGGGCACAUCGAGUCACCUCGAAGGUGUCGCAUGAAAAGAUAAGCAUUGGUAGACACAUAGUUGUUUAGGAAUUUUGACACUAUAAUUUGGAUAUUUUCCUAUGCAGGAAUCUGCCAAGGAGUUCUAUAAAUGUCCUUGAUGUCUUGACCCACAUUAAUGUACUUGUCCUUCAUCGAACUAGGAAAACUGUUGCGGAAAGGAUCGAUUCGAGAACUCCGAUAUGACUACAAGUAAAUUGACCGGAACGAAAAAUAAAGUGAACACAAGGAUUUACGUGGUUCGGCUUUAAUGCCUACGUCCACGGGCAGAGGCGAAAAGAAAUUUCACUAUAACAAGAUGAAGAUUACAAGUGUUUUACACUCAAGACACAACCCGAGAACCUCACAACUCUCAACCCCUAUAGAAAACCCGAAAGCUAAAAUCCUAGCUUUCAAAGAACAAGCUUUGCUCUCUCUUGGUUUGGGAUGAUGAAUAUGGCUAAUGAACCUCUCUAUUUAUAAGAGAGUUCAAGGACAUAAUUGUCCAAAACUUUGGCAAAGAUUUGUGGUUGAAAAUGGACACCAACAACCAUCCACUAAUCCACUACCACCAACAACCCACUACCAACAACAACAAUCCACUACCAAUUUUAAGCCAUUUCUUAACAAAUCUCCACCUUGGCUUGAAAUUUACCAAGCUGAACAUCAUAGUGAAUUCCUCGAACUGGAUCACCUCUUCCAAACGCCUCUCUGGCGCUAAUCAAUCCCGAAUACCUAUCAAGUCCAAGCAAUGCUUGAACUUAUAUGCAGGGAUCACCUUAGUUAACAUAUCUGCAGGAUUCUUCUCGGUAGCAACCUUGCUGAUAACAAUGUCACCUUGCGUAACAUGUUCCCGAACAAAAUGAUAUCUGACAUCAAUGUGUUUGGUCCGUUCAUGAAACAUCUGAUUUUUAGUCAGAUGUAUGGCACUCUGGCUAUCGCAAAAUACAACAGUGAAAUCCUGUUGUAAACCCAAACUGCUUACUAGACCUUUCAUCCACAAUGCUUCUUUCACUGCUUCUGCUAACGCCAUAUAUUCCGCCUCAGUCGUAGAUAAGGCUACGGUAGACUGUAACACAGCUUUCCAACUAAUGGCUCCUCCAGAAUAAGUGAAAACAUAACCCGUCAGAGAUCUUCUUUUGUCCAGAUCUCCAGCAUAAUCAGAGUCCACAUAGCCCGUGACACUGCUAGUGCAGUCACUCUGAUCAUAUACCAAGCAUAAAUCUGCAGAACCUCUCAAGUACCUGAGAAUCCAUUUCACGGCCUGCCAGUGUUCCUUGCCAGGACAACUCAUGUAUCUGCUGACCACACUAACUGCAUGUGAAAUGUCUGGACGAGUGCAAACCAUUGCAUACAUCACGCUUCCAACUGCACUCGAGUAUGGAAUGUGAGACAUUUGCUGCUUUUCUUCAUCAGAUUGUGGUGACAACUCUGCAGAGAGUUUGAAAUGUGGUGCCAACGGAGUACUCACAGUUUUCGCUUUAUCCAUGCCGAAGCGUUGAAGAACCUUUUCAAUGUAGUUCUUCUGCGACACACGAAGCUUGCCCGCCUUGCGAUCUCUGUGAAUAUCCAUGCCCAAAAUUUUCUUGGCAGCACCCAGAUCCUUCAUCUCGAACUCACCACUCAACUGCGACUUUAACUUGUUGAUUUCCGACAUGUUUUUGGAAGCAAUUAACAUGUCAUCAACAUACAGCAACAAAUAAAUGUGCGAACCAUCUGAGAGCUUCCGAUGAUAGACACAAGCAUCAUAGUCACAUCUUGUGUAACCAUGCUGAAUCAUGAAGCUAUCAAACCGCUUGUACCACUGCCUUGGGGAUUGUUUCAAUCCAUAUAAAGACUUCUUUAAUAGACAGACAUGGUCUUCUUUACCAGGAACUGUAAAACCCUCUGGUUGACGCAUGUAGAUUGUUUCCUCGAGCUCACCAUGCAAGAACGCCGUUUUUACGUCAAGCUGCUCAAGUUCUAGAUCAGACUUGGCCACCAUGGCAAGUAAUACACGAAUGGAAGAAUGCUUUACGACUGGGGAGAAAACUUCAUUGUAGUCAAUCCCCUCUUUCUGAGUGAAGCCUUUAGCAACCAAUCGUGCCUUGAAUCUAGUUGCUUCAACCCCUAGGAUGCCUUCCUUUUUCUUGAAGACCCAUUUGCAACCAACUAUCUUCUGGUUACUUGGCGGCUUAACCAACUCCCAAGUAUGGUUCUUGUGAAGAGAUUCUAUCUCCUCACUCAUAGCAAUUGCCCACUGUGCCGACUCAUCACACGUGACAGCCUCAUUAUAACUGGAAGGUUCUAUACCAAUGGACUCCGCCACACUGAGCGCGAAAGACACCAGAUUAGCGUAACGCGGAUUUGGUUUGAUUUGUCUCUUCGUUCUUCCAGUGGCAAUGCUAUAUGGUUUUUCUUGAGGUGACUCAUCUUCAUCGGAAUCUUGCACCUCAACUUGAUCAUCCUGGACUGAAGUACCUUCCGUAGGAAUUGGAGCGUCCACCUGACACUCCACCUGCUUCUCAACACCGUGAUCUCCCAUUCUAUCUGACUCCUCCUUUUCCCGGGAAUUUGUGGUGGAUCGAAGCAUGGAUGACUCAUCAAAAGUCACAUCUCUGCUGAUGAUGAACUUGGACGAAACCGGAUCAGGACACCACAACCUGUAUCCUUUCACCCCUUGGCCGUAUCCAAGAAAUAUGCAUUUCUUCGCCCUCGGUUUGAGUUUUCCCUCAUUUACAUGAGCAUACGCAGGGCAGCCAAACACUCUUAAACCAGAGUAAUCAGCAGGAGAACCAGACCAUACUUCCUCAGGAGUCUUCAGCUCAAUAGCUGUUGACGGAGAUCUGUUAACCAAAUAACAAGCAGUAUUAACAGCUUCAGCCCAAAAUUCUUCACCGAGCCCAGCAUUUGAUCGCAUGCAACGAGCUCGCUCCAAGAGAGUUCUAUUCAUGCGUUCUGCAACUCCAUUUUGUUGUGGUGUUCGACGAACAGUGCGGUGUCUCACUAUUCCUUCAUUUUUGCAGAACUCAUUGAAUUCACCUGAGCAAAACUCCAAGCCAUUAUCCGUCCGGAAUCGCUUGAUCUUCUUUCCUGUUUGAUUUUCGAUCAAAGCUUUAAAUUGCUUGAAGUUGAUGAGAACCUCAUACUUGCUCUUCAGAAAAUACACCCAAACCUUUCUCGAGUAAUCAUCGAUAAAGGUAAGCAGAUAUCUGUAACCACCUUUAGAAAUUGUCGGAGAAGGCCCCCAAAGGUCAGAAUGGAAGUAAUCCACUGUGCCUUUUGUCUUGUGAAUCCCAGUGCUGAACUUUACCCGAGUCUGCUUACCGAAGACGCAGUGCUCACAGAAAUUCAACUUUCCUGUACACUGCCCAGACAAUAAUCCUCGUUUGCUUAGCACCGAUAAGCCUCUCUCGCUCAUAUGCCCGAGCCGCAUAUGCCAUAACUUCGUGGUGUCAGAAUCUAGAUCAUCUGAUGAUGACACUCCCGCAACACCUGUAACCGAGGAACCAUCGAGGAAGUAAAGGCCCCGCUCCAAAUUACCACGUAUCACAGUCAAAGCACCCGAGAAUACCUUGAGAACUCCACCUUCAGCAGAGUACCGAAAGCCUUUCUUGUCCAACGUACUCAAAGAGAUCAAAUUUUUCUUCAUUUCUGGAAUGUGCCGAACAUCAGUUAGAGUUCUAACAAUACCGUCAAACAUCUUUAUACGAACUGUGCCAAUCCCCAUGACUUGACAUGCGUGGUCAUUUCCCAUUAGUACUGAACCAGAAUGCUUCUCGUAUGUUGAGAAUGCAUCUUUCGAAGUACUUAUAUGAAAUGUAGCUCCCGUAUCAAGAAUCCAUCUCCCACCAGCGUAAGAGUCGGAUACUGCAAGAACGAUCUCGGCAUCACUUGAAGAAUCUGCAUCAGCUACAUUCGCACGAUCAUUUUGUUGCUCCUGUGAUUCUGAUUUCUCCUUCCUUUUCGGACAAUCUACCUUCAUGUGCCCGUACUUCUUACAGUAGUAGCACUGUAUUCUCUUCUUGGACUGCGAUCUAGGAUGGCUUUUACUUGAACUUCCACCCUUUGCCUUGGAUCUUCCUCGAGCAACCAAGCCUUCGCCUUCAUUGUUUUCGACCACCUUACCAGUGAUUUUCUUCCUCAACUCACUGGAACUUAAGGCAUUUUUCACCUCCUCUAGAGUCAGGUCAUCACGACCGUACAUCAUUGUAUCAACAAAAUUCUCAUACGAGGGAGGCAAAGAACACAAAACAAUUAUUGCUUGGUCCUCAUCAUCGAUUUUGUUAUCGAUAUUAUUCAAAUCCAUGAUAAUGGAAUUGAAUUUAUCCAGGUGCUGGGAAACAGGUGUACCUUCCUCCAUCUUCAGGGCAUAGAGUCUUUGCUUGAGGUAGAGCCGGUUCGUCAAUGACUUCGUCAUGUACUUGCUCUCUAACCGGAGCCACAAACCGGACGCGGUUUUCUCAUCCGCUACUUCUCGUAGCACUUCAUCUCCUAGACAUAGCAGAAUAGCACUAUGUGCUCUUUCUAGCAUGUCAUCCUUUUGCUCUUCCGAAAGCGUGCUUGGUAAUUUAUCUUUACCAGACAAUGCUUUUAGCAAUCCUUGUUGAACCAGCACUGCCCGCAUCUUGAUGCGCCAUAAACUGAAACUAUUUUUCCCGGUAAAUUUCUCGACAUCAUACUUAGUCGAUGAAACACUUGUAGCCAUAAUUUGGAACCUUUGAAUGAAUGAUAAUAUUUUCUUCCUGAUGUGAAAGAUCAGACAAAGCUGCAGUCACAGGGCAAUUCAGAAAAUAUUAUCACUCCUUCAACUACGCUCUGGUACCAAUUUGUUGCGGAAAGGAUCGAUUCGAGAACUCCGAUAUGACUACAAGUAAAUUGACCGGAACGAAAAAUAAAGUGAACACAAGGAUUUACGUGGUUCGGCUUUAAUGCCUACGUCCACGGGCAGAGGCGAAAAGAAAUUUCACUAUAACAAGAUGAAGAUUACAAGUGUUUUACACUCAAGACACAACCCGAGAACCUCACAACUCUCAACCCCUAUAGAAAACCCGAAAGCUAAAAUCCUAGCUUUCAAAGAACAAGCUUUGCUCUCUCUUGGUUUGGGAUGAUGAAUAUGGCUAAUGAACCUCUCUAUUUAUAAGAGAGUUCAAGGACAUAAUUGUCCAAAACUUUGGCAAAGAUUUGUGGUUGAAAAUGGACACCAACAACCAUCCACUAAUCCACUACCACCAACAACCCACUACCAACAACAACAAUCCACUACCAAUUUUAAGCCAUUUCUUAACAAAAACCAUGCAAAAGGAGUCAAUAGCCACUCCGAAUCGUGUACUCUCGAGAACCUUUUAAGCACCAAUGCAACUGUCAGAGGCUUCCUACUGCGGCAAAGGAAUGAAGAGGAUCGUACGAGCCUCUAAGGCAUCAAACGUUGAUAGAACAACAUCCUCAUUCCACAUAUUCAUAUUUGUGUCAAUCAAAUCAGUAACCUAAUUAAUACCGUUGACUCAUUGUAACUCCACCAGAAAUGGUCGAUCACUAGAGCGUCAUGACAUGUCACAAACAAAAAUCUCAUUCUCAUUCCCCAUUAGCCAACUACAACCUUUGACGAGUAGGCCUUUCGCCGCCUAGAUGCUCCUCCUAAUAAAAGAAGGUUUGCUCCCUAAUGUCGACUGUAGGAAAUCAUCACACAAAAAAUAUUUCACCUUAAGAACCCUUGCCAUUCACAAAAAUUAUCCCUAUUUAAAUUUUUCUUAGUAAAAAUGUUAAUAAGAGGAUUAUAAGACAUAUUUGAACUGAAAAAAAAUGAAGAUUCAUUAAUUACUAUAUUUGUAUUAAGCAAAUAUUUUCAUUUCAGCAACAUAUCAAGAAUGUAGUAUGAUGCAUGCGUCUUGUAUUAAAACCUUGAAAAUAAUUUUUUUUUGUUGCUAUGAUCAUUUUCACACCCAUCAAUCAUGUCACUUUGGGGUCCAUGAUUAACUAGUAAGAACAUGGAAUACAUCCAAUCAGUUCAUGAAUCUUAAUUCUCAAGACUCCACAGGAACCAACGAUCGUUUAACAUUUAGCCAUCAUCUCUAGAUUAAAUAUCGUUUUUUGGGAAACUAUUUCAUAAGAGAAGAUUUUAAGUAUGUAACCGUUGACUCAACACCCAUCAUGAACAUGUUUUCAUUUAUGAGUCAUCUUGGGAUAAUUUCACUAAGAUUCAUGCACAACUACUUAUCUUGAAAAGUAAAUCUCAUCUAGUGAACCCACAUGAUAAAAUUUAUCUUGGGACAAUUUUUUUUCUUUUAUCAUGCUAUCAUUUAAUACCAUCAAUGGAGGUCGCAGGUCUUGUUAAAGGACCUUCUCCCACUCAAUAUUUUAAAAUAAUAUGAAAGGUUUUUAUCUCAUGUUUAAAACAUGAUCAUACAAUAGUCCUAGUGACAUUCUUAUCUAAUUUAUAUGACAUGCUUCUCAUAUAUGCAUGACAUGCUAUGACAAUUUUACAAUAUUCACAUUCAUUUAUUCAUAAGAAUCAAUCAAUCAUAAAACAAAUAAUUUUGAUUCUCCAUAGUUUUUCCUUUGAGGGAAAACUGAAUAAGUGAAUGUGAACCGUGCACCAGGUAGGGUCUUAGGAAAGGGAGGUGAAUCAAAGUUGACCACUUAAAAACCAAGCCUUCUAAUACCACACUUCUCACGGUAAUCGAAUAACCUAAAGGAGUGAAUAGAACAAUACAACGCAUGCAUUUUCUCAUUACCACACUUCUUAUUUUUUUUAAUCGAUCAACUGCGGAUCAUCUCAUAUAUAUAUAUCACAAUUGUAACAUUACAUUAUAUAAAUAUUAAAAACAAUUAUAAAACAAAAAUAUAAGGAGGUGAGUAAUUAAAAUAAAAUUGUCAACCAAGGUUUCCAUGGUUUUAUUCUAGAAAAUAAAAGAAAAAAAAUAAAAUUACAUAGUUAUUGGCCACAAGGCAUUCUUUGGGUCUUCAACUGCCAUCGCUCUAUCUUUUCCUCAUCAUGGACUCCUUUUGGUAGAACUACAUUUAACCCUUAUGUCCGUUUUCGGAUCAAGAAUUCUAUAGAUUAAAAAAACAAUCCUACAUGAAGAUGAUAGUCUACGGUCUAUUUCCUAAGAACCAUAACAUUGACAAAGCAAACAAUUAGAUAAUAAAUAUAUAAUAUCGCAUUCAUUCUCAUAUAUAACACAAAAAUAUGUAUAAGAUCUAAAGAAUGUCACUUUCUAUGUAAUCAAAUCAUUCAAGAAGAAGAGAAUUUUAUUUUGGUUAUCUAUUUAUACUUAUAGAUAGAGCAAAACCUAAUUUUAAUACCAAUUGUUCAAAAAUGGGUUUGGAUAAUGCAGCGAAAAAUCAAUAUAGGGAAAAACCUAAGUUUUAAAAAGUUAUAAAAUAAGAAUUUGGUUGUGAUAUCAAAAGUAAUAAACUUAAUAAAAAUUAUACCAUUUGCAUAUGCUCCACCUUCUCUUACCAUCAGGUCAAGCACAGAAUGGUGGGAAUCGUUGGAGUGGAAUGACCAUCCAUACUUUAAAAAUGUUCUUCGCUUCAACCCCCGUGGAGGAUAAGAGGUAUGAACCAUUUAUGGUUUUGUUUUUUUUUUUAUAAAUCUAAUUUCUCCAUAUUAAUAAAAUUUGAUGUAUAUUUGUGAUGAUGUUGAAGAGAAAGAUAGAAGGGUUGGUGGGAAAGAAGAAGGGGGAAGGAUAGUGCAAAAGAGAGGAGAAAAGGAAUGAUGGAAGGAAGAGGUUAAGAGCAUGGAGACUGAGAGGCAAAGGUAAAUAAGAAAUCAAACUUUUUAAACAUUUUCCAUCUCUUACCAUUCCUUCUAUUCUCUUCUAAUAUAUAUAUGUACAUCCCAAAAUAACCUUCUGAAUAUUUAUUAUUAAAAUAUUUAUAUUAAUCGAAAUGAUUUAAGGUGAGACAAAACUACCAUAGUUUUAUUUCCAAUAAAAGUUAGGAAAUUAUUGUAAAAAGACAUAAUAUUUUUUAAUUUCUAUGUAAAAUUUCUGGAAACAUUAAGAUUUAAAAAAUAAUAAUAUAGUUAGGAAUUAAUACCAGAAGAGCUAUCCAGAAGCAAUAUAAUGUUGAAAUCGCACACUGUUGAACAUUUUACCUCUUAAUAUUCUGUUGCACACUUGAAUCCAGCAUUUUCUAUACAUUGAGAGGUUAAUUCUGGAUAUACAAAUUUCAUUGUGUUUCUGUCUGCCACCCAUCCAUAGCUCCAUCUAAUAAACGCCAUUGCUUGAAACUUGCAUUCAUGCUUACACUGACAUAUCAAAAAGCCAAUACAUUCACACAUUUUCCUUAUCUGUACUGUUAUAUAUGAUUGCGUUGCAGGGACAUAGCAAUGGAGUACGUACAGCCUGUUCUUGGCAUUGCAAAUUGUCUCGGAACUCCGGCUUGUAAAUACUUGCAAUAUCUCAGAAAGCUCAAUGAUUAUGUGAGAAACUUCAAGAGGAUGAGAGAUGAGUUGAAUUGCAAAAUGGAAGAUAUAGAGCUGCAAUUGAAAGCAGAGCUUCUUCGUCCUCUGGGGAAGAUACCGAAGAAGGGAGUUGAAAAUUGGUUGAAAGCUGUGAAAGAGAUGAUUAAGGAAGCACAAGUUGUUGAAAACAAAGUAACGGGAGAUAUCUCCGUCGUGCUUGCAACGAGAAGCUGGUUGAUGAAAAGACUCGAGAAAUGAAGGAAUUUCUUGAUAACGCUCCUAAUGCCUCUGAAGGUCUUGCCAUGGAUGGUCCAAGUGCUGGGUUGCCACUGCCAACAUCAGAACUAGAUGGAGAAGAAGCUGUCAGAAAUGAGAUUUGGGCAUGUUUGAUGCAGGAGGAGGUGAGCAAGAUUGGGGUUUGGGGGGUGGGCAUAAAAAAUUAUUAAAAUAGAUCAUUGCUAAUUCUCUCUUUUCUUAAUCGGUAAGUUUCUCUCUUCAAAUCCUUUUAUUUCUUUAUUGAAUCCAUCGCAUAUCAUUUGCAAACCCAUUUCUGUACAGUUUGUUUGUUCAAUUUUUCUUUUUCCAAUUUUUCUCUUGAUUUAGAUGGAAGAUUCUUUUGUAGCAUUUGAAGAGUUUCUAAAAAUUUUAGGGUUUUCCUAAAUCUAACUUUCUUGACACCAUGUGCGUGUAUAAAUUUCUUUCGUGGAGAUUAUUUAUCAUGUUUGUGUGUUUCGUCUCUUGAGGUUGAGCUGUUUUUAUUUUCAAAAAUAAAUAUUUAUUUUCUUUUGCAUUUAUUUCUAAUAUCACUAUAAAUUGUUUAGGGUUGUCGAUUUUGGGGAUUUUAGGUUUUGGAUGAUCUAAUUUGGGGAUUUUGAGUAAGGGUUUUGAUUUUAGGAAUUUUUAUUUAGGGUUUUUAAAUUAGGAGAUUUUGGGGAUUUCUCACACCGCCCUCUCAUCAACUUCAAAGCCAACAAAUCUACAUCUAGGCUCAUGCAAAAAGUCACCAGAACCCAUGUUUGAAACCUCAGGUCACUUCCGCCAUGCAGAUUGCAUCGAACUGAUCGACGACUCUAUCAAAGAGCUCCAAAAAUCUUUAUGUAAAUUUUUUUUCAUAUCAGAUGCUCCAACUUUGUGCUCAUGAGUGAUCUUCAAACCUAGGUUAAUGCUGCCCUGACGGAUGAAGAUACUUGCAUGGAUGGAUUCUCAAGCAAGGCCAUGAAUGGGUAUGCAAAGAUGAUGUGAGGAAACGAAUUAUUAAGAUCACACGUUUGACGAGCAAUGUUUUGGCUCUCAUUAAUAAUUAUGCUUCAUCUCAGAUCCUUCAUUGAUUUUCUUGAGAAAACUUUGAUGGCAAGGAAAGUAUUGUGUUUCAUGGAUUUAUGUUCAAUAUGGGAUUUUAUGGUUUUCGAACAGGGCACAAGUUUUUCAGGUACUGUAGAUUGUGUUCUCAACUCUAUGUUUGUGGUUCUUGAUUUUUGCAAUUGUAUCAAUUUGAAUAUGAAAUUUGUGUUCGUGUAUGUUUAAGGUUUUUAUUAUUUUUUAAUAAUUUUAAAAUCAUUUGUUGACGUGGUAUAUAAAAUAAAAUAAUGUUAUGUUAGUAUUUAAAUUCAUUUGGACUGUCAUGUCAGAGGUUAAUGUUGACCAUUAGACAACUAACGGCCACAUCAGCCUCUAUGUUAAAAAUAAACCAAUUUGUUAGAAAUUUAAAUUUUGCACUAUAAAAUUAAUUUUUAAAAUUAACUAUUCAAUUUGUAAUUGAUUUUAUUAAAUUAAAAUAUUCACUAAUGUUUGAAAAUGUUCUCCAUGUUAAUUAUACACUUGAUUGUUUUUUUUAAUUAUUUAAGAAUUCAGUUAAAUGGUAAUCAAUUUAUAUUAAAAUAUCAGUUUUAUUGGUUGUAUUAUUUCAUUAGUGUUCUUAUAAUAUUAUUUCAUUUUUAUUUAUAGACACCAACUUCAAAAGCAGAAGAGGAUUAAUUCACGAGAAGAUAUGGCUCAUACUGUAAACGAUAAAUAAGAUAUUAUAAAUUGAUAUCAUUAAAAUUUAAAUAAUAUACAAAGAGUAGAAAAAUAAAUUGAAAACAUAUUAUAUGAUCUAAAUGAACUAUAAUAAAAGGAUUAUAUAUUUCCUAUCAAUCCUACUAUAUUGUCUUUUAUAAAUAAUUUCCUAUCAAGCAAGUUGACAGCUAAAGGGUGCAAAUUUGACUUUGCUAAAUUCUCUAGCAUCAAAGAGGCAAGAUAUGUUGCAAACAAGACAUAAACCAAUAUCAACAUGGUGAUUCCAAAAUUCAAAACACACUAAACCCCUACUUUUGUAUGAUAGAGAAAAUAUGAUGUACAAAUUUAUAGUCAUGGAAUGUAUUAGGUGCAUUGAAGAUAAUUCAGUGUUAGAAUCAAAGAAAUUUAUCGUUAUUUUUGUGAAUUGUAAAAUUGUGCAUCAACUGGGAAAAAUGUUCGUCUUCCAUUACAAGAAUUUCCUUAAAGUUAAUAGUUUGAGAGAUAAUUUUAAGGAGGAAUUGGAAGGCAUUGCUAUAAGGAGAAUCUGAAGAAAGUAAUUUCGUUUUGAGUUUCAAGUGAAAGGAAUGAAAGAAAGGUUGCUUAAAUAAAUACAGGAUUGGAUAUUGAGUUGUUUUGAAUAGUUGAGCGAAGGACACAUGGACCAUAUGAAAUUCAAGUCUACCAAAGUAAUGCUAAUCAGAUUCCUCUUUGGAAAUGACAACUUUUCAAAACAUUGUCAAUCUACCUUGAAAUGUGGCAUCUGUGAAAGAAUCAAUCAUGAAAUAUUAAAAUUAUACUAAAACGACUAUAACGAUUUAUUUCCCCUAUAAAUAAACGUUUUCUUUUCUUCCUUAAAAAUUAACAUGAUUUUAUCUUAAUAUAUAUAUCUAUACACGUCUCAAAAUAGCCUUCUAAAAUAUUUAUUUUAAAAAAUAAUUUAUAUAAUACAUAUAACAAUUAAUUAUAAACUUAUUUUGAUAUGAUGUCAAAAUUAAAUAUUAUAAUGGUCCUUUACCACAUUCAACACUAACUUUGAUUUUAUAAUUUUAAAAAAAGAAUUAAACUAAUAACAUAAAAAAUUUAAACUAAAGUUUUUAAAAGAAUUUAGGUUAAACUACACCAUUAGUCACUCAAAAAAGGGUCAAUUUUCAUUUUGGUCACUUAACUAAAAUAAGAUACAAUUUGGUCACUAAUGUUUCUAGAAAAUAAAUUUGGUCACCCGACUGUUAAGUUGCAUUUACUUUGGCUGGUAUGAUAACAAUUUUUGUCACAUCCCAAAAACCAAGUUAGUAGAAAUUGGGUUAGUGAAACCAAGAGUGGUCACGUUCUGUUUUUGAGUUAAGAUUGUGAAAAUUAUGUUAAGUAAAUUUAUUUGGUUUAGUGGUUAAGUCCUUUGGAUGUGUCUAAGGUCUUGCGUUCAAAUUUUUUCCCUUAAACUUUCAUUAUUUUUGUCCUAACUUCCAUUUCUGAACAUCUAGCUUAUAUAUUAUGUUUUCUCAAUUGAUGAUAAGAAUGAGUUUACUAGUUUAGUGGUAAGGCUUCAGUUUACUUAGAGGUCUUGUGUUUGAAUCUUAUGUAUGUAAAGUUGAAUUAUUUUUGUUUUUAAACUCUAAGAAAUUUUUUUAUAAGGAUAACUAAUCAAAUUGAGUGGGGAAAAUUUCCCCAAAAUUCUCCUCAUUCUGUUGCUCACUUCUUCCCACAUUGUUCACUUUUUCUUUUCCCUUUUCUUUUUACAUUUGAUUUCUUCUUCUUUUUUUUUUGCUUUGGUAGUUUUGCUGCCUUCCUUUCUCAUCUUUUCUCUACUAUUUUCUUUUGUGUUAUUCUAUUGGUACGCUGUUGAAUCUCUGUUAUUCCUUCGGGUAAGUGUUGGUUAUUUGUUUUAUAUAAAUGUGGUGUUGGGUUAAUCUUUCAAGUGAUUGAUGGUUUCAAUUUUGAUAUUUGCAAUGUGUUGUUAGGAGAAGAUCGACAGACUCUUGAAUUGUCUCUAGCGAUUUAAGUGCAGGAAAGGGCUGUUGUUUUUGCAAGGGUAAGUGAUUAAAGUUUUCAAUUGGAGGUUGAUUCGGUUGCUUAGGCUAAGUGUUUAGCAUUUUGGAUUGAAUUAGUGACUUGGAUUUAGCAUAUUACGAAUAAUUCUUACAUUAUAAAAUGUCAAUUUAGGUAUUGAAAUCCUCGUAGUGGUGUUAGCAUCGAAAAUCAACUUGGUGUGUAACGGAAAUAUCGAAAAAUAACAAACGACACGAUGUUGAAAAACCCACUAUCGACGUCACACAGCCAUGUGCCAGGUUAUGUAGGUCAUACAGGCUGGGUUAUUUGGGUCGUGUGGGCUACACGGGUGUGUGUUAGGCUAUGUGCACGAGUUGGUCAGUUGCGUCGUGUGGGCCCAUUUUUUGUAAAAUUCUAUCAAGGUCGUAUUUGAAGUGCGAUUUUAAAUUAGUCACUUUGUAGGUUCCGAAAUGUGUUAUGUAUGCAUUCUGGAUACGAAAUUUGAUAUUUUGUUUCUAUUAAUGUGAUUUUUGAAGCAUAUUAUUCAAUAUUGACAUUGUACAUGUAACAUUCAAGAGCAUGUUUGUGGUAUGAUUUAUGCUUCUGAUCUGUAAUUUGAGAAUCUAUUUAAGCAUGAUCCAUUUAUGUGCCUCUGAGUAUGUAAAAUGUUUUGACAUGUGCAUUGGGGUGGAAUGAUGAUGUGAUGGAGGAAGUGUUUUGGCAGUUUAACUGUAUGCUGAUAUUUAUAAGGCAUCGUUGCUGGGCAACUCGGGAUAACUUAAUUUGUGGUUUAACCACAUAUCUAAUAUGGUGGCUUAACUAGACUUAUUGAUUUUGGCAGAAUACCGCAUUAUUUUUGGCAGCGUGAUUGCGCUAUUCUAAAAAGUGAUAUAUGCUCACUUAUUGGUGUGACAGAUGGAUGGGGUCCUUGUAACACCCCUUACCCGAGACCAUUGUUGGAAUCGAGCACGAAGCAUUACCUAACUUAACUUACUAAUUCGGAGCAUAAAAAUUUGCUUUUAAAAUUAAUUCGCUCACGUUUAAUCAAUAUGUUCCUAAAAAGGAUCCUCGAGACCCUAAAACAUGCAAUGAAAUCAAUUCGGGUCCAAACCAGGAACAUUAAAAAAUUUUCAAUUACUUAAACAAGUCAAAAUGAUUUAUUUUACUAUCCACAAUAAAAUUUCCACCUACGCAAUAGUCACUAAAUUUUUUAUAACUCAAGUUACGAAAUUUAAAAUUUAGAUCCGUCAAUUUUCCCUGAAACUAGACUCAUAUAUCUUCUUUACUUACUCUCUUACUCGUUUACUUACUUGCCUGCUUAGACAAUUCAUGUUUAUAACUUACUCAUUCCUUGCUGAAAUUUCUUUUCUCAACUGAUAACUGAGAUACUCUUAAUCUUAUUAACUCACCUGAACUUGUCUAUUAGGCUUUUACCUGAACUUUCAUGUAACAUCGUCUAUUUACUAGCCCUUUGAAUCACUUGGAAUACUAAGGAUACUCGGGUCUCUUGUCUGAAUAUUAUAGCCAAAGCUAUGUCCCAAACAUAGUCUUCCAUGAGAUGUUUCUUGUAUUGCCAAUGCCAUAUCCCAGAUAUGGUCUUACAUGAGAGUUCUCAUAGAGGUGCCACUGCCAUGUCCUAGACAUGGUCUUACGGGGGACAUUUCAUCUCAGUGCCAAUGCCAAGUCUCAGACAUGAUCUUACAUGGGACCUCUCAUCUUGGUGCCAACACCAUGUCCCAGACAUGGUCUUACAUGGGAUCUCAUUCCCCAAAUGUCAUGACAUUUGUAUCUAUUACAUUCCCAAUGUUUCAACGGGGCUUUUAUCACUGAUUCUCUGUCAUCUAAUACUUGAGUCAACAUUAGAUAUUUUCAUGAAAUAAAUACAUAAUUGCUGAAAAAUAACAGCAUUAAUAAUAAUUAUUGAAAUAUUGCAUUUAUUUACCGUAAACUUACCUUGGUACAAAAUAUGAUCAAAUCAGCACUUUAGUCCUCAACAUUUUUCUUUCCCCGAUCUAACUCCAAAUUUAGUUCUUCUUGAUCUAUAAUAGAAAAUUUGGCUUAUUUAAUACUCACAUUCAUCAAAACAGUCCUUGACUUGAACUUUGACAAAAUUACGUUUUUCCUUAAACUUUUGCAUAUUUACACUUUUGUCCCAAAGCUCAGAAAUUAAACUUCAUCCCUUAUUCUUAUGUUUUAUGACAUGCUGAACAUUUUUCCCUUCUAUGGAAACAUCAAAUUCUCAAUCUAACACUUACUUAUGAACAUUAGGUAUUUUUACCGAUUAUGUCAAUUUACUCGUUUUUACUUAAAAUCGACUAGCAAAAGUUGUUUAACAUAGUUCCAAGCUUCAUAUUCUACCAUAAAACAUCAAAAUAAACACAUUUCACGUAAGGGUAUUUUUCCAAAGAUGAACCCUAGAUUAAAUUAUUGCUAGAAUAAGCUAAAUCAAGUUACCGGAACUCUAAAAACGUAAAAAACAUUAAAAACGGGGCUAGAACGAACUUACAAUCGAGCUUGGAAGCUUGAAAAAACCCUAUUCAUGGUUUACCCUUGUGAAAUUCGGCCAUGGGGUUGAAGAUGGACAAAAUUUGGCUUUUAAUUUGGCUUUUAAUUCAUUUUAAUAACAAAAUAACCAAAAUGCCCUUAAUGAAAAACUUUGGAAACAUGCCUAACCAUGUCCAUUUUUGUCCACCAACUUAACCAAUGGUCUAAUUACCAUAUAAGGACCUCCAAUUGAAAAUUUCAUAACAAUUGGACACCUCUAACAUGUAGAACUCAACUUUUGCACUUUUUACAAUUUAGUCUUUUUGAAUAAAUUGGGUGCCCAAACGUCAAACUUUCCAAACGAAAUUUUCACAAAAUCAUUUCGUGAAAUCGUAGACCAUAAAAAUAUAAUAAAAAUAAAUUUUCUCACGUUAAAUUUGUGGUCCUGAAAUCACUAUUCCGACUAGGCCCAAAAUCAGGAUGUUACACUCUUAUAGUCCUAUUUGGUGUGUAUUAGUGGGACAGAAAUGGUGUGAACUGGAUGGAGGUAGGAUCUAUUUCUGUGUCUGUAUUUGCAUCUGUAUUUGUAUAUGCAUCUGAUUCUGUAUAUGAGAUUGCAUCUUUAUCUGAAACUGAAAUUAUUUAUGUAAUUGAAUUGUAUCUAUUUCUGUAACUAUUACUGUAUUUGAGUCUAUUCUGCCUGUUUGGGUUGAGUUACACACUAAGCCUAUAAGCUCACCCUAGUUCUUUGUGUAACACCCUUAGCCCGUAUCCAUCGCCGGAUUAGGGUUAUGAGGCAUUACUACACGAAUCACAAUUCAGAACAGAGUUUUGCUACAUUUAUUGUUUCAUAAUUUAAACUCAUCAGAACACUUAUUCCAUUCGAUUUUAAACUUAAAAUUUCUAUACUAAUAUCAUAAUUAUAUUUAAGAUUAUUCGAUUAUAUAUAUACAUGUGUCAUUACGCAACAUAUACCAACAUACAUGAUAACAAAUUUUUCAUAAGCUAAUCCUCAAACAUAACCUUUUUAUAGUCUAAGCAUAUUCACAUAUUAAAAUCGAUUAUCAAUCAUACAAAAAUACAACUUUGAUUAACCAUUAUGGUCGAAUAUACUAAUUGUUAGAAUUGUGUGACCCAAAUUCUAAGAGAUUGCUUGCAAGUCAAGUUAAACAAAAAUAUAUUUUCUUUCUAGAAGAUUUAGUAUUUAUUAGUAUAAUAUAUUUAGCAUUUAUUAGUAUAGUUUAUUUGACUUACUAAUUUAGCCUAUAAAUAGGCUCUUUACAAUCUUAGAAUUAAGACACACCCAUUAGAUUAGAACUCAUAAUACAUUCAAAGAAUUUUGUGUUUACGUUUUCGGGUUCUUUGUUUUCGGGUUUUCGGGUUUAGUUUUUAUCUCCAUCUUUUGUACUCUUCAUUCUUUUGCCAUUAUAGUAAAAUUUCUUUGCCCGUGGUUUUUUAUCCUCUUUAAAGGGAUUUUUCCACGUUAAAUUUGUGUGUUCAUCUUCUUAAUUUCUUCUGCUAUUUUUACUUGUUUGUUGUUUAAUCGGGACGAUCCUAACAAGUGGUAUCAGAGCUAGUUUAACUUUCAUAGAUCAGCCCAUUCAGAGAUGGCAGCAACAAGGUUUGAAAUUGAAAAGUUCGAUGGUGAGACAAAUUUCAAUUUGUGGCAAGUUUGAAUGAUGGCAAUUCUAGUUCAAAAUGGCUUGAAAAAGGUUGUUACAGGGAAAAAGCCUGAGAAUCUAAAUCAAACAGAAUGGGAAGAGCUUGAUGAAAAGGCCUUGUCUGCAAUCCAGUUGUGCCUCGCGAAUACAGUAUUGCAGGAGGUAUUGAUGGAGAAGACCUCAUUCGCCUUGUGGAAAAGGUUAGAAACUCUUUAUGCGACUAAGUCUCUGGCUAACCGAUUAGUGUUGAAACAACGUCUAUUUACGUUUCGCAUGAACGAAGGUGAGCUUCUUAAAGAUCACAUCAGUCAAUUCAUUACUCUUUUAAAUGAUUUAAAGAACGUUGAGGUUCAUAUUGACGAUGAAGAUCAAGCUAUGCUAUUAUUGUGCUCUUUACCCUCUUCAUACAAGUCUUUCAGGGAGACCCUGAUUUAUGGCAGAGACAAACUCUCGUUUGAAGAUGUGAAGGGUUAUUUGUUGAGUAGAGACAAACUCGACAAUGAGUUUGGUUUGAAUAGCAAAGCAGAUAGGCAAGCUUCCGUUUUGGUAGCAUCAAAGAAACGAGACAAAAGGUGUCGUUAUUGUAAAAAGUUAGGUCACGUCAAAGCAGAUUGUUAUAAACUGAUAAAUAAAAGAGAUGCUGAGAGUAACGAGGAAGAUGUAGCUGGUGCUAAUUUGGUCGAUGAAGGCGAUGAUGAUUUCUUGUUAGUGUCAACGAGCGAUAAUUCCAAGCUUACGUCUGAGUGGAUCCUAGAUUCAGGAUGUUCUUUCCACAUGUGUCCCAAUAGAGAAUGGUUCUCCACAUACAGUUCAGUUGAAGGUGGAGUUAUGCACAUGUGAAACGAUUCAUCUAGUAAAAUAAUCGGUAUUGGUACUAUUAAAAUUAGGAUACACGAUGGGACGAUUAGGACACUCUCAGAUGUCAGGUAUGUACCUGAUUUAUGAAAGAAUCUCAUCUCCUUGAGUAUUUUAGACUUGAAAGGAUGCAGAAUCAACAUCGAGUCGAGCGACAUUAAAGUACCUCGUGGAGCUCUUAUUUUGUUAAAAGGUAAAAGAACCGGCAGUCUUUAUGUUCUAGAAGGUUCUACAGUGACCGGUGAAAUCGGACGUCCCUCGUCCGUUACGGAGUCAAAGUCAACUCAUUUGAAGCGGAGGCAACUUGGUCAUAGGAGGGAAAAAGGUAUGACCGUUUCGUUGAAGAGAGGUUCUCUUUUGGAUGCAGGUUUUGAAAAGUUAGGGCACUGUAUUCGUGAAAAUCAGACCUGGGUUAGUUUUGAUUUGGCAGGGCACAAGUCGAAGGCUAGAGGUCUUCCAGCUUCUAAUCAUAGAUUCGACUCAAUUAAUUCCCUGCAUAGUUCAAGAUAGGCCCGUGGCGGGUUUUGGAAAAGAUGGCAUUGAAAGAAUUCGUGUCAAGGUGGAGAUUGUUAGAAUUGUGUGACCCAAAUUCUAAGAGAUUGCUUGCAAGUCAAGUUAAACAAAAAUAUUUUUUCUUUCUAGAAGAUUUAGUAUUUAUUAGUAUAAUAUAUUUAGCAUUUAUUAUUAUAGUUUAUUUGACUUACUAAUUUAGCCUAUAAAUAGGCUCUUUACAGUCUUAGAAUUAAGACACACCCAUUAGAUUAGAACUCAUAACACAUUCAGAGAAUUUUGUGUUUACGUUUUCGGGUUCUUUGUUUUCGGGUUUUCGGGUUUAGUUUUUAUCUCCAUCUUUUGUACUCUUCAUUCUUUUGCCAUUAUAGUAAAAUUAUCUUUGCCCGUGGUUUUUUAUCCUCUUUAAAGGGGUUUUUCCACGUUAAAUUUGUGUGUUCAUCUUCUCAAUUUCUUCUGCUAUUUUUACUUGUUUGUUGUUUAAUCGAGACGAUCCUAACACUAAUGAUUAACAUCAACCAUGAUGCGUAUUUAAGUUCAAACAAUAUGGACCAUAUCACAUAAUUAAGUAUCACUCAUUUAAGUAGCAUUGCACACAUUUAAAAUAACAUGAUUUAAAACUGAACAUGUUUCUCCAUCAAUUAUAAAACCAUGCACAUAUGACCUUGUUAUCUUAAGUAAAUUUGGGCACAAAUAACAGUUAAGAUUACACAUCAUUCGCAUGCCAAUAUAUAUGCAUUAGAUCGUGCCAAAAAUUUCAUUCAUACCACAAGCUAAGUUAUUCCACAAUCAGACAAUCAUUAUAACCUAUAAUACAUAAUAUAUUUAUUUAAAUGUUAUAAAUCAAAUAUCAUGCUUAUCAUUUUAGCAUCAUAUCCUUAGCCUUAUAAACAUAUUCAUUUUAAUUAUCAACUAAAACAAUCAUAUGACAUAUUCAUAUUUAUCUUUUACCAACCAUACCUAAUUAACCAAUCAUUUAAGCAUGAUAUAUAUGCAGACAUUACCAAUACAAACCGAAUCAAAAUAACCUAUACACAUUCGAACUAUAAUCAUCCUUUUACCCCACUACUAAGCCGAAUUAUAAAUAUACAUCAAACAUCACAAACAUUUAUAUAUUCAGUAUUAAUCUUGCUAAUUUAAUCUAUAAGCAUAUACUAAGUGCACACACACAUAUAUGACGUGCAUAAUACUUAAUUCAUAUAUUAAAAUUUUAUAUAUAUCAUUUCUCAUUUUCCAACUCAAAUUCAUGUACUCAUUUAUAGCAUAAAACACACUUCAAAAAUAGACCUAAAUCAUGACUGAAUAUAUAUAUAUAUUACUUUCGAUACAAGCUUAAUCCAUGACUUAGUUCAAUCGAUCAUUAACAAAACAUAUUAAACAAGUCACACAUAAUCAUACCAUGACCGAAUCUAAAUAACUUAAGCAUCAAAGAAUCUAUUAUAAUCAUAGGCAUAGAAACUAAGCUUAAUCAAAAGAAAUAAGCCAUUUUUUCAUGGCUUAAAAUUAUAACCCAAAAAUCUAGCAUUUCAGCUAUGCUAUACAUGCCAUAAGAUCGAAUUUAAUCUUAACAAAAUACCAAAAGGAGUCAAUAGUGUGAUAGCCUUCUUCGAUGAUCCCCGAGCUCGUAACCGACUUCCAAAAUCUAUAAAACAAAGAGUAAACAUGCACACAGUAAGCUUCCACAGCUAAUAAGUCAUAAACGAACAUUAAUCAUAUGAACAUUAACACUAAAUCAAACAGCCAAGUCAAUCCAAACCUUAGUUAAAUAUACAUAUAUCACACUCACAAGUUUAUAUGUUACCAAAAAUAAAUUAGCAGUUAUCAUCAUAUAACUAAAUGCACAAAUACUCAUAAACAUAUAUAAUUAUCACUUUUAAAUAUUUAACUAAGGUUUAUAAAACAAAGAGUAAACAUGCACAUAGUAAGCUUCCACAGCUUAGUAAGUCAUAAACGAACAUUAAUCAUAUGAACAUUAACACUAAAUCAAACAGCCAAGUCAAUCCAAACCUUAGUUAAAUAUACAUAUAUCACACUCACAAGUUUAUAUGUUACCAAAAAUAAAUUAGCAGUUAUCAUCAUAUAACUAAAUGCACAAAUACUCAUAAACAUAUAUAAUUAUCACUUUUAAAUAUUGCAACGAUAUCAUUAUGCCAAAUCACUUAUAAUAUUACAAAUACACCAAUAGACCAAAUCACUUAUAUGCUCAAUUAUGCUAACACGUAAUUCAUAUCUUACAUAGCUUCAAAUCAUCAAUUCAAAUAUACAACUUACCUUAAUUUCAUAACAUAGUAUGAAUACAUACUUGAACCUUUUAAUUCGAUUUCACAUUCUAUCUUUACUUCACAUUGCCCCAUGAACCGUUCGGAACAAAAAGGAUACGCGGAUAUUCAAAAGGCUCGUACAAUGCCAACGUCCCAGACAUGGUCUUACAUGUAAUCAAAUAUCGAUGCAACUGUCCCAGACAUCGUCUUACACGUAAACACAAGUUGAUGCCAACGUCCCAGACGUGGUCUUACACGAAAACACAUAUCGAAAAUCCUAUGUCAUGACAUAAGUAUCCUAUCUAUUCCUAGGGUUCGUACGGGACUUCCAGACAUUGAUUAUCGAUCAAAUCAAACUCAAAAUAAAUCCCUAUUCCAAGAUCAUAUUCGGCCAAUCAUUUAAUAAACCAAAUAAUUAAUUUAUCACAUAUUAUUUACAUAUUCAUUAAUUUAACAACAUUUAAAAGCUUAUUGACUUACCUCGGAUGUUAUCAGACGAUAUAAUUGACUAUUCGAUUACUUUCGAUUACCCCCGAUCUAAUUUCGUUUUCUUUCGUUCUCGAUCUAAAUAAAUUCAAAUUUAACUAAUUUAAUCACACAUUCAUUCAAUUUAAUCCAAAAACACAUAAAUGAGCAAAUUACCAUUUUACCCUGACAUUUUACACUUUUUGUAAUUUAGUCCCUAUUGCAUAAGACACAAAAUACACAAAAUUUGCAUAUACCAUAGCUAGGCCGAAUCUUCCUAUAGUCCCUCUAAGUCCACAGAUUUUAUUCAUUUCACAUUUUAAUCUCUAAAAAUAUUAUUUUUGCAAUUUAGCCGUAAUUACUCAAUUUCAUCAAAAAUUCCAAUACAAAACAUAUUAAUCUAAAACAUAUAUUUCAUUAUUCAUCAUCAAAUAUCACAUAACACAAAUGUUCAUCAAUGGCACAACUCAAAAUAUUCAUCAAAAUAAAAAAUUCAAAUAUGGAUCGGAUAGUAUUCGAAGCAACGAUCUUAAAAAGGUAAAAAUUAUCAAAAACCAAACAAAGAACUAACCUUAAUCAAGCUUCAAAAUGGCCGAAUAUUGCUUGGCUUCUUUUCUUUUUCUUUUGCAUGAAUUCAGCUAAGGAAGAUGAUAAUAACCUUAAUUUUUUUUUAUGUUUUUAUCUAACAUAUAUUAUAAUAUAUUUUUAAUUUACUAAUAUAACCUUAUAUAAAUAAAUAUAACUUAUAUAUAUUUUAAGGUUAACAUUGUCCUUAGCUGUCCACUAAUACUAGCUAUGGCAUAAUUUCAACAUAAGUGCGUCAUAUUAUAAAGACAAGUUCAAUUACGCAAUCACACAUUUAACUAUCAAAUUUUUAUUUUACGCGAUUAAGCCGUUUUCUUUAAUCAAUCAUUCAAACGAUAAAAUUUAAACACGAAAAUUUCACACAAUCAAAUUCACACAUUAUAAACACACAAAAUAAUAUUAAAAUAUUUUUCUGACUCAGAUUUGUGGUUCCAAAACUACUAUUUCGAUUAGGGUCAAAAUUGGGCUGUUACACUUUGACUUCUCAGGUAAUUAGCAUACUUAGGACCAAACGACGUGCAGAAGCUCAUAUUGGAUUCUCGAUUAUUUAAUUAUGAUGGUUCAUGUUUUUAAAUUAUUCUGGACUUUCUAGAUUUUUUGGGGGGUUGUAAAUCUGUUUCUGUAUUUUGCUUUACAUUUUGGUUUGCUUAGUUAAAUUUAGUAAUUAUUACUUAAAACUACAAAGUUUUGUGUUUUGCAAAUUAAGUCGCGAUUUUUGAAAUUUAAUACUCUGAAAUUUCCGCUGCAAAAUAAAGUAAUCAUUUAAGUGUUUUUCUAUAAUAAAUUAAAUAGUUUCAACGAGUGUUUUCUUAAAAACUGCAAAGUCAUUUGUCAUAAUUAAUAUUGCCAAAACAUACGAUUUCAAAUUCAAUUUCUAGGUUUUUUAAAUAAGCUAAUGUAAUUCCUCCAAAUUUGACCAUAACAUCUAGGUCGUGUUUGGGAUGUUACAAUUUUAGUCCUUAAUUUUUAUAUUUUUAUCAAAUUGACCCUUAUUUUAUAUAAAAAUUAUAAAAAAAACUCAAAAUCAUUUACAAAAUAGUAAAAUGUAUAUAAAAUUCUAGAAAAAUAAAAUCUUGAAUAUGUUGUUGAAGAACUAAAUUGUAUGAGAAAUAAAGAAAAGUAUCAUUCAAUAGAAUCCAAUAACAAACUUGGCACAUAACAAAAUAAAAAAUUUAGAUCAUUACAUACUUCCUCAAUGUGUCUCGAAACCAAAUUAGUAGAAUUAUCUAGUUGAGUUUCAUGCUCUUGAAGAGCAUUUAGAACCAGUAUUACAGAGGCUUAUGAAAUCGACCCGGAAGUCAUUUUUUUUAGUCAAAAGAUUAAAAAAUAUCCCACAAAAUUUUUUUCAAACUCAAUUCAAGAUUUAAUUAUAUUUAAAUUAUUUUCCAUAACCCAAAUUGUAAAAACAAAUUAUGUUUCUUCUUCCAUGGUCGAGUUGGGCUUGGACAAGGUUUUUAUGUCUUGAGCCGUAACAACUUGACUUCAAUUUAAAUAAUAAAAGUUAUUUUUAAAAUUCAAAUUUAAUUAAUAAUAUAUAUUUUUUUAAUAUUUUAUUAUUUUCUAAACUCACAAAUGAACUUUUUGGAUUGACCAAGCUAAGCUAAAAAUGGGUUAGGCUUGAAAAAAAUUAGAUUAUUUAUAAGAGUAUAUCAAGGAGUCUAAUAAUUACAAUUUUUUUUGGAAGGUCUUAAUAACACUAGAAAUCUUAUCACAUGCGUAUGCAUGUAGAAAUCACAUAUUUAUAACACAGACUGUGUUUAAAAAUAACAUACAAUGAAUACUGAAAAGUAUAAUUUGGAACUAAUUAAUAAUAACACGUGAAAUAUGUAUGAUAUUAAAAUAAAAUUAGAUUAAAUUGAGAGUAAAACAAAAUCUAAACACAAAAACACAUCAUAUUAAUAAUACUAAAUAAAUACAAAUGUUUAUCAUUGUUUUGUCUUCAAUCCCGAGUUGGUGAUGCUAAAUCAAUAACAUUAUUUACAUACACAAAUAUAUUAAAACUUAGAACACAAAUGUUUAUCUGUUAUAAAGCAUGUACGACAUGGACAUUUCUGACAUUUGUUGAUUUUGCAAGUGCAUUAGGAUGAGAUUUGUGUUUACGGAGGAAGUGUGGGAGUUUAAUUCAUUUGCCAUAUUUAGUGGCUCAACCAUACGUAUUUCUGUAUUUGGCGAUGAAUCACCUAAUGAUUUGGCAGUUAGAAUGCGAAUAUUUUGAAAUAAUGUUUCAUACUGGCACUAAGUGGUGUGUAGGGUCUAAUAGGUAUUUAAUACCUUAUAUGGUGUGUAGGAAUGGUCGAAGAUGGUGUGUAACGGAUCGGAUUAGGAUUGUAAUCUACACUUGAUAUUUUCUGAUUCUGUUUCUGUAUAUGAUAUAUGUCUAAUUGACUUCCGAAAGCACGUUUGAAAAUUAUAUCUUAUAUUUUUACUCUUAUAAGUUACACAUUGAGUUUGUAAGCUCACUCUCAAUUUCUCUUAUUCUUAGGUAAUCCUUAGACUUAGGUGGGUCGGUGCAACUGGAGUUCGAUUAAUUAUCUACUUGUUAUAUUUGUUAUUUUAAUAUGGUUUAUUCUGUUUUGGUUUUGGACUAUUUUUAAGUUUAGGUUUAGUUUCGUUUUAUUUAUUUGAACAUUUUUGGUUAGUUUAAAUUUGAUCUACAAAAUGUUAAAUUAUAUAGCAACAAAUCGUGUUUUCAAAAUCGGACUCAACUAAGAAUUUUCGCUGCAAACGUAAGUGUUUUAUGAGUAAAUAAUCGACAAAUUUAUCGAAAUGGUUAAGAACGAUAUUUUCCUCAAAUAAACUCAAAUUUUACUUAAUAAGAGCUAGCAUUGUUUUAUAAGUCGAACAGAUUCUAGGUUUUUAAAUAAAUUGUAGUAAUAUCUCCAGAUCUGGCCAUAAUAUCUAGGCCAGGUUUGGGGUGUUACAGAGCCUAUAAGCUCAGCCAAUGUUUCUAACUUCUCAAUUAAUCAAUAUAUUUAGGACCAGACGACGUGCAAGAGAUCAGAUUGAGUUCUCAAUUAUUUAAGUAUGAUGGUUCAUGUUUUUAAAUUAUUCUGGACAUUCUGAUUUUUGGGGGGGGGUUGUAAAUCGUUUUUCGGAUUUUGCUUUGCUUAGUUGGAUUUAGUAAUUAUUACUUAAAACUACAAUAUUUUGUGUUUUACAAAUUAAGUCAUGGUUUUCAAAUUUUAGUACUCUAAAAUUUCCACUACAAAAUAAAGUAAUCACUUAAAUACUUUUCUAUAACAAAAUAAAUAGUUUUAAUGAUUGUUUUCUUAAAAACUGAAAAGUGAUUUUCUAGAAUUAAUAUUAUCAAAACACACAAUUUCAAAUUUAAUUUCUGGGUUUUUAAACAAGUUAAUCUAAUUUCUCCAGAUUUGACCAUAACGUAUAAACCAAGUUUGUGGCGUUACAAUUUUUUUCCUCAAUUUAUAUAUAUUUUUAUCAAUCUAACCCUGAUUUUAUAAAAAAAUUAAAAUCAUUUAUAAAAUAGAAAAAUGUGUAUAAAAUUCUAGAAAAAUAAAAUCUUGAAUAUGUUGUUGAAGAACUAAAAUGUAUGAGAAAUAAAGAAAAGUAUCAUUCAAUAGAAUCCAAUAACAAAUUAGAAACAAAACGAAAUAAAAAAGUUCAGUUUCAUGCUCUUGAAGAACGUCUAGGACUAAUAUUAUAGAGACUUAUAAAAUCGACCCGACUGUCAUUUUUUUGGUCAAAAGAUUACAAAAUAUACCAAAUUUUUUUUUUCAAACUCAAUUCAAAUUUUAAUUACAUUUAAAUUAUUUUUCAAAACCAAAAUUGUAAAAACAAAAUGUGUUUCUUCUUCCAUGGUUGAGUUGAGCUUAGACAAGGUUUUUAUGUCACGAGCUGUUCGAACUCCAAUUCAAUUUAAAUAAUAAAAAAUAUUUUAAAAUUUUAAAUUUAAUUAAGAGUAUAAAAAUAUUUUUUAACAUUUUAUUAUUUUUUGAACUCUCAAAUGGACUUUUCUAGGUAGACGGAUUUCUUAUUCGUCUUUUUAUACAUGUAAUUAUUAAUUAUUUUCUCUUUCUUCUUCUCCUUCACACACUUUCCCAUUAAUUCCUAUCACAAUUUUGCUUAUUUCUAUUUUCACCUUUUUCUUCACUCUUUUUAAUUUCUUUUCAUCUCCAAGGUCUAUCACUAAUUUUCAAUUAUCCAGUCAAGGUAAUUUCCUUUCAUUUGCUUCAUUCAUGACUAUACAAUGAUUGUUUUUUAUAUCAGCUACUGUUAUAGCAGCUUGCUUUGUAAGAUGGUCAAGAUAAUAAGAUCUGCAGCAAUGGUUUCCUCUAGUGAUUAUCAACAGUUUUAGAUUUUAAGACAGGAUGAUCAGCAGACAUAAUCUACUAUAGAUACAGAUUAAUACGAAAAGAGCUAUGCUUUGUAAGAUAGUCAAGGUAAUAAGAUCUGAAGCAAUGAUUUCCUCUACUGAUUUUCAAUUUUAAGACAGGAUGAUCAGCAGAUAUAGUCUACUAUAGAUACAAUUUAAUACGAAAAGAGCUACCCAGAAGCAAUAUAAUGUUGAAAUCUCAUGCUGUUGAACAUUUUACCUCUUCAUAUUCUGUAAUGAACUCUUGCACACUUGAAUCUAGCAUGUUGUAUAGUUUGAGGGAUUGAUUCUGGAUAUACAAUGGUGACCAGAAUUUCAUCAUGUUUCUGUCUGCCACCCAUCCAUAGCUCCAUCUAAUAGACGCCAUUGCUUGAAACUUGCAUUCAUGAUUUCCUUUUCAUGCUUACACCGACAUAUCAAUACUUCAUAAAAUAUCCAAUUCAUUCACAGAUUUUCAUUCUCUGCUACUGUUAUAUAUGAUUGCAUUACAGGGACAAAGCAAUGGAGUACGUAGAGCCUGUUGUCGGCAUUGCAAAUUGUCUCGGAACUCCUGCUUGUAAGUAUUUUAAAAAAAUACUUAUUGCAUUGAUUGUUGAUUGCAAAUUGUCUCGGAACUCCUGUUUGUUAUAUAUGUUUAAUUCAUAGAUGAUAUGGGUACAAGACAUUAUAAUGAUGCAAUAGUUUAAAAGAAAGUAAAUAGGAGGAGUAAAAUUGUGGAGGGAAAAUAUUUAAAAAAAAAUUGAAGGGGGGAGGGUUUGGGGUAGAUGAGAGGUGGGAUGGGAAGGGAAUAAAAGUUUUAGGGGAAAAGUGGGAGGGAGUAAAAAUUUUGGGAGAAAAUAAAAGGUUUUGAGGGUUUUGGGGAGUAAAAUUUUGAGAAAAAGUAAAUGGGAGAGUAAAAUUUUGGUGGGAAAUGGAUUUUGGGUAGAUUGGGGGGUUGGGAGGGGAGUAAAAGUUUUGGGGGGAAAGUAGGAAGGAGUAAAAGUUUUGAGGGAAAAGUAAAAAGGUUUGGGAGUUGGGGUGAAAAUGUAAAAUAUUAUAGUUUGAUAUUCGAAUUAUUCGAAUUAUUAGAGUUAUUCGAAUUCGAAAACUCAACUCGAUUCGAACUCGAAAUUUGAAAAAAAAAUCGAGUUGAUUCGAAUAACUCGAUUAACUAGAAUAACUCGAUUCGUUUAACUCGAAAUCCGAAUUUUUUUUAAAUUUUUUCGAGUAGAAUCGAGUUUUGCUCACCCCUAAUAUAUAUCCUGAACUUGAGUUGUCAUAUUCUAAUAUUUCUUUGCUCAGUAUUUACUUGAUUGUAUACAUUAGAUUUGCACCCGAAGUAAUAGUUUUAGAAUACUUGCAGUAAUAGUUUGUCUUUCAACUUCAUCAACUAAUCUUUUAAAGUUAUGUGUAUCGAUUGCGGUCGUAAAUCAACUAAAAAUCUAAUUAAGGUAAAUGUACUUAUCAAUUAAUAUUAUAGUUACGAUGAGCAAAGAUAUCGUUCCCACGAGGGCUAAAAGUGCUAGUUAUUAUUGUCUUUCUUUUAUUUAACCGACAAAUUGGAGUGAUUGAUUAAAACUAAAAUUAACUAAAUUAAUUAACUAAAGAACAUGACAAAGAACAAAUUAGAAAAAUAAACGAUUAACAACCAAAAAAAGUGAGACAAUACCUAGGAAAGAACCCACCUAGACUUCAUCUGUCAUUAUCAAUCUAAAUCACGCAAUUUCUUCACUUACUAUCUUGAUCCGUAGAAAUCCCUAAAUUAUGCUAACAUCUCUCUUCAAGACUAACAACAACUAACUCUAGAUUGAUUAAUUGAAUUUUCUUUCUAAUUAAAACCCCUAUUAUCGUAUUAACUUGAUUUAUGGAUCAUUCUAUUAGAUUUGACUCUAAUCCAGUAGAUUUAUGUUGUCCUAUUUUUAGGAUUGCAUGCAACUCCACUCAAUUACGCUAAAUCUACUCUUAAACAGGGUCUAUUCCUCCUCUGAUUUAAGCACAUAAUACAUGAAUCAAUAGUCUAAAAACAUUAUGAAUUAAGCACACAUAAUUGAGAACAAAAUCUAAGUAUUUAUUGCAUAAAAAUUGAAAUCAAAUAAUAUAAUCCAUCCUAAGGUUUAUCUCCCUAGGUAUUUGGAAAAUUAGUACAUAUAGUAAAUAAAAACAUCCCAUAAAUAGCAUAAUUACAAGAUAUAAAGAAACUCAUAAUAAACUUCAAAAAAAUCAAAAGGACAACUUCAAUCUUGAUGGAAAUAUACUUCAAAGUCGGCUUUAAUAGUAUUUUUCGAGUUAUUUUCUUCAAUAUUAUAUGACAACUCACUCUGCUCCUCUUAUCUUUGUCAUAUAUAUAUUAGAAUGCUCGAAAAAUCUAAAAAUUACAAUUUUCUGCAUGUUUAGAGUGCAAUUUGCGAUUUCCACACGAUUUGGCACAUGAUCGUGUGACAGCCUGUGUGGCUCACUCAACUGUGUGUCCAGACCGUGUGCAAUGGCCCAACCCUUGUGGCUCCUGAAACUUGCUCCAGUUUUUCGAUUUUCGCUCCUUUUUGCUUCUAAAUUCUCUCUUAAGUAUAGAAACAUGAAUUCAAAGUAUUAGAAGCAUAAAAUUUACCAUUAACACAUUUUCUCUGUAUAUUUAGCAUAUAUUCAAACUUCGAGGCUCUACUUUGGAGUUUAGGUUCAAAAAUAUGAACCCAUGUUUUCAAAGGUCUAAUUUUUCCAUGAACUGCUGGAAAUGAAAAGAAAAAACAAAUAUUUAAAAAAAUGAAAAAGAAAAAUGAAAAUAUAGUUUAAUGAGACUUACAUAAAUCCCGAGAUUGAGAAAAUGAUUGUCUAAAGAGAAGCAGAAAUUUGGCCGUCCAAGCCAUCUUAUUCAGUUCACCGAUGCAAGUUUCUCCGCUUAGCCGCCGCUGCUCUGAAAAUGAUGAAGGACUAAUUAGUUUAACAACAGUACCAGUACGAUGUCGUAAGGACGUAUCCUACGUGGCAGUCGUGUCAUCUAGCUAAGUCAAACUACGACGCUACAGUUGGACUUCGAUUUCAGUUGGGUUUGGUUUCUUAGCUGGAGUUCUAUUUAAACUUGGGUUUUGUUUUUGGUUAAAUUACCUUAUUAGUUACUAAAUUAUAGGUUGCUUUUGUUUUGUUCACUUAACUAAAAAAAAUUACAAUUUGGUUACUGAAGUAUUCGAAUAUUUUCAUUUAAGUCACUAAAACAAGAUCUUUUUAAAUAAGAAAUAAAUAUUUUUUAUAGAGAAAUUUUAUAUAUAUAAAAAAUGAAAUACUUUAAUUUAAAAGGACAUUUUGUUUAAUCACUUUAAUAGCUUUUGGAGUGAUGAAAAGUCUAAUUUCACUUUGCACCUAAAAUGAUUUUUUUGGUAAUUUUCUUACAGAGCUGGGACUCAAUUGAUGGUUUACGCCAACUCAGUAAAAGGCUUUAACACAGUAUAGAAAAAAAAAGUUUUUAACUAAAAUUUUUAAAAGAAUUUAGGGUAAACUACACCAAUCAUCCAACUAUAAUAUAGAGAAAUUUUGUAGGGUUUAAAAAUAAUUAUCCCUAAUUUUCUCACUUUAUUUAUUUUUAAAAUUUUUAUUUUACUUUUAUUUAUUUUUUAAUUUUAUAAUGUUCUAAAAUUUUAAAAAUAAUUUCAACUUUUUAUCAUUUUAUAUAUUAUCAAAAUGAAAUUCACCGAAAGUAUACAAAUUUAGGACUAAAAUUUUUAUUAAAUCAUUUAAAAAGUUCCACUUAACAGUUGAGUGACAAAAAAAUAAUAAUUUCAAAAAAAAUUAGUGGUGAAAUUGUAACUUUUUUUAAUUGAGUGAUUAAAACAAAAAAUAGCAAUAGUUUAGUGACUAAUAAUGUAACUUUUUUUGGUACAAUGAUAAUUCGAAAUUUGGCUAUUCUUAAAAAGGGUGAACAUCGGAUCAUAUUUAUUCACAUAUUACAAACAUCCAUAAGUAAGCAAUUCUCCCGAAUUAAAAUCAAAUUUUAAUAUUAACAACUUCAACAACUCAUAAAUAGGAAGAUAAUAUGUUUCGGUACACUUGAAACCACAUCCUUCUACAUUAACAACAAUUACUAUGACAAUGAAACUAAGACUCAAUUCACAAUGAAUAUAUAUUUUUGUUAUACCUAAUUAAAGUCAUUUACCAGUAUAUUAAACAUUCUUAUACCCUAGUUUCCCAUACUUUCCCAUUAUUGUCGUGAUGAUGAUGAUGAUGUUACAAUUGAGCACCAAGAUCACUGUAAUACUUGUUUUAAUUGGUAUAAUAAUAAUUUUAAUCUUUUUUUUUAUAUUUUAUAAUUAUAAUUUUAUACGAUACCGUAAAUUAAAUUGAUAAUAAAAAUAAUUAUAAUGCUAUCUGUAAUGGAAGACAGCAAAGAAAAAGGCUAAAAGAAAACGUAAUAAAAAUAGGAUUCCUUGCUAAUAAUUCUGCCUCUGUGGAUCCUACCAGAGACUUCAUAAAUUCCCUGUUUUUAUCUUCACUUUCUUCUUACUUCUUCUUCACUGCUUUUAAUUUGUUUCGAUGUCCAAGGUCUAUCACAAAUUUUCAAGCAUCCAGUCAACGUAAUUUUCUUUCAUUUGCUUAAUUCAUCACUUGCUUUUCUUUGCUUUUGAUUAUCUGCUACUGUUAUAGCAGCUAGCUUUGUAAGAUUGUCAAGGAACUCAACUUCACUGCUUCCUUUUCAGUUCUAAUCUCUCUACACUUUUCAGCCACUAAGUCAGGUAAUAAGAUCUGAAGCAAUGAUUUCCUCUACUAAUUAUCAACAAUUUUAGAUUUUAACAGUGGAUGACCAGCAGACAUAAUCUACUAUAGAUAGAAAUUAAUACAAAACAGCUACCCAGAAGCAAUAUAAUGUUGAAAUCUCAAACUGUCAACAUUUUAACUCUUAAUAUUCUGUAAUGAACUCUUGCACACUUGAAUCUAGCAUUUUAUAUACAUCGAGAGCUUGAUUCUGGUGAUCAGAAUUUCAUCAUGUUUUUGUCUGCCACCCAUCCAUAGCUCCAUCUAAUGGACGCCAUUGCUUGAAACUUGCAUUCAUGUUUUCCUUUUCAUGCUUACACUGACAUAUCAAUACUUCAUACAAUAUCCAAUUCAUUCACAGAUUUUCAUUCUCUGCUACUGUUUUAUGAAGAGAAAGAUAAAAGUGGGGGUGGGAAAGAAGGAGGGGGGAGGAUAGUGCAAAAGAGAGGAGAAAAGGAAUGAUGGAAGGAAGAGGUUAAGAGCAUAAACUGCCCCCAGUUUUUAAACCCCUUUGGAAGGAUGAAAGGUAUGAACCAUUAUAGUUUAGAGAAAGAUGAAAGGGUUGGUGGGAAAGGAGGAGGGGGGAGGAUAGUGCAAAAGAGAGGAGAAAAGGAAUGAUGGAAGGAAGAGGUUAAGAGGCUCCACGUUGUAAACAUUAACCCUCUCUUACAAUUCCUUCUAUUCUCUUUUUAUAAUGUAAAAGCUGAAGAGGUAAAAAAAUAAAUAAAUUUGCUUCAUAUUUUUUCUAUGUUUGUUUUGAAAGAAUGAGUGUUGAAUAUAGAUAAUAUAGAGAAAUUUUGUAGGGUUUAAAAAUAAUUAUCCCUAAUUUUCUCACUUCUUUUUAUUUUUUUAAUUUUAUAAUGUUUUAAAAUUUUAAAAAUUUUCGACGGUGGCCACAUGUAAAUUUCAGACUGUUUUCCGUUAAUGCCUAGAAUUUAUUAGUUAUUUGGGGUUUUUGAUGUAUAUUCUGAACUAUGGAUUGGUUGGCUUUAAAUUUGGGAUUUUAUAUUAUUUUUUAUGAUUUUUUUUUAAAAACUACAACUCCACAAAACACGGUUUUUUCUAAAAACUAAGGAUUUUCGUAAAUAGAAACGAUUUUCCCUAAAUUAAUUGGUUACAAAAGUUUCCCCUAAGAGACAAAUUUUAAAUUAAAUCAAUAAGUUUUUUUUCUGAAUUAAAUAAAAGCUAACUUACUAUAACAAUUUUUAAACUCGACAAUCUUGUCUUCAAAUCCCUUUCCAUGUGACAUCGUCAGAUUCGGCCAUAACGUCUAGGCCGAGUUUGGGAUGUUACAAAAUUAAUCAUACUUGAUUGGAUUAUGAGAGUGAAUUUUAAUGAAAGAUAAUAUGUGAAGAAAGGAGACACCAAAAUAUAAAAAUAGAAAAUCAAUAUAUAAAAAUAGAAAAUCAAUGGCAAAUUGCUUCAAAUGCAAUAGAUGCAAGAAUGUGCUAAAUUGUCUUUUUAAAUUUAAAAACCUUUAUAUACCGAUCUCAGAGAGCGAAUUUCACAUAAUUUUACUCCUAGAAUCAUGCUUAACAAGCAACCACUAAAUCAAAAUUGUCUAAAUAUAGAAUUUGUCAAAGUAAAAAAUCUAAUAUUUUUUAUCAGCCCAAAAAUAAUUUGCAACUUUCAAUUCAACCCCCAACUUGUUUUUUGUUCCAAUUUAGCUCGAUCUGUUUGUUUUUGAACUUCGACACUCCAAUUGUGUCCAUGAUAAAAUUCAGGCAAUAAAUCAUAAGUUUAGUAGAAUUCUAUUAAAAAGUUUACCAAAAUUGUGUAUAUUAAAUAUAUAAAAUUAACCUGCUAUCAAAUUUGGAACUAAUUAAUAAUAACAUAUGAAAUAUGUAUUAUAUUAAAAUAAAAAUUAGAAUAAAUUGUGAAUAAAACGAAAUCUAAACAAAAAAACACAUCAAAUUAAAAAUACUAAAUGAAUACAAUUGUUUAUCAUUGUUUUGUCUUCAAUCCUGAGUUAGUGUUGUGUUUAUUUGUGACACUAAAUCAAUAACAUUUUUUAAUAAAUAAAAAAUUAGAAUACAUAUACUUAUUAAAGUUUAGAGUGAAAAGUAAAAAGUAAAAAUUGCUUUAGUUCAAAAGUAAAUGAAAAAUAUUUACAUGCAUGGUGUCCUUGGUUCAAAUCUUGUAAUGGAUAAAUUUUUAUUGAUUAAUAAAUAUAUGAAAAGAUGAAAAUACCCUCAUAAUCAUAUAUCUUACUUUGCAAAUAAAAUCUUGAAUAUAUUGUUGAAUGGCUAAAUUGUAUGAGAAAUAAACACAAUUAUCAUUCAGUAGAAUCCACUAUCAAUUUAAAAACAAAACAAAACCAAAUUAGUAAUAUUAUCAAGUUGAGUUUCAUGUCUUUGAAGCACAUCUAGAACUGAUAUAACAGAAGCUUAUGAAAUUGAACUUGAUGCCAUUUUUUAGUAUCAAGAAUACAAAAUAUACCACCAAAUUUUCUUUUUCAAACUCAAUUCAAAAUUUUAUUACAUUUAAAUUAUUUUUCAAAACUCAAAUUAUAAAAAUAAAUUAUAUUUAGAAUUUUAUCUUUUCUUAUAAUGUAGAAGUUAUGUUAAGGAACAUAAGAGGUAAAAAAACAGAAAACAAAUGAUUUUGCUUAAUGUUUUUUUUUCUAUAUUUCUUUUGAAGAAUGGAUAUUAGAUAUUUCGAUAUAGAUAAUAAAGAGAAAUUUUAGAGGGUUUAAAAAUAAUUAUCCCUCAUUUUAUUAAUUUUUGAAAUGUUUGUCUACUUUUAUUUAAUUUUUAAUUUUAUAAUAUUCUGAAAUUUUAAAACAGUUUCAAAUUUUGGUACAAUGAUAAUUUGAAUUUCGGCUAUUUCUAAAAACAGUGAACACCCCGUCAAUAAACCACAAUUUGGAUUUAAAAGUGUAACUUAUGAAGGAAUUUAUAUGUACUUGAAUAGAUUGAUUCACAUUAUUCACGUGUUACAAACAUCAUAUGUAAGAACAACUAUAUUUUUUUUGCAGGAUGCCGACUAGUAUAUUUAAUUUCAAGUUGUAACAUGUAAUUAGGCAUUCUUAUACCAUACUUUCCCAUUAUUAUGCUGCUGCUGCUACUGCAGAUGUUGUUGUUACAAUUGAGCACCAAGAUGACUGCAAAACUUGUUAGUAAUGUCCAGAAUGAAGGGAAAGGACAUGGCAGAUUAGUGAAUUAUUACAGAUUUAAAGAAGAAUCAAAUUGUAAAUCAGCUGAUAGAUACAACUGCUGAGAAUCAAAUACCCAAAAUGCCAACUAUAAUGGCAGAAGCAAAGGAAAAGUACAAAAAGAUGGGAUUCCUUACUUAAUACUUCUGCCUUUCUACCCACAACAUUAUUCUUUCUUCUUUCACAAAAUUUCAACCUGCUUUUCUUUCAUUUGCUUCUUUCAUUACAUGUUUUUCUUUGCUUAAUUGUUCUGCCUUUCUACCCACAACAUUCUUUCUUCUUCACUGUUUUUAUUUUGUUUUCAUCUCCAAGGUCUAUCACCAAAUUUCAAGCAUCCCGUCAAAGGUAAUUUUCUUUCAUUUGCUUCAUUCAUGACUAUGCAAUGAUUGUUUUUUAUUAUCUGCUAGCUUUGUAAGAUAGUCAAGGAAGUCAACUUCACUGCUUCAUUUUCAGUUCUAAUCUCUCAACACAUUUCAGCCACUAAGUUAGGUAAUAAGGCAAUGAUUUCCUCUACUGAUUAUCAACAAUUUUAGAUUUUAAGACAGGAUAGGAUGACCGGUAAACAUAAUCUGGCAUAGAUAGGAAUCUCAAACUGUUGAACAUUUAUUCCGUAAUGAACUGUUGCACACUUGAAUCUAGCAUUUUAUAUACAUUGAGAGGUUAACUCUGGUGACCAGAUUUUCUCAUCAUGUUUCUGUCUGCCACCUAUCCAUGGCUCCAUCUAAUAAAGGCCAUUGCAUUUAUGCUUCCUUUUCAUGCUUACACUAACAUAUAAAAAAUUAUUCAAAAAUCCAAUACACUAACAUAUAUGAUUACGUUGCAGGGGCAGAGCAAUGGAAUACGCAGAGCCUGCUGUUGACAUUGCAAAUUGUCUUGGACCUUCUGUUUGUAAAUACUUGAAAUAUCACAAAAAGCUGAAUGAUUAUGUGAGAAACUUGGGGAGGAUCAGAGAUGAAUUGCAUUGUAAAAUGGAAGACGUAGAGAUGCAAUUGAGAGCAGAGCUUCUUUCUCCUGGGGGGAAGAUACCAAAGCAAGGAGUUGAAAAUUGGUUGAAAAAUACGAAAGAGAUGAUUGCGGAAGCACAGGAUGUGGAAAAUAAAGUCAGAAACGGGAGAUAUCUCUGUCGUGCUUGGAACGGAAAGCUGGUUGAUGAAAAGACUCGAGAAAUGAAGGAGUUUCUUGAUAAAGCUCCUAAUGCCUUUGAAGGUCUUGCCAUGGAUGGUCCAAGUGCUGGGUUGCCACUGCCAACAUCAGAAUUAGUUGGGGAGGAAGCUGCCAGAAAAGAUAUUUGGGCAUGUUUGACGCAAAAGGAGGUAAAAAAGAUUGGGGUUUGGGGGAUGGGCGGUAUGGGUAAAACCAAGAUCAUGAAGCACAUCCACAAUGAUUUUUUGAAAGAACAAAGAUUCGAAAGAGUAACCUGGGUUACCAUAUCAAAGGAGUUCAAUGUAAUGAAGGUACAAGAUAAUAUUGCAAGUGCGUUGGAGGCGAAGGAAUAUUUAGACAAAGAAGAGGACAAGCUCAGACGAGCAGCAAUCUUGUCAGAAAUGCUGAAGAAAGCAGGAAAGCAUGUUCUAAUCCUAGACGAUGUGUGGGAUGAAGUCUCUCUAGAAGAAGUUGGGAUCUCUGAGCCGAGUGACAGCAAUGGCUGCAAGUUGGUGUUGACAACCCGUUCGGAGCAUGUCUGUAAGUAUAUGGGUUGCACGGUGAUAAAAGUGAGGCCCCUUUCAGCACAACAGGCAUUGACACUAUUCUUGAGUAAAGUUGGGCCUAACAUAGUGCAAAAUCAAACUAUAACGCCUACUCUAAAGCUUGUUGUCAAGGAAUGUGCGGGUCUACCUCUUACAAUUGUCGUCGUAGCUGGUACAUUGAAGGGAGAAGAGGACCCUCUUAUUUGGAAAAACGCACUCAGGGAAUUGAAAGAGAGAAUAGAAAAAGUGGAAUGAGUGGAAGCUAAAGUGAUAGAGCGUUUGAAAUUUAGCUUCGAUCACUUAAAGGACGAGAAAGUGAAAUUGUUUCUUACAUUGCGCAUUAUAUCCCGAAGAUUUUGAAAUUGAAAAGGAUGAACUAAUUGAGUGCUGGAUUGACGAGGGAUUCAUAGAUGAUAUGGGUACAAGACAAGAAAUGAAUGACAAGGGUCAAGUUAUUUUGAAGAAGUUGGAAGAUAAUUGCUUGUUGGAAAAUGCCUCGUGUGAAAAAAUGAAAAUGCAUCAUGCAGUGAGAGACAUGGCAUUGUCGAUCACAAGAAUGAAUCCUCGAUAUAUGAUACAAGCAGGUUUGCAAUUAGAAGAGUUACCAGAAAAGGAGCAAUGGAGUCCGGAUAUUGAGAAAGUGUCACUUAUGUAUAACUCCAUAUCAGAAAUUUCCAAGGAUGUGCUGCCCACAAAAUGUCAACUGCACACAACCUUGUUAUUGCAGCAUAACCCAAUAAAGAAGAUCCCAUAUUCUUUCUUCAUAAACAUGCCUUGUCUUUGUGUCCUCAAUUUGUCCUAUACGGAGAUCGAGAGUUUACCAAAUUCCAUCUCUGAAUUAAAGAACCUCACAACAUUGUUGCUUCGUGGUUGUUCUACAUUUAGAGAUCUACCAUGUCUUUCGAUGCUUCAAGAAUUGAAGAAGUUGGAUCUUAGUGGGACUAAAAUUGAGGAAGUCCCUGAAGGAAUGGAUAUGCUGAUAAAGCUAAGAUAUCUUGAUCUUGGAGUGCACACUCUGAAAGAGAUACCCGCUGGACUUUUACCAAAACUCGUUCACCUUCAGCACUUGAGUUUUGAAGUGGACAAUGAAAAAACAAGUCUAAAAGCAGAGGAGAUGGAACCAUUGAAGAAGUUGGAGUGCUUUACCGGACGUUUCGAAGACAUCAAUGAAUUGAAUAAGUUCAUCUCCUCAAUGCAACAAAGUAAGAAAAAUCUCACCAAGUACUCUUUACAGGUGGGCUCAGUUAUUCUGGGUGGUGUAAGAGAUAAAAGAGUAACAAUUGGAGGAGUCCAGAAUUGGGAAGGUGAGUUAAUUAUGCACCCAAUUGAAAUUCAAGAGUUGAUUAUUUUUUUGAGAAGCUUAGUCGAUGAUAAUUCUUCCUUCAAAAAAGCGGUUGACUUGAGGGUUUGGAGGAUUUGGGUGUGUGAAGGGAUAGAGUGUGUUGUUUCCCUGUCCUCUUUGCCUCUUCUUCCGCUCAUCCAUUUCAGAGCCUCGAGGAGUUAGAUCUUAGAAAUCUGCCAAAGUUGAGUGCCCUUAUUAUGAAAGAUGAAGGAAUUGGUUCAGCAAUAACAUCAACAUCGGCUCCGUCUGCCACCUUUUCCCAUCUUAAGCGAAUUGAAGUAUGGAGCUGCUCAAGUAUGAAGACGUUGCUUCCACAUUGGUUGCUUCCAAACCUCCAAAACCUAGAAGAAAUACAUGUGGUUACUUGUAGGCAGCUAGUAGAAAUAUUGGGAGCAGUAACAUCAGAAGUUGAAGAAAAAGGGAGUGAUGCAUUAAUCAAAUUCCAUCUUCCCAAAUUGAGAAAGUUGGAAUUGUGGGGAUUACGAAAUUUGAAGAGCAUAUGCAGCAAAAGUGGAGUGAUGGUUUGUGAUUCUCUCGAGUUAAUCGAUGUUACUAGUUGUGAUAAACUGAAGAGAAUUCCUCCAUUUGUUCCCCUUGUUGGCAAUGGGCAGCCAUUUGCAUAUGCUCCACCUUCUCUUACCAUCAGGUCAUGGAAAGAAUGGUGGGAAUCGUUGGAGUGGGAUGACCAUCCAAACUUUAAAAAUGUUCUUCAACCCCUUUGGAAGGAGAAGAGGUAUGAACUUUGAACCAUUUAUGGUUUAGUUUUUUUAUUUUAUUUUCAUAAACCUAAUUUCUCCAUUUUAAUACAAUUUCAGGUAUAUUUUUGAUGUUGGUGAAGAGAAAGAUGAAAGGGUUGGUGGGAAAGGAGGAGGGGGGAGGAUAGUGCAAAAGAGAGGAGAAAAGGAAUGAUGGAAGGAAGAGGUUAAGAGGGUCCACUUUGUGAACAUUGUCCCUCUCUUACCAUUCCUUCUAUUCUCUUUUUCUUAUAAUGUCAAAGCUGAAGAUGUAAAAAACAAAUUAAUUUGCUUCAUAUUUUUUCUAUGUUUGUUUUGAAAGAAAGAGAAAUAUGGUAGGGUUUAUAAAUAAAAUAUAAUUUAAAUAUCAAUUAUUCAAAAUAAUGGUAUUUUAGAUAGCAAAGGUAUUGAAAAUUUAAAGUGAUAAAUUACCUUUUUAUCAUUAUAAAUAAAAAAAAUAUCAUUAUUUCUUCUUUCAACAAUCAUUCUAUUCUAAAAAUAAAUGAAACCAAUAACCCCAAAUAAAGUAUUAAUGAUAUUUUUAAAUAAAAUAACUUCAAAAAGUUUUAAAAAGUAAGACUUGAUGAAACACUAUAUAUAAUUUAAUCAAUUCAAAUAGCUUUGGAGAUUCGAUCAUAACGUAUAAAUCAGGUUUGUGGUGUUACAAUUUUUGUUCUCAAUUUAUAUAUAUUUAUCAAUUUGACCCUGCUUUUAUAUAAAAAAAUUAAAAUCAUUUAUAAAAUACAACAAUGUAUAUAAAAUUAUAGAAAAAUAAAAUCUUGAAUAUGUUGUCGAAGAACUAAAAUGUAUGAGAAACAAAGAAAAAUAUUAUUCAAUAGAAUCCAAUAACAAAUUAGAAACAAAACGAAAUAAAAAAGUUCAGUUUCAUGCUCUUGAAGAACGUCUAGGACUGAUAUUAUAGAGACUUAUAAAUUCGACCCGACUGUCAUUUUUUUGGCCAAAAGAAUACAAAAUAUACCACAAUUUUUUUCAAACUUAGUUCAAAUUUUAAUUACAUUUAACUUAUUUUUCAAAACUCAAAUUGUAAAAACAAAAUGUGUUUCUUCUUCCAUGGUUGAGUUGGCCUUAGACAAGAUUUUUAUGUCACGAGCUGUUCCAACUCUAAUUCAAUUUAAAUAAUAAAAAAUAUUUUUAAAUUUUAAAUUUAAUUAAGAGUAUAAAAAUAUUUUUUAACAUUUUAUUAUUUUUUUGAACUCUUAAAAGGUUGACUGAGCUCGGCUAAAAAUGAGUUUUGCUUGAAAAAAAUUUAGAUUAUUUUUAAGAGUAUAUCAAGGAGUCUAAUAAUUACAAUUUUUUUAAAAGGUUUUAAUAACACUAGAAAUUAGUCACACGCAUAUUUCUUACUUUGCAAAUAAAAUAGUAUUUUUGGUAAUUUUCUUAUUGAGUUGGGACCCGAUUGAUGAGUGACACCAACUCAGUAAAAUGUUUAAUACAUAGUAUAGAUAAAACAAUUCUAAACUAAAAUUUUUAAAAGAAUUUAGGGUAAAAUUCAACUAUGGUUAAGUUUUCAUUUUGGUCACUUAAUUAAGAAAUGUUACAAUUUGAUUACUAAUAUUUUCAAAAUUAUUUUCUUUUUUGUCACCCGACUGUUAAGUGGCACUUGUUUCAGUUGGUACAAUAAUAAUUCUAGUCAUCAGUUUUUAUAUUUUCUAUCAAUUUGACUCUGAUUGUGUAUAAAAAAUUAUUAAAAAUCUCAAAAUAUUUAUAAAAUAGAAAAAUGUAGAUAAAAUUUCUAGAAAAAUAAAAUCUUUAAGUUGUUGAAUAACUAAACAGUAUGAAAAAUAAAGAAAAUUAUGAUUUAAUAAAAUCCAAUAACAAAUUGAAAACAAAACAAAACAAAGUUACAUUUUGCACCUUAAUACAACUCAGUUCAUAAUAGCUAAUAUUCACAUAGUUUUUCAAUUCAGUCCAUUUUAGUGAUGAAUUCACUAAAUUCUAGUUAUAGCUAAACAUAUAGAUGAAAUCAAGUACAAUUUACACAUAUUAAUAUAAAACCAGAUAGUAAGUUUCAUAUUUAAUUUCACACCCUAAUACAACUCAUUCACUUGUAUAUUUAAUUUCAAGUUGUAACAUAUGAUUAUACAUUCUUAUACCCUACUGUCUCAUACUUUUCGAUUAAUUAUUAGAUUUAAUGAUAAAUUUAGUCCUUGAUGUUUAAUUAUUUUAUUAAAAUGGCCCUAAUUGUGUUUUUGAGUUUUUUUUUGCUAUCAACCUUUGUUCUUUUUUUUUUCACCCUUCUUUUUUAAAUAGAUUUAAUGAAAGUACCUUAAAAAAGUUAACCGUGAUAAUGUGGAAUUUCAUAUGUUGAAUAUUUUUAAUGAGAUAUAAUUUAUUAGUUAGAAAAUCCAAUAAGAUAUUUAUAUUCUUGUGAAAAAAAUAAUACAUUAAAGUGAAAAAAAAUUAAUUUAAAGAAAAUAAAUGUAAUUAUUUUAAAAAAUUUAACUCAAUAGAAAAACAUUUUAGUAAACAAACAUAUGAAAGAUUGAAAACUUUUGAAAGAAAAAAUAUAUUGAAACAAAUGCUGAUGGUAAAGAAAAGCUCAAAAAUAGAAUUAGGGCCAUUUUGACAAAACAAACAAAAAUUAGUGACCAAAUUUAUCAUUAAACCUAAUUAUUAUUAUUAUUAUUAUUCAAUGCCAAUUAUAAUGGGCGACAGCAAAGAAAAGAGUCAAAAAAGACGGAUUUCUUAUUCAUAUCCACAACAUUCGUCUUUUAUACAUGUAAUUAUUAAUUAUUUUCUCUUUCUUCUUCUCCUUCACACACUUUCCCAUUAAUUCCUAUCACAAUUUUGCUUAUUUCUAUUUUCACCUUUUUCUUCACUCUUUUUCAUUUCAUUUCAUCUCCAAGGUCUAUCACUAAUUUUCAAGCAUCCAGUCAAGGUAAUUUCCUUUCAUUUGCUUCAUUCAUGACUAUACAAUGAUUGUUUUUUAUUAUCAGCUACUGUUAUAGCAGCUUGCUUUGUAAGAUGGUCAAGAUAAUAAGAUCUGCAGCAAUGGUUUCCUCUAGUGAUUAUCAACAGUUUUACAUUUACGAAAGGAUGCUCAGCAGACAUAAUCUACUAUAGAUACAAAUUAAUACGAAAAGAGCUAUGCUUUGUAAGAUAGUCGUAAUAAGAUCUGAAGCAAUGAUUUCCUCUACUGAUUAUCAAUUUUAAGACAGGAUAAUCAGCAGACAUAGUCUACUAUAGAUACAAUUUAAUACGAAAAGCGCUACCCAGAAGCAAUAUAAUGUUGAAAUCUCAUGCUGUUGAACAUUUUACCUCUUCAUAUUCUGUAAUGAACUCUUGCACACUUGAAUCUAGCAUGUUGUAUAGUUUGAGGGAUUGAUUCUGGAUAUACAAUGGUGACCAGAAUUUCAUCAUCUUUCUGUCUUCCACCCAUCCAUAGAUCCAUCUAAUAGACGCCAUUGCUUGAAACUUGCAUUCAUGUUUUCCUUUUCAUGCUUACACCGACAUAUCAAUACUUCAUAAAAUAUCCAAUUCAUUCACAGAUUUUCAUUCUCUACUACUGUUAUAUAUGAUUGCAUUACAGGGACAAAGCAAUGGAGUACGUAGAGCCUGUUGUCGGCAUUGCAAAUUGUCUCGGAACUCCUGUUUGUAAGUAUUUGCAAUAUCACAGAAAGCUGAACGAUUAUGUGAGAAACUUCAAGAGGAUCAGAGAUGAAUUGAAUUGCAAAAUGGAAGAUAUAGAGCUGCAAUUGAAAGCAGAGCUUCUUCGUCCUCUGGGGAAGAUACCGAAGAAGGGAGUUGAAAAUUGGUUGAAAGCUGUGAAAGAGAUGAUUAGGGAAGCACAAGUUGUUGAAAACAAAGUCAGUAACGGGAAAUAUCUCUGUCGUGCUUGCAACGGGAAGCUGGUUGCUGGUUGAUGAAAACACUCGAGAAAUGAAGGAAUUUCUUGAUAACGCUCCUAAUGCCUCUGAAGGUCUUGCCAUGGAUGGUCCAAGUGCUGGGUUGCCGCUGCCAACAUCAGAACUAGUUGGAGAAGAAGCUGUCAGAAAUGAGAUUUGGGCAUGUUUGAUGCAGGAGGAGGUGAGCAAGAUUGGGGUUUGGGGGAUGGGCGGUGUGGGUUAAACCACUAUCAUGAAGCACAUCCACAAUGAUCUUUUGAAAGAACAAAGAUUCGAAAGGGUAAUCUGGGUUACCAUAUCAAAGGAGUUCAAUGUAAUGAAGGUACAAGAUAAUAUUGCAAGUGCGUUGGAGUCGAAGGAAUAUUUGGACAAAGAAAGGGACAAGCUCAGACGAGCUGCAAUCUUGUCAAAAAUGCUGAAGAACGCGGGAAAGCAUGUUCUAAUCAUAGAUGAUGUGUGGGAUAAAGUCUCUCUAGAGGAAGUUGGGAUCCCUGAGCCGAGUGGCAGCAAUGGCUGCAAGCUGGUGUUGACCACCCGUUCGGAGCAUGUCUGUAAGUAUAUGGGUUGUAUGGUGAUAAAAGUGAAGCCCCUUUCAGAAGAAGAGGCAUUGAUACUAUUCUUGAAUAAAGUUGGACCUAACAUAGUUCAAAGUCCAACUAUAAUGCCUACUUUGAAGCUUGUUGUCAAGGAAUGUGCGGGUCUACCUUUUACAAUUGUCAUGGUAGCCGGUACCAUGAAAGGAGAAGAUAACCCUCUUAUUUGGAAAAAUGCACUCGGGGAAUUAAAAGAGAGAAUAGGGAAAGUUGAAGGAGUGGAAGCUGAGGUAAUCGAGCGCUUGAAAUUUAGCCUCGAUCACUUAAAGGACGAGAAAGUGAAAUAUUGUUUCUUACAUUGCGCAUUAUAUCCCGAAGAUUCUGAAAUUGAAAAGGAUAAACUAAUUGAGUGCUGGAUUGAUGAGGGAUUCAUAGAUGAUAUGGGUACAAGACAAGAAAUGAAAGGCAAGGGUCAUGUUAUUUUGAAGAAGUUGGAAGAUAAUUGCUUGUUGGAAAAUGUCUCGAGUGGAGAAAUGAAGAUGCAUGAUGCAGUGAGAGAUAUGGCAUUGUCGAUCACAAGAAUGAAUCCUCGAUAUAUGAUACAAGCAGGUUUUCAAUUAGAAGAGUUACCAGAAAAGGAGCAAUGGAACCCGGAUAUUGAGAAAGUGUCACUUAUGUAUAACUCCAUAUCAGAAAUUUGCAUAGAUGUGCUGCCCACAAAAUGUCAAUUUCUCACAACCUUGUUAUUGCAGCAUAACCCUAUAAAGAAGAUCUCAAUUUCUUUCUUCACAAACAUGCCUUGUCUUAGUGUUCUCAAUUUGGCUUUUACAAAGAUCGAGAGUUUACCAAAUUCCAUCUCUGAACUAAAGAACCUCACAACAUUGUUGCUUCGUGGCUGUUCGAAAUUAAGAGAUCUGCCAUGUCUUUCGAUGCUUCAAGAAUUGAAGAAGUUGGAUCUAAAUUGGACUAGAAUUGAGGAAGUACCUGAUGGCAUGGAUAUGCUGAUAAAGCUGAGAUAUCUUGAUCUUGGAGUGCACACUCUGAAAGAGAUACCCGCUGGACUUUUACCAAAACUCGUUCACCUUCAGCACUUGGGUUUUGAUGUGGACAAUGAAAGAACAAGUCUAAAAGCAGAGGAGAUGGAACCAUUGAAGAAGUUGGAGUGCUUAACCGGACGUUUCGAAGACAUCAAUGAAUUCAAUAAGUUCAUCUCCUCAAUGCAACAAAGUAAGAAAAAUCUCAUCAAGUACUCUUUACAGGUGGGCUCAUCUUUUAUCCCUCAUAGAAGAGAUAAAAGAGUAACAAUUGCAGGAGUCCAGAAUUGGGAAGGUGAGUUAAUUAUGCACUCAAUUGAAAUUCAAGAGUUGAAUAUUUUAAGUUGCGACUAUUUGAGAAACUUAGACGAUUGUAAUUCUUCCCUCAAAAAUGCGAUUGACUUGAGGAUUCGUGAAUGUGAAGGGAUAGAGUGUGUUGUUUCGUUGUCCUCUUUCGCCUCUUCUUUCGCUCAUCCAUGUCAGUGCCUCGAGAUGUUGUAUCUUCAAGAUCUGCCAAAGUUGAGUGCCCUUAUUAUGAAAGAUGAAGGAAUUGGUUCAGCAACAACAUCAACAUUGGUUCCGUCUGCCACCUUUUCCCAUCUUAAGGAAAUUACGAUAUACAGCUGCUCAAGUAUGAAGACGUUGCUUCCACAUUGGUUGCUUCCAAACCUCCAAAACUUGGAAAAAAUACACGUGGAGUAUUGUAGUCUGCUAGUAGAAAUAUUGGGAGCAGCAACAUCAGAAGUUGAAGAAAAUGGGAGUGAUGCAUUAAUCAAAUUCCAUCUUCCCAAAUUGAGAGAGUUGUCAUUCUUGGAUUUACCAAAUUUGAAGAGCAUAUGCAGCAAAAGUGGAGUGAUGGUUUGUAAUUUUUUCGAGUUAAUCGUUGUUGUUGAGUGUGAUAAAUUGAAGAGAAUUCCUCGAUUUGUUCCCCUUGUUGGCAAUGGGCAGCCAUUUGCAUAUGCUCCACCUUCUCUUACCAUCAGGUCAAGCACAGAAUGGUGGGAAUCGUUGGAGUGGGAUGACCAUCCAAACUUUAAAAAUGUUCUUCGCUUCAAACCCAUAGAAUAAUGAAAGGUAUAAAUCUAAUUGCUCCAUAUUAAUAAAAUUUGAAGUAUAUUUGUGAUGAUGAUGAAGAGAAAGAUAAAAGGGUUGGUGGGAAAGAAGGAUAGUGCAGAAGAGAGGAGAAAAGGAAUGAUGGAAGGAAGAGGUUAAGAGGCUCCACAUUGUAAACAUUGUCCCUCUCUUACCAUUCCUUCUUUUCUCUUUUUCUUAUGAUGUAAAAGCUGAAGAGGUAAAAAACAAAUAAUUUUGCUUCAUAUUUUGUCUAUGUUUGUUUUCCAAGAAUGAGUAUUGAAUAUAGAUAAUAUAGAGAAAUUUUGUAGGGUUUAAAAAUAAUUAUCCCUAAUUUUCUCACUUUUUUGUAUUUUUUUAAUUUUAUAAUGUUCUAAAAUUUUAAAAAUAUUUUUUAACAUUUUACCAUUUUAUAUAUUAUUAAAAUUAAAUUGACCGAAUAAUUAUAUCACUUAUUAUCAUUGAAUAAAACAAAACAUAGCUAAUAACCAUUGUUAAGUACCAGUUUCAGCUUUUAUGAAUUCUCAAUUCCUCCUUUUUUUUUUUUUUUUGAAGAUAAUCGAAUUCCAUUUAUGGUAUAUAUAUAAUUGUUAACAAGAAUAAAAAUGCAUAAUGCAUUUUAGGUUAUUGAGAGAAUUCCAUCUUCCCAAAUUCAGAGAAUUGAGACUAAGUUACCAAAUUUAGGUUAAAGUAUUCGAGAGGUUCAUGUAAUAUAAGGAUUGUAUUAAGUUAGUCUUUUUAUUAUUAAAUAGAUCAAUUUUGUUCUUAUACUAUUAAAAAAAUUAAAUAAGUCCAAAUCAUAAUGAAAUUAACAUUUAAUAAUGUAUAAAAAAUGUCUUGACAAACAAAAAGAUUUCAUUUACUUCAUCAUAAAAACUUUAAAAAUAUUAACUUUAUUAAACAUUAAAUGUUAACUCUAUUUCAAUUUGACCAUAUUUAAUUUUUUACAACAAUAUUAAAUUGAUCCACCUAAUAGUAAAAAAAUAUAAUCAAAUCCCUAUAAUAAAAACACGUCUCGAAUACAUUCACCCUUCAAUUAAACUAUUCAUCAUGAUACCUUAACAUCAUUAUCCGGCUCAAUUGCUUCACCAAAAUUUGUUAAUCCCAACAUUUUAUUUUCACUUAAGUAUCACUAUCCGAGAAGUAUUUGAACAUGAUCAUAAAAAUGCAAUCCUUUAAAUAAAUUUAAAAAAUACUUAUGCUCAACUCGAUAAAAAAAUUUUUAAAUUCUGAUAAUUUAAACGAAUUAAUUUUAAAUGUAAAGAUGCUAGCAAAGGAGAGAGUUCCAUGAGAUAGAUAGCUUAUAAUUUUGUUUAUAGUCGAUUGAGUCUUAAUUCAAUUGGCAUGAGUAUUAUUACCAGUACAAGAGAAUGUGGGUUCGAGUUCGCUGAAGAGCAGGUUUGAGUUCGCUGAAGAGCAUCAUCUUCCUAUUUAUGGGUUAUAAGUAAUUCUAAAUAUUGUCUCAAAAAGAGCAUAUAUAAUCAAAAUCUAUAAUAAAAUUAUUAAAAAACAAAAACUAUGUCUAUUAGAUAUUUAUAUUCAAAAUCGAAUAACACGGGUAACAUAAAGUUUUAUAUAUAGCAAGAAGAAGCUUUUUUUUUUUAAAUCAAGUCAUGGAUUCUGGGAUUGUUUGGCUUCAAGAGAUUUCUCAUAUUCUUCAAUGGAUUUGAAGAGCUCAGAAAAGUUGCCUUUCCCAAAACCACCACAUCCACCUUUUUGGUAUUGCUUUCCUUCUUCAUCCUUCACCAUGCACCCAAUUCCUUGUAUUAUCUCUAUGAAGAUGGUUGGACUCAAAAUAAAAGGUUCCCACUUUAGUUAACCAAACAAGAAAUAAUAUACAUAUAUGCCGAAGAGAAGUUUGAUUGAAUGACAAGGUUGAAGCUUUGAAAACUUUACAACAUAUGUAAAUGUAUGCGUGGUCAUCUAGAUUUAUUGUUGAUUGGUUAGUUUGUUAAGUUAAAUUAGUAGUCAAUUCUCAUUCCAUUAUAUGAAAUAUUGUUGAUAGGUUAGUUUGUUAAAUAUAUAGUGCAUGCUUGUAGUAAGCUAGUAGAAAUAUUGGGAGCAGCAACAAAAAUAAAUUUUGUGAUGUUGGUGAAGAGAAAGAUAAAAGUGUGGGUGGGAAAGAAGUAGGGGCCGGGGGAGGAUAGUGCAGAAGAGAGGAGAAAAGGAAUGAUGGAAGGAAGAGGUUAAGAGGCUCCACAUUGUAAACAUUGUCCCACUCUUACCAUUCCUUCUACUCUCUUUUUCUUAUAAUGUAAAAGCUGAAGAGGUAAAAAACAAAUAAAUUUGCUUCAUAAUUUUUCUAUGUUUGUUUUGAAAGAAUGAGUAUUGAAUAUAGAUAAUAUAGAGAAAUUUGGUAGGGUUUAAAAAUAUAAUAUAAUUUAAAUAUCAAUUAUUCAAAAUAAUGGUAUUUUAGAUAGCAAAGGUAUUGAAAAUUUAAAGUGAUAAAUUACCUUUUUAUCAUUAUAAAUAAAUACCAUAAUUUCUUUUUAAAUAAAAUAAAUAAAUAUCAUUAUUUCUUCUUUCAACAAUCAUUCUAUUCUAAAAUAAAUAAAAAUAAAAAUGAAACCAGUAACCCCAAAUAAAGUAUUAAUGAUAGUUUUAAAUAAAAUAACUUGAAAAAAUUUUAAAAAGUAAGACUUGAUGAAACACUAAAUAUAAAUUCCUUAGUCAUUUAAAAAGUAAGCUUUGGAGGUCUUAAAAAAAGGGCAAAUUACCAAAAAAGCCCUUUUUUAAAAUUUACUGAAAUGGGCCCGAUAUUUUAUUAUUUAUCGGAAUGGGCCAUUUUCCCCGAAUUCGGGUCCACGUCAGCGCGAUGUCAAGGGACGUGUCAGAACAUCGCGUCCACAUCAGCACGCUUUACUUACGUGGACACAAAUCGUGCCUACGAGGACGCGAUUUGCUGACGUGGAUGAACAGUUUAUGUUUUUUAGCUUGGAAAACUUUGAAAGGCCAUAAUUUUUCGCUCGGUUGUCCGAUUGAGACGAUUUUUUUAUUUCGAAUAACUUUUCGAGAUCUACGCGCUGACAAACAGCCGAAGGUGGUUUGCCGCAUUUUUCGUCAAAAAAGAUCCUUUUUUGCCCCUAAAUUUUGAUUUUUUUGGUUUAAAAUUAAAUUUUGAAACAUUCAAAUCAUUAUUUUCCUUAUUUAUUUGAAGUAACACCGGAUUUUUUUAUAGAAUUGUUGUAGUAUUUUUUCUGAUUUGACACGUGUAUGGAAUAGGUUCGAUAAAUCGUUAGAACGUAAGUAAUAUAAUUAAGAUAAUAACAGUUUUUCUAUAAUAUGUCAAUUAAUUAGUUUAGUUUAGUUGGUUAAGAUGCUUGCUCUUUUCCCUUAGUACCUUGGUUCAAAUCUUGUUACCAAAAAAGAUUCAAAAUUGUUACCAAAAAAAUCCAGUAUUUACUAAAACAAAAUUAAUCGGGGAAUAAUGUAAAUAAAACAAAAUAAGGGCCAAUGUGCAAUGCGCGAAUGACAUGGAGGGUUAAUUUGGAAAUAUUCCCAACCCUCCAGAACGCUGUGUUGCAACAUGGACUAAAAUAAAACGAAAAACGAAUUAAAGGGCGAAAUUUAAAAAAAGAAAAGAACUUAUUUGAACACGCCACUAAAGAGAGAGGACCACUUGCGCAAAUUUACCCCUGGGACAAAACACGUGGAUCCUCCCCUCGGGUUGGGUCACACGGGUCACUGAUUGGUGUGGCAGUAUAUGACGUUGUUUUGGGGCUACUGAAGUAGGCCCUAAACGACGUCGUUUUUAUUACCUUAUAAAAUCCCCCAAAUUAAACCCUAAUCAGAAUUUUCGCCACGUUUACAGAAAAUAAAACCAAAAAAAAAAAAUAAAACCCUAGGUUUUUUUCUCUCUGCCGCUUUGGAAAUUCAGGCCGUUUUGAGGCUUCUCGAACCUCGCAAGGGCUCCGAUCGUGACGGAGUAGGCAGAGAUUCAACACUUCAGGUAAUUUCUAUUUUCUAAUUGAUUUUAUUUUACACACAACGAAUAAACAAUAAUAAUAAAAAGAAACAGAGAAAUUGAAAGAGAAAAGAAAAUCACCUUAAAAACUCACUGCUAUAAUUUUUUAUUGAUUUUUAAUCGAUUUUCGUAUCCCCCUUUACAAAUCCAUGUUUGGCUUUAUAUAGCCAAAAAGAAAAAUCAAAAUCCCUCUUUUUCUAUUUUUUUAUGUUUUUAUCUCCCCUUACAAUUUUCGCUGUAAAUCUGUUAUUUUCUUUGUUGUAAGUUCGUUUCUUCUUUUUGCUGCUUUGGUUUAUCGUUUGUUGCAGGGAGAAUGUGCAUAGUGUGAAGGCGACGUGCUGCGAUGUGCGGGAAGGCGUGCGAGGGAGCCUUGCUGAAUUACGGUGCUCCCUAGGGUUUCUGCCUCCUUUGUUGCUGAAAACAUGUUGUGGGCGUAUUGGGCUAGGGUUUUUUGUAAUUUGGGAUGUUUGGAUUUGUAAUUAGGGCUGGACGCUUAUAGUUUUAAUUUAUUUUAAUUUGGUGUUGGGCCUGGGCUUAAAAUUGGGUAUUACAGUAUUAAUUUUAAAAUAUUGAAUUAAUUAUCACUAUAGUUUAGGGUAUAUGGUUUAGAGUUUAAGGCUUAUGAGUUAUUAUUUUAAGGUUUAUGGAUUAUGGGUUUAAGGGUUAUGGUUUAUGGUUUAAAGGUUGGGAUUUAAAGUUUAGAGGAUAUGUGUUAAGGGUCUAGGAUUUUAUGGUUUAGGUUUAGGGUUUAGGUUUAAGGUUUAGAUUAACUAGUGUUUUCUAAUUUAUAUAUUAAUUAAUUUAUUAUAUAAUUGUAAAAGAGACAAUAUUAAUUUGGUUCUUCAAAAUCUUGUGAAGAUUUGGUUCUCCAAAAUCGUUUCAGUGUAUUUAAAACUGUUAAAGCUGCAUUAUUUUUGUUGAGGGAAUAAGAAAACAGAAAUACUAUUAUUGAGUUUUUAAAUAUUUUCAAAGAAUUUGAUAUUAAAUAGUUUCACAAUAUUUUAAUAAGUACAGGGUUAAUUUUCAUUUUUAUUCUGCUCUAGGGAUAUUGUUGUUAUUUAAAUUGUUGUUGUAUGAACUUAUCGGUUUGCAUCAUCUACACCAAUUUAAAUUUUGACUUUUUACUAGUAUAUUUUUUUUCUCUAAAUUGUUAAUGGUUGCUUUUAGUUUUUUUACUAGUAUUUUUUUCUCUUGCGUCAAUGCUAGUUGGUAGUUGUUACUUUGUAUUAAGAAGAAAGUAUUCUCACAUUGAAUUUGAAAAUGCAGUCGAGCCUUUUUUGACAAGAGGAUCUCACAGGAAGUCAAUGGUGAUGCCUUCGAUGAGGUAUGUUUCCAAGUUACCUUUAGCUUUUCGUUCACUGCCUCAAGUUUCUGCUGGUGCAUCUGGACUUCAUAACUGCAAUUUGCUCACCCCUUAAUUAUCCUUCAACAGGAGUUUAAGGGCUAUGUAUUCAAGAUCAUAGGAGGCUGUGAUAAAUAAGGUUUUCCAAUGAAGCAAGGAGUUCUCACUCCUGGAUGUGUUCGUCUUUUGCUUCACAGAGGUCUGUGGACUCUGAAAUAUUUUUCCUUGUUCUUAUUUGUGUAGAAAUGUUUUUUUUUUGUUAAUUAAAUGUCUUCUUUUCUAAUCUUUGAAUAGGUACUCCCUGCUUCCGUGGAUAUGGUAGAAGAAACGGAGAGCGUAGGAGGAAGUCAGUUCGUGGAUGCAUUGUUAGUCAGGAUCUUUUAGUUUUGAACUUGGUUAUUGUGAAAAAGGGUGAAAAUGAUCUUCCUGGACUGACUGACACUGAGAAACUAUUGGAAAUUGGCCAACCAUGUUGCUGUUACAUUUUGUGGUUGAAGUGCAUGCAGCUUGAUGACAUGCUGCAGCACAUAUGCUUGCUGUAACAGCAAGGUUUCUCUUUAGUUUCAUUCUAAUUAAUCUAGUUUAAAAUGGACAAGUUGAUGACAACUUGAUGCAUUAGGUGUUGAAUGACUAGUUUAGGUGGCUUGUUUAUGUGUACAAGCAAUGUUUUAAUAGUCCCAAUGCUGAUUAGUGGGGUUAGUUGACUAUUUGGUGAUGUAUUUGACUAUAAAUGUAUGUUUCUUCUAGUUGAAUGAAUGAGCUGAAUGAGCUAUCAGCCAUUAGCUCCCUUGCUGUACAUUUGUGAGCAAGUAAAAAUGCUUCUUGCACCUUGUUUCAUGUUCUGUGCUCUUGUUCUCUCUUUUGUUGCUGCCUCUUGCACCAACAAUUGGUAUCGAGAGCUCUUGUCUUAGUGGACCUGUUGCUUCAAAACAAAGAACUUGAUGGCUUCUUCAGGAUUUUCACCAGCAGCCCCACCAGUCUUCAAUGGAGAAGGCUUUCACAUAUGGCUGGUCAAGAUGAAGACUUACCUACAGGCCUUCGAUCUGUGGGAAGUUGUCAACACAGAUACUGAGCCAGCACCACUGAGGGCUAAUCCCACAGUAGCUCAGAUUAGGCAACAUGCUGAUGAGAGGACCAAAAGGCACAAAGCCAUGUCCUGCAUCCAGAACUGUGUGUCAGAUGUCAUCUUCACCAGAAUUAUGGCCUGUGAGACUCCAAAACAGGCCUGGGAUAAGCUCAAGGAGGAGUUUCAAGGCACUGAGAGAACAAGGCAACAGCAACUGCUAAACUUGAGAAGGGAUUUCGAGAAUUUGAAGAUGAAGGAAGAAGAAACAGUGAAGCAGUACUCAGAUAGAAUUAUGGCAGUGGUUAACAGCAUAAGGCUCCUAGGUGAGCACUUUGAUGAGGCAAGAAUUGUGGAGAAAGUCCUCUCCACUUUGCCUGAGAGAUAUGAGGCCAAGAUAUCCUCUCUAGAGGACUCAAGAGACCUUGCUAGCAUCUCUUUGACUGAGCUAAUCAACACCUUUUAUGCUCAGGAACAAAGAAGAGCUAGCAGAGCUGAAGAUCACCAAGAAGGUGCAUUUCAAGCCAAGGCCAGAGAAACCUCGAGCACAAAUGCUCAAAGAGGCAAAAGGCCUUGGAAAAACAGGCCUAAGCUUGAUGCUGCAAGGAGCAAUGACCAGCCCUGUAGAUAUUGCAAGAAACCUGGCCAUCCAGAAGACAGAUGCUGGUUUAGGCCAGAUGCAGUAUGCCAACACUGCAAGAAGAAGGGCCAUGUUGAAAGAGUCUGCAAAAACAGAAGUAAGCCAAGGCAGAAUCAAUUUCAGCAGUCAAAGGUUGAAGCUCGAGUAGCUGAGGACAGUAGUGACCAAGAAGAACAGGUCUUUGCUGUUUCCUGUGUAGCUUCUGAGAAGAAAUGGUCUAAAGGCUGGUUGCUGGACAGUGGUUGCACUAACCACAUGUCACCAGAUGCCUCCUUGUUUAAAACCUUGGACAAAAGUUAUAAAACCAAGGUCAAGGUUGGAAAUGGUCAGUUUAUAAGGGCUGAAGGAAGAGGAGAAGUGUUGAUAUGUACUCCCACAGGCAACAAGAUCAUUCCAAAUGUGCUGUUGGUACCACAGAUUGACAGAAACCUUCUCAGCAUAGCUCAACUGCUCGAGAAAGGUUAUUCUGUUGUGUUCAAGGAUAAACAAUGCCAUAUUACUGAUCCAAGUGGAUCAAGCCUUAUGACAGUCACAAUGACUGAUAAAUGCUUUGAGGUUCACUGGGCAAAUGACUCAAACUCAGCAUACACAGCCUCUGUUGAAGACUCCAAGCUUUGGCAUCAAAGGCUUGGACAUGCCAACUUCAGAUCAAUGGCUCGAUUGGCCAAAGAGGGCUUGGCAGAGAACUUCAUCAGCUCAGUGGAGCAUGAUGAUGUGUGUGAAGUUUGCCAAAUGGGGAAACAGGCAAGACUACCAUUUCCUACAAAUUCAACCUGGAGAGCUACUGAAAGACUGCAGCUGGUGCACUCUGAUGUAUGUGGCCCGAUGAGGACUGAAUCACUCAGCAAAAACAGGUAUUUCAUCCUCUUUAUUGAUGACCUUACAAGGUUUUGCUGGAUUUUCUUUUUAAAACACAAGUCUGAGGUAGCUCAAGUGUUUGUGAAGUUUAAAAAUGCUGUAGAAACAGAAACAGGUUGCAAGCUGAAAUCGAUAAGGACUGAUAAUGGCACUGAGUACACUUCAGCUCAGUUUCAAGCCAUUUGCAAUGAUGCUGGUAUCAAACAUCAGCUUACAAAUGUCUACACACCUCAGCAGAAUGGGGUAGCUGAAAGAAAGAAUAGAAGUCUGAUGGAUAUGGCCAGAUGUCUGCUGUUUGAGAAGAAACUGCCCAAGACCAUGUGGGCUGAGGCAGUAAACACUGCUGUUUACCUUCAGAACAGGCUUCCUACUAAAGCUCUUGCAUCCGAGACACCUUUCGAGGCUUGGUCUGGUUUCAAACCUUCCUUGGCACAUCUGAAGGUGUUUGGUUGCCUGUGUUAUGCACAAAUACCAGCAGCAAAGAGAGACAAGCUCUCUAAAAGGGCUCAACCAGGUGUUCUAGUAGGCUACAGCUCAGUCAAGAAGGGCUACAGGGUCCUGGAUCCCUUGAUAAACAAAGUCCAAGUGAGCAGAGAUGUCAUCUUUGAUGAAAAAGCCUGCUGGAAUUGGGAGAAAAAUGAGCCAGAAGCAGUUUCAGAAGACCUAGUGCCUAAUCAAGCUGAACUUGAGCAGCUAGAACCUGAAAUGGAUGUUGAUGAUGUGCCUGUGAGAGGCACAAGGCCCCUAGAUGAUAUUUAUGAAAGGGCACAGGUUGCAAUAGCAGAACCUAGCAGUUUUGAAGAGGCUGAGGCAGAUGAAGGCUGGAAACUAGCUAUGGUCAAUGAAAUCAACAUGAUUGAAAAGAACCAGACAUGGGAGCUUGUUGAUAAACCUGCUGGAAAGAAGACCAUAGGAGUAAAAUGGGUCUAUCGAGUAAAACAGAAUGCAGAUGACAGUCUGAACAGGCUAAAAGCCAGGCUUGUUGUGAAAGGAUUUAGCCAAAGGUAUGGUCUGGACUACCUGGAGACAUUUGCACCAGUAGCCAGGCUUGACACAGUUAGAAUGAUAGUUGCCUUGGCUGCUCAACAUCAGUGGACCAUUUAUCAGCUUGAUGUUAAGUCUGCAUUUCUCAAUGGCUUCCUGGAAGAAGAGAUCUACAUCGAGCAGCCUCAAGGAUUUGUGAUCACUGGCAAAGAACACAUGGUGUACAGACUGAAAAAGGCUUUAUAUGGCCUGAAACAGGCUCCUCGAGCCUGGUAUGCUCGAAUUGACUCUUACUUGCUCAGUUUGGAAUUUGAGAGAAGUCCCAGUGAACCAACACUGUAUGUGAAGAAGAACCAAGCUCAAACUCAGCUUAUUCUGUCACUCUAUGUUGAUGAUCUACUGAUAACUGGAGGAGAUGGAAGAAUGCUGGAAGAUUUCAAAAGAAAAAUGAUGGAAAUGUUUGAAAUGUCUGAUUUAGGCAGAAUGAACUACUUCCUUGGAAUGGAAGUGAAUCAAACAGAAAAGGGAAUCUUUCUUUGUCAGAGUUCUUUUACUAUGAAGAUCCUGGACAAGUUCUCUAUGAAGAACUGCAAGCCAACAAGCACACCAAUGGCUGUUGGAGUGAAGCUUUCGAGGCAAGGGAGUGGUGAACCAAUUUGUGAGACCAUGUACAAGAGUCUCAUUGGUAGACUGUUGUAUUUGACUGCCACAAGGCCCGAUAUCAUGUUUGCUGUUAGUAUGCUAUCAAGAUACAUGAAUUGCUGCAAUGAUUAGCACUUUCGAGCAGCUAAAAGAGUGCUGAGAUACAUCAAAGGCACCAUUGGUCAUGGUGUAUUGUUCAAAAGGGCUGAAAACAUGAAGCUAAUAGGCUAUGUUGAUAGUGACUGGGCUGGAUCAAGUGAUGACAUGAGAAGCACAUCCGGAUAUGCAUUCAGUCUUGGCUCAGGCAUGUUUUGCUGGAGUUCUAAGAAACAAAGUCUGGUGGCACAAUCAACAGCAGAAGCUGAAUAUGUUGCUGCUGCAUCUGCUGUGAACCAAGCCAUAUGGCUUAGAAAAAUCUUGACUGAUUUAAACCAAAACCAAAAGGAGGCAACAGAGAUUUAUUGUGACAACAAAUCUGCUGUUGCAAUUGCAAAAAAUCCCAUUUUUCAUGGCAGAACCAAGCACUUCAAUAUUAAGUUGCAUGUUAUAAGGGAGAUGGAACAAGCUCAUGAAAUCGAGCUGAUUCACUGCAACUCAGAAGUGCAAAUUGCUGAUAUCUUCACAAAGGCACUCAAUGUGUCUAAAUUUGUUAAAUUCAAAAGGGAAUUAGGUGUUACUAGCAUGGAAACUAAGGAGGAGUGUUAAGUUUAGUUCCCAUGUAAAGGUGGCCAUGCACGACAUGCAAAGGUGGUCAUGCUUCUGGAUUCGCAGCAAGCAGUGGUGCCAUGGUGUGCAGCAACUGAAGUUUGAAGCUGCCAAUCUAUUUGCUGUUUUUAGUUCCAUUUUGAUUGUUUUUGUAAUCUAGUUCAUGUUGAACUAAGUAGGUAAAUGUUUUGAUUUUGAUUGACUGAAAAGUCAGCAAUGCAAGUUGUACAAGCUAAUCUUGUAAGUUUCAAUGCAAAUUAGUGGAGUUAGGUAGUUGAUUAGGUGAUUACUUGUUUGAUUUACUAGUUGACUGAUAUAUGUAAUGGCUUAAUGCCUUGUUGACAAUGUUAAUGAAAGUUAUCAGCUCAUUUUCAUUCAAUCUUUUUCUCUCUUUCUAUGUUUUCACUUGCUAGCUUCAUCUUUCUGUUUUUCUGCUUCCGAGUUUGCUUCUUCACCAAGCCUCGAGGCUUACUACUCAAGCAAGACUUGAAACAGCUUGCUGCUGCCUCUUGCACCAACAAUUGGUAUCAUGAGCCUAUGUCUUACGGGACCAUUGAUUUUGCUUCCCCUACUUGUUGAAAAGAAAGAAGCUGUCAAAGCACAAGCAAGUCAUUAAGGACUGCUUGUAGAGAAGAUAAUAUCGGCUCAAACUUAUAAGAUCCCCAAACUAGCUUGAAUAAGCUGAAGGAGGAGUUUAAAGGAAAGGUGUGAGCUUUCCAAAUGUGCAAGCUUAGCAAGAUGUCAAAGCUGCAAGCUUAGCAAAGUGCGAGCCUGAUGAAGACACCUGUUGAAGACAAUAUGCAAAGAUGUGAGUCUGUCAAAGGUGUGAGCUCAGCAACAUGUGGAAGCUCAAUGCGUGUUGUAUAGUUGCAAGCCUCUUGAAGACAGUAAGCAAAGUGUGAGCCUGUCGAAUUGCAAGCCAAAAUGGCAGAAUGAAGGCAAGCAACUAUACUCACGAACUGUUUGUGCAAGAAGAAAAUGAAUUGGUCAGCUUGAAUCAAAGCAUCUAAGAGCUGCCAAGUUCAAAAAACUUGAUGAAUGACUGGUAUUUGCAGCAUGGAGUCCAAGGAGGAGUAUUGGAAAUUGGCCAACCAUGCUGCUGUUACAUUUUGUGGUUGAAGUGCAUGCAGCUUGAUGACAUGCUGCAGCACAUAUGCUUGCUGUAACAACAAGGUUUCUCUUUAGUUUCAUUCUAAUUAAUCUAGUUUAAAAUGGACAAGUUGAUGACAACUUGAUGCAUUAGGUGUUGAAUGACUAGUUUAGGUGGCUUGUUUAUGUGUACAAGCAAUGUUUUAAUAGUCCCAAUGCUGAUUAGUGGGGUUAGUUGACUAUUUGGUGAUGUAUUUGACUAUAAAUGUAUGUUUCUUCUAGUUGAAUGAAUGAGCUGAAUGAGCUAUCAGCCAUUAGCUCCCUUGCUGCACAUUUGUGAGCAAGUAAAAAUGCUUCUUGCACCUUGCUUCAUGUUCUGUGCUCUUGUUCUCUCUUUUGUUGCUGCCUCUUGCACCAACAGAAACCAAGAAUAAGGGGUCCGAAGAGAGCAUCAAAAAUCAGGAAGUUGUUCAACCUGUCUAAGGAGGAUGGUGUUCGGAAGUAUGUUUAUUAAGCUGUGAGUUUAUUAAGCUGCUUUUAUGAUAAAAUUCAAUGCAUUUUCUGAGAGCCAUUUGUUCUUUCUUUGGUACAAAGUUUGCAACAAUUCUAAGCUACAAUUUUUGUUAAGCUUAUCAUGGAUUUCGUUAUUUGCAUUUCAUGGUAGCUCUUUUCUUCUUUGUUUGAUGCUUCACAUCUGUUUUGAACAUUUUCAGGAUGCAGUUGAUAACAGGAAUGCUGCAGUAAAUUCUAGGAAGCCAGAAGUUAAAAAUGAUGUAGAAAAAGAGAUGUCUGUGAAGCAUCUGACAAGGAAGAAAAGAGUCAUUUGUGAAUUGCAAAUUCAACAGGUUAACCCCAAACUUGUUGGCCAUUCAAAGAAGAAAUCCAAUCACUUUCGUGCUCGUAGCUGUAAAGCAGCAAUUGAGGGGUAUAGCCAGCUUUCUCUGCCAAAGAAGUUUGUACCCUUCAAUCUAAUAAUUGCUCAUUUAGUAACCAUGUGAUUUGUAUUUAUAUAUGCAAAGCUACAUGACUUGUUUUUAUCGAGUGAUAAGUUCAGUGGGACUAAUAAGCACCAGUUACUUUAAAUUUUCAUGAACCCAUGGUAUCAUAAUAAAGCGUACAUUCUGGAAAUGCUUAAAUGUGUACUAUUGAGUAUAUAUUCAGCGGCUUUGAUCACUGAACCUUAACAAAUUCAAUAUCUGAGACUUGUUAUGUAGCAUAGAAGAAUUGGAUGAUAGAAUUUGCGGUAGUCUAGUCUGGUCUGUUAUAAGAUCAAAAUCUGCAAUUAGAAUGAAACUCAAGGAAAAUUUUAUCAUAGAAUCUAACCUAUGAUUAAGAAGAAAAAUCAAGGUAAAAGCUUGUGGUUUUUUUGUCUUUCCGUUCCUUCUCUAUCCACUGUACGGGUUUCAGAAAAAGAGCUUCGCUCGCUCUUGCUAUUAAAGUCGGGUUAGUUUCAUCUUUGAUCUUCUAAUUUUCCUUCUUUGAUUCGUGUUUUUUUGUGUUAAAGUGCCUACAAUUUUGUUUGUUUUUGGAGAAAUCUGGGAUUAUUGUUGUAUUUUCUGAAACUGAUCUAUUAUUGAUGGAAGUCAACCCCUACAGUUGUUGGUGAUAAACACAUAAAUUUGAAUGUUGAUAAAUUAUUGAAUUAUUAAUUUCUGUUAAUUUAUUGCAUAUAAUCAUUGAAUUGUUUAUUUUUACUAAUUAAUUAUAUAUAAAUAAUUAGAUAGUUGAUUUUCGAGCAAUAUUCUUUGAUUGGCUCAUUUUUUGUAUGACAAUGUAAAGAGAUUAAUAAUUGUACUUUUUUUUUUAAAAAUGUCCCCUGACCAACUAUAAAAUUAAAGUUAAUCAAUUGAAAUAGAUGUAGAUCAUAAGCUAUUCAAGCUGCUGCAAUGAGUAGUAUGUUUAGUUUACUAGAGUUUCUUUGGACUUUGGUUUGAUUCAAUUAUCAAAUUUUUCGCUCAGCAUUUGAUUGGUCAGGACUCGAGUUUUCAAAGUUCCCCAAUCAUUUUCUUCCUUUUUUUUCAGAAUCAGAUUUGCUUUUUUGCUUGAAUCUUGACUUUAUAGUCAAUUUGGUGGGUCGGGUUUCUUGAAGCUUUAAGGUUGUAUGGUCGUGGCUAGCGCCAAAUAGAAGGUAAGUGCACAAUGAGUUGAACUGAUUUACUUAUCUUUGCCAUGUUCACUAUGGUUUGAACAAUUUAAGUUACUCUUAUUUUCAUGCAGAGCAUGUAGGCACUAAAUCUGCAGUUCAAAUUCGAAGCCAUGCUCAAAAGUUUUUCUCUAAGGCUCAUUGCUUUGAGUUCAUUACAAGAUUUCCUUGAUUAAGUAAAUGUAUUAUAUCUUUUAUUACCAAGAUUUACUUGAUUAAGAAAAUGCAUUGUAUGUUUUAUUACCUUGCAUAUGUAUUAUUUAUUUUAGUUUUGAUUCUAAAUUUUUAUUUUUACUUUAAUAUUUACGCUAACUUAGAGUUCUAACUUUUGAAUUUUAAUUGUGUUAUUAAUUUAUUAUUUUAAAUUCUAAAUUUAAAUUCAUUCUUUUUUAUAUUUAGUUUUAAAGUCAGAAUAUUUGUAGUAAAUUUAAUUUAAAUAAUAUUUUUUAUUUAUCCUUAAAACAUAAUAUAAUAUUUAUCAUAGAAAUAAAUAUUAUUUGAUAAAAAUGAUUUUUUUUAAAGAUAUGUUUUUAGCGGCGUUUGUGUGAAAAGCGUCGCUAAAGGUCUAUCCAUGUUCUUUAGCAGUGAUUGUGGUAAAGCACCACUAAAAGUCAUGAUCUAUAGUGGCACUUAUAAUAAAAACGUCGCUAAAGGUCAUGUUCUUUAGUGGCGUUUGUGGUAAAAUGCCGCUAAAGGUCAUGCUCUUUAGCGGCGUUUUUGUCAAAAGUCCCGCUAAAGGUCAUGUUCUUUAGCAGCAUUUUUUCAUAUAAACGCCACUAAAACUAGCGACGUUACAAGCACCGCUAAAAGUCUGUUUUGCUGUAGUGGUCUCGAUUCCUUCUUAAUGCUACAUCGGUUUGAAGAUCUACGUUAAUAGUCGAUCAACAAUAAUGAAUGUCACUAACCAAGCUAAGAGGGUUCGAUCAAGGGGUGAGAAAUAAUGAUGACAAGAUGAGACUUAGAUGGGGCAGCAAUGCAGAAAUUAUGAAGGCAACAAAAACUUCAAUGUGCAACAACAGGAGAAGGAGAAAUGGACAUCAAUGGAAAAUCAAAAAUGGCAGAAACUUCUAAACAAAAUAUUGAUAUUAAAAAGGCAAUGAUUCAGCCAAAUAAAUUGGAGAAGUGAUAGGCAAAGGGGCAGCACAAAUAGAAAAUAAAACUUGUGUUUUAGGUUGCAAUAAUGGUGGGUUAUGAGAGAAAAUUGAAGAAUAAUGGAGAGGAAAAAUGAAGGGGACGACAAUAGCUUGAGAAAAAUAAAUAAAAUAGGCUAAACAUAAAAUAAAAUGCAAUUUAUACCUAGGUUAAAAAGGGCUUGGAAGGCAACAAGAUUUUAAGGAGCAGAAACGUUGAAAAAAUAAAAAUUUACAAGGGAAAGGAAUCAAACUCAAGUCUUAAGGUCAAUUUCACUAACUCUUUACCACUAGGCCAAUUAAUCAUUCUAGGCCAAUUAAUCAUUCUUUUCAUAAACGCUCAAACAAAACCUUAAAAAUUAGGGCAAGACAACUCUCAGUUCACUAAAUCGAUUUCUUCUGACACAAUUUUUGGGACAUGACAAAACUAUUAGUAAGUUUAUGUUUAGUUUUAGUUACUUAACUUCAAAAGGUUACAAAAUGGUCAAUAAACUAUUCAAAAGUUUUCAUUUAAGUCAUUGGUUUGUUAAGGUUUUUUUUUAAGUUUGACUAAUGAGCUCCAAGCGAUGAUUCGACAAUUGAUGUAGUGAAUCUAUACCCAUUAAUGAGUGGAACAUAUCUUAGAUCCAAGUUAACAUUCCAUUUAGUGUAGGAGAUUGGAGAAAAAAAGUUGUUCGAAUUUUGGUUCACAGAUUUGUGACGUUCAAAACUGUUUCAUGAAUAUAAAUUAUGUUGUAAAAGAGAAUGGAUAUGUGAGCUUUCAGUUGAUACAAACGGUGCAAACAAAGGUCAUAUAGUAACAAUUUUAAAAGUCUGAUGACUUAAAUGAAAAUUUUUGUAUAGUUCAGUGAUCAUUUUAUAAUUUUAAUAAGCAUACUUACAUUUGUCUUUAGAAUUUGCAAAACAAAUAGAAAAUUCACUUUAAAUGUAUAAAAAUGAAUAAAGAAAACUCACCUUCAUUUCUGAUAGCAAAUAAUAAAUAUGAAAAAAAAAACUCUACCACUUUAAUAUUAACUCUACCACUUUUCCCUUAGAUAUGCAAUUGCAAUGGGUGAUUUUGGGAAACUAAACCAAAGGCCUAUCUUAAGGCUUGCUAAACUUCAUCAGAUACUAUAAAUCAACUGUACAAGGAAAGAUUUCUUAUGUGGAAUUAAUUAAUCAUCUAUAAGAAUUAACUCAACAUCUGUAGAAAAGAAAAUUAAAAUAUCUAAAUUUUUUUUCCCAAGAAACAAAUAGAAAAAAAUAAAUGGAAUAUAAGGGUUUUAAAGUUGAGGAAGGGAAAGAGUGGUGAAAAAAAUUGUUUACUGUUAGUGUCAAACAACAAAAAGAAAAUUGGGUUGAAGGAAGAAGAAGAAAAAGAAAGAAGGAAAAGAUAAGGAACAUCAAAAAAAUGUCGUAAAUUUAAAUGGGUUAAACUUAGGGAUCGGUUUAGUUGAUGGAAAAAAAAAAGUUCGAGACAAAAAAACAUAAAUAUCAAUUUGAGAGAAGUGGAUAAGUUCAGAUACUAAUUUAAUAUUUAAUUGUUAUAAAUAUUAUAGAUUAAGUUACUGGACCAGCAGUGGGCCUGACUUGCGAUUGGUAUGGAGGUGACCCACUUUGUUUGUCGAAAACCUACAUUUUCAGCUAUAGCAAGUCUCAACGGCACAACCAAGUCCAAACGUAUUAAAAUUAAAAUUUAAUAAUUUAAUAAUAUUUUUUCUCCCAAUAAAAUAAUAAAAUAAUAAAUACAUGUAUUAUCAUUCAAAAUGGAAGUAGGUAAUUGGAAAAAAAUAAGAGUGGGAACAUAUUUAUGAGAAAUGGGCAACCGCGUUUUGGGUUGGGUCCUAGACUUUUUCUUAAUUUGUUUGAACACUCCUAACAGGUAACAGCUCUUGAGGGGCCAAGCCAAUAGGCAUCGUGUUUGACCCAAUUCAAUUUCUGGCUUACAAAACUCAACCAAUUUUACUGAUUUAUGUAAAUUUACAAUCACUCAACUAAAUGAAGUUUUUUGGUUUAAUCAAUUUUUUAUAUGAUGAUCCAAGGCAUCGAAUUAGAGCCUUUGGUAAAAGUAAAGAAAAUUUCAAAGUAAAAAAUAAUUUUCAAGAAAUGGGGCCUUAAGAUGUGGACUGCAAAGCUGCGUAGGGGAUGGGAUAAUAAGGCAAAUUAGAGAGCAAAAGUUGGAAGCCCCUCAUUUUGGGCAUAUGUUUCAGCACUUAUCCAUUUUCAGACAAGGAAAUUAUUUAAUAAAGAAAAAGAAAAAUGCCCACCUUUGAGUUAUGAAAGACUGGGGUAGAUGGAAGUAAUUAUGAAAGAUUGGCUGGAAGGACGCGGAUUGGCAAGGACCACUUCACCCAUAUCUUCAUACUUGCUUGGUUAAUCAAUGGUUAAUAAUUAUUCCACCAUUUUAUUUUCGAGAUAUCUCAAUUAACUUUGUUAAAAGAAUAUCUACUUUGCUUGGUCGUUACAUUUCUUUAAGCGCGUUCUAUCUUCGUCCUUAAUAGCUCUUAUUUAUUCACAGUUUAAACCCCAGAUUCUGGUUCGAUUUUAGUAUCAUCCUUAGUCCAUUUAAUUUAUUUUUUUAUUAUUAUUUAUUUUAAAAACUCUUUUAUUAUUAUUUGUUUUAAGUUUUUUUAUUUAUCAUUUAUUGUAAACUGUUUUACAUGCUAUUUAUUUAAUUCUUUUAAUAUGUUAUUCAUUUUAAACCAUUAUAUUUAUAUAAUCUUUUAAAUUCCUAUAUAUGUAUUUUUUUUUAAAAAAAUGUUGUAUGUCUUUUAUUUAUUUGUUUUAAACUAUUAUUAUUCACUUUAAGUUUUUAUAUAAUGUUUAUUUGAAGCCUUUUAUUAUUUAUUUUUGAAUUGUUCUUGUAAAUUAUUUAUUUUAAAUUAUUAUUUGCUUUAAACUGUUUUGCAUAAUAUUUUGUUUUGUUUUCUUCGAUUGUUAAUGUUAGUAUUAAAAAUGAUAUACAUUGUGCGAUUAUUGCCGUCAUGUGUACUAUAAUUAGCUUCUUGGUGUUUUCAUAUUAUUGUCUUUCAUCAAUGUAACAUUUUAUUCAUAAAUCGUUAUUUCAUGUUAUACAUUAUCAUUCCAUUUCAUUUCAUCACUUCGAAAGUUGCAUUCAAUUUUUAUAUACCCAUAAUAAACCGUUCUAUUUUAUCACAAAUAAAACAAAUGCACCUCGUUCUAGUAUUGUACUCGCUAUGAUUCAAAAAAAGGGAAAAGUUUUUUAAUAAGGCAAUAUUUCACGCUUUGGAGAUUCAAGAAAUUGUACCCUAACUUACGGGGUUUCAAUUUUCUCGUUAAAUCUAAAUAGCAAAAUAUCUUUUUAAAUUUCAAGAUAUACGAGAUUUCAAUAAAAAUUAAAGGCAAGCUUUCUCUAAGGUUCCAAAUAUCGUGUCCUAACUUACGGGACAUGACAUUUCGUUACCUCGAGACAAGUGGGUCUUUAACUCUCUUUGCGAUUUAUUCAAGCGUUUUUUUAUUAACAUUAAUAAAAAAGGGAUCAUAUUUUAAAAUAUUUUUAAAAUUUUAACUUUCGACAUUAAGACAUUAAUUAAUCAACUAGGUACCAAUUUUGGGCAUAUCGAGGGUGCUAAUCAUUUCUCGUGCGUAACCGACUCCCGAACCCAUUUUCUGGAUUUUGUAGACUAAAAAUUACCGUUUUAGUAAAUUUAAACUUUUAUUAAAAUUAUUAAAUUAUAAGGUGAUCCGAUCACACCUAAAUAAAAAGGAUUGGUGGCGACUCCAUUUUUAUUUUUAAAUAAAAAGGUUACCCUUUUUUCAAAAAAAUGGUUUCGACUACCCUUAUGUCCGUUUUCGGAUCACAAGAAUUCUAUAAAUUAAAAAAAUAAUCUUACAUGAAGAUGAUAGUCCAUGGUCUAUUUCCUAAGAACCACAACAUUGACAAAGCAAACAAUUAGAUAACAAAUACAUAAUAUUGCAUUCAUUCCCAUAUAUACCACAAAAAUAUGUAUAAGAUCUAAAGAAUGUUACUUUCUAUGUAAUCAAAUCAUUCAAGAAGUGAAUUUUAUUUUGAUUAUCUGUUUAUACUUAUUGAUAGAGCAAAACUUGGUUAUGAUACUAAUUGUUCAAAAAUGAGUUUUUGAAAAUGCAGCAAAAAUCAAUAUAGGGAAAAGCCUAAGUUUAAAAAAAUUAUAAAAUAAGAAUUUAGUUAUAAUAUCUAGAGUAAUAAACACUUAAUAAAAAUUGUACCUUUUUGAUUCGUCUAUGAUGAAUGUUUCAUUGAGUAGUCUUUUCUAUUAUCCUCAAGCUCACGUUUGCCGAGUCACAAUAACAUUAAACAAGUGCAACAACUAAACCAAUGUUGAUAGCACUUAAAGGCAAUGGCUGAAGCAAACAACAAUUGAAAAAAAAAUGAAAGAAUCGAUGUUGCAAAUUUUUAAGAUUAGCACAAUGGCCACAAGGUAAUUGACGGCUAUAAUAAAGGGCUGAUCGACAAGUGCACAGCAGGCUAAAACAACAAGAAAUUGAAGCUAAUCAGCACCCAAAUAGCAGGUAGCACAUUUAGAUGGCAAACAGUACGAGGUUAAGCAACAAAAUUGAAGCAAAUUAAAUAGCAAGUCAGUAACAAAAGGAACCAGUAGCAGCUAAUUGGAAGUUGAUCGAUAAGUAUUUGGUAAAACAAUGUUAUUCGGCCAACAUGCAAAAUAGUACACAUGCAUACACCACUCACAAUUGAUUUGAAUCCCACACCUCAAUUACAAUCCAUAGAACAUUAACAAUUGACCUGAGCACCACUACAACUCGGAUUCGUCUGGAUUCCUUUUUAACGCUACACCGGUUUGAAGAUCUGCGUUAAUAGUCGAUCAACAUCAAUGAAUGUUCACUAACCAAGCUAAGAGGGUUCGGUCAAGGAGUGAGAAAUAAUGAUGACAAGAUGAGACUUAGAUGGGGCAGCAAUGCAAAAAUUAUGAGGGCAACAAAAACUUCAAUGUGUGACAACAGGAGAAGGAGAAAUGGACAUCAAUGGAGAAUAAAAAAUGACAGAAAAUUCUAAACAAAAUAUUGAUAUUAAAAAGGCAAGGAUUCAGCCAAAUAAAUUGGAGAAGUGAUAGGCAAAAGGGCAGCACAAACAGAAAAUAAAACUUGUGUUUUAGGUUGCAAUAAUGGUGGAUUAUGAGAGAAAAUUGGAGAAUAAUGAGAGGAAAAAUGAAGGGGAUGACAAUAGCUUGAGAAAAAUAAAUAAAAUAGGCUAAACAUAAAAUAAAAUGCAAUUUAUACCUAGGUUAAAAAGGGCUUGGAAGGCAACAAUAUUUUAGGGAGCAUAAACAUUGAAAAAAUAAAAAUUAGCAAGGGAAGGGAAUCAAACUCAAGUCUUAAGGUCAAUUUCACUAACUCUUUACCAGUAUGCCAAUUACUCAUUCUUUUCAUAAAUGCUCAAACAAAACCUUAAAAAUUAGGGCAAGACAACUCUCAGUUCACUAACCCGAUUUCUUCCGACUCAAUUCCUUCUGACCCAAUUUUUGGGACAUGACAAAACUAUUAGUAAGUUUAUGUUUCGUUUUAGUCACUUAACUUCAAAAUGUUACAAAAUGGUCAAUAAACUAUUUAAUUCAUUUAAGUCAUUGGUUUGUUAAAUUUUUUUUUAAGUUUGACUAAUGAGCUCUAAGCGAUGAUUUGACGAUUGAUGUAGUGAAUCUAUACCCAUUGACGAGUGAAACAUAUCUUAGAUCCAAGUUAACCUGCCAUUUAGUGUAGGAGAUUGGAGAAAAAAGUUGUUUGAAUUUUGGUUCACAGAUUUGUGACGUUCAAAACUGUUUCAUGAAUAUAAAUUAUGUUGUAAAAGAGAAGAGAAAUGUGAGCUUUCAAUUGAUACAAACGGUGCAAACAAAGGUCAUAUAGUAACAAUUUUAAAAGCCUGAUGACUUAAAUGAAAAUUUUUGUAUAAUUCAAUAAUCAUUUUAUAAUUUUUUGAAAUUAACUAAAAUGUAAACUUAUUAAUAACUCAAUAACCUUAAUUGCCAUUUACCCGUAAACUAUUGAGACCAUUCUAAAAAGUGAUGCAUUAAUUAUAUCUUUUAUCUUUUAUAUAUUGUUUCGAUUAAUACCUAAAUUAUUUGUACGAAAAAAAAAUCAAAAUGAAAUGCAACAUGUUCUGAACUUUUAUUAAAGCUCAUCUUUUUGUUGAAGAUACCCCAAUCCAUGAUUUCAACAUUGGAAUUUUUGAAAGUCCCAAGUAAUAGUAUGAAUUAUGAAAUUUCAAAAAAGCAUAUUCUUAUUUAUUGUUAAUUUCAAGCUAAUUUUAAUAGCUAUACUUACAUUUGUCUUUAGAAAAUAGAAAAUUCACUUUAAAUGUAUAAAAAUGAAUAAAGAAAACUCAUCUUCAUUUCUGACAGAAAAUAAGAAAUAUGAAAAAAAAAACUAAAAAAGAAAGACAUAUUUUCUUGAAAGACGCUUCAAAUGAAACAAAUAUGAAAAACAUAGUUGUAGGAGUGUUCAAUUACUUUAUUGAUCGUUAACCAAAUCAAAUUAGUAUUAACUAAAUCGAAAUUAUCAUGAAAAAGUGAAAAAGUCAUAAUUUAGGGGUGGUUGAUGCAAUUAACUCAUUUCUAAUGGUGCUAAUAAUUAAGUCUGCUAUAGGGAAAGCGAAGUUAAAAUAUGACCCAAAGACUCACCUUUUUCUAAGUCGUCUCCUAUCAAAAUUGCAAAAUAAAUGGAUAGCAGUAAACCAAAUACUUUGCUACUAAACCAAGAAAACCUUAAGAGUUCAUAUUUGUGAAGGUUUCUUAACAUUUUAGUGCAACCUUGAUUUUUAUUUUUAUUUAUUUCCUUUCCCUUAUAAAGAAGAAAAGACCUUCAACUUUUUUUCUUUUUUCUUCUUCAGUUUUGCUUACUUUCUUUUGCUCCCAAAAACCAAAAACAUAUCCCUUCAAAUCCCAUUUGAUCGUCUUGAAGUAGCAAGGAUCUUCUCAGCACCUAGUCUAGUUUGAUUUUGAAGUUCCCAAGUGAGGUCAAUGUAUUUAUGUAUCCUUAAUUUCUUUAUUUUUGAUUUUUUUAUAUAUAAAUUUGUUAUAUAUUUCUUCAUCUAAUAUUAUAUUUUUAUGUUUUGCUUGAACUAAAUCAGAGCAAAAUAGACUGUUUGGAUUUGCUCUUUUUUUUCACACUCAAAUUCUUGGAAUCAUUGCUUCAUUUUGAAGGGGUAAGUGGGUAUGUUUAUUAUGUUUUCCAUCAUUAUAUGCAUAAUAUUAAAUGGAUGGGGCCAUUACCAACAUCAAUAAUUUAGAUCCCGAUUUUGUAUAAAAUUAUUAAAAAAAACUCACAAUUAUUUAUAAAUAGAAAAAUGUAUAUAAAAAUUCUAGAAAAAUAAAAUCUUGAAUAUGUUGUUUCAUAACUAAAUUGUAUGAAAAAUAAAGAAAAUCAUCAUACAAUAACAUCCGAUAACAAAUUAAAAUAAAAACAAAACGAUUAUUAUAUGUUUCCUGAAUAUUUCUCGAAACCAAAUUAGUAGUAUUAUCAAGUUGAGUUUCAUGCCCUUGAAGAACAUCUAGAACUGAUAUUACAAAAACUUAUGAAAUUGACCUUGAUGCCAUAUUUUUAGUCAAAAUAAUACAAAAUAUACCAUAAAUUUUCUUUUCCAAACUCAAUUCGAAAUUUCAUUACAUUAGAAAUUAUAUUCAGAAUUUUAUCUUUUCUUAUAAAGUAAAAGCUAUGUCAAGUAACUGAAGAUGUAAAAAACAAAUGAAUUUGCUUAAUAUUUUUUCUAUGUUUGUUUUUAAAGAAUGAGUAUUGAAGUAAUAGAUAAUAUAGAGAAAUUUUCUUCCUUUUUUUCUGUGUCAGGACUCGGGUCUUUAAAGUUCCUCAAUCAUUUUCUUCUUUCUUUUCAGAAUCAGAUUUGCUUUUUUUGCUUGAAUCUUGACUUUAUAGUCAAUUUGGUGGGUAAGGUUUCUUGAAGCUUUAAGGUUGUAUGGUCGUGGCUAGCGCCAAAUAAAAGGUAAGUGCACAAUAAGUUUUUAUAAUUUUCUUUUUCAAACUCAAUUCAAAAUUCCAUUACAUUUUAUUUUUUUUUCAAAACCCAAAUUGUAAAAUGAAAAUAUAUUCAGAAUUUUAUCUUUUCUUAUAAUGUAAAAGCUUUGUCAAGUAAUUGAUGAGGUAAAAAAGCAUAGAGCAAAUAAAUUUGCUUCAUAGUUUUUUCUAUCUGUUUGUUUUAAAAUAAUGAGUGUUGAAUAUUUCAAUAUAGAUAAUAUAGAGAAAUUUUGCAGGGUUUAAAAAUAAUUAUCCCUAAUUUUCUCACUUUAUUUAUUUUUAAAAUUUUUAUUUUACUUUUAUUUAUUUUUUAAUUUUAUAAUGUUCCAAAAUUUUAAAAAUAAUUUCAACUUUUUAUCAUUUUAUAUAUUAUCAAAAUGAAAAUUCACCGAAAGUAUAAAAAUUUAGGACUAAAAUUUUUAUUAAAUCAUUUAAAAAGUUCCACUUAACAGUUGAGUGACAAAAAAAAAAUAAUUUCAACAGCAUUAGUGGUGAAAUUGUAACUUUUUUAAUUGAGUGAUUAAAAAAAUAUUAGCAAUAGUUUAGUGACUAAUAAUGUAACUUUUUUUUUGGUACAAUGAUAAUUCGAAAUUUGGCUAUUCCUAAAAAGGGUGAACAUCCGAUCAUAUUUAUUCACAUAUUACAAACAUCCAUAUGUAAGCAAUUCUCCCAAAUUGAAAUCAAAUUUUAAUAUCAACAACUUCAACAACUCAUAAAUAGGAAGAUAAUAUGUUUCGGUACACUUGAAACAAUAUCCUUCUACAUUGACAACAAUUACUAUGACAAUGAAGCUAAGACUCAAUUCACAAUACCUAUAUAUUUUUGUUAUACCUAAUACAAGUCAUUUACCAGUAUAUUAGACAUUCUUAUACCCUACUUUCCUAUACUUUCCCAUUAUUAUCUUGAUGAUGAUGAUGAUGGUCUUACAAUUCAGCACUAAGAUCACUGUAAUACUUGUUUUAAUUAGUAUAAUAAUAAUUUUAGUCUUUUUUUAUAUUUUCUAUCAAUUUGACUCUGAUUUUGUAUAAAAUUAUUUAAAAAAAACUCAAAAUUUUAAAAAUAGAAAAAUGUUUAUAAAAUUUCUAGAAAAAUAAAAUCCUGAAUAUGUUGUUGAAUAACUAAAUUGUACGAGAAAUAAAGCAAAUCACCAUUCAAUAAAAUCUGAUAACAAAUUGAAAACAGAACAAAACCAAAAAAAGCUUCAUCAAUGUUUCUUGAAACCAAAUUAGUAAUAUUAUCAAGUUGAGUUUCAUCCCCUUGAAGAACAACUAGAACUCAUAUUACCAAGGCUUAUGAAAUUGACGCUAAUGCUAUUUUUUAGUCAAGAUAUAUAACAAAAUUUCCUUUUUCAAACUUAAUUCAAUUUUUCAUUACAUUUAAAUUAUUUUUCAAAACUCAAAUUAUAAAAAUAAAUUAUAUUUAGAAAAAAAAUUUAUAACAUAAAAGCUAUGUCAAGGAACAGAGAACAAAUAAUUUUACUUAAUGUUUUUUCUACGUUUUUUACUAAAGAAUGUGUAUUGGAUACUUCGAUACAAAUAACAUAGAGAAAUUUUGUAGGGCCCAAAAAUAAUUAUCUCUCAUUUUCUCACUUUAUUUAUUUUUGAAAUUUUUAUCUAAUUUUAUUUAAUUUUUUAUUUUAUAAUGUUCUAAAAUUUUAAAAAUAAUUUUAAUUUUUUUACAUUUUAUAUAUUUUCAAGAUCAGAUUGACUGAAAGUAUAAAAUUUGAGGAUUAAAAUUGUUAUUAUAUCGAUUAAAAAAGUAUCACUUAACAUUUGAGUGACAAAAAAAAAACAAUUUCAAAAGCAUUAGUGAUGAAAUUGUAACUUUUUUAAUUAAGUGACCAAAACAAAAAUACCCAUAGUUUAGUGACUAAUAGUGUAGUCUUUUUUUGGUAAAAUGAAAAUUUGACCCUGAUUUUGUAUAAAAAAAACUCAAAAUUAUUUAUAAAAUAGAAAAAUGUAUAUUAUUCAACAUAGUGAUUUUUUACCCAAAUCAUAUAAAAAAUAAUUAAUUAUGAAAAUGGUAUGGAAAAUAAAUUAAUUACAAAAAUAAGGCAUUUGGUACAAUGUUUUGCUGGUGUUGCCUGACAUAUUGGUAGCACUAAAUUAAAAUGUGAUGACCUAAAAAUAUUCAAGGACUUAAUGUAACGCCCAAAAUUUUAAUUUUGGGUAUUGUGAUUGUGUAACAUAAAUAUCUAUCAACUUUAGUGGUUAUGUGUUCUGAAAGUCUUUGAGAGGUCCUAAGUUUAAGUCAAGAUUUGGGCAAAUUUUAAUAUGUAAAUUUCAAAAAUAUUCAAAGACUUGAUAUGUAAAUCUCUCAUUUUGAUUGGCUGUUGAAAAUAAACUCUAAAGAUGUUGUGUGACAGUGUGGUGGCACAAAAUCUUAAAUAGGCUCUAAAGAUUGUUUAUUAUUAUUUUUUAUCCCCUUCAACACCAAAAUUACAAAGGUUUCCUACCUAUUAAUCAAGUUCAAAUUAUGUAUAGCAUAACCGUUAACAUUGUUGAUAGUAAUUUUCUUUGGCUCAUAUAUAUAUAUAUAAUAAAAUUUUUCUAAAAUUUUUAUAAUUAUAAUUUAUACAAUACCGUAAAUUAAAUUGAUAAUAAGAAUAAUUAUAAUGCUAUCUGUAAUGGCAGACAGCAAAGAAAAAGGCUAAAAGAAACAGUAAUAAAAAUAGGAUUCCUUACUAAUAAUUCUGCCUCUGUGGAUCCUACCAGAGACUUCAUAAUUUCCCUGUUUUUAUCUUCACUUUCUUCUUACUUCUUCUUCACUGCUUUUAAUUUGUUUCGAUGUCCAAGGUCUAUCACCAAUUUUCAAGCAUCCAGUCAACGUAAUUUUCUUUCAUUUGCUUAAUUCAUCACAUGCUUUUCUUUGCUUUUGAUUAUCUGCUACUGUUAUGGCAGCUAGCUUUGUAAGAUUGUCAAGGAACUCAACUUCACUGCUUCCUUCUCAGUUCUAAUCUCUCAACACUUUUCAGCCACUAAGUCAGGUAAUAUGAUCUGAAGCAAUGAUUUCCUCUACUAAUUAUCAACAGUUUUAGAUUUUAAGAGUGGAUGACCAGCAGACAUAAUCUACUAUAGAUAGAAAUUAAUACAAAAACAGCUACCCAGAAGCAAUAUAAUGUUGAAAUCUCAAACUGUCAACAUUUUAACUCUUAAUAUUCUGUAAUGAACUCUUGCACACUUGAAUCUAGCAUUUUAUAUACAUCGAGAGCUUGAUUCUGGUGACCAGAACUUCAUCAUGUUUCUGUCUGCCACCCAUCCAUAGCUCCAUCUAAUAGACGCCAUUGCUUGAAACUUGCAUUCAUGUUUUCCUUUUCAUGCUUACACUGACAUAUCAAUACUUCAUAAAAUAUCCAAUUCAUUCACAGAUUUUCAUUCUCUGCUACUGUUAUAUAUGAUUGCAUUGCAGGGACAUAGCAAUGGAGUACGUAGAGCCUGUUGUCAGCAUUGCAAAUUGUCUCGGAAUUCCUGUUUGUGAAUAUUUACAAUAUCACAGAAAGCUGAACGAUUAUGUGAGAAAAUUCAAGACGAUCAGAGAUGAAUUGAAUUGCAAAAUGUUAGAUAUAGAGCUGCAAUUGAAUGCAGAGCUUCUUCGUCCUCUGGGGAAGAUACCGAAGAAGGGAGUUGAAAAUUGGUUGAAAGCUGUGAAAGAGAUGAUUAGGGAAGCACAAGUUGUUGAAAACAAAGUCAGUAACGGGAGAUAUUUCUGUCGUGCUUGCAACGGGAAGCUUGUUGAUGAAAAGACUCGAGAAAUGAAGGAAUUUCUUGAUAACGCUCCUAAUGCCUCUGAAGGUCUUGCCAUGGAUGGCCCAAGUGCUAGGUUGCUACUGCCAACAUCAGAACUAGUUGGAGAAGAUAUUGGUGUAAGACGCAGUAGCAAGCUGCUUUGCACUUGCUUGGACAACAAGUGUCGAGCCUUGCUGAAGAAACUAUCGAAGAAGAAGAAGAAGAAAGUUUUGCAAUGGAAAAACAGAAAAGAAAGAGAUCAUUUUGAAUGAAAAUGAGCUGAAUUUUUUCAUUAACAUUACAAAAGGCAUAAAAGCCAUUACAUAUAGGAGUUAACAAUCUUAAAACAAACAAGUUACUACCUAAACUCAUACCUAACACCACUAGUUUACCUGGUAACUUGAUAAACUUGCUUGAGUAUCAUAACAAGCUACCUAAACUUGUUUUAUUUUAUAAAUUUUUAUUAGUUACUGAUUGAUUGAAAUAUUGUGUGAAAAUAUGGAUAAAAAAAUUUUAAUGCUUUAGUGCUUAAUUGAAUUUUUAGGACUAAAUUGAGAAAAAUGCAAAGUGUGUCUAAUUAGUGAUUAAAUGACUUAAUUGAAUUAUUGCAUGAAAUUGGAAGUUUUUAUGUGGCAAUUAGACCAUGAAUUAGUGUUAUGGACACAAAAGGGUAUUUCUAGAAAAAUAUCUAAGUAAUGGGUCAAGGGCAUUUUUGUCCAAAUUGAAUAAAAGACAAAAUAAAGAUGAAAACAAGUGUUCAUCUUCUUAAAAUCAGACGUUUGCUGCCAAAAAAAUUCAUGUCACCAUAGCUAGGGUUCUUGAACUUUCUAAGCUCAAUUGUAAGUGAUUUCUUGCCCCGUUUUUAAUUAUUUUCGUAUUUUUAUGCUUAUUGAAGCUUGAAUUUCAUGUUUCUACCAUUUAAUUUAAAUGAAAUUAAAGUUUAAAAAUUGAUCCAUUCAUGAUAUAAUUGUAAAUUGAUUAGUGAUGUUAGAUAAUGAAUGUUUGAAGUGUUAAUUACAAGUUUUACUAGAUGAAUUUUGAUGAAAAUGUUGAAAAAGGGCUAAAUUGUGAAAGAUGGUAAAGUAUGCAUAAAGUUGUGAUUUUGUGAAAUUGAGGGCUGUUAUGAGCAUGAAAUAUGAUUUAGUGAAGUUUGAAAUUUAAAAAUUUAGUGAAUUUUAUUUUUACGAGCUUAGGGACAAAAGUGGAAUUUUUGAAAAGUUUCGGGGAAAAAUGUAAAUUUGCCAAAAUGUUGUGUAUGAAUUGUAUUUGAAUGAAAUGUUGAUAAAAUGUAUUAAAUUGUGUUAAUAUAGAUCAAGAAAGAAGAAAUAGUGGAAAUGAUCGGGGAAAAGAGAAAGUUAUCGACUAAAUUACAAAAAUAGUCGUUUUGCAUCCGAGGUAAGUUACGUGUAAAUAAUAGUUAUAUUUUUAUAAAUUAUGAAUUAUAUUUGAUAUGUGAAUUAAUAUUCAACGUGGAACGAAAAUUAUUCAUGAAUUAUUCAAGUGUUAAAGUGUUAAAAAUAAAGUGUUAAGUGUAAAUUCCCGGUUGAACUUAGGAAUAGAAGUGGAUACAAGUGACAUGUCACUAGAGAUCAGUGUUACAGUGUUACAGUGAGUCCCGGGUGCUGGGUGAUCUAGCAUGUGUUGCAGACACCUGACAGCUUGUGUGAGCAGGCCCGUGGACAUUUCCAGUGUUAUUGAUCAGUGGUAGCUUCGGCUACGUUUCAGUGGUAGCUUCGGCUACAUAACAGUGGUAGCUUCGGCUACAUAUCAGUGUUGCACUUAUGUGCUAAAUCUCUACGUAUCUGUGUAUAUUCCGAGUGUUCAACGGGAUUAAUAAUGAGUUAAAGUGAAUAUGAAAUGAAGUGUGUAUGCAGGUACAUUUGAAAAGAAUGAGCAUAAGUGAUAAAGGUUAAGUGUGAAAAUGUAUAUGCAAGUGAAUUUGGUAAGAUUGUGCAUGUGUAAGUGAUUGAAAUUGCUAAGAAAUGUUUUGAUUAGUUAUAUGUUAAAAGUGUUAAUUAUUAAAUGAGUAAUUAUUGUUUACAUGUAACUUACUAAGCUAUUAGUAGCUUACACCUUCCUUCUUUUCCUUUGUUUUAUAGUGAUUUGAACUUGAUCGAAUUGGGGAUCGUCGGAGCUCGUAUCACACUAUCAUAAUCAUCUCGGUAUUGUGUGAUUUUCAAAAUAUUUAAAACUAUGGCAUGUAUAGAGUCUUAAUCAUUUUGAGUAUGUUCAUAUGAUAUGGCUAAGAUUAGCUAUUGAAAUGGUUAGUAAAGAUUAUGUUUUGGUAUUAUGUAUGUGUAAAUGGUAACUAAUUCAAAGAAGCAGUUUCUUUGACAGCAGUAGUGACGUGAAUGUAAAAAUUCACCAUAAAUAGUAGAAAUGGAAUUAGAGAGUGAAUUAUAUAUGGAAUUAAAGCUUAUCAAGUCUAUUUUUAUAUGAAAGAAACGGUGUAGGCAAAGGAAUUCUGUAUUUUGAGAUAUUUUAAUUUUAGUGAGACAGGGUCAGAAUGGUUUUUGAAGUCCCCUGUUUUGACUUUAGAAAAUCACUAUAAAUUGUACAGAAAUAAUUAUAGGUCAUAAUUUAUAUGUGUAGAUUCCUUAGUGAGUCUAUUUUCAAAAUAAAUAAACAGUAACCUUAUAUGAAUUCUGUCCAAUGAUAUAAUUGAUUUCUAGUGCCAAGAGGUCAGACCUGUCGAGCAGUGAAACAGGGGAUACUUUAAUGAAUAAACUGUACUAAUUGGCUAAGUCAAAAAUUCUUAAAAUUUUAUGGUAAGUAUUAAUAUGAGUCUAGUUUCAUGGAAAAUUUACAGAUUUAAAUUUCGAGUCUCGUAACUCGAGUUAUAAUUAAAUUAGUGACAGUUGCGCAGGUAGACAGUUUUGCUGUGAGUAGUGAAUUUAAUUUUAAAAGCAAAUUUUUAUGCUCCGAAUUGGUAAGUUAAAUUGGAUGACAUCUCGUACUCGAUUCCGGCAACGGUCUCGGGUAAGGGGUGUUACAAGUUUGGCGUUGUGUACAAGGGUAAACUACAAAAAUAGUCACUUUUUGUUUACAUCAGGUUACAUUUUAGUCAUUUAUGUUUAAAAUAUUACAUUUUAGUCACUUAUGUUAUUAUUUUGUUACGAAGUGAUCACUCUUCCGUUAAGUUCUGUUAUCUCACUAACGAUAAUCUUACGUGGCAGUCCAACUAGAUUUUAAGUGCCAACUUAAAUUUUCUAAUGGAAUGAGAAUAAAUUUUUUAAUUAAAUAAAUUUAAUUAAUUAAAAAUUUUAAACUCUAAAUCUUAGUUAAAAAAAAUUCAUCUCCCCCUUUUUUUAGUUUUCUUUUUCAGUAUACCCUUCCUCGGAACUAUUGUGACUGUGUUCCUCCUCAUGCCCGGUUGUUUCAGAUGUUAAAAAAAUCAGAACUUAAACUACUUUCCCUACCCUUGUCUUCAAGCAACUCGGCAAAUAUUCCCAUUUGAACCCCAUUCUCACUAAAGCUUUCAUUUUUCUCUUUAAUGAGUCCUCCUUUCUCAACCAAACCCUCCAUUUCAAUUUGCUGUUCUUCAAAAGGACCAGGUGAAGGACAAAACACAGAGUGAUUUACUAUCAUACCACUAUACUCUAACCUCUGUGAGCAACACACAUUGGACUCCAUAGCUUUGUAACACAAGCUUCUAAAAGAUUUUGAAACCCAAAAGCUCUUAGCUUUUAGCUUUGGCGCAGGCAUUCAAAGCUUCAACUGGUGAUAUUGUUGUUGUUGCUGCUGUUUGGUAGAGCUAUUUACUCUUGGUUGGUGAAAGCUCCUCCAUCCAUAAGGUCGCCAACAUGUCUACUUCAAUGGGUUAAAGUGGAAGCAAAAAAAAAAAAAAAAAUGCAGAGAAAUUUGGUGUGGGGUUUUCCUUCUUUUUCCUUUUAUCUUUUUUAUGUUACAGAAAAAAGGCAGAAGCUUUAUGUUCUUAAAUAUAUGGAGUCAAGCUAUUGAUGAUUACUGAGGCCUGCUCAAAGACAUGACUGCUUUCUUAGUCAACCGAAAAAUAAAACUUAAAAAAAAAAGAGAUGAACUGUUUUUUAAUUAAGAUUUAGGGUUUAAAAUUUUUAAUUAAUUAAAUUUAUUUAAUUAAAAAUCUAUUCUUAUCCUAUUAGGAAAUUUAAGUUGACACUUAAAAUCUAGUUGGACUGCCACGUAGGAUUACCGUUAAGGAGAUAACAGAACUUAACGGAAGAGUGAUCACUUCGUAACAAAAUAAUAACAUAAAUGACUAAAACGUAACAUUUCAAACAUAGGUGACUAAAAUGUAACCUGAGGCAAACAAAAGUGACUAUUUUUAUAGUUUACCUUUGUGUACAAUGGUACGGCUCUGGUAAAAGUGAGAAUUCUGAAAUUUUGAGAAAGAAAGUAAUUAAAACGAUUCGUUAGUAACAUCAUGCACAGAAAUAUUGGAAGUAGACAUAAUAUGUAUCAUUUAAUAUCUUAAGUGACACUAGUUAUUCAUGCAUAAAUGAAAAUGUUCCGACAUGGUCAAGUAUAUAUACGAAACAGAUAUCUUAAGAGUUGAAGCAAAGAAAAGGCGAUACCCCCUGAUCACUUUGUUUCCUCAGCUCCCGAAUGUUUUCAAAAGCUUUGUCCCUCUUCAGGGUCACAGCUUUCAGCUCAUUUUGUAAAGACUCGAUUUUAGUUUCAGUUUCAUCCAAUUUAUCUUUAAUUUGCUUUUUUUUGGACCAGACUGCAUGCUGCUCCUUCCUUACUCCAUUCAAAUCGACACCCAUAAGCUACAAUAAACAAAUAUAGCUCUUUUUUUUUUUUUAGUGUAACACAAUGGUGCUCUAUAUUCACAGAUAAGAAGAGGAGCAAACUCCAAUGGAUAAAGGCAGAAAAUAGAAUCAUCUUACUUUAACUUGAUCUUGAAUGUCUUCUUUCUGGCCUAAUGAAUCUUGAAUCUUUGUUCUCAUUGCAGCAUUAGCAAUAACUUUCUCACGGGUUCCCUCCAGGUGUUUGAUUUCUUUAAGGAUUCGCUUCUCCUCACUCAACGAGAUGCUUUCGUGCUGAAUGCGAUAUUGCAAGCUGUGAAUCUGCAAUUCAUAAAUUCCAUUGAAGUGACUAAAGGAGAAAAAGAAAAGCAUUAACUGCGGCAGAAAACAAUGAAUAAAUCUAAAUGCAGUCAAAGUUUAUAGAAGUAUCAUACAAUAAAAUCGAGCUCUUCCUCAGAUGCACAUAAACUAUGUCGAUUAUAAACAUCUUUAUUAUUGUGAAGCUUGCCUAAAGCCUGCUGCAGUGGUUCUAUUUCCUUUUUUUUCUCAUCUAAAAUCGUCUUAAAUUGCUCAAAAUCAACAUUCAGCGCUCUCACUUGCGAAAGCAUCUCUGAUCGUUCUGCCUGCAUUAGCAUAAAGAUAAUCACUAUUUAGCCAACUGACAGCGCCAUUAUUCUUUACUUCUUUCACAUUUUUUCUCAAAUUCUGAAGGCAAACAUAACAUUAAUGAAUCAUUAUACCAAUAGCAUAUCUGUAAGUGUCAUUACAUUUCAAGGACAUAAAUUUCGAACAUUCAAAUAAAUGCUUCCGGGUUUAAUUCCCCUACAUUCAUCAUAUUACAAUAAGCACACCAUAAUGACAUAAUGAUAGGGCUAAUAAUUAUCUUAAAAGUAUGACAAUUAAUGGCUAUCAUGCUAUACAUCUAAUUGAAAUUAAUAACUUUUCACUCACCCUUUUUGCUUUUAAUUCAUCGGUAAGCUUAAACCUGGCUUUAUUCCACUUUUGCAUCUCUUUAUCAGCCUGAUCAAGUUUGGCUUUUAUAGCCUGAUCUUCGUAGAAGCGAUACCUAAUAAAAUGAAAAGAGUGGAUCUGCUUAGGUGCAGGCCACUCGACGACCGCAUCCUUCGGAAAGUCGGGAUCGGAUGCACCAUUCUGUUCUUCCUUAUCAGGUUCCUCACUAUGUGAAUCAACUUCAAUGGGGUUAUUAUAAACUGGAUCCUUUUCCAGUUUCCCAUUUUCAUGAAGAAAUGAUUUGUCUACUUCAGUCACUUUAUCAAUAGACAAUUGUGCCAGGUCUAAAUCAACAACCUCAACACCCACUAAACAUAAAAUUGAGCUACCUGAAAACAUCCAAAAACAAAGAUUAUGAUACCAUAUAACAACAAAUAUAAAUAUAAAAUAUUAUUUCAUUCAUAAAAUAAAAAUUUUAAAACCAGACACCUGAUAGACAUGUAUAAAACAAUAUAUAUUAAAUAAAUAAAUUUUAAAGAACAGUAUAGCCAAUACAAUUUGAAAUGGUGCAAUCUAAAGCCAUUCCUUUAGCUAGUUUUCUCAUUAAUCAGAUCAAAAGAGUGAACAAACAGUAGAAUUGCAAAAUUAUAUGUAUAUAUUCUAAAUAAAUGAUAAACUAUAAUGGAGAAAAACAAUAAUCAGAUAAAAUCUAGAUCAAAAACUAAAUUAUAAGUACAUUAGCUCAUGCUAUAACAAAAGAUCAAGCCUUUAUCCGUCAAGAAAAUUAACAUGCAAAAUCAUAUGACACUAAUGGAAAAGACUCGGAAAUUUACAAACAUGAGAUAAAUGAAAAACAAAAAAACCCCAGAAAUAAAAACAUGAGAAAUAAUUAUGUAGUUUGCAAGGCUAGAAAGUUUACAUUUUUAAAAAGAAAAAGUCAAAAUAAGAUGUUAUUGUUGUCGAGAGAGGCAUAGAUACAGAGAUUCUGGAUAAAAAAAAACUUUCUAACUUUUUUAUUUUAUAUUCGCGUAAUGCCCCAAAUUUUAUAAAUUUUAGGUGUUAAACAUGUCAAGUAAUUUGAUUUGGUGUGGUGAUUAAGUGUAUUGAAUGUUUGCUUUGGGUCUUGAGUUCAAUUUUUUUGUUAAAUUUGUCUUAUUUAUUAUGGUAUUUGUUAAAUUUUUCCUAUUUAUUAUGGUAUUAUGUUCAACUUGAGCCUUAAGUCUUAUCCCUUAUUUUCAACGAUGAAUCUACUGAUUCAAUGGUAAGACUUUAGCUUAUCACCAAUUUAAAUUUUAUAAAAUCUGAUAAGUGAGAUUUAAAUUAACUUAAAUCUUUUUAUUUAUUUAUUUUUAUUUAAUUUUACUAAAUCUCUAUUUUCACUUAUUGUUUCAACCGUCCACACUCUCACCCCACUCUGUACGCUACUUUCUUUUGUUUCCCUAUUCUACGGUUUUAUCUUCUUUUCUCUUCCUUCUUUCUCCUCUUUUGAUUAUUCCUGAAUACUACCAUUUAUUUUGUGAGUUUUGUCACUUGGAUCGUAUUCUGUUUGCAGUGUAAGUUUCAUUUGGUUACUUUUGUUCUCUUCCCAUUAAUAGUUUAGUUUUAUUUCGUUUCUUGAACAAGUUAAGUUUAUGUUGGUAUUUUCUGUUCAUUAUCAUGAUUAGUAUUUUUGUGGUUCUCGAUUAGGCAAAAGGUGUGAGAAUCCUAACCCUCUAGCAAAGUAGUCACAAUUUUCGACGUUGUUUUGGAGAACUAAGUAUUCGUAUUCUAUUUUAGGGGUUGAAAUUUUGAUUCAACGAUGUUAUUUUGGAUAAGUAUUGUUAGUUCAUCCGUGUGGUUUGACGAACGUUUAUAGGAUUCGUGAGUUCCAAUUGAGCGGUUGAUCAAAUCAGCAAUAGGUGUAUGAAAUUAACCUAAAAACUCAAUCGAAACUCGAGAAAAUUAAGGGCCACACGACUAUGUGGGUAUUUUGGCCAAUUUUAAGCCCCAAUUAGGGGCCGAUUAAAGGACUGAAAUAUUGGGUCCAUAGCCAUCAUAUAAGCCCAAAAAAUGUAAGUUUUAGUACGUAUAUAUACAUGGCUAAGCUUAGAGGUAUGUUAAGUAGGUUGUAUAUAAAUCAUAUGCAAUGUUAUGUUCCUUAUAAAAAUAUGUGUAUGCUUGUCAUACGACUUAUGAUAUAAGUAUUUAUGAUAUUAUAAUUAUGAUUAUGCAUGUCAUAUAUGAUUGUUGUCAUGAUAUACAAGCAUUUAAUUAAUAUUUUAAAGUUUUAAAAAAAUAAUAAAUGUUUUUAAAUAAUUUUAAAAUUUUAAAAAUAAGUUAUAUAUAUUUUUAAAACCUUAAAAAUUAUUUAAAAACUAAUGUAUCAUCCAUAAUAAAUCAUACAUCAUUAACACAUACUGGGGCAUGGGAAAGCUUUUAAAAACUGAACUCAAAAAGUGGUCUACAUGGUUCAUCAAGGCAUGGCAAGUAAGUGAGUUGAAGCAAUUUGUGUCAUGAUUGCCUGUAUUUCUCUCAUAAUUUCUUUGCCACUCUGCACCCGUGAGACACUGCAAAAUGUCCUACAUUUCAAAUAAACUGAUGUCAGGUAAAACAUUAAAGCAGAAGAGGAUCAACUAUUACCCUCACUAUCUAUUUCAAUGCUAAAUUUCCACCUCUCCUCUCCAACACCUCAUUGGUAGCCUUACUCAUCUUAACCAACACAACCCUUUCUUUUUCCAAUACAUUUCCAGAAUGUACACUUUUAUUAGAAGAAAAUAUCCAAAAACAUUUUACCAGAAAGCUGGGCUGUGGGGUUGGAAAUGAAGGAUUUUACACCUUCAUCUUGGGGAAGCCCAUAUUUCUUCACUUUGGCAAAACUCUCUUCUGGGUCGAUUCUACAAAAUAUUUAUUAGCUCAUUUUGUGAAAGAGGUAAUUGUGAGAUGAUUGAUCAUUUUGUUUCUACAUUAUAAGAAAAAACUGUAAUAUAUAUCAUGAACUUGAGUUGUCAUAUUCUAAUAUUUCUUUGCUCAAUAUUUACUUGAUUGUAUACAUUAGAUUUGCACCCGAAGCAAUAGUUUUAGAACACUUACAGUAAUAGUUUUAGUCUUUCAACUUCAUCAACUAAUUUUUCAAAGUUAUGUGUAUUGAUUGCGGUCGUAAACCAACUAAAAAUCUGAUUAAGGUAAAUGUACUUAUCAAUUAAUAGUAUAGUUACGAUGAACAAAGAUAUCAUUCCCACAAGGGCUAAAAGUAUUAGUAAUUAUUGUCUUUCUAUUAUUUAACCGACAAAUUGGAAUGAUUGAUUAAAACUAAAAUUAACUAAAUAAAUUAACUAAAGAACACGGCAAAGAACAAAUCAGAAAAAUAAAUGAUUAACAACCAAAAAGCGAGACAAUACUCGGGAAAGAAUCCACCUAGACUUCAUCUGUCAUUAUCAAUCUAAAUCACACAAUUUCUUCACUUACUAUCUUGAUCCGUAGAAAUCCCUAAAUUAUUGUAAUAUCUCUCUUCAAGACUAAGAGUAACUGACUCUAGAUUGAUUAAUUGAAAUUUCUUUCUAAUUAAAACCUCUAUUAUCACAUUAACUUGAUUUAUGGAUUAUUCUAUUAGAUUUGACUCUAAUCCGGUAGAAUUAUGUAAUCCUAUUUUUAGGAUUGCAUGCAACUCCACUCAAUUACGCUAGAUCUACUCUUAAACAGGGUCUACUCCUCCUCUGAUUUAAGCACAUAAAACAUGAAUCAAUAGUCUAAAAAAAUUAAACUAUGAAUUAAGCACACAUAAAUGAGAACAAGAUCUAAGUAUUUAUUCCGUAAAAAUAGAAAUCAAAUAAUAGAAUUCAUCCUAAGGUUUAUCUCCCUAGGUAUUUGGAAAAUUAGUACAUAUAGUAAAUAAAAACAUCCCAAAAAUAGUAUAACCAUAAGAAAUAAAGAAACUCAUAAUAAACUUCAAAAAAAUCAAAAGGAGAACUUCAAUAUUGAUGGAAAUCUACUUCAAAGUCGGCUUUAAUAGUAUUUUCUGAGUUGCUUUCUUCAAUAUAUGACAACUCACUGAUCCCCUCCUCUUAUCUUUGUCAUAUAUAUUUUAGAAUGCUCAAAAAACUUAAAAAUUACGCUUUUUGCGUGUUUAGAGUGCAAUUUACGAUUUCCACAUGGUCUAGCACAUGGUCGUUUUGUAAUGACCCAAAAUUCACGGGCAUCGGAAAAGUAUAAUAUCAGGUCUCUGUCUUAGUAAAUUGAGUUUGAAAAUAAUUAUUAGAAAUAUUUACUAGACUAGUUGUGUGUUUAAUUAGGAUUUAGAUAGGUGAAUUUAGCUUAAUUAAGAGUAAUUAGCAAAAAAGAUUAAAUUACAAUAGAAGUGAAAGUUUAAUUAUAGAUUAAAAUAAAAUAAAGGGGAUUAAACAGGAAAUUAUGCCAAUUGCCAAAUUUGAGGCGGCAUUGUUAAAAUAUGUUAUUAAAUUAUUAUUAUUAUUAUUAUUAUAUUAUGAAAUAAAUAAGAUGGUGACAAAUGUAUGGCAAUAAAAUUAGUACAUGUGUAAAACAUGUAUUUAAACACUUGUAUUAUAAUGAUAUAUUUUCUUAAAUUUUAAGUAAAGGUAUUGUCGAAACCAUUUUUUUUUGAAAACAAAAAUUUAGUUGUAGACUUUAAAAACAAAAAUUAGAGUCCCCACCGAUCUUUUAUUAAGGUGCGAUCGGCUCACCGUAAAAUUUUAGUCUACGAAGUCUUAGAAAAACAGGUUCGGGAGUCAAUUACGCACGAGGAAGGGUUAGUGCCCUCGUAACGCCUAAAAUCGGUACCAAAUUAAUUAUUUUAUGUCUUGGUGUCGAAAAUUUGAAAAGAUUUUAAAAGAAAACUUUUUUACUCGAGAAUGAAUUAAAAUAAUACAAACAUUCCUAUUUUAAAGAAACAAAAUAUCACACCCAGUUAGUUAGGGCACAAUAUUUUUAAAUUUUCAAAAUUAAGUUUGUCUUUUGAUUUUAAAACUCACACGGUUAAAUCUAAGAAGGGUAUUCGAUUAUUUAGAUCAAAUAAAGAAAAAUCGAAACCUAGUAAGCUAGGGCACAAUUUCUCAAAAUUUCAAAUACAGAAUAGCACCUUUUGUUUUAAAAAAUCUUAUUUCGAGAAGUCAAAAUAUCAGGACCAGUAAGUUAGGACCCGUAAUUUUAGAUUCCCGGGAACAAGCCUUUAUUUGAAAUUUGUGUGAAUUUAUUGCAAAAUAAAUACUCGACUUUCUAAAUUCGUCGAAAAAUAAUCGCGAUCCAGUAAGUUAGGACACGAUCUUUCUCGAGAAUCAUGAAUGCCAAAUAUUUUGAAAAUUUAUAAAUUAUGAUGAUUUUUAAUGCUUUGAUAAAGCCAAAAUAUAUUUUUCUUUAAAAGUAUGAUAAAAUGUUAAUGCAUAACAUGAAAUCAUUACUUUAAUUUAAAAUAUACCUAUAUAUGUAUACAAAAAUUAUAAAAAGAACAUAAUCAUAAAAUAUAUAAAGUUGACAUAAAAAUAAAAAUGUAAGCAUAAUAUAUUAAUAAUUACGAAAAUAUGGGUAUAUAUGUAUAUAUAAAAAUAUAUGAAAAAUGUAUUUAUAAAAGUUUUGAAUAGUAUAUGAAUAUAUUAUAAAAAAAACAUGUAUAAACAUAUAUAGAUUAUAAAAUAUGGAAAGCAUAAAUAUAAAAUAAAAAUGUAUAUACGAAUAAAUAUAUGUAUAUAUAUAUAAAAUAAUAAUAAAGUAUAUAAAAUGUAUAUGAAUUUAAAAAUGUUUAAAAUAUAAAUAUUAAUAUUAUCAUACAUAUCCGCAUAUAAUGUAGGUAUAAUAAUAAUUAUAUAAUAUAAUAAUAAUAAAUACUAAUAAUAAUACAGUAAUAAUAACAAUUUAACAGUAUAUAAAAAAAUUAAAAAUAACAAAUUAAGGAUUAAAUAGAAUUUAAAGGCUAAAUUUGAAAAUUGAAAACGUGAAAAAGAGCAAAUUAAAACGCGCAUAACAGGAGGAGGAUCUAAGAAGAAAUUUACCCAAACCUCCUGAAACGCUGCGCAGCAUUGGAUUAAAUUGUAGCAAAAGUAAUGUUUCAGGGAAAAAUUUAAAAAUAGCAGAACAGUAAUUUUGAAAUGAUGAAAACAUGAAGGGACUAAAUAAUAAAUAACCCAUCAAUACUUAAAACACGCGGAUCUGAUCAGGUUUUGGGUCGGGUCACGCUGGCAUUCGGGUUAUACCAAUACGCUGCCGUUUUGGGCCCUAUAAAAUCCCAUUUUAAAAACCCUAAAAUCGUUUUCCUUCUGCCCUUUGAAGUUGUGUCGUAGCCUCCCCUCCUCUCAGCCAUUCAAGCCCCAUUUCCGACCAUCAACGGCGAUGUGAGGGCACUCCGACGACAGCCCAACGAUAAGUCCUCUUUCCCUUACCCCUUUUGUUUAUUUUGUCUUUUAUAAAAUACCAGAAUGAAGGGAAAAAAACAAAUAGUAAAAUAAAAAUAGCAAAAAUAAACCCAAAGAACAAACCUUCAAAAUUGUUUUUGUUAUUUCUUGUUCCUGUCUUUUUUAAUCUCUGAUUGUGUGUGUAGUCUCUUUUACAAAAUAUAUUUGGCCUUUAUAUCCAAAUCCUUACAGGAAAAACCAAAAUAAACUUUUACAAUUUUUUCCUUUUCUUUUCGGUCCCUCUCACUGUUAAUGGUUUAUUGCAGGCGAGGAGAACGUGGAAACGAGUGUUGUGCUGGGUUGCUGAACGUGCGAGCAACGACGUUGGUAGUGGGACGAUUGCUGCGGCGCUCUGCUUAGGGUUUCUGUUACCUUAGGCCAAUUGGGCCUUGUAAUUGGGUCAAGAUUGACCCAAGUUUUAAUGGGUUUGGUUGUAUUUAAUUUGGGCCCCGAGCAACAAUUGGGUAUUACAGGUAUUUAUAUAUAUUAUAUGUGAAAUUAUUAUAUUAUUAUAUUAUAUUAAUAAAAAUAUCUAUAUUAGUUAAAUGUUAAAAUAAUAAAAAGUAAAUAAUAAAAGGAAAUAAAAACAAAAGAAAAGAAAAAAGAGAGAAGGAAGAAACAGAGGCAUUCGAAACAGAGCAGGAAAAAGAAAGAAAGAAAAGAAAAAGGAAAAAUUCAAGGUUUAAGGUUUAAAGCUUUGAUUGGUAAGUCAAUUGAGCCUUUUUUAUUUAGUUUUGAUGAUUUAGAAGCUUUAAAACAAAGUUUUGAUGAAAUUAAGUUGAUAUUUUGUAAGUUCAUAGGUUUUUAAGCACGGUUCAUGUUGAAUAAAUUGUUAAAUUAGGGAUUUAAUUGAAUGAAUUUUAAGUUAGAAUUGAUAAAAGAAUUAAAUUGUAAAAGAAACUAUAAGUUUUAUGUUUUAGGGACUACAUUGAGGGAAAUUAGAAAUUAGGAAAAGAUGCUGAAAUUUUAAUAGUUACAUUUGAGUUUGGAUGAAAUUUGAAUAGAAAUAGAGUGUGAAUUGAAUUAGGAAAGUAAGUGAACUUAGUUAGGAUUAAAUUGAGAAUAAGGAAGAAAUUGAAUAGAAAUUCAAUUAUUUAUCAUAAUUAGUGCUGAAAUUAAUAGUAUAAAUUAUUAUUAUUAUUUUCGUAGCUAGCAAAGAACCAGAAGCACCGGCACAGAAGGGAAAAGAGAAGAUUUUCGAGAAGUAAACUCGAGAAAAUUGCAGUUUGUAUUACUAUAAUUCAAGUUAUUUAUUAUUAAAUGUUAAAUUUUAAUUUAUGUGUUUGGUAAAUGAAAUGUGAGGUAAGUAUUAGUAUUAUUAUUGUCAUUAUUAUUAUUAUUAUUAUUAUUAUUAUUAUUAUUAUUAUUAAGAUGAGUGAGAAUUAAAUUGAAUAGUUGAUAUGAAUUAAUAUUUGAAUUGUUUGUUGAUUGAAAGUGGGAAGUGAAUUUGAAUCGAAUUGUGAUUGAUAUUAAAUUGAAUGGAAAUGUAUUGAGUUGUGAAAAUGUGUGAAUUUGUGGAUUAAUUAUUGAUUGAAAGGUGGAAAAAUGAUUGAAUUGAAAAUGUGAGAAAUUGUGAUUGAAUUGGGGUUAUAUGUGAUUUAAAUGCCCUAUUAACUAGUUGGGCUGAGUCAGAUAUAGUUGGCAUACCAUAGGAUUGGAAGAGUUCACGGAUGCUUCGACCUCGAGUCGAUGAGACACUGGGUGUCACUAUAUUUCUUCGGAUAGAUUCGAUGAGGUACUGGGUAACAACUUUCUUCGGCUUUGCCGAUGAGACACUGGGUGUCAACUAUUGCUUCGAACUAUCCGAUGAGGCACUGGGUGCCAAUCUGGUGUGUUUGGUUGGAUCCGUGUAUCUGACAAAGUCCGAGUUUUGUUAAUAGGGGUAAAUAAUGAAAUGAUAAACCGAAUGAGUUUGGUUAAUCGAGCUACUGAAAUGAGAUGAAAAAGUUGAAUUGUGAAUUGAAAUGUGAUACGAGAUUGAAGAAUGAACCUAAGGUUCAUGAUGUGUUCAAAGCUCAAAUUGUGGAUACAUGAUAUUAAUUGAUAAUUUUUUAUUGUUGUAUUAUGAAAUUUGAGUUUAAACUUGUAUGUAUGAUUUGUGCAUGAUAUGUUUGAUGAUUAUGUUUUAUUUUUAUUAUUAUAAUUUGAAUUAUGGUAAUACCACUGAGUUCGGAUACUCAGCGUAUGGUUGUUUCCGUGUGCAGGUCGAUAGAAGUCGAAGGUUUUCUGAUUUUCGCUCCUUUUGCUUCCAAAUGCUCUUCAAAGUAUAGAAACAUGAAUUUAAAGUAUUAGGAGCAAAAAAUUCACCGUUAACACAUUUUCUCUGUAUAUUUAGCAUAUAUUCGAACUUUGAAUUUCUGCUUUGCAGUUUAUAUAGGUUCAAAAAUAUGAACCCAUGUUUUCAAAGGUCUAAUUUUUCCAUGAACUGCCAGAAAUGAAAAGAAAAAAAAUAUUUAAAAAAAUGAAAGAAAAUAAAAAUGAAAAUAUAGUUUAAUGAGACUUACAUAAAUGUCGGGAUUGAGAAAAUGAUUGUCUAAAAAGAAGCAGAAAUUUGGCUGUCCAAGCCAUCUUAUUCAGUUCACCGAUGCAAGUUUCUCCGCUUAGCCGUCGCUGCUCUGAAAAUGACGAAGGCCUAACUAGUUUAACAACAGUACCAGUACGAUGUCAUAAGAAUGUAUCCUACGUGGCAUUCGUGUCAUCUAGCUAAGUCAAACUACGAAGCUACGGUUGGACUUCGAUUUCGGUUGGGUUUGGUUUCUUAGCUGGAGUUCUAUUUAAACUUGGGUUUUGUUUUCGGUUAAAUUACCCUAUUAGUUACUAAAUUAUAUGUUGCUUUUGUUUUGUUCACUUAACUAAAAAAAAAGUUAAAAUUUUGUUAUUGAAGUAUUCGAAUACUUUCAUUUAAGUCACUAAAACAAGAUCUUUUUAAAUAAGAAAUAAAUAUUUUUUAUACAGAAAUUUUAUAUAUAAAAAAUAAAAUACUUCAAUUUAAAAGGACAUUUUGUUUAAUCACUUUAAUAGCUUUUGGAGUGAUGAAAAGUCUAAUUUCACUUUGCACCAAAAAUGAUUUUUUUGUUAAUUUUCUUACCGAGCUGGGACUCAAUUGAUGGUUGACGACAACUAAAUAAAAGGCUUUAACACAGUAUAGAUAAAAAAAGUUUUAAACUAAAAUUUUUAAAAGAAUUUAGGGCAAACUACACCAGUCAUUCAACUAUAGGUAAGUUUACGUUUUAAUCACUUAACUAAAAAAAUUACAAUUUGAUUACUAAUGCUUUCGAAAUUAUUUUUCUUUUUUGUCACCCAAUUGUUAAGUCAUACUUGUUUUAGUUGGUAUAAUAAUAAUUUUAGUCCUCGGUUUUUAUAUUUUCUGUCUAUUUGACUCUGAUUUUGUAUAAAAAUAUAAAAAAAAUCACAAUUAUUUAUAAAAUAGAAAAAUGUGUAUAAAAAUUCUAGAAAAAUAAAAUCUUGAAUAUAUUGUUUCAUAACUAAAUUGUAUGAGAAAUAAAGAAAAUCAUCAUUCAAUAACAUCCGAUAACAAAUGAAAAUCAAAACAAAACAAAAAAAAAGUUAGAUUAUUAUAUGUUUCUUAUAUUUCUCGAAACCAAAUUAGUAGUAUUAUCAAACACAUUAAGAAUGAGAUUAAAAUAUGUUACUUUUAUAGCUUAUCAUACCCCUAAACCACAACUAAAAAGUUUAAUCUGAUAUGGUGGCAUCCACCAUUAGUAAUUGACUCUCAAUUUUGGUUCUUUUUGUCUUGUUUUCUCUUUGCACUCGUUGUUUUAGAUCAUCAGAGUCUUCAUGGUGGACCCUAGAGCUUAAAGGAGGCUAAAGAUGGUGGAAUCCAAGGUAGUGUGAAACAACAUGGUCUUGACUAGAGGUGUCUAUGGGCCGGGCCCAAAAAAAAAUUUCAACUCGCUUCCUAGGCCCGGGCCCGGCCCAGCCCGAAAUAUGGGCCUGAGAUUUUGUCCAAGCCCGGCCCGGGGAAAAAUAUGGAACCUGAGCCCGGCCCGGCCCGGCCCGUCCCAUGGACACCUCUAGUCUUGACCUACAACACUAAAAUUGCUUUAGCUUAAAUGAAAAUGAAAAUAUUUUGUAUGCAUGAUAUCUCUAGUUUAAAUCUUAUUAUCAACAAAUUUUUAUUGAUUUAUGAAAAGAUGAAAAUACCUUUGUAAUUAUAUAUCUUACUUUACAAAUAAAAUGUUUUUUUUAGUAAUUUUCUUACUGCGUUCGGACUAAUUGAUGGUUGACACUAUGGCAGUAAAAGGCCUAAUACAUAAUAUAGAUUAAAAAAAAAGUUUUAAACUAAAAUUUUUCAAACAAUUUAAUGUAAAUUAAACCAUUAGUCAUUCAACCAUGAGUAAGUUUUCGUCUUGAUCAUUUAACUAAAAGAAGUUACAAUUUAGUCACUAAUAUUUUUGAAAUUGUUUUUUUAUCACCUAACUGUUAAGUGGCACUUGUUUUAAUUGGUAUAAUAAUAAUUUUAGUCCUUUUUUAUAUUUUCUAUCAAUUUGACUCUAAUUUUGUAUAAAAUUAUAAAAAAAACUCAAAAUUUUAAAAAUAGAAAAAUGUUUAUAAAAAUUCUAAAAAAAAUCUUGAAUAUGUUGUUUCAUAACUAAAUUGUAUGAGAAAUAAAGCAAAUUACUAUUCAAUAAAAUCUGAUAACAAAUUAAAAACAGAACAAAACCAAAAAAAAUCUUCCUCAACGUUUCUCGAAACAAAAAAAAAAUAAUAUUAUUAAGUUGAGUUUCAUGCCAUUGAAGAACAUCUAGAACUCAUAUUACUAAGGCUUAUGAAAUCGACCCUAAUGCCAUUUUUUUAGUCAAAAGAAUACAAUAUAUAUAACAAAAUUUCCUUUUUCAAACUUAAUUCAAUUUUUCAUUACAUUUAAAUUAUGUUUCAAAACUCAAAUUAUAAAAAUAAAUUAUAUUUAGAAAAAAAAUUAUAACAUAAAAGCUAUGUCAAGAAACAGAGAACAAAUAAUUUUACUUAAUGUUUUUCUAUUUUUUACUAAAGAAUGUGUAUUGGAUAUUUCGAUAUAGAUAAUAUAGAGAAAAUUUGUACGGCUUAAAAACAAUUAUCUCUCAUUUUCACUCACUUUAUUUAUUUUUGAAAUUUGUAUCUACUUUUAUUUAAUUUUUAUUUUAUAAUGUUCUAAAAUUUUAAAAAUAAUUUUAAUUUUUUACCAUUUUAUAUAUUAUCAAGAUCAAAUUGACUGAAAGUAUAAAAUUUGAGGAUUAAAAUUGUUAUUAUAUCAAUUAAAAAAGUGUCACUUAACAUUUGAGUGACAAAAAAAAACAAUUUUAAAAACAUUAGUGAUGAAAUUGUAACUUUUUUAAUUAAGUGACCAAAACAAAAAUAGCCAUAGUUUAGUGACUAAUAGUGUAACCUUUUUUUGGUAAAAUGAAAAUUUGACCCUGAUUUUGUAUAAAAAAAAUUAAAAUUAUUUAUAAAAUAAAAAAAUGUAUAUUAUUCAACAUAGGGAUUUUUUACCGAAAUCAUAUAAAAAUAAUUAAUUAUAAAAAUGGUAUAGAAAAUAAAUUAAUUACAAAAAUAAGGCAUUUGGUACAAUGUUCUGUUGGUGUCGCCAGACAUAUUGGUAGCACCAGAUUAAAAUGUGAUGACAAAAAAUAUUCAAGGACUUAAUAUGGAAAUUUCUCAUUUUGAUUGGUUGUUGAAAAUAAGAUAUAAGAGUGUUGUGUGACAUUGUAAGCGGCACAAAAUCUUAAAUAGGGUUAAUUUCUUUGUAAACCGUUAUUAUUUAUUAUUUUGUUUUUAUUCUCCUUCAACACCAAAAUCAGAAAGGCUUCUUACGAAUUAAUUCAAGUCAAAUAAUGUCUAGCAUAACAGUUAAUACUAUUGACAGAAAUUUUUUUUGGCUCAUAUUAUAUCUAAGAAACUAUAGAUUUAACUAAUAAUUAUAAUUUAUAUAUAGUAAAUAUUUUUUAAAGUUUUUCUAAUUAUAAUUUUAUAUGUGCCCGUAAAUUAAAUUGAUAAUAAGAAUAUCUGUAAUGGCAGACAGCAAAGAAAAACCUAAAAGCAAAAGUAAUAAAAAUAGGAUUUCUUGCUAAUAAUUCUACCUUUGUGGAUCCUACCAGAGACUUCAUAAUUUGCCUGUUUUUAUCUUCACUUUCUUCUUAUUUCUUCUUCACUGCUUUUAAUUUGUUUCGAUGUCACAAAUUUUGAAGCAUCCAGUCAAGGUAAUUUUCUUUCAUUUGCUUUUGAUUAAUUCAUGACAUGCUUUUCUUUGCUUUUGAUUAUCUGCUACUGUUAUAGCAGCUAGCUUUGUACGAUAGUCAAGGAAGUCAACUUCAGUACUUCACUGCUUCAUUUUCAGUUCUAAUCUCUCAACACUUUUCAGCCACUAAGUCAGGUAAUAAGACCUGAAGCAAUGAUUUCCUCUACUGAUUACCAACAGUUUUAGAUUUUAAGAGUGGAUGACCAGCAGACAUAAUCCACUAUAGAUAGAAAUUAAUACAAAAACAGCUACCCAGAAGCAAUAUAAUGUUGAAAUCUCAAACUGUCAACAUUUUAACUCUUAAUAUUCUGUAUUGAACUCUUGCACACUUGAAUCUAGCAUUUUAUAUACAUCUAGAGCUUGAUUCUGGUGACCAGAAUUUCAUCAUGUUUCUGUCUGCCACCCAUCCAUAGCUCCAUCUAAUAGACGCCAUUGCUUGAAACUUGCAUUCAUGUUUUCCUUUUCGUGCUUACACUGACAUAUCAAUACUUCAUAAAAUAUCCAAUUCAUUCACAGAUUUUCAUUCUCUGCUACUGUUAUAUAUGAUUGCAUUGCAGGGACAUAGCAAUGGAGUACGUAGAGCCUGUUGUCGGCAUUGCAAAUUGUCUUGGAACUCCUGUUUGUAAAUAUUUGCAAUAUCACAGAAAGCUGAACGAUUAUGUGAGAAACUUCAAGAGGAUCAGAUAUGAAUUGAAUUGCAAAAUGGAAGAUAUAGAGCUGCAAUAGAAAGCAGAGCUUCUUCGUCCUCUGGGAAGAUAUCGAAGAAGGGAGUUGAAAUUUGGUUGAAAGCUGUGAAAGAGAUGAUUAGGGAAGCACAAGCUGUUGAAAACAAAGUCAGUAACGGGAGAUAUCUCUGUCGUGCUUGCAACGGGAAGCUGGUUGAUGAAAAGACUCGAGAAAUGAAGGAAUUUCUUGAUAACGCUCCUAAAGCCUCUGAACGUCUUGCCAUGGAUGGUCCAAGUGCUGGGUUGCCACUGGAAACAUCAGAACUAGUUGGAGAGGAAGCUGUCAGAAAAGAGAUUUGGGCAUGUUUGAUGCAGGAGGAGGUAAGCAAGAUUGGGGCUUGGGGGAUGGGCGGCGUGGGUAAAUCGACCAUAAUGAAGCACAUCCACAAUGAUCUUUUGAAAGAACAACGAUUUGAAAGGGUGGUUUGGGUUGCUAUAUCAAAGGAGUUCAAUAUUGUGAAGUUACAAAAUGAUAUUGCAAGUGCAUUGAAUGGAAAGAUGCCCGAAGAAGCAAACAAGGUCAGACGAGCAGCAAUCUUGUCCGAAAAGCUGAAGAGAGCAGGAAAACAUGUUCUAAUCCUAGAUGAUGUGUGGAGUGAAGUCUCGUUGGAAGAAAUUGGGAUCCCUAAGCCAAGUAGCAGCAAUGGGUACAAGUUGGUGUUGACAACCCGUGUGGAGCAAGUUUGUAAGUCUAUGGGCUGUAAGGUGAUAAAAGUGAAGCCCCUUUCAAAAGAAGAGGCAUUGAUACUAUUCUUGAGUGAAGUUGGACCUAACAUAGUGCAAAAUCAAACUUUAAUGCCAACUUUGAAGCUUGUUGUCAAGGAAUGUGCAGGUCUGCCUCUUACAAAUUGUUGUCAUAGCUGGUACAUUGAGAGGAGAAGAUGACCCUCUUAUUUGGAAAAACACACUCAGGGAAUUGAAAGAGAGAAUAGGGAAAGUGAAAGAAGGGGAAGAUAAAGUGAUCGAGAGUUUGAAAGUUAGCUUCAAUCACUUAAAAGACGAGAAAAUGAAGCAUUGUUUCAUACAUUGCGCAUUAUAUCCUGAAGAUUUUCAAAUUGGGAAGGAUGGGCUAAUUGAGUGCUGGAUUGAAGAGGGAUUCAUAGAUGAUAUGAGUACAAGACAAGAAAUGAAAGAUAAGGGCCAUGUUAUUUUGAAGAAAUUAGAAGAUAAUUGCUUGCUGGAAAAUGUCUCGAGUGAAACAGUAAAAAUGCAUGAUGCAGUGAGAGACAUGGCAUUGUCGAUCACAAGAAUGAAUCCUCGAUAUAUGAUACAAGCAGGUUCGCAAUUAGAAGAGUUACCAGAAAAGGAGCAAUGGAGUCCGGAUAUUGAGAAAGUGUCACUUAUGUAUAACUCCAUAUCAGAAAUUUCCAUAGAUGUGUUGCCCACAAAAUGUCAACUGCUCACAACCUUGUUAUUGCAGCAUAACCCUAUAAAGAAGAUCCCAUAUUCUUUCUUCACAAACAUGCCCUGUCUUAGUGUUCUCAAUUUGUCCUCUACGAAGAUCAAAAGUUUACCAAAUUCCAUCUCUGAACUAAAGAACCUCACAACAUUGUUGCUUUGUUGCUGUGUAGAAUUAAGAGAUCUGCCAUGUCUUUCGAUGCUUCAAGAAUUGAAUAAGUUGGAUCUUUAUGGGACUAACAUUGAGGAAGUCCCUGAAGGAAUGGAUAUGCUGAUAAAGCUAAGCUAUCUUGAUCUUACAGUGUUCACUCUGAAAGAGAUACCCGCUGGACUUUUACCAAAACUCGUUCACCUUCAGCACUUGAGUUUUGCUGGGAACAAUGAAAAAACAAGUCUAAAAGCAGAGGAGAUGGAACCAUUGAAGAAGUUGGAGCGCUUUACUGGGUGUUUCGAAGACACAAGUGAAUUCAAUAAGUUCAUCUCUUCAAUGCAACAAAGUAAGAAAAGUCUCAUCAAGUACCAUUUACGGGUGGGCUCAUAUUUUAUUCCUAUGUGGAGGACUCCUAAAAGAGAUAAAACAAUAGUAAUUGGAGGAGUGGACAAUUGGGAAGGUGAGUUAAUUAUGCACCCAAUUGAAAUUCAAGAGUUGCAUAUUAUUGAGUGCGACUAUGUGAGAAGCCUAGUCGAUGACAAUUCUUCCUUCAAAAAUGCGAUUGACUUGAGGGUUUGUAGGAUUUGGGGGUGUGAAGGGAUAGAGUGUGUUGUUUCCCUGUCCUUUUUUGCCUCUUCUUCCGCUCAUCCAUUUCAGAGCCUCGAGAUGUUGGAUCUUGAACAUCUGCCAAAGUUUAGUGCCCUUAUUAUGAAUGAUACAGGAAUUGGUUCAGCAACAUCAACAGUGGCUCCGUCUGCCAGCUUUUCCCAUCUUAAGGAAAUUAAGAUAAUGAACUGCUCAAGUAUGAAGACGUUGCUUCCACAUUGGUUGCUUCCAAACCUCCAAAACCUGGAAGAAAUUUGGGUGUCACACUGUGAUGAGUUAGAAGAAAUAUUGGGAGCAGCAACAUCAGAAGUUGAAGAAAAAGGGAGUGAUGCAUUAAUCAAAUUCCAUCAUCCCAAAUUGAGAAAGUUGGACUUGUGGGUAUUACCAAAUUUGAAGAGCAUUUGCAGCAAAAGUGGAGUGAUGGUUUGCGAUUCUCUCCAACUUAUCCAAGUUCUAGACUAUUAUAAACUGAAGAGAAUUUCUCUAUUUGUUCCCCUUGUUGGCAAUGGGCAGCCAUUUGCAUAUGCUCCACCUUCUCUUAUCAUCAGGUCAAUCACAGAAUGGUGGGAAUCGUUGGAGUGGGAUGACCAUCCAAACUUUAAAAAUGUUCUUCAACCCCUUUGGAAGGAUAAGAGGUGUGAACUAUUUAUGGUUUAGUUUAUUUUUUUAGUUUGAUAAAUCUAAUUUCUCCAACUCGAAUUUACUUUAAAUUAUAGAACUUGUAGUAAAAUUAUAUUUUAGUUUAUAAAAUAGGGUAUGUAAUCAAUAAAUUAUUUUUAUGCUAUCAGUCAUUACUAUUAUAUCAUAUUUACAUACAGUUAUCUAUUUUAUAUAUUUGAAUUUGAUGACCCAAAUAUUAAAAUUAUAUAUUUAGACAUCAAUACUAAUGAUUAGCCACCCAAUAGUUACUAAGAUGACAUGGCAUUGCUAAUCACUUGUCAAUAACUUGUGAAAUUGCCAUGUCAUCUUAUACGUUACAUAGCAUUUUAUUAUUUUUAAAUUAAAAAAAAGAUAAACUAUAAUUUUAACCAUUAAUUUUUCAAGAAGUUAUAUUUUAGUUAUCAAACUUUGAAAUUCAAAUUUUAGCUUAGCAGUUUUUUAGGUUUCUCAACUUUUCAUAUUCAAGUACCUUUGAGGCCCUCGGUGAACCAUUCAAUGGUUCUUCUUGGAGGUAAAACAUAUCUCCAAAAAUUGAUAGUUGGGUCUUUCCGUUAACCGUUCUACGACUUUCCACGAAUGUGAGACAUAUCUCUAAAAAUUAAUAGUCGAGGCCCUUCAUGAACCAUCCAGCGGCUCUCCAUAAAGGUGAUGCAUAACACCAAAAAUCGACAAUCAAGCCUCCCAUAAACUGUUUAGUCACUCUCCAUGAAGAUGAGGCAUAUCUCCAAAAAACGACAGUGAGAUGUAUAUAUCUCUAAAAAUAUAACUCUAGACCGUUCAAUCAACAAUUAUACAACUCGUGAUAAUAUGCAUUAUAAAUUCCUCGAUUUUUGGGCUAAUAGAUACACUACUCACCAAAUCACAAAGUGAAAUUUAUACAAGUCAGCUACGAAUAAAAACACUAUCGCUAACACAUUGUUAAAAUAGAUAAAAGGCAUGAAUUUCAAUAAUCUCAUAAGUCAUUGUACAUUCUCAAGUCAAUGACUACCAUCCAUCAAACUACAAAGUGAAUUUCAUAUAAGCCAGACGAAAGCACUAUCCAUCAAUAUACCAAUAAAAAAAAUUAAGUCAAGACUUGGAUUCAGUUCAGUAGUGCAAUCCACGGUGUGAUUCAUAAAGGUAUUUAUCCACAGUAAAGGCACCCUUCCAGCAAUGGUUCAUUUUCAUUUCACUAAAGAUCAUUUAUCGAAUGGUAGCUCGCUUUAUUACAAUUCUAAAUAUUUGUAAAUUACCACAAUUUUUAUAAGAAAAAAAAAAGCAAAUAGUUCUCGUCCAGGACGCAUGUAAGAUCAUUUAUCGAACGGUAGCUCGCUUUAUUAUAUUAGCAUAGUCUUAAAUAGUUUCUAUUGCCUCCGAAAUUAGUUUGAUUUCAAACGAUUGCUUUACCUUCAACGUUAGCAUAAUUUAAAUGCUAAUGAACAAUUACAAUACGCCAACACAAUUCUAAAUAUUUGUAAAUUAUCACAAUUUUUAUAUGAAAAAUACAAGCAAAUUGACCUCGUCCACAACACAUGUAAGAUCUGAUUUUACCUCAGAUUUUUGAAAAACAGAGAAUGAUUUAAACUAAAUGAAAAAAAAAACCUGGAGAUAAUGAUUUUUUGUAUUUAAGAUGAGAGGAAGUAAUUAGCCGAUAACUUAAAAACACUAAUAGUUAAUUAAGAAUUUAGGUAUAGGUAUAGGUAGUUGACUGUUAGGAUUUGUUAAAUUAAUGUUCUCUUACAUCUGUUUCUUUUUGGAUUAAAUCCUGAACUGCAUAAAGCAAAAACGUGAGACAAAUUAAUGUUAGCUUGUGCUCCUUCAACUUUUUCGACUUCCAUCUUACUCUGAUUUCAACAUUUCAUUACCACUCUCCAUUAUUUAUAUCUCCUUCUCCUGCAAUGGAAGCUGCAGGUUUCAGAGCUGCCAUAAAUAAGGAUUUCAUAGCUCAAGAACUAGACAAUGACAGGGAAGAUGACCAAGAAGAAGAAGGGGUUGCUAUGAGAAGGUAGGGUUCAGUGAUGGCUUGUCACAGCUUAUGCUACCAAUCUUAAGAACCAAAACAUCAACUUACUAUACUAUGAUGAAGGAUUUUAUAAAAACGUCAGGUAUCAGAAUUAAAAUUCAAUUAUCCAAGGGAACCUAAGGGAUAACAUCUGAAGGAAAUUCAGAUUGUUCAAGAACAAAUUUGAAAUUUAAUGGCAGAUUAGGUAUCCAAUCAGCUGAACCGCUAAAGCGAUUGAAAGCUUGGUAGAAUAUUAUGUUCCAAUGCUACAAAUUCAACUUUAGUUUCCUUCAUUAUAGUUUUCCUAUGUAUAGAAAGCUUAGGAUACCACACAAAAUAUGCAUAACAUUCUAUCCAACAUAAGAAAGGUACAAAAAAGAGUUCGUUAUCAUACGGAAACAGGUGAAGUUGCCACACUUACAGAUCACUAAAAUUUUACAACAAUGAUGGAAAUGUCAUCCUUGCUCUUUCUCUUUACAGCUUCCUCAGUUAGGUGCUUUGCAGCAGAUCGAGCAUCCUUAAUGCCUUUGAUAGCAUCGACAGCUUCUUGGUUUGACAUUACCUGGAAUUUAAGGAACGGACCAUUAAAUCUCAGGUUAAUGUGAUUGGAUAGGGCUUACCUUCCAUAAACCAUCACUAGCCAAUAUUAUGAGGUCAGUAUCAUCGUCGAUUGUUUCAAUGCUCACAUCUGGCUCCGAAGUAAGAUGUUUCCUUAAACUCUUGUCACCAAAUGCUCUCGCCACCACAAGCUGGCCGUCAACACGUGCGACAUCCCCUGAAACAAAAACAAUAUAUAUCAGGAAAAGCUGGUGUAACCUUGAGCGUCAUCCCCAAAAGAUCAGGCACCCAUUACCUGGAAAGUUCGAAACAAAACCACCUCUAUUUUCAAUGCUCUCCUUUCAGAAGCGGGCUCAUGAUCAACUGAAAGCUGCUUAGGCACACCGUUCUUAGAAAUCACAGCCCGGGAAUCGCCAACAUUUGCUAUUACCAGCUUCUGGCAGUUGAUCAAUAUUGCUGUCACUGCCCCAAAUCAAUGGCUUGUUCCAAUAUAUUUGUAUCCGUUAAACGAUACGCUUUCCUAAUCGCAUUCUCUGGUUCCGACCAAAAGUCGGGCUGCUCGCAUAAAAAGAAACAGAGGCGCUUAGUUAAAACUACAAGCAAAACACAGUCAAUGCAUAGGAAAAAGAUACCGUAAGAUCCAGCUUAUUAUAGUUUACCUCAUUCAAGAUAUAGUUAAACAAGUUCGCCUUCAAAUAACCGGGAAUUACAUGGCUCAAAUGGCCAUCGAAUAUGGCAAAUAAACCGAGCUCACUGCCAUUGACUUGCUUAAACUCCGGGAAAACAUAGUCCCCCAUUGGAUGAUUCGCUUUCCCCUUCACUAAAUGAUAACCAUGCGUUAUAUUCUUCGACAUCUUACUCUUCCCUUUUCCAGAUUCAGCAUUAUUAGAAGGGUUUAAGCCAACUUUUUCUUGAACUUUCUCCUGCAGUGAAUCAAUAUAAACAGCUCAAUAAGCAGUAAAUUUACACGUUUCCUAGAAAUCGCCAUUGAUGAAGAAAAACAUGCCAUCACCCGUAAAGCAUUGUGGUGGAAAUGGGUUAAUUCCUUUCCAAAAUGCAGUUAAUUGAUUCAAAACUUUUUAACAAUUUCAUUUUCUUGGGAAAUUAUUGAGGUCAAAUCAUCCAAAAACAUCCAAUUCUUCCCACAAACUAGUUCUUGGAAACAAUUUACUCCAAUUUCCAAAUUUCCAAGAAAAAACAAUCAUAAUCAAACCCCAUAUAUAAUAAAUCCAAAAUCAAUCACUUUAAGAUGCUGCAAAUGGGUGCAAAUGGGUUAUUUCAAAGAAAAAUCAUAACCCAUUUUUUCAGGAUUUUGCUUUGCUCAGUUGGAUUUAGUAAUUAUUACUUAAAACUACAAGAUUUUGGGUUUUACAAAUUAAGUAAUGGUUUUCAAAUUUUAGUACUCUAAAAUUUUCACUCCAAAAUAAAGUAAUCACUUAAAGUGUUUUUUUAUAACAAAAUAAAUAGUUUUAAUGAUUGUUUUCUUAAAAAUUGAAAAGUGAUUUGUCAGAAUUAAUAUUAUCAAAACACACAAUUUCAAUUUUAUUUUUUAGGUUUUUAAACAAGUCAAUAUAAUUCUUCUAGAUUCAACCAUAAUAAACCAGGUUUGUGGCGUUACAAUUUUUUUCCUUAAUUUAUAAAUAUAUUAUCAAUUUUUCUUUGAUUUUAUAUAAAAAAUUAAAAUCAUUUAUAUAAUAGAAAAAUGUAUAUAAAAAUCUAGAAAAAUAAAAUCUUGAAUAUGUUGUUGAAGAACUAAAAUGUAUGAGCAAUAAAGAAAAGUAUCAUUCAAUAGAAUCCAAUAACAAAUUAGAAACAAAACAAAAUAAAGAAAGUUUAGUUUCAUGCUCUUGAAGAACAUCUAGGACUGGUAUUACAUAGUGCAAAAUCAAACUUUAAUGCCAAUUUUGAGGCUCGUUGUUGAAGAAUGUGCGGGUCUACCUCUUACAGUUGUCGUCAUAGCUGGUACAUUGAGAGGAGAAGAUGACCCUCUUAUUUGGAAAAAUACACUAAGGGAAUUGAAAGAGAGAAUAGGGAAAGUGCAAGAAGGGGAAGAUAAAGUGAUCGAGAGUUUGAAAGUUAGCUUCAAUCACUUAAAAGACGAGAAAAUGAAGCAUUGUUUCUUACAUUGCGCAUUAUAUCCCGAAGAUUUUGGAAUUGAAAAGCAUGGGCUAAUUUGUUGGAACAAUGGCAGCAGCAAACAUCAAAACAAAGUUGCAACUCAGUGUUUGCAAGACUGAAGCAAGAAGAAUCGAGGCAAAGCAAAGCAAAAAUUUGGUAAAAAAAAAUCAAAAUACUCAGCAAUGUUGUGACUGAACAUACAUCAUUUUUCAUUCAACUUGAAAUAUAUAAAAGAGUUACAUUGUACAUUGACAGUUACCUAAUGUAUUUAACUGCCCCAACUAAUACAAACCUAAUCACUAGCCAAAAAAAUAAUCAAACAUAGCUGACCAAUCAGCCAUUACAUCAAAAGAUCUUGUCACUAACUUAAGUUUAACUAGUAUUACAAACAAACUAAAGUUGAACUGAACCAAAUUACAUCAAAACAAAGCAGCAAAGUUGGUUGCUUCAUUCGGUUCAAAAACCAUUCGUGCGCACCAAGCAAAAUGAGCUGAGCUCGAUAGCUGCUGGUCUCGACAGUAGCAAGCUUUUGGCUCCAUGUUGCAUUGCAGUCCAGCUUUCAACACUCCUCCUUGGACUGUAUGCAACACAUUCCAAUUGCACUUCUCAAAGAUUCAAAUCGAGCAGCCCCUAAGGGCUUGGUCAUUAUGUUAGCCAAUUGUGCUCCUGAGCUGCAAUGCACAAGGCUGACUUCCUUUGCUUGUUCAGCCUCUCUAACAAAAUGCAAUUUGAUCUUAAAAUGCUUAGUCUUGCAAUGGAACACAGGGUUCUUGGCUAUUGCAACUGCAGACUGAUUGUCCACCCAGAUUUCAGUUGCUUCAUCUUGAGUUUCAUUAAGGUCAUAAAGCAGCUUUCUUAGCCAAAUGGCCUGAUUAACUGCUCCUGCUGCAGCAAUGUACUCUACUUCAGCUGUGGACUGAGCAACAGUUUGUUGCUUCUUAGAACUCCAGCAAAACAUGCCCGAUCCAAUUGUGAAGAAGUAUCCAGAGGUACUCUUCAUGUCAUCGAGAGAUCCUGCCCAGUCGCUGUCAGAGUAGCCUUCUAGUUUCAGUUGGUUCUGACUUUCAAACAUUACACCAAAACUAGCAGUGCCCUUGAUGUAUCUAAGGAUCCUCUUUGCUGCCUUCAAAUGUGCCUCAUUGCAACAAUGCAUAAAUCUCGAUAACAGGCUGACACCAAACAUGAUAUCUGGCCUGGUUGCUGUUAGAUACAACAGACAACCAACUAGGCUUCGAUAGUGCCUCUCAUCAACCCUCUGCUGAUCACCACUGCUAGUCAGCUUUUCUCCUUGAGCCACAGGUGUGCUGACUGCUUUACAGUUAUGCAUGCAAAAUUUGUCUAGGAUCUUCAAAGCAAAUGAGUGUUGGCUGAUGAAGAUACCUCGAUCAGAUUGGUGCACUUCCAUGCCAAGGAAGUAAGUCAUGAUCCCCAAAUCUGUCAUCUCAAACACUUGCUGCAUUUGGACCUUGAACUGAUCAAUGAGCUCGAUUUUGCUCCCUGUCACAAGCAAAUCAUCCACAUACAAGGAGACUAUCAGCAAGGUUUCAUGUUCUGACUUUUUAACAUAUAGAGUAGGCUCACUAAGACUCUUUACAAAUCCAAGUUUGGUCAGGUAGGCAUCAACUCUGUCAUACCAGGCCCUUGGUGCCUGUUUCAGGCCAUAGAGGGCCUUUCUCAACUUAUACACUUUGUCUUCAUGUCCAACAACUUCAAAACCUUCAAGUUGCUCGAUGAAGAUCUCCUCCUUGAGAAAACCAUUCAGGAAUGCUGAUUUGACAUCCAAUUGGUGAACUCUCCACUGCUUCUGAGCUGCUAAAGCAAACAGCAGCUUAAUUGUAUCCAGUCUUGCCACUGGAGCAAAAGUUUCUAGGUAGUCAACACCAUACUGCUGACUGUAGCCCUUCACCACAAGCCUGGCCUUGUGCUUGUUCAGUGAGCCAUCAGCAUUGUACUUGGCCCGAUACACCCAUUUAACUCCUAUGACCCUCUUGUGUUCUGGUCUGCUCACCAACUCCCAAGUCUGAUUUUUGUUGAUCAUUUCCAACUCAGCUUCCAUAGCUUUCAUCCAGCUUCUGUUUUUAGCAGCCUCUUCAAAGUCUGAGGGCUCAAUCACAGCAACAUUGCACCUCUGAUAAACAUCAACCAAAGUUCUGGUGCCCCUCACUGGUAUAUCAUCGACAGCAUCAUUACUUGGUCCUUCUUCUGCAGGUUCAGCAACCAAGUUUAACUGGUCCAAUUCAGACAAGUCAGCCACAACACCAUUCCAAUUCCACACCUUUUCCUCAUCAAACUUUACAUCCCUGCUGACUAAAACCUUCUUUGCUGUAGGAUCAUACACUCUAUAGCCCUUCUUGUUGCUGCUGUAGCCAACAAAGAUUCCUGGAGUUGCUCUGCUCUCAAGCUUGGUCCUUUUCUCUACUGGAAUAAGUGCAUAACAUACACAGCCAAACACUUUUAAGUGUGUUACCACAGGUUUGACUCCAUGCCAAGCCUCAAAAGGAGUCUUAUCCUUGACUGCUCUAGUUGGCAGUCUGUUGAGCAGAUACACUGAGGUGUUGACUGCCUCAGCCCAAAACUGACUUGGAAGCUUGCCUUGAAACAAGAGGCACCUGGCCAUGUUCAGUACAGUCCUAUUCUUUCUCUCACAGACUCCAUUCUGUUGAGGAGUAUAGACUGUUGUGAGCUGAUGGUGAAUCCCAGCACUGUCACAAAGCUUCUGAAAUCUCUCAGACACAUAUUCAGAUCCAUUAUCAGUCCUCAAGGCUCUAAUUUUGCAGCCUGACUGAUUUUCAGCAUAAGCCUUGAAUUUGCAGAAGGCUUCAAACACUUCUGACUUUUGCUUCAAGAAGUAGACCCAGCACAACCUUGUUAAAUCAUCUAUAAACAAGGCAAAGUACCUGUUCUCACUGAUUGAAGGUGUUCUCAUAGGGCCACAAACAUCAGAGUGCACCAAUUCGAGCUUGUCUUGAGCUCUCCAAGCACUGUCAGCAGGAAAAGGUAGUCUAGCCUGCUUACCAAGCUGACAAACCUCACAAACAUUCCCACUAGCUUCAAUUUUUGAAAUGUCAUCAACCAGAUUCAGCCUAUGUAACAGAUCGAUGGAUCUAAAAUUUGCAUGGCCUAGUCUCCUAUGCCACAAGUCAGUGCUUUCAACAAGGCUGGUGUAUGCCUUUCUUUCUAUUUGGCUAACAUCCAGCAUGAAGCACCUAUCAGUCAUAGAGACUGUGACUAACUCCAGACCAUUCAUGUCUUGAACAAUACAGCAACCAUCCUUAAAAACCAAUGUAUAGCCCUUUUCAACUAAUUGGCCUACACUAAGCAAAUUCUGGUCUAAGUCAGGUACAAAAAACACAUCUGAGAUCAGCUUGUACCUGAACCAGUGCUAAUCAACACACUGCCCUUGCCUUUAGCCUCAAUCAGCCUACCAUCUCCAAUUUUAAUCCUCGAGUGGAAGCUUCUGUCUAGGCUUUUGAACAGCUUCUCAUCUGCUGCCAUAUGGUGUGAGCAGCCACUGUCUAGUAGCCAAUCAUUGCUGGCCUUGGUUGUGCCAACAAAACAAGUUGCUGUGAACACUUGCUCCUCCUGAGCUUGAAUGUCCUCAGCAGGUCUAGCUUGUUGCAGAGUAGCCUCCCUUGGUUUGCCCUUGCACACCUUCUCCACAUGGCCAAACUGUUUGCAUUUUCUACACUGAAUAUCUGGCCUAAACCAGCAAUACUUUUCUGAAUGUGUUGUCUUCUUGCAAUGAACACAUGGUGGGAACACCCUUUUUGCUUCAUCUCUUCCUGACUUGACCCUUCUAUUGUGCCAAGGCUUCUUGCCUUUUGCACUCACACUCGAGCCUUCACUGGCUUUAGCCUGGAAAGCAGCUUCAGGAUUCUCCUCCUGCCUAUUUGCCCUCCUUUGCUCAAGUGCAUAUAGGGAAUUUAUCAGCUCAGACAAUGAAAUGGCUGAUAAGUCCCUCGAGUCCUCAAGUGAAGAGAUUUUAGACUCAAAUUUCUCAGGGAGAGUUGUAAUAACCUUUUCAACAACUCUGCUCUCUGUGAAGUCCACUCCCAGGAGCCUAAUGCUGUUGACAAUGGCCAUUAUCCUGUCUGAGUACUGCUUGAUGGUCUCAGACUCCUUCAUCCUCAAAUUUUCAAAGUCUCUCCUGAGGUUGAUUACUUGCUGUUGCCUUGUCUUAUCAGUCCCCAUGAACUCCUCCUUCAGCUUCUCCCAAGCCUGCUUAGGUGAGCCACAGGCCAUGAUGCGAGUAAAUAUCACAUCAGAGACUCCAUUUUGCAAGCAGGCCAUAGCCUUAUGCUUCUUGGCUCGCUCCUCAGUAUGUUGCCUCAUCUGUGCAAUGGUGGGAUAGGCUCUCAAUGGAGGUGGUUCAGCAUCAUUCUCGAUCACACUCCAAAGAUCAUGUGCCUGGAGAUAAGUCUUCAUUUUAACUAUCCAAAUGUGAUAGUUUUCUCCAGUGAACACUGGUGGAGGUGGUGGAGUGAAACUCAUUCUGCUAAACUGAUUUUAAAUGCUUCAAUCUUACCAAAUUUUGAACUUGUUGUUGGUUUUGAUUCGAACACAACAGAUUGCAUACAAAAGCCCCUUAAAGACUCGGGCUCAUGAUACCAUUUGUUGGAACAAUGGCAGCAGCAAACAUCAAAACAAAGUUGCAACUCAGUGUUUGCAAGACUGAAGCAAGAAGAAUCGAGGCCAAGCAAAGCAAAAAUUUGGUAAAAAAAAAAUCAAAAUACUCAGCAAUGUUGUGACUGAACAUACAUCAUUUUUCAUUCAACUUGAAAUAUAUAAAAGAGUUACAUUGUACAUUGACAGUUACCUAAUGUAUUUAACUGCCCCAACUAAUACAAACCUAAUCACUAGCCAAAAAAAUAAUCAAACAUAGCUGACCAAUCAGCCAUUACAUCAAAAGAUCUUGUCACUAACUUAAGUUUAACUAGUAUUACAAACAAACUAAAGUUGAACUGAACCAAAUUACAUCAAAACAAAGCAGCAAAGUUGGUUGCUUCAUUCGGUUCAAAAACCAUUUGUGCGCACCAAGCAAAAUGAGCUGAGCUCGAUAGCUGCUGGUCUCGACAGUAGCAAGCUUUUGGCUCCAUGUUGCAUUGCAGUCCAGCUUUCAACAUAAUUGAUAGCUGGAUUAAAGAGGGAUUCAUAGAUGACAUGAGUACAAGACAAGAAACGAAAGAUAAGGGCCAUCUUGAGUGUAACAGUGAAAAUUCAUGAUGCAGUGAGAGACAUGGCAUUGUCGAUAACAAGAAUGAAUCCUCGAUAUAUGAUACAAGUAGGUUCGCAAUUAGAAGAGUUACCAGAAAAGGAGCAAUGGAGUCCGGAUAUUGAGAAAGUGUCACUUAUGUAUAACUCCAUAUCAGAAAUUUCCAUAGAUGUGCUGCCCACAAAAUGUCAACUGCUCACAACCUUGUUAUUGCAGGAGAACCCUAUAAAGAAGAUCUCAAGUUCUUUCUUCACAAACAUGCCUUGUCUUAGUGUUCUCAAUUUGUCCUCUACGAAGAUCAAAAGUUUACCAAAUUCCAUCUCUGAACUAAAGAACCUCACAACAUUGUUGCUUUGUGGUUGUGAAGAAUUAAGAGAUCUGCCAUGUCUUUCGAUGCUUCAAGAAUUGAAGAAGUUGGACCUUUCUGGGACUAAAAUUGAGGAAGUCCCUGAAGGAAUGGAUAUGCUGAUAAAGCUAAGAUAUCUUGAUCUUAGAGUGCGCACUCUGAAAGAGAUACCCGCUGGAGUUUUACCAAAACUCGUUCACCUUCAGCACUAGGGUUUUCAUGAGAACAAUGAAAAAACAAGUCUAAAAGCAGAGGAGAUGGAACCAUUGAAGAAGUUGGAGUACUUAACCAGACAUUUCGAAGACAUCAGUGGAUUCAAUAAGUUCAUCUCCUCAAUGCAACAAAGUAAGAAAAAUCUCAUCAAGUACUUUUUACAGGUGGGCUCAUAUAAUGUGUGUAUUGGAAGGGAGAAAACAGUAACAAUUGGAGGAGUCCAGAAUUGGGAAGGUGAGUUAAUUAUGCACCCAAUUGAAAUUCGAGAUUUGACUAUUACAAGGUGCGACUAUUUCAGAAACUUAGUCGAUGAUGAUUCUUCCUUCAAAAAUGCGAUUGACUUGAGGGUUUGUAGGAUUUGGGGGUGUGAAGGGAUAGAGUGUGUUGUUUCCCUGUCCUCUUUUGCCUCUUCUUCCGCUCAUCUAUUUCAGAGCCUCGAGGUGUUGUAUCUUCGUGAUCUGCCAAAGCUGAGUGCCCUUAUUAUGAAUGAUGCAGGAAUUGGUUCAGGAACAACAUCAACAUUGGCUCCGUCUGCCACCUUUUCCCAUCUCAAGGAAAUUAUGAUAGUGAACUGCUCAAGUAUGAAGACGCUGCUUCCACAUUAGUUGCUUCCAAACCUCCAAAACCUGGAAGAAAUAGAUGUGGAUGCUUGUAGUCAGCUAGUAGAAAUAUUGGGAGCAGCAACAUCAGAAGUUGAAGAAAAAGGGAGUGAUGCAUUAAUCAAAUUCCAUCUUCCUAAACUGAGAGUGCUGUCAUUCUGGGAAUUACCAAAUUUGAAGAGCAUAUGCAGCAAAAGUGGAGUGAUGGUUUGUGAUUCUUUCCAACUUAUCCAAGU
rnacentral:lncRNA from 1 species